CAUCAGAGAACAUCUGAACUUACCUUUGGGGAUCCUGGUACAGGUGAGAAAAUACUUGGGCAUUUUUCUUUUCUUUUUUUUUUAUAUGAAAUUUAUUGUCAAAUAGGUUUCCAUACAACACCCAGAGCUCAUCCCAACAGGUGCCCUCCUCAAUGCCCAUCACCCGCCCUCCCCUCCCUCCCACCCCCAUCAACCCUCAGUUUAUUCUCAAUUUUUAAGAUUUAGGCAUUUUUCAAACCAUAGUCUGAGCUAUAAACUGGUAGGAUUAUAAUCAUGAUGAUCAAUAUUGUUUUGGCUGGCUAGCUUGAACUUUUGUUAUCAAAUAUGGUUGGUUGGUAUUAGAUAUUCUCAUUAGCUUUUAUUAUUGAUAGUGAAGUACAAGUUAUAAGUAAAACCCAAAAAACUAUAUAUAUAGUAAGUGCCUGGUAUGGGGCAGUGCUGUCAGAAAAUGGUAAAUGAGAUAGAGCCCCGCCUCUUCAGGUGCUUAAAUGAGUGGUUUAGGAUCACAUCAAUUUCCAACAGGCCUUUAAGUUUAUUAUGAUAAGCUGAUUAACAUAGAGCUUUAUAUGCAAAAUGCCAGAGUAAUAGAAUACCUGAUUUCACAGAGCUUACAACAUUAAAAAAAGUCUUUGCAUUUUCAAAUGUAGCAGCCUCAAUAUAAAGCUUUGUAAAGGUGAAAUCCCUUUAUGGACAGUUGAGGCUACGUGAUUUGGUGAGAAGAUGACAUUAAAGCUCUUUGUACUAACUGGGUUUAUUUAAUUAAGAAUCAGUUAUGGCAUUUAACACUAGCUGAUAUGUUUUUAUUGGUCAUUGUCACAUGAGACCUUUCUGGAUUUUUUUUUCCUGUUAAGAAUGUCUGUUGUAACCAGCCUGGACAUGGGAGGCUGUGCUAUGUGAUGUGAAAUAAUGCUCCUCAGACACAUGGGGGAAUUUCAGGCUUUUUAGUGUAGAAAAUCCAGCUCAGUUCCCAACUGUUUCAUGAUGUCUUUUCUGAUGGUUACCGCCCACUUUGGGCUCUCAUUUUCCAGAUGACCAUAGCACUCCAUGCUGGACCAUGUACUGCUCCAGCAAUCUCUUCAUAAUGUUUAAGUCUGGUAGUCUUACAGUAUUUGGGGAGGAAGGGGGGCAAGCACUAUGUCAUGGGUUUAUGGACUUAUUAAGAAUUAUGGACUUAUUUAGAAUAAUGUCUCCAGAAGAAGCCUGUAAGUAUUUUAUCACUUAGUUGUUUGACCUGGAAGUAAUUUUGAAGAUCACAACACCAAAGCAAGCAGUGUAGACAGUGAGCAUCAUUUGUAGCACCAAGGGUGUGUCCUGAGAAAGAGCCUAAACAAAAGUAAAACCUCAGUAUGCCAGGAUGAGUGAGGAUUUAGGGGUAAUUAUUCUUUCUGGUUGGCUGGAAAAUGUCUUUCUGAAAAUUAAGUCUAGUAUGCUACGAAAGUUGCUGUGCUUAGUAUUCAGGUUUGUACAAAGAGUACUAAUGCAGAGCACCUGCUCUCAAGGAUCAGCUAAUCCAGGUGAGGAGUUAAGAAAUGUGUAUGAAAACUUAAUUAACAGGAUAAAUGGGCAGCACGGGAAGGUUAUUUCUUGGCUCCAAAGGAGAGCUAUUAAAUGUGAGCUGCUCAUUCUCUAGACUAGCUUAUUUUCCUGUCCUGGUAAAUACAAGAUGGUGGAUGGAACUGGGUCAUUCUUUGGACAUAUUUCUUGUGGUCAAUAGUCAUAAUAAAAAGAAAAUAAUAGCAGCCACUUAAGAAGUGAUUAAUACUUUCCAGAUACUCUUGUAAGAGCUUUUUAAAAUUUAACAGUUUUAAUCCCUUCGACAACCCUGUGAACUAAGAGCUUGCAGAAAAAGAGAGGUGAGGUAACUUGGCCUAGUUUGCAUAGCCAUUAGGUAGCUGAGUCGGGCUGGUGGGUAGAGUCCAUGCUGAACAGUAGUUCUGCUCUGCCUUCUUUGUUUCUGCCUAUCAACUCCUAGGGUGCCUUCUAAAAAGUUACAUUCCAGAAAAUGUUUCCUUUUCUUUUGUCUGUUUAUGAUAACGAAGUUGAAAGGAAAACCAUCUGGUUAAUGCAUGGUACUUAUCAGACAUUCUUUCCUGGAUCAUUGAAAUUUUGCAUUGAUGAGGCUGAUACCUAGUCAAGGCCAUUUUAUGAGAGCUGGAAGAAACAGCAAGACAAACAUUAACAUCCACCUAACAGCCCAUGAUCCACAAAGAAGUUGUGUGGGAUGCCAGAAGAAAGUACAGUUACCUGGAGAAAUACACUGUAGUAGAUAGGAAAGUGAUAUUUUUCUGUGAGGAACCAAGGUGAUUUCUGUGAAGGAACUAUUCAGUUAACAACAAACAGGGGAAGCAAUGAGCUGUCUCAGGCUUUGUAACAUCUGUUGUAACUGCACCUGCCUCAAAGAUUUCCUGGUUCCUAUUCCGGAGAGAGAAAGUCAGCAGGAAAUGAGGCAAGUGCAUAAUGACUUCACGGAAAAAGAUGGCUUUUAACUUCUUGGGUUUAAUUCCUGACAGUGUUACAUAUCCCCCUUGUUGUUUGCUGUACUUUACAAGGUGGCAGUUUGUAUAACGGAAGAUGGGGGAGAAGAAAGGGACCUGUGCUUGGAAACUGUGUUUAAGGAGCACAGGAAUGUCUGGAGCCAUUGGUCAAUUGGGUGACAUCAUUGCACCUGGCCAGUUAGUCCUCACUCUGACUCAGUGGGUCACAGGUGGAAAUAAAGCAUAUCCCUACUUACCAGAACAAUUUAAAGACUCACCACUUUGUCUCUCCUUUCUUUCUCUAAUCAGUUUUUCUCAAACUUUAGAGUGAAUCAGAAUCACCUGGAAGGCUUGUUAAAACAGAUUUCUGGACCUGAUGCCCAGAGUUUCUGACUCAGUGUGUCUGGUGUUGUGCAUGGGAAUUUUCACUCCUGCAAGUUACCAGGUGAUGCUGCUGCUGCUGGUCUGGAAUUACAUUUGAGAGCCAUUGCUCUAAUUGAUUUAGACAGAAGUCCUCUAUUCUAGGGCCUUUCUCCUAUCAGGAUUAUCCAGCACCCGGAGAUUUCCAUCUUUUCUUCCUAUCAGUACGAAUGAUGAGAACCUGCCUUCACUUUCCUCUUCAUCCUAGCCCCAACCCCAGCCUAGCUCAGCCCCAGCAUUCCUUUCCAACUUAAAGAAAUUAAUUAAAUCACAUUCCACUGGUUCCGGAAAGAAGUUGAGUGGCUGUGGCCUUCCCAAGCUAGUAGAAUGAAGCAGACUUUUCCCCCAAAGGCCUCACUACACUGGUGAUCGUACUUUAGAUCUUUUUCGGGAAUCAGAUUACUGCAGAUGGAAUGCAAAUAGCUUUAUCCAUCAUUAUUUAUGAGACUUUGAACAAGUACCUAACCUUUCUGUGUUUUAUGUGAAGACUAUGGAAGAGUACUGGCACAUAGAAAGCUGCUUAAAAAAAAAGUUAUUCCAAUAAGAAACUCCUUGAAUAGAAUAUAUGCAGCACCAUUCAAAGAAAUAAAAAGAUUAUAAUCUCUAUAUGUGAACUGUUUAUUAUAUUACUAUGAUUACAGGGUUUACUACCUUAAUUGAAUUUAUAUUGAUCAUUAUAAUGAUCCAGAUUAUUUAUUCUUACAUUGUUUUAUUCAGAUAUAAUUAAUAUAUAGUGUUAUAUUAGUUUCAGGUGUACAAUGAUUCAAACUUAUUCAGUGAUCAUCAAGAUAAGUGGACUCUUAAUCCCUUUUAGCUAUUUAUCCAUCCCUCCCCUCUGUGAAGCACCAGUUCUCCAUAUUUAAGAGUCUGGGGUUUUGUUUGUUUGUUUCUUUUUUUCUUUGUUCAUUUGCUUUGUUUCUUAAACUCCACAUAUGUGUGAAAUCAUAUGGUUAUUUGUCUUUCUCUGACUCAUUUAUUUCCAUUAGCUUUACACUCUCUAGAUCCAUCCAUGUAGUUGCAAAUGGCAAGAUUUCAUUUUUCUUUAUACUGAGUAAUGUCCCAUUGUGUGUGUGUGUGUAUGUGCGCGCGCACACACACCGCACACACACACACACACACACAUAUAUAUAUAUAUAUAUAUAUAUAUAUAUACCACAUCUUCUUUAUCCAUUCAUCUAUGGAUGGACAUUUGGGUCACUUCCAUAAUUUGGCAAUUGUAAAUAACACUGCAAUAAGCAUAAGGAUGCAUAAAUCUUUUAUAAUUAGUGUUUUCAUUUUCUUUCAGUAAAUACCCAGUUGUAGAAUAACUAGAUCAUAUGGUAAUUUGAUUUUUAAUUUUUUGAGGAAACUCCACACUGUUUUCCACAGUGACUGCACCAAUUUUCAUUCCUAGCAACAGUACACACAGAUUCCUUUUCUUCCACAUCCUCACCAAUGCUUGUUAUUUCUUAUGUUUUUGAUUUUAGCCAUUCUGACAGGUGUGAGGUGGUAUCUCAUUGUGGUUUUGAUUUGCAUUUCCCUGAUGAUGAGUGAUGUUGGGCACCUUUUCAUGUGUCUUUUGGCCAUCUGUAUGUCUUCUUGGGAAAAAUAUCUGUUCAGGUCCAUUGCCCAUUUUUUUUAAUGAGAUCACUUGUUUUUUUUUUUUUGGUGUUGAGUUGUAUAAGUUCCUUAUAUAUUUUGGAUAUUAACCCAUGUACUCUGAAAACUAUAAUUGUUUAAAGAAAUUGAAGAGGACACAAAUAAAUUGAAAGAUACUCCUUGCUCAUGAUUGGAAGAAUCAAUAUUGUUAAAAUAUUCAUACUACCCAAAGAAAUCCACAGAAUUAAUACAAUCUCUACUAAAUUAUCAACAACAUAUUUCACAGAACCAGAACAAAUAAUCCUACAGUUUUUAUGGAGCCACAAAAGACCCCAGAUAACCAAAGCAAUCUUGAAAAAAAUAACAAAUCUGGAGAUAUCACAAGCCCAGGUUUCAAAAUAUACCACAAAUACGCAGUAAUCAAGAUAGUAUGGUUCUGACACAAAAAAUAGACACAUAGAGGGGCGCCUGGGUGGCGCAGUCGGUUAAGCGGCCGACUUCAGCCAGGUCACCAUCUCGCGGUCCGUGAGUUCGAGCCCCGCGUCGGGCUCUGGGCUGAUGGCUCAGAGCCUGGAGCCUGUUUCCGAUUCUGUGUCUCCCUCUCUCUCUGCCUCUCCCCCGUUCAUGCUCUGUCUCUCUCUGUCCCAAAAAAUAAAUAAACGUUGGAAAAAAAAAAAAAUAGACACAUAGAUCAAUAGAACAGAAAAGAGAGUCCAGAAGUCAACUCAUGCAUAUAUGGUCAAUUAAUCUACGACAGAGGAGGCAAGAAUAUACAAUGAGGAAAAGACCAUCUCUUCACCAAAUAGAGCUGGGAAACCUGGACAGCUAUAUGCAAAAGAAUGGAACUCUACCACUUUCUUACACUAUUCACAAAAAUAAGCUCAAAAUAGAUUAAAGACCUAAAUGUGAGACCUGUAACCAUAAUAUUCCUGGAAGAAAACAUAAGCCAGUAAUUUCUUUAACAUUGACCAUAACAACAAUUUUGUAGAUAUGUCUUCUGAGGCAAGGGAAACAAAAGCAAAAUUAAACUGUUUGAACCACACCAAAAUAAAGGGCUUUUACACAGCAAAAGAAGCCAUCAACAAAACAUAAAAGCAGCCUUCUCAGUGGGAGAAGAUAUUUGCAAAUGGUAUAUCCAAUAAAGGGUUAAUAUCCACAUAAUUUUCUCAAAGUGAAAAAGUAAAAUUCUAUAUGUAAGGCAUAUAUAAUAUUUUAGUUACUUAAAUAUUUUAAAGGAAUAUUUAUUAUAGUAACAAAAUGCAUAUUAUACAAAUACAAUAUAUAUUUAUAUCAGAAAUUAUAACAAAUAUCAAUAUUAUAUUAGGUAUAAAAUAUAUAAUAUACAAUAUCUUAAAAUACAUAAUUAAAUAUAUUUUAAUAAUAUAUUAAUUGUAUUCAUGUUGGCAUAUGUAGAGUCCUUUAAAAAGUACCUAUAUUGGGACACCUGGGUGGCUCAGUCAGUUGAGCAUGCAACUCUUGAUUUCAGCUCAGGUCAUGAUCCCAGAGUUGUGGGGUUAAGCCCCAUGUCUCCACACUGAGCAUGGAGCCUGCUUAAGAUUCUCUCUCCCUCUGCCCCUCUCCCCUGCUGGUGCUCUCUCUCUCUCUCUCAAAUAAAAAUAAAUAAAUAAAAUGUACCUAUAUGCAAGGUGUACAUUAAAUAUAUUAAAAUGUUACAUAUAGAAUUAACAUUAAUAUAGGAAAAUGUUGAAAAAGGAAAAUAUCCAGAAGAUAUAUUUGUAUAUAAUAUGUAAUGUAUAUCAUUUAUUAUAUGUUAUUUACUAUUUCUAAACAGUUAGUUGGUUCAUUAUUCACAUUUAAUCUAUUCUGCUACAUUAGUGUUAAUAAAGUUAUCCUCAUUAAUCUUAUUGGAAAAAUGACUCAAAUUAACAAGUGUCAUUAGAUAAUGGAAAGCUUAUUUCAUUUCCUUGGUACAUUAACAAAUGGAAACUGUGGUCUUAAAGGUCUUUGGUAUGUAUUUAGUGCUUUUCUUUAAGUGCAUGUUUUAAAUACGGAAUGGUAAUUAACAUUAUUUUUCACUUCUAAAGCAAUAUGUUAACUACAAAGGCUUUAAAAAUUUGAUAUUUUCUGGGCUCUUGUUGAAAAGAGCAGUGUCAGCCUCAUAGGGAUCAUUUUUAGGCUUCUAUAAUGUCUUACUGUUUUAUCUUCUCUAUCUUCCCACCAUGGUGCCUGAAAUUCCACUAUUCCAGCAUUCUUGAUUUAAUCACUAUGGUUAUUCUUCUAAGGAGCAGCCUUCUCCAAAAUGCUUCCAUUUCUUCUUUUAAGCUUAUUUAUUUAUUUUGAGAAAGAAGAAGAGAGGAGAGAGAGAAUCUCAAGCAGGCUCCACCAUGUCAGCACAGAGCCCCAUGUGUAUCAGGAACUGUGAGAUCAUGACCUGAGCCAAAAUCAAGAGUCUGAUGCUUAACUGACUGAGCCACCCAGGUGCCCCAAAAUGCUUCCAUUUCUAAGAGGAAUAGCUUCCUGUGAGUCCCAUUAUCAAAAGGUCAUUUUCUGAUGGCCUGUGAUAGCUUUGGGUGUUUAGAGUUUAGAGGCAACAAAAAUACAAGAAAAGGAAGCUGGGGACAGUUUUUUCCUGCUUCAGGCAUCUAUAUGGCUCCAAAAAAAGGAAAAAAAUCAACACUGAGAUCCUUAUUAAGUCAGUCUUAUUCUUUAAUAUUUUGCCAAACUGAAAGCUGAUAUCAUAAGUUAUAUGGCCCUACUGAGAUGUGUGACUGACAGAAGUUAAUCUAAAGGCAUGUGCUAUUGGAUAUUGAACUAAAAGUUAAUAAUCAUGCCUUGUGGAAAAAGCCAUGUGCACAGAGAAUUUAGUCUAUUUUGAAUCACCAUUCAAAAGAUACUGAUUUUAAAGUUGGUUCUAUUUAAAUCUCCAUGUGUUUUAAGUGGACAACUAUUUAAAAUCAAAUAUACAGUGUUGAUUAUAAUAAUCCCUUCCAUUUGUUCAAAGCCUGACCUUUGAGCUUUGUUCAAAGGCUUUUCAGGGCAUUUUCAGAUUUUAUCAAUGAUGUUCUCUUAUUUAAGACUUAGCUUAGACAAACACUGACUUGUAGGAGGUGAUUAAUAGACUUAUUUUACCCAAGUAGAAACCAAGGCUCAGACUGAGGAGUCAAAUAAUAUAAGCUUAUGCAGAUGAUAGGUUGUGGAUCCACAACUAAAAUCAACCCCUUUGUGGCCAGUGCACUUUCCACCCCACUGUGCUCUCUUUGAAGACAUUUGGGGUCAUGGGAUAAAUAAUAUGUAUUCCCGAGAUCUGCAGAUCUAUCUGCACUAUCUGAGUUCCAAUCAAAGAAAAAUUGGGACUGAGCAAGUGUAGCCAGAUAUUCUCUCUAGAUGAUUUUGGUACUCCCUCUGCAUCUUUUAAUGGGCUGAAUUGAAUGUGUCUUCCCCAAGUUUGUAUGUUAAAAUCCCAACCCCUCAUUACCUCAGACUAUAAUGGUAUUUGGAGAAAAGGUCUUGAAAGAGGUGAUAAAGUAAAAAUGAGGCUGUUAGGAUGGGCCCUAAUUCAGUUUGAUUGGUGUCUUUAUAAGAAGAGGCACAGGGAACACGUGUGCUGAGGGACAACCAUGAUGAAGAGGCAGCAAGGGGGUAGUCAUCUGCAAGCCAGGAGAGAGGCCUGUAACAGAUCCUUCCUUCAUGGCCUUCACAGUAACAACUCUGCUGGCACCUUGAACUUGGAAUUCCAGCCACCCAGUUUGUGGUACCUUUUCAUGGCACAACUAACUAACUAACACAACAACCCAAUACAAUCUCUCUGAACCCCCACCUAGAAGAAGUAAUGAGAGGGCAGCUUUUGGAAAUCUCUCCUCAGUGAAGCUCUUCAUUAACAUAUUAACCCCUAGAAAGUAGACCUGCCAGCCCUCAUGAACGUGUUUUCCUGCUUAUUUACAUUAAAACUUUUCUUUAGCCAUUUGCACGUGGCAUGCACUGAGCAUUUUUAUUCUGUAUGGAGAUGUCCCAUCUGCUGCCUCUUCCUCUCCAUCGGUCUUUCCUUUGCCCUCCCUUUUUCCUCUUCUGUCACUGCUUACCCAUCCCCUCUCUUGUUUCUCUCCUGUCUCCCUUCUCUCUGGUCUUUCCCAUCCUCUGUCCCUUUGUCUUCUAUUUUCUCCUCUCUCAUUUCCCCACUCUUAUAUAUUCUGACAUCCUUACCUAACCUCUCCUCUUUCCUUUCAAAAAAAAUUUCUUAAAAAAAGAAAGAUGUUCAAUCCUUUUUACCCUAGUGUAAACAUUCUUCGAAAUAAAUUAUCCCAUGGGUAUUUUCUCUGAAUUCAGCAGGCACUUACAUGAACUAAAUUGCUGAUCCAACCUCUAGCUGGAUGGUAGCCAUCAGUGAAUAGAUGUGAAGGCAUUUCUGGGUUGGCACAGGCUUUCCAUGUCCCCAGAGUCAUACUAUCAAGCAGACAUCAAUUCUUAACUAUUCAAAAGUCCUCCUGCAGCCACUUUUUAUGCUAAAUGUUGAGAUUCCUGACCUGUUUCAGUUUUAAGUAUAUUUAAGAUAGUGUGAGUUAGUCAGUCCAGCAAGGAGGAGGCUUCAAGCAUUGACUGGCAGAAAUGACUGAAAUGAACAGAGAUAUUUGAACUUAUUGGUAUACGAUCAAACUGGAAUUUGAAGGUUAAAGGACAGAGUGUCAAGCACACAUCAUGUCUUAGAUACCUGUCUGUCUCCUCCAAAGCAUUUCUUGCUGUAUUUAUGUGGGCAUCACAAAAUGGAGCAUUGAAAUAUCAACACUGAAAUCAACAUUGCAGAUUCCCCCAUUCUGUUUGACACCUUCUUUGUAGGAAACAAAUGGGGAAGAGCUUCUCGGCUUGUCGUAAAAACAGCACUCUCAACUCUCCAUUUCAGCUUUUUGGAUUUCAUCUUAUAUAUAGAAUAACAUACUUGUAAUCCAUAAAAAGAUUUCUUAAAUUGCAGGAGAAAUAUGGCUUAACACUUCUUCUCUGGCCCAAAGAAAAUAAUUGGUAUCCCAAUAAAGUCAUUAUUAAAGGUAAUGGAUGGGCAAAGCCUGGAAAAAUCAUUUUUGAAAAUUUCCAAACAGGCUGAAACAGGAAAAUGUCUGGGUUUCACAGUGUUAUUUAACAAACACACACUGUCUGCUCAGGGGACCUGCAUCUCCUCAGUCAUGAAUUAAACAUCAUCUCAUGGUGCCCCUUCUUGUAAUGGUGGUAAAAUCCAUGACUUCCACAUGUGGUUUCAGAAUAGAAAUAAUAAUUUUAAAAAAAAAGGAAACCAGCGAAGCUUUCUACAGUUUUAAAUACUAUAGGUGUUAAUUACCAGCUUAUAUCUAGAGUGACAUGAAUACAGAAAGACAAGGCUUAAUGAGGUUUUCAGACCAUUAGAAGGUACCAUUUGAUAAAGGCAAACAAGAAUCCUGCUCUUUUGAUGGACAUAGGUAUCUUCCAUCUAAAGGUGGAAUUUCAGUUAUAAAUCCCAGGAGGGAUACAAUUGAUAUAUUCAUUGUCUAGCAAUUAUGGAGCUUCCUUGUGUCAACCAUCCCUGAAAAAAGACUGCAUAUAACUACACCACUGCAAUGCCCACACCUUUCUUAGGGUAUCUAUAUUUACAACUAUUGCUGUAAGUCUAGAGAAGUGACCUCUUUCUGCAAAGAGCCUCAUUUUUGUUCUACCUAGAAUCAAAGUGCAACUGUUUGUUCAUUUUAAAAAAAGAGAGAAAGAAGGGUGCCUGGGUGACUCAGCUGGUUAAGCAUCCAACUUGAUUUUGGCUCAGGUCAUGAUCUCAUGGUCAUGAGAUCGAGGCCUGCAUCAGCUCCGUGCUGAGCGUGGAGUUUGCUUGCGAUUCUCUCUCUCCCUCUCUCUCUCUGUGCUUCCCUUGCACUCUCUCUCUCUCCUCUCUCUCUCUUUCUCAAAAUAAAUAAAUAAACAUUAAUUUUUUUAUUUAAAAAAGAGAGCAAAACAUAACUACAUCUUUUCAGAAUGUCACAGCCUGAGCAAUCUUUUCAGAGCAAUUCACAAAUUGAAAUUGAAAUGUAUAUCUAGCUCUCUAUAGAUCUGUGCUGAAUUGUAUAAAAUAUGAAUUUUGGAAAUGGGUGUUUUGGAAAUAUGAGUAAAGGAGGGCUUAUAAGAACUCUAAAUAUAACAAAAAUGUGCACUGAAUUAUCUUGAGACUACCUGAUUCACAUAUUUGUCCAUUGUUGCUCUAAGUAUACUUGCUGUUGUCCACUAUUUUUCUUGCUUUGGUUCUAAAAGUUGUGAUGGAAAAGAAUCAAUGACCACUCUGGAGAGAUGUAGAAGAAUUAUGUCUCACAGUUAUUUCAGCUGUACACGUUUCUCUGCUCACAUUCACAUGAGCUUUGAGCUUUCAUCCUAUAAUAUCUAUAGCACCAAGUCACAUUUGAAAGGUUGAAUGGAAGAUACCUCUCUUUCAAAAACCUUAAAUCAUUACUCCUUCAUAUAAUCUGAACCUCUGUUCCUCAGUUUACUCUCUAUCAAAUUACCACGUUAGGCUGUGUGAUAGUUAAGUUUCCUCAUAAUCAUUUUGUGAAACUGAUCUGGAUCAAAGGUACUCUACACUAGCCCUAGUACAGGGAGAAAAAUCUACACAAUAUAGCAAAGAGAACACAAAGUUAGCUGUAUCUCCUUUUCUGGUUGCACUGUCAUGUGAGGAUCUGGUUUUGCCUCUCCAGGACCUGUGACCCAGAGAGAAUGGGCAGAAAAUAAGCGUGAGACCAUACAGAGUUUACAAGGCAGCAGAUAUUUUGAGCUUUUUCAAGAGUUUACAAGACUUAUACAAGUAGAAGCUUAUUCAAAUUAAUGAAAGUUACAUAGGAAUCCAUUGUUCAGGUGUUGUAUAUUCCAGGGAAACAUUGUCUAAGCCUUUGUUUAUCUUCCCUCUCUAUCAAUUUAUGACUAUUCAGUUAUUUGGAAUAUCAUGAUUUCUAAUCCCAACAGGCGUGUAGUAGAAGUGAGAGAUACACUAUAUAUGUUUGUAUCUAUGUCUAUCCUCCUCAUAUGUGAAUAUGUGGAUACUAUAUAUAUAUAUAUAUAUAUAUAUAUAUAUCAUAUAGAUAACUAUUACUCCUGGGUAACAUACCCUGAGGGGAAAUGUUGAAGUACACAUACUUCAUAGUUCCGUCUGGAGCUUUGGGACUUAUCUGAUGGCUUUAUGCCUCUGUACUUUGAUUUCCCAACUUCCUUCUUAUUCAUUGGCUUUGAACAAUUGUGGAGUCUGUUGUGUAAGGUAAAGAGAUAGUUAUUUGAGAAUAGGAUAGGCUGGUUUUUAAAUUAUAGACAAAUAUUUUUCUGCUAAUGAAAUUUGUUUCACUGGGAUUUUAAAUGAAUUUUCUGAACCUACUUGCUUCCUCUUGGAGGAGCUUUGUCAUUAUNGCCAGUCAGAGUGGCCAAAAUGAACAAAUCAGGAGACUAUAGAUGCUGGAGAGGAUGUGGAGAAACGGGAACCCUCUUGCACUGUUGGUGGGAAUGCAAAUUGGUGCAGCCACUCUGGAAAGCAGUGUGGAGGUUCCUCAGAAAAUUAAAAAUAGACCUACCCUAUGACCCAGCAAUAGCACUGCUAGGAAUUUACCCAAGGGAUACAGGAGUACUGAUGCAUAGGGGCACUUGUACCCCAAUGUUUAUAGCAGCACUCUCAACAAUAGCCAAAUUAUGGAAAGAGCCUAAAUGUCCAUCAACUGAUGAAUGGAUAAAGAAAUUGUGGUUUAUAUACACAAUGGAGUACUACAUGGCAAUGAGAAAGAACGAAAUAUGGCCCUUUGUAGCAACGUGGAUGGAACUGGAGAGUGUGAUGCUAAGUGAAAUAAGCCAUACAGAGAAAGACAGAUACCAUAUGUUUUCACUCUUAUGUGGAUCCUGAGAAACUUAACAGAAACCCAUGGAGGAGGGGAAGGAAAAAACAAAAAAGAGGUUAGAGUGGGAGAGAGCCAAAGCAUAAGAGACUCUUAAAAACUGUGAACAAACUGAGGGUUAUGGGGGGUGGGAGGGAGGGGAGGGUGGGUGAUGGGUAUUGAAGAGGGCACCUUUUGGGAUGAGCACUGGGUGUUGUAUGGAAACCAAUUUGACAAUAAAUUUCAUAUAUUGAAAAAAAAUAAAAAAAAAUAAAAUGCAAAAAAAAAAAAAAAAAAGGGCCCUCCUGGAUGGUCAGUAAAUAGGUGAUCAUGUAAAACAAAGAAUGGUUAGAAAGUCCAGAUACAGGCUGUGAAUUUGGCAACUAGAAUUGGGUAAGCCAGGAGAGAGGUUUAGUCUUGGCUGAGUAAAAACUAAACAGGAGUUAAUUAAGGUUUUAGAGAAGUGGAUGGAAACCAUGAUCAAAGAAUUUAUUGGGAUGUGAAUUGGAGUAAGGAGAUACUAAUACCUGUGUUAUUGUAAUGUCAAGAAAGCUAUUAUACUUCACUGAAAAGUGAAUGAUCACAAUGUUGAUGAAAAAUAGAUCUUUAGUAGAUUAUUGAUAAAUGUACAUAAAAAAUCAGCUUGUCCAGUGGUUUCCACAAUCAUCUGGACAGCUUUAUUCAUACUGUGCACAUCUAUGUCUGCCCAUUGUUGUCACUGAAAAUUCUUGAUCUAAGGCAAUAGUUUAUUUUAUACAUGGAGAGACAGUAACUCAGAAAGAUUAAGUGACUCGCUGCAAAUCAAAGUUAUUAUAUAUAAACAUACUGGCAGCAGCAGAAGGACUUCUGCAUUGAAUCAUCCUAGGACAUAUGAGAAUGCCUUUAUUUGGGGAGGGAGGUAUUGUUUUUCUUUCACAGUUAUAGAAUUAGGGACCCAUUUGAUUCUUAUUGUGUCAUUCUUAAAUCUCAGGAGUUCAGCACUCCUUCCUUCUCCUUCCCUUUCAAAGUGUACCCACAUGCUACCCAUGUUUUAUAUCCACAUCACUCAGAAGAUAAAGGUUUUUAACUCUGGUUCUACCUAGGAAACACAGUUCUUCUCAGUAGUGUCUCUUACAGCCUCUGGAAAAGCCAACCAUCUUUUUUUGUUGAACUGAAUUGGUUGCUUUGUUUUCUUUCCUCUAGCUCUGUGAACCAUGUAUAUUUGUCUUCAUAUUUUCUGUUUUGGUUCUUUUUAUAUUUUCAUGAGAAAUCCAGUCGAUAAUUCCUUAUUACCUAUAUUUAGCAGGCCUCAAAUGCUUCCUCCAAACGCAGGCUGGUGGAGCUUUAGCCUCAAGCAAACUUCAGGUGGUUGUGGCCAAAACAUUAAUUCUCAUCCGAGUGAGUUACAAGGUAAACAGACUGUAUUUGGAAUCUUAAAAGCCUUAUUAGAAUAUUGUCUGGGAAUCCAGCUUUGUUCUACUGAGCCUGCAAAAGGACUCCUGAACUGUUACUCUGGUGUUCGUCAAAAUGGAUUGCCAUUCAGCAGGAGGAAGUGCAGGUGUCACACUGAAGAGUUGCAAAGGGAGCCAUUUGGUACCAACAACAAGAGAGGUUUAUUACAAACACUAGUACGUUAUGGUUAAAAACACAUACUGUGAUUUUUUUAAACCCCUUCAGUGUUUGGAUUCCAAUUUUUUUCUUAUGCAUCCAUGAAACUACUUUACAAUCAAGAGUGAACAUAUCCAUCAACCCUAAAAGUUUCCUCAUGGCUGUUUGUAAUUCCUUUCUUCCAGCUCUUUUCCAGACACCCUGCAAAGCAACCCCUGAUCUUUUUUCUGCCUCUCUACAUUAGUUAGCUUUUCCUAGAAUUGUAUAUAAAUGGAAUCACACAGUAUGCAUUCUUUUUAAAAAAAUAUCCUUUGCUGCCUCCUUAGCUAUAACUUUUUUUUUUAGUGUUUGCUUUAGGGUUUAUAGUAACACAUCUUUACCUUCAAAAUAUUUUAUGCUACUUUAGGUAUAGUAUAAAAAUCUUAUAAUUCUUCUAUUUCUCCCCUCCCAUGCUUUAUGCUGUUAUCACACAUUUUACCUAUACAUGUUAUACCCCCACAAUAGAUACUAUUUUUGUUUGAAAAGCCAGUAUCUUUAAAUAGAUGUAAAUAGUAAGAAAAAUAUAUGUUUUUCUGUAUAGUUACUACUUAUAGUUCUCUUUAUUCCCUUGGGUAGAUUCAUAUUUUCAUCUAGUCUUAUUUUCUUUCUGCCUAAAGGACUUCCUUUAACAUUUGUUAGAGUACAGAUCUGCGUUGAUGAAUUGGUAUUUCUAUUUUCCAUUUUUCCUUUUUUGGCAAGCCCUACUUGAACCUCUCCUCUAUUAUGCAUUCAAGGUCAACUGAGCUGGUCUUAGAUGUUUAGUUCCUCAAUAUGUUAUUCCAUAUUUCACCAUCUUUUUCAGAAUAACUUGGUUAUUCAAUUUUCUUUGACUUUUCAUAUGAGUUGUUGAUAUUUACAAAAAAGUUUACUGGAAUUUUUAUUGAGAUUGUAUUAUCACAUCUAUACAUCAAAUGGGAGAGAUAACAUCGUGAUAUUAAGUCUCCCAACCGUUGAGCAAGUAUAGCUCCUUAUUUUAUAGGUUUUCUUUGAUUUCCUUCACUAGUGUUUUGUAGGUUUUUUUUUUAAUACAGAUAUUGUACCUAUUUAGAUUUAUACCUAAGUAAUUCAGUUUGGGGUGCUAUUGUAAAUUGUAUUAUUAUUAUGUUUCAGAUUUCAAUUUAUCAUGCAAUAUAAUAGUACAAUUGACUUUUGUAGGUUGACAUUAUAUUCUGAGACCAUGUAAAACUCAUUUAUUAGUUCUAGGAAUAGUUUGUGAAUCCUUUGGGAUUUUCUGUGUAGACAAUUAUAUUAUCUCUAAGUAAAGAUAUAUUUAUUUCUUCCUUCCCAAUGUAUUACUUUUCUUUUUCUUGCUUUACUGCACUAGAUAAAACUUCCAGUAUGAUGUUAAAUAGGAAUUGUGAGAGAGGACAUCCUUGAUUUGUUGUAGAGCUGAGGAGAAAACAUUUAGUCUCCCACCAUUAAAUAUCAUGGUUUCUGUAGUCUGUCUUUCUUUCUUUCUUUCUUUCUUUCUUUCUUUCUUUCUUUCUUUCUUUCUUUCUUUCUUUCUUUCUUUCUUUUAGUAAAUAUCCUAUAUUGAGUUAAAGGGUUUGCUUGCAGAGCAUUGCAGUUGUUAAUAUAUGAGACUGUGUCACAAAUGAGUGUAUGUUGGACUUUGUUGGAAGAUUUAUCUGCAUGUACUCAUAUGGUCAUAUAGAUUUCUUAUUUAGUCUAAUAAUAAAGUGAAUUUCAGUGAUUGAAUUUUGAAUGUUGAACCAGCCUUGCAUUUCUGGGAUGAAUUCCAUUUGAAUUUGAUGUAUUAUGCUAUCUUUUUAUUGCUGGGUUCUACUUAUUAAUACUUGUUAAGAAUUUUUGUGUCUGUUCAUGGGAGAUAAUGGCGUAUGGUGUUCUUUUGUUGUAAUGCUCUGAUUUUGAUAUCAGAAUAAUGCUGACCUCAUAGCAUGAUUUUAAAACAAUCCCUCUUCUUUCAUUUUCUGGAAGAGAAGAUAUGGGUUAGUUUUAUUUCUUCCUCAAAUGUUGGUAGAUGUUCUGAUUUUGGUAUCAGAAUAAUGCUAACCUCAUAGAAUGAUUUUAAAACAAUCCCUCUUCUUUCAUUUUCUGGAAGAGAAUAUAUGGGUUAGUAUCAUUUCUUCCUCAGAUGUUGGUAGAACACAUCAGUGAAACUAUCUGGGCUUGGAGAAUUUUGUUUUGUUUUGUUUUAGCAUAUUUAAAACUACAAAUUUAAUUCUUUUAAUAGAUAUGCAACUAUUCAGUUAUGUCACUAUCAUGGUAGAUUUGUCUGUUUAUCCUUUUGGAUCCAUCAGUUUUUGCCUCAAGCUCAGUUGUUAGGUGCAUGAUGUAUAAAAUCGUUAUGUAUUCUUGGAGAAUUAGUCCUUCUAUUAUUACAUAAUGUCCUUCUUUAUACCUGACAGUCUUCUUUGUUAUGCCUUGUUUGGAGUUAAUAUAGCCACUUCAACCUUCUGGUUAGUGUUUGUAUAUCGUGAUUUUAAAAAGUGUUGUUUUUGGGGCACCUGGGUGGCUCAGUCUGUUGAGCCACCGACUUUGGCUCAGGUCAUGAUCUCAUGGUUUGUGAGUUCCAGCCCCGCGUCGGGCUUUGUGCUGACAGCUCAGAGCCUGGAGCCUGCUUCGGAUUCUGUCUCCCUCUCUCUCUGCCCCUCCCCGGCUCAUGCUCUGUCUCAGAAAUAAAUAAACAUUAAAAAAAUUUUAGGGGCGCCUGGGUGGCGCAGUCGGUUAAGCGUCCGACUUCAGCCAGGUCAUGAUCUCGUGGUCCGUGAGUUUGAGCCCCGCGUCGGGCUCUGGGCUGAUGGCUCAGAGCCUGGAGCCUGUUUCUGAUUCUGUGUCUCCCUCUCUCUCUGCCCCUCCCCCGUUCAUGCUCUGUCUCUCUCUGUCCCAAAAAUAAAUAAACGUUGAAAAAAAAAAUUUAUAAAAAAAAAAAUUUUUAAAAGUGUUGUUUUGGUAGAAUACAGAUGAGUCUUGUUUUCCACUAUUGUUGUUUUUGUUUCUUUUUUAUCCAAUAUGACAAUCUCUGUCAUUUAACAGGUACAUUUAAAUCACAGACAUUUAAAGUAAUUAUCAGUAUAUUUGCAUUCAAAUUUAUGUGGCUAUCUGUUAUCUAUAUGUUACACUUUUCCAUGUGUCUUGUUUCUGCUUAUUUCAUCUUUUCUGAUUUUAAGUAUUUUUCCUUCAAUUUUAUCUUCUUUAUACACUUAUUAUUUAUACUUAAAAAACCUUGUUAGUGCUUGUGCUAGAAUUUAAAAUAUACUUUUUAAAAUUAUUUGAGUCUAUUUUUGAAUAAUAUGAUACCACUUUACAUGUAGUAACAGUACCUUAUAACAGUACAUUCUCAAUAUCUUGCUCCCAUCUUUAUGCCAGUGUGUCAUGUAUUUCACUUCCAUACACAUUGUAAGUAUGAACGCUCUAUCCAUUUUUGCAGUUAUCACUUUAAAUAGACAGGUCUUUUUUAGGUGGGUUAAAAAUAAGAAAAAUAAAGUUGUAUUUAACCUCAUUUAUUCUAUUUCCAACACUCAAUUCUUCAUGUAGAUCUAAGUUCCUGGCCUUUAUCAUAUCCCUUCUACCUGAAGAGCUUCCUUUAAUGUUUGUCAUAGGAGUGGUCUACUGACAAUUAAUUCUUUCAGAUUUUGUUUGCUGAUAAAGUCUUUAUUGACUGCUUUUGCCAAACAGAGAAUUCUGGGUUGACAGGGCUUUUACUUCUCUUUCAACGCUUUAAAGUUCUCACUCUACUAUUUCUUAUUUGCGUGGUUUCUGAUCAGAAAUCUGCUGUAAUUCUUCUUCAUGUGCCUCUGUAGAUAAAGUAUCUUUUUUCCUCUCUGACUUUAAUUUCCCUUUUUCUUUGGUUUUCUUCGGUUUGAAUAUGAUAUCCCCAGGUUUUGUGUUUGGAGUAUUUAUUAUACUUGAAUUUCUGGUUUUGUGUCACUUGUUUUGGAAAAUUUUCUGCAUUAUUUCUUCAAAUAUUUCACCUACUUUGUUUUUUCUUCAUCUGGCAUUCCAAUUACCCAUAUUAUUCCAUUUGAUAUAAUCCUAUACCUCCUGCAUGCUCUGUUCUUUUUUUUUCUCCACAGUUUACUUGUAUGCUUCAGCUUAUGUAAUUUUUUAAUUUUUUAAAAAUUUAUUUUGACAGCGAAAGAGAGAGAAACAGAGAGAGAGAGACAGAGAGAGUGCAAGUGAGCUAGCAGGGGAGGGGCAGAAAGAGAGAGAGAGAGAGAGAGAAUCCCAAGUGGGCUCCACACUGUCAGCACAGAGCCAGGUGUGGAGCUCCAUCUCAUGAACCAUGAGACUGUCACCAAAAUCAACAGUCAGAUGCUUAACCAACUGAGCCACCUAGGUACCCCUCAGCUUAUGCAAUUUUUAUUGCCUUUCCUUCAAAUUCACUGAUUGCUUUCUCAGCUCUGUCAAAUCUACUAAUGAGUCCAUUGAAGGUCUUCUUUUCUGUUAUAGUAUUUUAUGUUUCUAGCAUUUCCAUUUGAUUCUUUUUCAUAGUUUCUAUAUCUCUGCUGAAAUAACCUGGUUUUGCAUGUUUAUCUUUUCAUUGACCCUUUAACAUGUCUACAUCGGGUUGUGAGGUCUCUUCAGAGUUUGUGUUUAUUAUCUUUUGACAUGUAAUUUUUGGUUGGAGGCUGGAUGUAUUAUGUAGAACAGUAGAUAAUGAGGUAAAUCUAUUUAUAUUAAUCUAUCCAGGGUUGGGCUGUGUUUGAAAUUUGUUGUUCCUCUGGUUCCCAGUGUUGAGGGCUAUUGUUGCUAUGUGUACCACAGACUUUGAACUUCUCUUGUUUACUUGAUUUUGUCUUUCUUCUUGGCUCUUUGUACUCUUACUCAGAGUCUGUCUUGUUCAUCUCUCUUGGCUGAAAUACAUUGCUACUGUUAUGGGAGUUUUGAUAGUGUGGGAUGUAGGGAAGGAAACCAGUCUUAAUGUCUGAUUAAAUGUGAAUGUUUGGUAUCUGCAGUGGGUCUGUUUUUUAGGGUAUGACCUUUAUAAGUGAUUGUGACCCUCGUCCAAGAAUGGAGCUUCUUCCUUCUUCUAUUUCCUGCUCUCAGACAUCCUCCAGUGUUUCCAGUCUAUGCAUCAGAUGUAUUCCACCCUAUAAAUUAAGUGCUCUUUUUCUUUUUUUUUUUUUCUUUUUCUUUUUUUAAGUGAGACAGGGCAGCUGAGGAUAGAAGGAGUUUCCUUCUUUCAGCUGCAGUGCUUCAGUCUGGCAGUAUAUACCUCUGAAGAUUGAAUCUUUUGUUCCAUCAGGGAGAUGGGUCUGGGAGGAUUCAGCAGUGGCUAUUUUCUCUCCUCCAGAAAGCACCAUGGGAAAGCUUUCUCCAUAUUCUCCCUGAUUUUCCUUGUGAGAGCCUGGUGGGGUUUCUCAGGGAAAGCUUGCGGUAUUGUGGCACCACCCCUAUGAUUGUGAUCCCCAGGGGUUCUAUAUUUUUGCACUAGUCACUCUUAGCUUCCAAAAAGUCAUUAAUCAAAAUCUCUAGUUUAAUGUUUUUACCAGCUUAUAUGGCUUCCAGUGGCUUCUACCCUAAGCAAGCAAAUGCUUGGGUACCAUUUCUCACUAGAGGUACCUUUUCCUCUAGGUUUCACCGUCUGUUCUAGGAUCUUUCUAGGAUCACCAUGUAUUCUGAGACCUUGUUUUCUGAUGGGUUCAUGAAACUUUAUUAAGUAAGUAUCUGUCCAGCUUGUUCUUUCUUAAGGAUGGGAGCUUCUUUUUCUUCACUCUUUACAUGUCUAAGCUAAAAAUCAGAUGUCCACCUACAUUCAUGAUAUUGGAAGGUUUUUGUUUUUUUAAAAUAUGUAUUUAUUUUUGAGAGAGAGAGAGAGAGAGAGAGAGAGAGAGAGAGAGAGAGCAUGAGCGGGUGAAGAGCAGAGAGAGAGGGAGACACAGAAUCCAAAGCAGGCUCUGGGCUCCCGAGCUGUCAGCACAGAGCCUGAGGUGGGGCUGGGACUCAGAAACCUUGAGAUCAUGACCUGAACUGAAGUCAGACUCUCAACAGACUGAGCCACCCAGGCGCCCCAAUAAUUGAAAUUUUAAAAUAUUUUCCAUCUUCUAGUUAUACAAGUGUGCAUUAGUUUUCUUUGUUUUCUUUGUUGUUCUGUAUAGGUUUUGUUGGAAGGUAUGUGGACAUAUUUGAAUUAAGAAGUCAUCAUUCACUCACAGACCUUUUUCCAAUCCUGAAAAACAGUUCUGGCUGAUAGCAUACUUCUCUAUAGGUUUUGAUUUACCAGAAUUAGAAUGAUUCUCUCUGGAAUUUUAUGGUAUAGGCUCUCUGCUUCAUCUAGAUUCAUUCUAAUUUGACUUUCCCUCCCAAAGAGAGCUAACUUUAAUUACAUAGAAUAUUGUGAAUCUGAUCUGACUAUAACAGAACUCUAUAAGAUGGGUCCAUCUUGGGGCACAUACAUCAAAUUUCCAUGGUUAAAAUUUAACUUGAAUUGGCAUUAAUGAUUAUUACUACUGCCUUUUAUAAGCUUUUGUGAUGAUUGUCUCAUAAGCUCUAGUCAUAGUAAGAAUUUCUCAUUUUUGAAAGUGACCUUUUCAGCUAACUUUGCAAUUUUGCUCUUAAUUAUAUUAAAUAUCUUAAUGUUUUGAGUGUGGCAUUCUUUUUUUUUUUUAAAGUUUACUUAUUUAUUUUGAGAUAAAGAGAGUUCCUGUGCUGAAGGGACAGAGAGAAAGGGGGAAGGAGAGAAUCCAAAGCAGUCUCUGUACUUUUAGGGGCCUGAACCCAUGAAACUAAGCUGAAAUCAAGAUUCAGUCAUCUAACUGACUGAGCCACCCAGGCAACCCUUGGCUAUGGAUUCUUGAUUGUCAAGAUUACUUUAUAUGAUUUCAAUUACACAAGGUAUUAACUAACUAUCAUCUACAAAGUUGCUAAACAUUCCAUCAACCUCUUUAUCACAAUUAUUGAGAAAAAUCUAUAAAAUGAUAUCAAGACAGAACCACAGAAAUUUCCAUCCAGGUUGGCAUUAAUCAAUGCUCUGUGCAUUAGUUAUUUACCUAUCUGUGAACCUAUAUAAUUAAUUCUGAUAUGAGUUCAAUCCCAACGUUGUAUCUGCAAUAUCUCAUUAAGGCUGCUGGAUGUUUCUUUGCUAUAGUGAAAAAAAAAUUACCUCUAUGCUUUCAGAAUCCUAGGAUUUAUUCUUACCAAAUCCCUUGAUUUCCACUGAUUACAAUACUAUUUUUAAAUUUCUUAUAUUUUCAAUAAUCUCUUAUGGAAAUUUAGCCAAGUGUAAAUUAGUGAUCUCUAAUCUCUAGAAUCUACACUUCCUUCCCUCCUUCCCUCUCUUACUUCAUUAUUCUUUCUUUUAAUUAAAUAUCUACCAAACUUUGGACUAUUGACAACUUUGCUAUUAUCUAAGUAGUUAGCAAGAGUUCUGAGAUGACAUCUUCAUGACUUAUUAGGACUAUAAAUGGAAAUUUGUCUCUGCUUUUGUAGUACCUAGAUAUAUUCUUGGUAAUUAGAAAUUUGUUAGUAUUAACGCACCUUGAGUUGUAAUAUUUUCUUAAAUUAUUACAUAAUUUUUAACUUGAAAAUUAAUUUAUUUGAUGAAAUAUAUGGAAGAAUUAAACUUUUCUUAUUUUCUCAGGAUACCUUUGUUAAAAAUAAGGAACAUUUAAAAAGAAUUUAUUUGAAUUUCUAAAUGCCCUUUAGAUUUGCAAAGGCAAAAACUGAAAGGGUCCAACUCUUCCUAUAGCUCAGAAUUUUUCUCUAUGUUACAGAACUACAACAAUUAAGCCCAUAAAGAAAAUAUUGUGGAGGAUUGAUCUGAAGUUGUACAAAUUGAGUAAUAAUCAAAAUUGGUAGUCACUACAUAUAUCCCCACAGCUCUGCUACUAAACUUAAUUGGUAUAGUCCAAUAGCAGAUUCACAGAAAUCUUCAUUCCAAAAUACAAUUUAAAAUGAAAAUUAUCAUGUUUAAAAUGGCAUCUUUAGUGGAGAAUAUUUAACCACAGUAUCAAAAAUUGUGAUCAUGGCUCAUACCCCCAGUUUGUCUAGGGAAGUAUAGAUAAUAUAGUAAUGAUAAGUCCAUGAAUAUAAAGCAUAGGAGAAUUAAGACUAUGUGUUGAAUGUACCUUUUUAUUUAUGAAUGAUCCAAUGAACAUGCAAUGCAAUGUAAGAAAUCCAAUAGACAUUUGAGUUAUGAGUGCUUAGGCAAUUUGAAUCUUAUGUUCAGAUUAUAUACAUUUAAAUAUUGACCUUGAAACAUAACUGUAUAUAGCUUUGCUCACUAAAAUUAUUAUAUAUGUUUAACAUUAUACAUACAUAUAUAUAUAUAUAUAUAUAUAUAUUCUUAUGAAUGUAUUCUAUGAAGAAAGGGAGCAAAGAAAAAACCCUCUUAAAAUAAAAAGAACUAAUACUGAGCUCAUUUAUGAUGCUACGUUUAGGCUUUGGCUAUGUUGUCUUUAUGUUCUUUCCUUUCCUUCCUUCUUUCCUUUCUUCCUUCUUUUGUUUCUGAGUGGUUAUGCCCCAUAUAUUCUGACUAUAAACUUCCUAGCAGCCUGAACAGUCUAUGCCUGUGUUAGGUGGAAAGUUUACCUUUGAGAUUCACAUCUUCAGGGCAACACGAAGCCCUCACUUUGUUGUGUUUGAGACUGUUGAACUUCUUACUCUUAACCUCACAUCUACCAUAUCAUGUAUCUCUGUGUUUUCCUUUUGCCCCUUUGAUUCAUUUUUUGUUUAUAUGUGUUCCUUUUCCUUCAUACAGUCUCACAUGUUGUAAAAUCUAAAGUUCUCUUUGUGUCCCUCAUCUUAAAUUCAGUCUUCAUAGGCCCACUGGGUGACCUCAUCCAUUCUCAAUGUCCCAGAAUGAUAGAUGAAUUACUAGCUCACUAGCUUAGAUAGGUAUUCUGGUUUCAGAUCAAUAUUUUCAAAUGCCUUCUGAAUGCCCUCCACUAUAUAUGCCCCAAACUCAUCCAUUCCCUUACUCAUAUAUUUAAAAAAGAAUAAUUGAGUUGUACUCUGUGCUGGAAUUAAGUGCUUGAUACUUCAGUUUACAAAUAAACAAAGGUCUUUGCCCUCAAAAAAGUUAUAUUGUGUGUGUGUGUGUGUGUGUGCGUGCGGCGUGUGUGUGUGUGUGCGCGCGCGCAUGUGACAGAGAGAAAGAGAAACUAAUUCACAAAAUAAACAUUAUGCUAUGGUGGUUAAUGUACACCCUAGGGUAAGGUAAUGGGGAGUGCCUGGGAAAAGUGUGGGACUUACAGUUUGACAUAGACAUAUCAGGGUAGGCUUUAUUUUGAAGGUUUAUUCCAGCAAAAUGCUGAAGGAGAGGUAGGAGUUAGGUAUUCCACAUCAUGGGGAGAAGCAUUCAAGUUAGAGGAAAUACUAUGCAAAAGCUUUAUUGCAGGUGUAAGCCUAUGCAUUCUAGGACAGGAAGGCAGGAAGGAGAAUGGUGCUCUUCAGAACAGUGUGAAUAAGGAGAUGAGAAGUCAGAAAGGCAAUAGAGGCCACAUCCUGCAAGUCCACAUAAGCUGUUAUAAAUACUUUGGCUGGUAUUAUAAAUGAAAGGAGGAAGUCAUUGCAUUGUUCUCAGCAAGGGAGUCACUACUCCAGCUGCUGUGUCUUUUUUACCACAAAAAGACUUAAUAAUUCAACUUAAAUAAGUAAUUCAACUUAAAUAAUUAAAUAAAACAAAUAAUUCAUUUCAUUUACUUAGUCCUCCAACUCAACCCUACUUUACUUUCUUAUGAAAUUCCCCCUGUCUCCCAGGCCAAAAAUACUAGAAGUUUAUUUCUUGCUUAUAUAUAAUCAAUGAAGGUAUUCUCAUCAGCAGGUGACUCUGUCUUCAUUGAUUCAAGGACCAAGGUUUUUGCAUAUUAGGGUUAUUCCAUCCCUUAAGGUCUCAGUCAGCAAAAGGAGGAAGGCAUGCAGGAGCCCUCUCCUCUAGAGAUAGCAUGCAUCACUUCUGUCAUAUGCCAUUAAUAAGAACUCAAGGGUAUGUUCCCACUUAAAUGUAACAGAGGCUGGGAAAUGCAGUCUAGCUGGAUACCCAGAGAAAAAAGAUCUGAAUCAACAGCUAAACAUUCUUUUCCUCAUCAAAUAAUUAUUAAAUUGAUUGAUUCUACCAAUUAAAUACCUCCCAAAAGUAUGUUACUUUUAUCUCUGCCAAAACUUUUCUACUUUAUUCAAGUUUUAUCCUCUCUACCUGAAUUUAUUGAAAAAUCUACUAACUGUUCUCUAAGGUUUCAGGAUCUUCUACAGAUGUCCUGUUUCUAAUAUGCAAAUUUGGUCAUUUUCACACUUCUUCAGGAACUCUCCAUAACUACUUACCCUGGUACUCAUGACCUUUUUGGAUCAGAUUUCAAGACUGGUCUGCUCUCGUAUUCUGCUGUACUGAGGCUAUGUGUUUCUAUCGUGCCAUGUUAUCUGCUAUUCCCCCAAAUCAUCUGUGUCCUGUCACAUGCUCUGAGUGCCUAAGUCACACUGCACCAUAUGCACAUGGCAAAUUCCAACUUUUAAAGCAGCUGAUCUGUCCUCUGCAAAACCACCUCUGAUCUUAUGAGAAAACCCCAGGAAAUGAGCAAUGUACUUGAUGCCUCACACCUACUUAGUUAUGACCUGGGACAUAGACCAUGGCUCUGGAAAACAGGCAUAUAUUAUAGUUUUUACAACAGAAUUGAUUAUUAAAUCAAUAUCUCAUUUCCUUUUCUUUCCCCUUUCUCUUUCUCUCUUUUCUUUCUUUCUUUUUCUCUCUCUCUCUCCUGUUAUUUCUUUCUUCUGAUAGUGUUUUACAGUGUUUGGGCUAGAGUACCUCAUAUUUUCAAUGUGUGAUUUGAAUAAAAUAACGUCCAAGAUUUCUUUUAGCACUAGAAAUGAUGGAUUCUAAAGGUCAUGAACAUGAGGCCUCAUCUUUUAUAGAACCUGCCUUAUGAUUCCUGGAUUGAAUUUGUGAGGGCAGUGUUCCCUACAGACCCCAGAAUAUUCUCCAGAAACCACUAUCUAUGCACAACACAUUUGUUGGACACAAACCAUCUGAUCAAUAUUAGAUAUCCGGGGGGUAAGGAAUUCAGAUGCUAUUUAAACAGCAAGACCUUUUCAGGUCAAACUAAGAUGUCUAUUCCUAUCUCAUUCUCUAAUCCAUCUGAAAAGUAUUUGGAAAUUAAGCAGGUGCAUAACAUGUGAGUUUUCUUUAAGAUGGAAUUUACUACCUCUCUUGGUUCAGACUGCCAACAGCAUUACUUUCAAUUAAUUUAACAUUAGAUAGACAUGAAGAAACAUUUCUCAUCUCUUCAGGAGACUGUACAAGAUAAUUGGGGACAGAUUACUCUUUUAUUCUAAACUGGUAAUAUUUUUCAUGUCUUGCAUCAGUAUUUUUCUUAUAUCAAAUGAAGGGCAGAAGUGUGUGCGCCUGCACCUCUGUUAUCUAACCUUGAUGUGUCUCCAGAAGUGGUUGAAAGCAUAUUAUCAGUGUCUUCAUCUUACUUUCCCCCCAUUAAAUAACAGUUAUUAAAUCAUGUUUAAAAUCAAUUAUUUUUAAAUUACAUUUACAUUAGAAUGAUUCUUUUGUGAGAGCAGAGAAUUUCAUAUCAUAAACACAAUAACUAGCACAUACUGGUCAAUAAAUACUUGUUAACUGUGUUCUACCCCUUUAGUGGGAUAAGACAAAACCCACUAAAAUAAGAAAAAAAAAAAAACUAACAAAAACAAUAAAACAGUUUUAACUACAAAAUAUGAUCAAUUUUUAAAUAUUUUUUAUAACCAGUUUUUGGAAAUUUUAAUUCAUAUUUUCUCCUCCAUUAAAGAGAUUGUCUCAAGAAUAAAAAAUAGCUUUGUUAUAAAAUAAUAUCUAACCUAUAAUGAAUAUUCAUGAGUGAGGGAUAUUGACUUCAUAAGCAUGGGAUAAACUGCCACAGAUUCAAGGUUUAGUUUCAUUAUGUUGAUACCAGAAACAUACAACUAUAAGACACACUAUUUAUACUCUCUCAAUAUUAAAAACUUCAAAUUUACUUCUGGGAUAAAUUAUCUUUUUUCUUUAUUAAAAAACCCCUUUUGAGGUUUUAAAUGUCAUUAAUAUGUUCAUGGAACUAUACUUACAUGUUGAACCGUGUGUUUAUAAUCUCCACCUGAGUUUUUUGCAGGUAUAUUAAAGGUAAAGUUAAAACUGAAUUUCUUAGGUUGCUUGCACAUGUUGGUUAUUGUGAAUAAUUCUGUGAUGAACAUGAGUGUACAAAUCUCUUCAAGAUCCUGAUUUCAAUUCUUUUCGUUAAAUACCCAGAAGCAGAAUUGCUGGAUCAUAUGGUAAUUCUGUUUUUAAUUUUUUGAGGAACCUCCAUACUGAUUUUCACAGUGGCUCCAUGAUUUUAUAUUCCCAUUGACAGAGUACAGGAUUUCAUUUUCUCCACAUCCUCAUCAGUGCUUAUUAUGUUUUGUUUUCCUCCUUAUAAUUGCCAUCCUAGCAAGUGUGAGGUAAUAUCUCAAUGUGGUUUGAUUUGCAUUUUCCUGAUGAUUAGUGUUGUUGAAUAUUUUUCAUUUACCUGUUGGUCAUUUCUAUGUCUUCUUUGGACAAAUGUCUAUUCAAAAUGUGGUGUAUAAGGGGCACCUGGGUGGCUCAGUUGGUUAAGUGUCCAAUUCUUCAUUUCACCUCAGGUCAUGAUCUCACACUUUGUGAGAUCGAGCCCCAUGUGGGGCUGUGCUCUGGCAGCGUGGUACCUGCUUGGGAUUCUCUGUCUCCCUCUCUCUCUGCCCCUCCCCCACUUGUGUGCUCUCUCAAGCUCUCUCUCUGUCUCUCAAAAUAAAUAAAUAAAUAUUUUUUUUAAAGAAGUGGUAUAUAGGGGCGCCUGGGUGGCGCAGUCGGUUAAGCGUCCGACUUCAGCCAGGUCACGAUCUCGCGGUCCGUGAGUUCGAGCCCCGCGUCAGGCUCUGGGCUGAUGGCUCAGAGCCUGGAGCCUGUUUCCGAUUCUGUGUCUCCCUCUCUCUCUGCCCCUCCCCCGUUCACGCUCUGUCUCUCUCUGUCCCAAAAAUAAAUAAACGUUGAAGGAAAAAAAAAAUUAAAAAAAAAAAAAAAAGAAGUGGUAUAUAAAUACAGUGGAAUAUUGUUCAGCCUUAAAAAAGAAAGAAGUUUCUCCAUAUACAGCAACAUGUAUGAGCCUUGAGCAUAUUAUACUAAAUAAAGUAAACCAGUCACAGAAAGACAAUUACUGCAUGAUUCCAUUUACACAAGGAAUCUAAAAUAGUCUAAUUCAUAGAAGCAGAGGGUAGGAUCAUGAUUGAUAAGGCACAGAGUGGGGAAUUGGGAGUUGUUCAGCAAGUGUAAAAUUUCAGUUACACAAGAUGAGUAAAUCUUAGAGAUCUGCAGCACAACAUUUUGCCUAUAAUUAAUAAUGCUUUACUGCACAAUAUAUAGGUGGGUAGAUUGCAUGUCAAGUGUUCUUAGCAAAUUUAAAAAAAAACUAAAUUCCUUAGUUCUUUCUCUAGUCAUUCACUUCUGAGGAAAUUGCUUUAUUAGUUAAAGUAUUGCUAAAGCAUAACAAAACAAAAGAAAGCAAAAGGCAAACAAAACAAAAAUAUCAAAUUGCCUUGACCAUCCCCUGUUUCUCACCCUCACAUUCAGUCCCUGACCUAUUAAUUUCAGCUCCAGAUUUACCUAGGAUACACCCACAGUUUUACAUCACCACUUUUAUGACAUUGGACCAACCUACCACUUUUGAAUUUCUAGACUACCUCAAAAUCUUCUAACAAAAUUUUCAUUUCACUGUUGUCUUCUCUAAUAUAUUCUCUAGAGAAUAUCCAAAGCAUUCUUUUUUAACCUGAAAGAUAACAUAUACUGUCCCGUUGCUUAAAGUCCACUGUGGCUUCUCAGUCCACUUACAGUAAAAUUAAAAUUUCCCACCAUGGCAACUGGUCUGUGCUCUGGCCUGGCUGGCCUCUGGCCUCUGCUCACUUCUCUCUUAAGUCACCACAAUUUGACCUACUUUCAUAUCUUCACAAAGCUGAGUUCUUUUGUUCUUUGUUCAGGCUGUUCUGUGUGUCUGGGCUACCCUUAUGCUGACUUCUGUCAAUACCAUCUAUCACCUUCCCAGGCUCUAGUUCUCUGAUUUAAUGCUGAGUUUUUAGAAAGAGCUUCUGUGAUCAACCUAACUAUAUUAAUGUCCAUAACCCACUAGUCCUUCCCCCACCCAGUCUGUUUUUUUAUCUUAACACUACAGUUAACUAUAACUUCAGGAGAAGCUUUAUCAUUUCAUAUGAUUAGACGCAGUAGUUGAUUAGAUAAUUGAAAUCACAACAAAAAGAUAGUUCAAGACUAAAAUUGAUAAAAGAGUAUGUCUAUAAAUUAACAUUUUAUUUAACUUAAAACAUAGAUACGUGCUUUCUUUUAUUGAUCUUUUUACAUAGGGUCAAGGACUUAAGUAUGUUGUUGAAUGAUUGGAGUUAUUCUAGAUCUUUCUUGCAUUAGUAUAACCCAUACUUCUUUGGCUAUGAUUUCUAGUUUCAACUGCAUAAUUUAGAUCAAAUGAGACAUCUAAAGACACCUAAAGACACGUGUGAAAACAACCAGAAUGUUUCUAGAUUUUGAUAUUUCUUUUUUAAUUGUAGAUGUGUCUCCCACACUUUAUUUGGCAGGGUUUUGUUUUAUUUUGCUUUUGAUUGUUUUGUUUUUGGUGAAUUGUUUGUAUUGUUUUUCCAAAUAUUUUACUCAUUUUUUUUUUUUUUUUUACAUAGUAGUAACACAAGGACUCGGACUCCUUCCAUCCUGUCCUUUGCCUUCCUCAAAUGACAUAUUUAUAUUGCUCAGACCUGGAAAUAGCACAGAUUACCUUUACUCACAUUCUAUUGGCUAGUCCUCACAUGAUCACAGUUAACUGUGAGAGAGGCAGGAAAUGUAGUUUAAAUGUGUGCUCAGGAAGAAGAGGAAAUGGGUUUGGUUUGCAGCUAGCCAGUCUUGGCAAAACUCUCCUUUAAGUCCACUUUAAUAUUGUUACACAACAUGGCCCUAUUUAAUAUAGUAAAUUAAAAAAAGGAGAUGACUAAAUUUUGUAAGUAUUAUUUGUUUUUGAAUGGUCCAUAUAAUAGUUUGUUUAUUCUACUUAUCCAAAUCUCCUAACAGAAUUUGCCUGAAAAUGCAAGUCAGUAGGAGACAUUGUAUCUUAUUAAUAAUAUCCCCCUUUAGAAAUUACUCAGCACUUAGGCAGACAGGAUCAGGAAAAAAAUGAGGUCAUAAGGACCAUAAUAUAAGUUGGCAUUAUAAGUAGGAUAAUGUUAUAGACAUUGAAAUAUUAAAAUAGUCUCUACUGUUUCCUGGCCUACCCAGUCAGUUCUUUUGGCUCUCACUUACCUACUUAGGUGUCAGCAAAAUAUCCACGAGAUUGAAAGUAAUAAAAGGUACUGGUGGCUGUAUCAGGAUUGCUUCGUUGGUCAGGAAUAGCUUCCACACAGAUGGAUUGAGCCUGUAUAGAACUCCUUAGAGGUACUGAAAAUACCACCUCACUAAAUAUAUCCCAUUAGUUAUCAACAGCUGUAAUUCCAAAAGCCCACUAUUGAAGAGACUUUACUGGGGUGCCUGGGUGGCUCAGUUGGCUAAACAUCUGAUUCUUGAUUUUGGCUCAGGUCAUGAUCUCACUGUUCACGAGAUUGAGCCCCACGUCUGGCUCUGCACUUACAGUGCAAAGCCUGCUUGGGAUUCUCUCUCCCUUUCUCUCUGUCCCUCCCCUGCUUGAACUUGCUCUCUCUCUCAAAAUAAAUAAGCAUUUUAAAGUAAGUAAGCAAGUUAGUAAGAAAAUAAGUAAAAAUAAAGAGAAUUUGCUGGAUUAAUCAUUAUCUUCACAGGACUCCUAACAAAAUAUUAGUAUCCUAACUGAAAGAGUAACAAAUUAUUGUUAUUCAUACAUAAUGAAUGAAUGUAUUAAAUUACCUAACUCUAUGCAAACGGCAGAAGGUAUGCGAUAUAGGACAGGUGAAAUUUUAAUGGCAAAGGUUGGGGAGAAUAGAAAACUCUGGAUAUAGGUACUAAAUUAAAUGCUUUUGGCAGGUAGGGGGCAGGCCUAAUGGCAUUAGGGGAGUGGAAAGGUAACACUAACUUAUAAACAUAUAUUUGUCCCUAGACAUAGUAUGCAUUUCUUGUACAGUGUCUGCCUGCUGCGAGUAUUACUCUACUAGUUCUGUAAAGAGCAUUUAUAAAGUCUUUUAUAUUAUUCAGUUGCCACUUCCAUAUAAUAUAAAAUGAUAUCUUCUGCUAUCUGAAGCCAACACCAAAUAUUAGACCAAUCAUAAGUAAAUUGAAAAUCAAAAUAGAGUGUUGUAACAGCGUUGAGUUAUGAUAUGAUUGAUAUAAAAACAACUAUACAGAUUUAAUGUAUAUAGUUUGGUGAAUAUGGAGAUUAUAUGUAUAUAUUUCUCCAUGAAACUAUCACUCAAAGUCAAAGUAACAGACAUAUCCAUCAUCUCCAAAUUUUUCUUGCAUUCUUUUGGGUGUUGUUUUUUGGUUUUAUUUUUUUAAUUUUUUUUGUUUAUUUAUUUUGAGAGAGAGCAUGUGAGCAAGUGGGGAAGGGCAUAGAGAGAAUCUCAAACAGGCUCUGCACUCUCAGUGCAGAGCCCGACACAAGGCUCAAUCUUAUGAUCCACUGUGAGUGCAGAGCCCAAUGUGGGACUGGAACUCAGGAACAUUGAGAUUAUGACCUGAGCCAAAAUCAGUAGUUGGACACUUAACCAACUGAGCCACCCAGGUGCUCCUGUUGUGAGAACUAUUAACAUGAGAUCUACCCUCCUCACAAAAUUUUAAGUGCACAAAACAAUAUUGUUGACUAUAGGCAGUAUGCUGUAUAGCAGAUCUCUAGAUCCUAUUCUCUGCUUCUAUGAGUUUGACUGUUUUUAAGUACCUCUUAUAAGUGAAAUCAUACAGUAUUUUGUGUUUGGUUUAUUUCACUUAGCAUAAAUGCCACACAGCAAUAAAAACAUCAUCUGUUGGCAGAUACAAAGAUGGUUAAACCUUAAAAAAUAUAUAUUGAGUAAAAUAACCCAGACACAAAGGAGUACAUAGCCAUUGAUAGAAAAAUCCAAGUACAAACAAAAUUGCCCAUGGUGAUAGAAGUCAGCAUAGUGGUUGUAUUGGAGUUGGUCAAAUAACCAGAAAGGUGCACAAGAGGAUUUUCUGGAGUGAUAAUAAUAUUCUAUAUCUUUAUCUGGAAAAUGGUUACAUGUUUGGUGCAUUAGUCAAAGAUCAUAGAACUAUCCACUCAUGUUUUGGGCAUUUUCAUGCACAUAAAUUGUACUAAGUACUGGUAGACUAAAAAACAUUGUGUCACUUCUACAUAACAGUAUUAUUUUUUGGUAUCUUUUAAAGAUCUUUAAGAUGCCAAAAAAUAAUAAUUUCUCAAUAUGAAACAGAGAAAUCGAAACUUCAUCUGAAUCAUUUUCUAUAUGGCACUUUUUUCUAAUAGCUCCCCAGAGAGAAUGAAAGAAGAAAAUGUAGAGUGAGAAUAUUUUCAUUUCCUUUUAAAUCUGUGAGUGUAACCAAAAUCUAAAUUGAAACACCAAAGACAUGAAAAAGAAAAUUAAUAACAGUAGAGAAUUCAGAAGUACUGGUGAAUUUGAAGCAGGUGCUCCUAUAAAUAGUCACCCAUGGUUGAUGUGAAUUUAGCACCUUGCAUGUGAUUCUGGAAAAUAUGUAUACAUCUGGCUUGCUGCUAUUGGGCAUGAGUUAUAAAAUUUUUGUUCAGAUAUAUAAAUCAAUGCACUUAAAUCCAAAAGAUUAACAGUAAGAGCUCAGAGCUCACAUUGGCCCCUUGGCUCUCUCUUCUGAUGAACUAAAGUGGAAGGUUUGACUUAGCUUUCAGAGAACUUUAAAAGUCUUAGAUGUAAUAGACUUAAAUAAGUCUCUUAGCAUUUUGUCAAGUUCAGGAAAGUCAGCCAAGUUAAACUCAGAGGUAUGUCUGGGACUGAUGCAGUUUUCCCCCAGAUAGUUGUAGGGAUUGUGCACAUAAAUUAAUGAAUUAAUCAUGACAAUGUCACAACACAGACUUCUAAUAGCUCUCCAGUUGCAUAGUUCCAAAACUAUUCAUUUAAAGUUUUCAGAAACAAAAAUUAUGGCCAAAGAAAUUGUAAAAGCUUAGUAAAAUGUUACAUGGUCCUGUUUAAUAGUUCUGAUUAAAUAAAAAACAGAGGCAAAAUAAACCAAUACAAAUAUUCUAAAUUAACAGUUACAGAAAAAUAUGUAUUCAUUGGAGGACUACUUGAUGGGUUAGAAAGCGCUGAGUGAUCAUAUCCAGAAGUUGCCUGUUAAUGAAUAGAUAUCAAUCUGGAAGGGAUUUUUCAAGAUAAUCUACAAGCAUUAAACCUUGGUCCUCUUUUGAACUAUUUAGAAUUUGGGCAGAUAUUCUAGAUACCAGUACCAUUAAAUGUAUGUGUCAAUGCUAGGAUUUAAGUCACUUUCUGUCACAACACUGCUACAUAAAAAAGUGUUCCUUUAUUAGAUAUCUAUUGCUGUAUAAACAAACUUAAAAAUUGUGGUCACUGAAAACCACUAUAUACAUACACACACACACAUAUAUAGACAUAUGUAUACACACACAUAUAUGUAUACAUACAUAUAUGUGUGUAUACAUAUGUCUAUAUAUAUGUGUAUAUUUUUUUCUUUUUUCUUUUUCUUUCUUUUUUUUUUGCUUAUGAUACUGUGGGUCAGCAAUUUGAGCUGGGCUUAGAUGGACAGUUUUUCUUCUGACCUCUCCUAGGGAGAAUGGGCCUCAACUGGACAACUCCAGUUGGCUAGCCUGAGCUUACUCACAUGGCAACAGCAUGUUCAAAGAGAGAAAAGGGAAGUGGCAAGUCCCCUUGAGGCCCAUAGUCAGAAAUCACACAGUGUGUCUUCUACUUCUAUUCUGUUGUUUAAACAAGUCAUUAGGCCAGCCCAGAUUUAAGGGGUAAGGAAAUAGAUUCCACCUGUCAAAGGGAAACACUAGAAAUAAUUUGUGGUUGUUUUAAAUUUAGCAUAGUUCUCUCCUUGGGCAUAAUUAUUUAGAUUCCUCUGAUGAAAAAUACACUUACCACCUCCUAGCCACCAAAAGUAGUAGUGUAUGAAAACCAACUCUCUAAAGGUGAAAGAAAGAACCCUAAUCUGGAGCAUUUGCUCACUUCUGUGUUAUAAAUACUAUGAGCAUGCAUAAUUUCAAGAUACAGUAUUUCUAUAUCACUGAGUGUGAGCUGGCAAAAGAUGCACACAGCUCUCACAAGCUGGUAUGAAGUGGCCCAGGCACAUCACUGCCUGAAAGUCUCAACCAAUUAUGGCAUUAGACCCAAAUACAAUAUAUCCGAAUCUUUAUCAAGUCCAGAUAGAGAUGGGGCUUCUUGAGUGUGGUUUCUCUUGAUCCAUAGGCCUGUAAAAACAUACAUUAUCUGCUUCCCAUGUUCCCAAUGCAUAAUUUUGAGAUAGUGACAAGACAACUGUGUAAAAAGGAGAAGAAUAAACAUCACAUAAUAGACACUGGUGCACAGCAGUUUUUAUACAGUGCGUAUUUUCUGGUUUCCCUACCCUGGGAGCUGGCAGUAGUCCUUGGUUAGAGCCCUGAUCUGUUCCAUGACAGUAACUCUCUAGUCCAUUGCUGUCCUUAGGUCUUGACAUUACUCUUUAAGUAUUUGGCUUUUCUCCGUAGGAUUUUUGCUUUCCCUCUGAGAUGUCUUUUUUUUUUUUUCCUAUAAGAAAUGCUGCCUUUUUCCCGAAGAGAAGUUUUCUCAUCCUGGUUCUUACUUAGUAAAAUUGGGAGCCUAGGGGUAUGUUUUCAUUUUUCACUGUCUGUGCCACUUAUAGAUCAAGGUGCUGAAUAUCUCAUGUAAUGUACUGAAUGCUGUACUGAAAGUGAAAAACAGGAUGGGUGGAUGGGUACAGAAUGGUUGUAAGUGUAUCAGUUGUUUACAGUUGUAAUCACGUGGCUGAUUGGGAGCUAUGGCAGCCACUGCCCCACAUCACGAGAGUACCUACCAUACCUCACCAGCCAGGGAAGAAAUCAAAACUGAAAGUUCAAAGUAUGGUUUCUAUUCAGUAUGUAUCAUAUUCAUAUCAUAUUAAAGUCAAAAAAUUGAAAGUCAGGGACUGUGUGUAGUGUGAUUUGGUAUUUCUUAUAGUGACUCCUUUUUCCUGCUCAUUCUGUGAUUUGAAUCCUUGGUCUUGCAAAUAGAGUUCUAAUAUUCACCCCCAUAGCCUGGAUAGGAGCUGGCAUUUCUGAAAUGUACACAUUUAAAGAAUGUAUUUACUCCAAGCCACUAAAAUUGCAUUUGAAGAGAAUAUUUCGAGAUUAGAUAACUCACUAGUUUUUGUUCAGAUCCAAGGAACAAUAAGGAGACCACAAGAUUUAUAAACACACAUUUGACUUACAAACAUACAAACACACUCUGCUCCAAGUGAGGGAACAGAGACAGGCUCACAGUAAACCAUAUGCAUAACAAAAAGAAAGAAAUGCCUUCCAAACCCAACCAACUUUUUGGCAGUCUGAAAAGUCUUGUCUACCAAGGCCCGUGGGGAAAAAUGAAUGCUUCCUAGGCCUCCUUUAAUGGGUCAGGGAGUUGAAUGCCCAGCUGAAAGAGGAAGAUAGUGAGCCAUUUGUCAAGGAAGGGAUAUUAUUCUGCUGGAUAACCUAGAUAGAUUCCGUUUCCCAGACCCCUUUUCAUUUUGUAUCUUGUGGUACCAGUGCUGAGCUGGGUUACCAGCAAUGGAUUUAAAAUUUCUACUCAAACUUGUCACUUGUAUACAAACUCUAGGUGACAGAAGUUUAAACUGGAAGUCAUUUCACCUAACCAAAUAGCAACUAACUUUUCUGUAAACAUGGAAAAAAAAAAAAAAGAGAGGUCAACAGAGGUCUGAGACCUCUGUCCUGGAUCAUAAUCCACAGUGUAUUCAUGCUUGCCUGUCAAGUAUGCUUCUCUAUAAAGCAGCUAGACAGUGAGUUUGGCUUCUGUUUUGCUGACUCUGCCUUCAUAUAUUCCCCAAUAAACUUCUAUAGAUUUCUAUAUUGUGUGAGAUUAGUGGUACCACCUUUCAGGCUUAAGAGUCUGGGGUGUAUAUCUAAAAAUUAAUUUAUGUAGCUGUCUCUCCCCUCCUUCAAAUUCUCUUCUAGUUUUGAUUCAGUCUAUUUAUUGCUAAGCAUAGGAUGCCCACCUAGAGGUUUGGGAGUAGCACUAAUUGGUAGAAACCAAGCAAAUUUCUAUUUAUUUUCCAUAAAAUAUUUUUUAGAAUAUUCUAAGUGUUAAGCUCUAUACUGUGUCCUAGAACAGUAUUUCUGAAAUGGGGAUGAUUUUGGCACCAGGGUUGCUUUGACAAUGAUUGGAAGAAUUUUUGGUUGUCACAAAGGAAGGAGGGAGGGUACUAUUCACAUCCAGUAGUUUGAGAUCAAGGUAGUUGAUAAUAAUCCUGCAAAGCCUAGGACAACUUCCCACAACAAAGAAUUAUCCCACCUAAAAAGUUGAUAGUACAUUAUAGUUAUGAAACCCAGCACUAGAGAUAAAAUGAUGCCGCAACAGUGAUAUCAUUGGCUUGUGGCCAUGACAGAUAAUCUUCAAAGAAGUGCUUUAGAAUGUGUAAAUUUACACAGCUGCCAAAGUCAAAAAUCAGUAUCAGAAGAUCAUGUAGGAAGACAUGUCCAAGGAAGUCUUACUUGAAAUAAAACCUGAAUGUUGAGUAGAAAUCAGCUAUGUGCAGGGAGGAAGGAAGAACAUUCCACAGAAAGGGAACAUUGUGUGGGAAGGCCCUGUGGAAGGAGUAAACAGAAAGAAGCCGAAGGGCAGUGUUGAUGGAGUGUCAAAGUGGAGGUGGAACUUGGUAUGGAGUGAGUCUGAGAAGUGGGAAGAUAGCUACAUCAUGUGGGGCCUUAUAGGUAAUGUUAGUGAACUAUGACUUUAUCCUAAGUGCAAUGGGAAAUGACAUUUUUGAACUAAAGAGGUAGUGGUGGUAGUGGGUGAUCAUUCUGUAUACAUUUAAAAAUGGUUAAAAUGGUCAAUUUUAUGUCAUAUAUAUAUAUAUAUAUAUUUACCAUAAUACAAAAAUAAGUGGUGGUAUGCCAUUUAUUAUGGUAUAUAAAUGAAAGAACUUGAAUGUGUGAUUAAAUUCAGAAGUCCAAAAUAGCCAUAAAGAUUUUGAGAUAGCUCUAGACUAUUAUUGGCAUCAACAAUGCUAGUAAUAUGUGUGUGAACAGUUUUGGUUGCUUCUCAGCCAAGAACUUCCUUUUCCUAUCUAGACCCAUGAAACAUCUUCCUUUGAAUGUCAAAGCAGGUGUUUACUUGAACCUUGUUAAAAUUUCCAGUUGAUGGAUUUUCUUUCCCAGAUGGAAAUUCUUCUAGUUUAAGUAAUCUUUCAAGGAGAAAAAUUUCUGCUAUGAAGUUACUUAAGGUUGGGUCCUUUUUUUCAGUAUAAAAAUAUUUGUGUCUGAGGGGAGGAGGCUGAAUAAUGAGGAGAUGAGGCUGCCACCACUUGGGUGUUAGUGACCCAAGCAGUCCCAUCUGGGGCCUGUUACUAUAUUUUAUAGUUGUUUUUCAGUGAUCAGUGUAUUCAUUGGUGCUCAGCAAUCCCAGACAUCUGGCUUGUUCAGAUGAAAUCCUAGAAGAAAUAUACAACUUUUAAUGAAAAUCAAUAAUAGCACUGUUUUUCUUUCUUUUCACUUUAAUGUUUUUAGUAUAGCAAACCUCAAAGUAUUUCAUCACAGAAAAAAAAAUGAGUUUUCCUUCUUCAUGAGCAUAUUUUCCCAAUAGACAUAUUUUUAAAAUACUUUUAAAUGUUUAUUGUAUUUUUUAAAUAAAAUAGAGUAUUUUCUUAUUUGUAAGGGAGAAUGGCAAUGGGAUUGUAAGAUUAAUGUAUUUUUCUUUGUUUACCUAAUGAAAGCUGAGACUUGUAACAGGUAAUAGUGGGUGCAAACUGAACCUGAUCUAUGAGGGACUAUUCUGUACUUUGCAUUUUAGAAAGGGAGGAAAAUGAGUCCUGGUAAUUCUGAUGUAUGCCUUACUGAAGUGCUGUCCAAUAAAAUGUUCUAAAAAUGAAGAAAUACUAUAAAAUGUUCUAUAAUAUUUGCUGCCCAGUAUGCAGUCAAUAGCCCCAAUGUGACUGCUGAGCCCUUGAAAUAUGGUUAAUGCGACUGAGCAACUGAAUUCUUGAUUUUAUUUCAUUUUAAUUAAUGUAAAUUUAAAUAAUUAUAUGUGGGUAAUAGCUACAGUGUUGGAGGGGAAAAUGUCUGAUUGAAUAAUUUUAGGAGGGAGGGAAAAAGCUUCCUUUGUACUUCUAAAGCUUGUGGCACAUUGAUUAGCCACAUUAUUGAUGGUGGUAAAAAUUUGCCUUUUAAAACAUCUUUUUUAUUCAUUUUUAUUUUUUACUUUAAUUCCAGUGUAGUUAAUAAAUUGUGUUAUAUUAGUUUCAGACAUACAAUAUAGUGAUAAACACUACAUCACCCAGCGCUCAUCACAAGUGCAUUUCCUAAUCUCCAUCACCUAUUUCAGCCAUCCCCCCAUCCCCUCUCCUCUGGUAACCAUCAGUUUGUUCUCUAUAGGUAAGAGUCUGUUUCUUCAUUUCUCUCUCUCUGUUUUUUUUUCCCUUUGCUCAUUUUUUUUCUCUUAAAUUCCACAUAUGAGUGAAAUCAUAUGGUAUUUGUCUUUCUCUGACUUAUUCUGCUUAGCAUUAUACUCUCUAGCUUCAUCCACAUUGUUGCAAAUGGCAAGAUUUCAUUCUUUUUCAUCACCAAGUAGGAUUCCAUUGUGUGUGUGUGUGUGUGUGUGUGUGUGUGUGUAUCAUGUCUUCUUUAUCCAUUCAUCUAUCAGUGGACACUUGAGCUGCUUCCAUAAUAUGGCUACUAUAAAUAAUGCUGCAGUAAACAUAAGAGUGUCUGCAUCCCUUUGAAUUAGUGUUUUGUAUUUUUUUAUAGAUAGUAGUACAAUUACUGGAUCAUAGGAAAAUUCUAUUUUUAACUUUUUGUACUGUUUUCCAAAGUGGCUUCACCAGUUUGCAUUCCCAUCAACAAUGCACAAGAGUUCCUUUUUCUCUACAUCCUCACCAACACUUGUUUUUUGUGUUUUCUAUUUUAGCCAUUCUGACAGAUGUGAGGUGAUAUCUCAUUGUGUUUUUGAUUUGCAUUUCCAUGAUGAGUGAUACCGAACAUCUUUUCAUUUUCUGUUGGCUAAAACAUCUUCAAUUAACUUUCAAAUGUCAAUACAUUUUUUAAGAAAGCAAUAAAAUCUAAGUAUGGAUUAGUGUUAGAAAAAAACAGAAGAACCUAGUCAACAAGAAAUCUACAGGAGCUAAUGUUUAAAAGACACAUUCUCAGUCCGCAAAACAUUAUAAAACAGAAAUUGUAGAUUCAAUUCACUGGGGCUGAGUAUGCAAGCAUUCAUGGAAAUAUGUGCACAAUCUCAGUGAACUUCUACUGUGUAAAAUACAGGGAUUACAGGACACAAAUGAGUAAGAGGUUAACAACUUGCUUUCGUGUUCAAACUAAAGGUCUGAACAGCAGUCCAUAGGAUGACCAAAAAAAAAAAUGAUUAUCAUAGAUCUUGAUGUUUAAAACUACAGAUUUAGGGGUUCCUGGGGUGGGUUAGUUGGUUAAGCAUCCAACUUCAGCUCAGAUCACAUUCUUGUGGUUCAUGAGUUCAAGCCCUGCACCAGGCUCUGUGUUGACAGCUUGGAGCCUGGAGCCUGCUUCAUAGUCCAUAUCUCCCUCUCUCUCUGCCCCUCCCCUGCUGUGCACUCUCUCUCUCUCUCUCUCUCUCUCUCUCUCUCUCUCUCAAAAAUAAUAAAUAAACUUAAAAAAUAAAAACAAAACUACAAAACAGUACUUAUAACCAGUAUUAAAUAAAUGGAUCCAGGUUAUGAACAGACAAUUCAUAGUUGAGGAAACCAUACUAACCCUUACGAAUAGAUGUGGAACUGCACUAGUAAUCAGAGCAAAAGUGAGAUACUAUUUCCACCCACAAAAUUGGCCAAGCUUAGGAAGGAUAGCAAAGAUAUGCUGAUGGAAGUUUGAAUUGAUGCCAUUUUAGAGAUAAGUUUAUAACGAUGCUCUACAAUAUAAAAAUCUCAAUUUUAGGUAUCUGUCAGGGCUAGAAAGCUUAACUGUUGCACAUGUGCAUAAGGAAGCCUAUACGAGAAUACCGAUACAUGAAUUAUUGUAACAAGUAUUGAUUGACCACCUAUUAUAAGCUAGAUACUAUUUCAGGUCCUGGGGAUUCAUUUAUCAAUAACAUUUAGACAAAGUAUCUCCUCUUAAUGAACUUACAUUUCAUCCGUGGGAAGACAUACCAAGAAAAUAAGGAUUAAGCAGGUGUAUGUGGCAAGAAAAGACUUCUCUGAUAUGGAGAGAAUAGAACACCGUCUUCAAAAAAGUGAGUGGGCAAUUUAGGGAAGAUAUUUGGGAGGGGGGAGGACAAACUUCUGAGGCAGAUGCCAUUCUAGAAACAGACAGGAGGAACAGAAUUGUUGACAAAUGUGAUAAGAGAUCAGGAUGGUUGAUGAAAAGGCUUGUAAAUCAUGAUAAUGACUUUGGAUUUUAUUCUCAAUGAUAUGGGAAAUUAGAGGAAAGAACUAAGUAGAAAAGUGGUAUGGCUUGUCUUCUAUAUCACGCUGGCUGCUAUGUGUAGAUUUUGAAAGGUGUGAGAAGAAGGAAGGAGAUGAGUUAACUGGAAGCUCUUGACAUUAAUCUAGCAGAAAGAGAGAUGAUGAUGGCUUUGAUUAGCAUGGAUUUAGUCUGAAGACAGAGUCUAAAGAAUUUGCCGAUUGGUUGAUAGUGAAUGGGAAUAGAAAGAGAAGAAUCAAGGAUAGAAACAUAGGGGUCAAGGAUGAUUCCUUCAUUAUGGUCCUACUUUCAGUAUUCACAUUAAGUUGAAAAUUGCAAACAACCUAAAUGACUGUUAACAGAGGAAUGAAUAACCCAAUGGUACAUAUUUGUAUAUUAUAUUAUGAUUCUAGAGUUAAAUGAUGGAAUUUUAUCUCUCUGUAUCAAUCUAAAUAAAUUGUGAAAUCAUAAUUUUGAAUAAAAAGGUAAGUCAUAAAAUAGCACCCAUAAUAUUAUUAUAUAUCAUAUAUCAAUAUAGAUUGAUACAAUAUUAUUAGUAUCAUUAAAAUAUUAUGUUAUUAAUGUAAACUUCAUAAGAUAUAAAAUAAUAUAUUUAUUAUGGGUAUAUAUAUUGUGAAAAUAAAGAGAUCUGAAUAGAGAAUGGCAGUUUUCUUGGGUCAGGGAGUUGGGGAUAAAAGAAGUUGCAAGGGUUUUGUUAGCCACUGCAGUCCCUUUAUACAGAUGUUUAAAAUUAAAAAAUCUUAAAACCACUCCUUGAAGCAGAUGCAGCCCCACACCAGAAUAUAUGGCUGGAUUCAACACACCAACUCCCUCAGCUGGACAUUCUUAGGUGGCACCCCUGGGAAAUGGGAAGUGGGACAGAGGAAGGGUUGAGAAAAAGACCAUCUGUGUCUACACUUGCUUUAUUUUUCUUAAAAUAAAAGAGAACAUCAUCUGGAGAAAAUAUGUCAAAUGUUGGGAGUAUAUGACCAUUCUUGGUGUUGAGGAGAUUAGAAAUUGCUACAUUGAUCACUGUAUCUUUUCAUAUGUUAGGAAUACUUUAAAAAAAACUUCAAAUUUUUAAGAGCUACCAACUCUUAAGUCCUCAAGUUGGCAGUGAUGGCCAACUAUGUAGAUCACAGUAUCAGUUUUCAUUCACUCUAGGAAUUUGACAGACUCUUUGGAGUCAAGCUAGGCAAUUCAGUUACUAAGCCACCCUUUUCUCAUCUGCAAAAUGGGAUAAUAAACUCAUCUGCCCUGUAAAGUUGCUGAUGACUCAUGAUCUACCAUUAUUAUCGCCAUCAAUGAUACGACUAUAUAUUCCCAAAAAUGUGACAGAGAUAAGAUUAGUUGUAUUUCCAAUGUUAGAAAAAAGAAUGACAAAGUUUAGUAAGUUAAAUACUUUAGUUUUCACAGAUGGUAGGAGACAGGAUUCCAAUUCAGAUCUGCCUGAUACAAAAAUGUGUGAUUUUACACAAACAUGUGCACUAAAAGGUCACUAAUUGAAUGUAUCAUACACUGGGUGAAAGACUUAAAAAUCACAAGGAAAGGAAGCGUAGUGCUCAUGUAUUGUAAUGCAUAAACACCGUGAAGAGUGGAUAAAUGCAUAAAGAUAAGCUAGCAAAAUACUGCCUUCAAUUAAAAAAGGAAGUACACAGUUACAUAGGUGUAAGUAUGAAGGCCAGAGCCAAGAAAUCACUUCCCCUGGGGGGUAAGUGCCUGUUUCCCAUGAGGGCGCCACGCCAGUGUUUUAUGAGUUCAUUAUCACUAAGUGGGGGAAAAUGUGAUGGACAGGUCUUACUUUUUAACUGUAUUCAUAACAUCUUUGUUGUAUAACUUUUAAUGUUAUCAUUUCAUGGUUUCUGAGGAUUAGGAAUCUUGGGGCAGCUUUUCUGUGUUAUUCUGGCUUACUCUCUAUCCUGAAAUCACAGUCAAGCUGUUAGCCAGGACUGCAAUCAUCUCAGUUCAACUGGGGCUGAAGAAUGUGCUUCUGCACUCACACACGUGGCUACUGGAAGGUCUUAGUUCCUUCCUGGCUUUGUCUGAAGAUCUCAAUUUUUUGCCACACAGUUCUCUUUAUUUGUUGCCUGAGAGUCCUCAUGACAUAUCAGGUGGCUUCUCCCAGUAUACAUGAUUCAAGACAGAUUGAGCCUAAUAUUUAGCCGUUAUAUUUUAUAAUCUAAUUUUAGAGGUGGUAUACCUUCACUUUCGCUAUUUUCUAUCAGUCACACAAACCAACCUUCAUAGAAUGUGGCAUGGAACUACAUGAGGGUAUGAAUACAUGGAGCAAGAAUCAUUGGAGACCUGCUUAUGGGCUGCCUACUGCAGGUGAUCACUGAAUUAGUGUUAGAAGAACUGUUAUUUAUUCACUUUCUAUUUUUAAUGAACACAGAAUCAGUUAGGUAGAGAUUCUUAACCAGUGGUGAUUUUUGCCCCCAGCGAACAUUUGGCAAUAUCUGGAGAUACUUUUGAUGGUCACGACUAUGCAGAGGAAGGCACUAUUAGCAUCUAGUGGGUACAUGCCAGAUAUAUUGUUAAGUAUACAGAAUACCCACUCAUGAUAAUUAACCAGCACAAAAUACCAAUAGUGCUGAUGUUGAGAAGUCCUAAAUUAGAGAAAGUCUAAAUAAAUAGCAGACACCUUGGUUACUAAAUAGAUUUUUCAGCUAAUUGUAUUCAAAUGAUGUUAAAUAUACAAAGCAGUUUACAGUCACACUUACACACACAUACACACACACACAUAUCUGCAGUUGAUUACAUCAAACCAAAGAGUUAUAACCCAUAGAAGAUCCCAUCAAUUAAAAUAAAAUUUGGGAGAAUUUCAGGAUGGUAGCUAGCAAUUAGCUAUUAAUAUCCACUGGGCCAGUGUGCUAUGGUCACAGAGGUCAUUGAAAAGAUACGAGCUUGAGCAGAAGGUGUGAUGGUGUUUCUCUAAUUUCUCACAUAGUUGAUUUUUUUUUGUAGUUCUCUUCCCUGUUAUGUGUCAUAAGAUUAUUGAGUCAAUGACUAACCUCCCAGGCUCAUUUAAGCUAUGUAAAUAACUGGUAGGAAACUGAAUGGCUGGAGAAGAGAGACGUUGGAUUGUUUCCUUCUCUGUCUUCUCAUUUUUCUAGCACCUAGAGUCCAGCCAGUGAUGGUGUCCUUCCAGGACAGCAGCUCCUUUUGGGCAGUCCCCCUUCUACAACUCCAGUUCUCAGUGAUGUGAUUUCCCAUCUUUGCUGCUCUCAGAUCUUGAAGUAAUGAUGGAUUUCUACUGUUAUUAGUCACUGUCUCACAUCUUUUGCGGGAUCUCUGAAUCCUGGGAUCUCUCUGUACAUAGGCCCAUCAUUAUAAUCUUUUUUGAAUCCCAUAUUAAACUAUCUUUGGCUCCUUGCUUGACCUGACAUAUAUCUGAACAAUAUAGUGUGGACAGAAGAUCCUGACACUGGAUCCCAUCCAGGGUUGGGGUGAGUUUGGAUAGGGAGAGGUGGAGUGAGCAGAGCUCCACCUGCAUGUGUUGUAAAGUUUGUUAGAGGUUGUGUCAGAGAGAAUAAAUCUUUAUCAUUAAUUUCCUGGCUGCAUGCUUGUACCUUUGUGGUAUAGUGAAAAAAUAUAUAUUUGGUCUUUAUUCCAGAUUUCUGGCACAGAGCUUCUAAAACUUCCUAGAAUUUCUUGAGUGAAGGAAUGUCUCUGGUUAUUCGUAAUGAGUGUCAUUCAACCACACUUGAGUUUAUACUAAUGAGGUGACUCAAGGCAGGGCCCCUAGAUAGCUUCAGGAUAGAGGCUGGUCACCAUAAAGCCUAUGAGGGUUGGAACUUUCAGGCCCAACUCUAGAUCUCUGGAGAGGGGAAGGGGACUGGAGAUGGAAUUCAGUCACCAGUGGCUGAUGAUUUAAUCAGUUGUGCCUAUAUUAGUGAAAUUUCAAUAAAAUUUUUUGAACAGUGAGAUUUGGGGUGCUUUUAGGUUGUUGAACAUGUCUAUGUUCUGAGAGCCAGCUGUAACCAGAGAGGGUGUGGAAGCUCUGUCUUCCCCUUCCACCCCACCAUCUUGCUUUAUGUAUCUCUUCCAUUUGGUUCUUCCUAAGUAGUAUCCUUUGUAAUAAAACAGUAGUAGUAAGUAUAGCACUUUCCUGAAUUCUUUGAGGUUUUCUACUGAAUUACUGAACUUGAGGGAGAGAAUUUAAGGUAACCUCUCAGUUUGUAGUCAGCUGGACCAGCAGUGCAGGUAGUCUGGGGACCCCAUUUGUGUCUAGCAUCUGAAGUGGAGACAGUCUUGUGAGCCUGAGUCCUUAACUAAUGGGGUCUGCAUUAACUCUGGGUAGUGUCAGAAUUUAAUUGAAUUCUUGGACACCCAGUUGAUGCUGAGGAAUUGAAGAAUUGGUUAUUAUUUGUAAGAUUAAGUAAUCCCUCAGUAAAGUAUGAGUAUCACAAAGAGAAGGGCAAUGUCUGAUCCAUUCACCAUUAAAUAUCCAGGACUAGAUCAUGACAUAUAUACAAUAAAUAAUUAUUUUAUAAACCAUGGUGGUCCCACACAGGUUAGAGAAAUAAGUUAGAGUAGUGCAGUAUUAACUUAGAGAAUCACAUAAUCUAAAGGACUGUUACAGUCCAUGAAGAUUGCACCAUCACUGGGAUGGAAUUCUUUCUUAAAUAUCCUUCAAUACCUCGCUGAUCUAGAUAAAUAACAGAAUUAUGCCAAUUGUCUAUUUGCCAUUAAUCUUAGAUAUUUAGAUGGGAACCAUAACUGAUGAUUAUUUAACCUGGGAAAGGACAAGGAGGAAAAAGGAGGAGGAGGCUAAAGAAGAAUGGAAGAUGAUGAUAUUUAAUUUUAGUCCUCAGAAAACACAACAUGGCUACUGAGAUUGCAAAACAACUGUUUAUCACUUGCCCUGACAUUGAUGUUAGGUAACAGAACACAGAGAAAUCCUGAAUUGAUGUAAGAACAAUUGUUUAUUUAACAGUUUAUGCUUCUAUAUAUGUUUGUAGGCUAGCCUUUCAGUUUGUUUCAUUUGAUCUAUCUGCAAAAUGGAGGUAAUCAUGACUCUCUUUUUCUAUCAAGAUUCAUAAACUUAAAAAAAAAUUAAUGUUUAUUUUUGAGAGAGAGACAGAGUGUGAACUGUGGAGGGUCAAAGAGAGAGGGAGACACAGAAUCUGAAGCAGGCUCCAGGCUCUGAGCUGUCAGCACAGAGCCCUAGGUGCGGCUCGAACUCAUGAACCGCAAGAUCAUGACCUGAGCCAAAGUCAGUCACUUAACCAACUUUCCCCAUCCAAAAAUUCUCUUAAAUAUGCUGUGCACCCUAAUAUUUGUCGCUUGUUGCUUCUUGUUGCUAAUAUUUAAUAAUCACAAAACCUAUGUCCACUUACCUCUCUUUUCUCACAGACGAGUUGGUGGUUGUAAGUUAUAAGUUCAGUUGUUUCCAUGUCUCUGAAUUAAAUGGCCUCCUCCCUUCUAGCUAUUGGCCACAUCAUUCAAGAACGUGUUUCCUCUCACUGGACUAAUAAUGAAUCCUCCCACCUUGUCACCCAUUUCUUUCUGUUUCUAAUCAUUUCAUAUUAUGCCCUUGGAAUGUAUCCAGAUACAGACAUGGGACAAACCUUUCAGAAAUACUCAAUCACUCCCCAUUUUCUAUCAGUUAAUUAAUUGAUUAUCCAUCACCUAAAAAUGAAGUGCCAGACUAUCAUGUGUGUGAUUCCAGCCUACCUUUUAAAACUUCUUUCUCAUUUCUUCUUUCCUUUUACCUACAUUAAAGCCAAGUGGACCCACUUUUAGAUCUUUACUAUUCCCCAGACAUUCCCAUUCCCAUGAUUUUGCUUCUCCCAUUUCCUUCACCUAGAACACCUUUCUUUCCUACUGUGUCAACCUGCAAAAACUCUGUCUAUACUUGCUCAUAUUUAAGAAUGAUUCUUAAAAUUAUUUCUGACCCUACACAAAGAUCCCUGAACUCAGUUGUGCCUUGCACUUGCUUAGUGAGUAUGUCAUUCUCCUUUGAGGGACAAUUAUCUGUGCUCUCAGAAGUCAGUGUUAUGUAGUGAUUGAAUUUGGGGGCCUAGAGUCACCGUCUAGGUUUGGAAUCUGGCUGAGCCACUUACUCUGUGACUGGGAAAGUUAUGUAAUUUCUAUGUACUUUAGUUUUCUCAUUUGUAAAAUAGGUAUAGUAAUAGAACUUUCUUCAUAAAGUUGUGGCCAGAGUUAAUUGAGAUAAUAUCUGUAUAGUUUGCCUGGCACAUAGUAAAUGUCAUCUGCUGUUGUUACUUGUUUUCUCCCCGUCUUCCCAGACCAUCACUAUUUUGACUUUUCUUCCUUAGUAUUGCCAACUCCUGAGUCCAGGUUAAAAUUAUCUUUCACCCAGAUGGUUUCAGUCAUCUUCUCACUGGUUUCCUUGUGGUCAGUUCUGGACUUCCUCCAACCUAUUUUCCACAAAAGCCAAGUGAUAUCUUAAAUGCAAAACCACUCAUAUCACCUCCUUGUGAAAAUGCUUCAGUGGUUUCCCAAUACAUACAGGAUGAAGAUUCAGCCUCCUAGGAUCCAAAAUCCCAUGUGGUCUAGCUCGGCACUGUUCAAUAAAAUUUUCUGUGAAGAUGAAAAAGUUCUAUUAUCUGUGCUGUCCUAUAAAGUGGUCAAUAAUUGUAUAGCCAUUGAUCACUUACAAUAUGACUGGUGACACUGAGGAAUGGAAGGUUUAUUUUCAUUUCAUUUUAAUUAAUAUAAAUUUAAAUUUAAGUCUGAAUAGCCACAUGUGGCCAGUGGCUAUCUUAUUGGACAGUGCAGCUUCAGCCUCUGCCUGGCCACCUUUUCAGCUUUGUAUUCGUCUUCACUUUCUGAAGUCCAGACACAUUAUGUUUCUCCAAUGUCUCAUUGCUUCCUCUUGACUUUGCAAAUAUUGCGUCAUGUGAUGGCUAAUUUUGUGUGUCAACUUGGCUAGGCUAUGGUAUUUAGUUGUUUGGUCAAAGACCAGUCUAGAUGUUGCUAUGAAGAUAUUUUCAGAUGUGGUUAACAUUUAAACUGGUAGACUUGAAAUAAAGCAGAGUACCCUCUGUAUUGUGGGCGUACCUCAUUCAAUCAGUCAAAGACCUUAAUAGUAAAGACUAAGCCUUCCCAAAAGAAGCAUUUCUGCCUCAGGCCUUCAAGGUAGAACUUGAGUUUUCAGUCUAUAUUUUAGCUUAAGACUGAAACGUCAACUCUUACCUGAAUUGCCAGCCUGCCAGCCUGUCCUACAGAUUUCAGAAUUACCAGCCCCCAGAAUGACUAGCUCAAGUGAAUCACUUGAGCCAAUUCCUUAAAAUAAAAUACCUGUCUCUGUAGCUUCCUGUGUGUGUGUGUGUGUGUGUGUGUGUGUGUGUGUGUGUAUACGUACACAGGAUUCAUUCUGUUUCUUUGGAAAACCCUAAUUUACUCCCUUUCUUCUUCUUUUUUUUAAUGUUUAUUUUUGAGAGAAAGACACAGAGCAUGAGUGGGGGAGGAACAGAGAGAGAGAGAGAGGGAGACACAGAAUCUGAAGCAGACUUCAGGCUCUGAGCUGUCAGCACAGAGCCCGAUACGGGGCUUGAACUCGAGACCAGUGAGAUCAUGACCUAGGCUGAAGCCGGACAUCCAACUGACUUGAGCCACCCAGGUGCCCCUAUACUCCCUUUCUAUAGCACCCAUUCCCAGAAAGCAUUUUCUUGAUUAUUUUCCAAUUAUCUUUCAGGUUUUAGUAUGAGAUGAGUUCUUUUGCUCCAUUCUCAAAAUCAAACUGAAUACUUAUUUCAGUUUCAGUCAAUCAGCAUUCAUUCAUUUAUUCAUUCAGCAAAUAUUUCUUGAAUUUUUGUGCUGUACACAUGUCCUAGCAUGGAGCACACAGCAGCAGCACAGCCUCAUAAUUAUUUAUUUAUUAGUGUAAUUUCUUGAUUAAUAUCUAUCUGUACCUUUAGAUCAUAAAUUCAUGAAAGCAAGGACUUAAUUGUGCUUUGGUCACCAGUGUAUCACAGACUCCUAAUUCAGUGUUUCAAGCAUGUAAGUGUUAAUAAAUGAAUAAAGUUCUGAAAAGCUGGGAUAUUGUGUUAACCUUCCUUAUAUCUGUCAUAGGAUUGUGCACAUGGGAACACCAAGAUGUUCUAUAGUUAAAAUAGAGUUUUAUACAUUUUUAACACACAUAAUGUUUUUUAUGUUACUCUCAGAUAAAACAAUGCCCAUCUAUAAUGAAGCGCUUCAAAAGCAAAUAGUAUUUAAAAAUAAGUGGAAGAGUUAAUUUGGGGGUCAAAUUUUUCGAUUGGGAAAAGGAUCUAAAUAAUAUUAUUCUAGGUAAAAUUUCUCUGUUCAGAUGAGCAGCUCUUUCUCAAUAAGGGUAAGAAUUAAUACUACUUUAAAAGAUGCUAUAAGUCUUAUGUUCCACAAGCAACAUGGGAAAGAAUCCAACAGCUGUAAGAACCUGCUAUUAUCUGGGCACCUCAGGCAUUAGUUCUCACAAAACCUGCAGGAGAUUGGUAUUUAUAUUAGCUCAUUUUAAGAGAUGAGAAGACACAGGCUUAGGGAUGUUACAUAACCUGCCCUGCCCAGCUCCUUAGAGACAUCUGGUAGAAUUGGGAGUUAGAAACCAAGCCUGUUGGGCUGAAGCCAUGACCCAUCCCAGUCAACAGAAUGGGAGGGGUAACACACCAUUGUGUCUUCAUCCAGAUAAGUUGAUUUGGGUCAGGAUCACCUAGAUCCUCUAGAGAAAAGGUGGUGUAGGAGAUCUUUUGCGAGAUCCUAUAAAAAGAUGUGUAUGUGUUAGUAUAUAUUUUUUUAGGAUCUAUAUGUGUAUAUAUAUUACAUAUAUAAUAUGCAUAUUAAUAUUAUGUGUGUUAAUAUUAUUAAAAAUGUGUAUGCAAUAUAUAUGAUAUAUAAUAUAUAAAAUAAUUAUAUAUAUUGUUUGGAAUAUAUAUUCAUGUUAUGAACUAAGAUAUAAAAGUUGGGAAUGUGUAAAAACGGACACGCUCUCUUUUUGGUCUAUAUUUCUGGCUGAAAACCCUGAGAUGGAUUGCCUCUAAACUAGGAUAAUAUGAUACAAGCAGUCCCUUGCCCUUUCUUGUUAACCCCUACCCACUAGACAUUUCCUCUCAAAGCCUUUUCUUAGCUUCUGAUGUAGCAGAUAUGGUUCCUUUUGCUUCCUUCCCAAUACAGUGUAUAUACCUGCUGAAUUGUUGAGCUGAAUAUUCAGCAAGCCUUAGCUGGAAAAACUCACUCUGUAGGGAACCAAAACAACAACAACCUCAUGACAAAAACAGAUCUGAAUAAAUUUGUCUGGAUUUUCAGACCCUACCUCUCAGAAUGUUGACAGUGAACUAAAACCAAAAACACAAGGCAACAUUAGAUAUUUGCUGAAUCAGGCCAAGCGACAGAAAUGUACCUAUAAUACAUAUCUGAAUAUAAAGGUGAUAUAAGUGAUCAAAAGAGAGGGAGAGUGAAAGGUCAAAGGAGAAACUCUCAGCUUGUAGAGAUUGAACUACUUCCUUGAAAGCAGCUACAUUCCAAAGUGGUUGCAGCAGUGGAUGGGGUGCAUGUAGAGGCAGGUUGCAUAACCCAAGAGAGUCUUUGAAGGUUUGUGCUCACACUCACUUUCUGGAGAUUUAUGAGGCCAUUCUAAACUCUAUCUUUCCAGUGCUACAUCAAAACCCUACAUCUAAAUUUUUUAAAAGAAAGAAUAGACACUACUAUAUUAUGAAUUGGGUACCAGUUGAGCAGAUUUCACUCUUUAUGGAAAGAUUGCUUUGGUAAUUAUAACACAAGGGGGGAGGAUUAAUUCCUGAUUUUUGACAAUUGGAUUCUGGAGCCUGAAAAUAUCAUCAUUUUUAUUCCAUGCUGUUUUCUCCCUUCUUUCCCUCCUGUCUCCCUCACUUCUCCCUCUCUCCCUUCCUUUUCCACUCUCUUUCCUCCUUCAUUCAACAAAUGUUUAUUGAUGCUUAUUCUGCCAGAUAUUACUUUAGGUGCUGGGAAUGCAUUAGUGAAUAAGAUAGAUACAGCCCCUGACAUUGUAGAACUCAAUCAGAGUGAAAGGAAGGAUUGUGUGAAGGAUUUCUUUGAAAUUCUUAUAUGCUUAUUUGUCUAAGAAUCAUCUAGGAGUUUAUAGAUAAGAAUACGGUAGAGUUUAAAUAUUUCAGAAUUAAGAGUAUAUGUCAGGGGGUACCUAUGUGGCUCAGUUGGUUAAGCAUCCAACUCUUGAUUUCAGCUCAGGUCAUGAUCUCACAGCUUCCUGAGUUCGAGCCCCAUAUUGGGCCCUGCACUGACCCUGCAGAACCUACUUGGGAUUCUAUCUUUCUCCCUUUCUCUCUGCCCCUCCCCUGUUCAUGCUCUCUCUGUCUCAAAAUAAAUAAAUAAACUUUAAAAAUUAAAAAAAAAGGAAUGUGUCAAAAUCAGGGUAUUUUUGAUGCCAAACUGAGACCAGCUGAUUUGUAGAAACUAUGAAGACAAGACAGUAAAGCGAAUGGCUGGAAGAAGUUCUAGCAAUAGAUAGCAAAGAAGAAUCCAGAUGGGUGGGUAUUCAGCUUUCAGAAGGUGCUAUAGUACAUGAGAGGUGAUGUUCCUGCCCAGAGAAAUAGCAAGUGGCUGGGAGUUGGCAGCUACAACUCUUCUGGAGGUGUGACUUAUAGCAAGAAGAUGCAUGAGAAGUUCAAGGAACUGAAGAAAAGGUCAGAGUGGCUAGAUGGCAGAGUAGGGGGAUGUUUGAAUGAGGUUGCAAAAAAUAGGUAGUUGCAAGAACAAACCUUGGAAGUCAUCUUAACAAUCUUGAUUUUUAGGGGCACCUGGUGGCUCAGUUGGUUAAGUGACUGACUUCGGCUCGGGUCACGAUCUCAUGGUCCGUGAGUUUGAGCCUCGUGUCGGGCUCUGUGGGAACAGCUCAGAGCCUGGAGCCUGCUUCAGAUACUGUGUCUCCCUGUCUCUGCCCCUCCCCCUCUCACACUCUGUCUCUCUCUCAAAAAUAAAUAAAUAUUAAAAAAAAGAAUUUUGAUUUUUAUUCCAAGUGAAAUGAAAACUUAGAUGUUUUCAAACAUAACUGUGCAUGAAAGAGAGGAUAAUUUUUAUACAUUCUGAGUCUACUUUGUUGGCAGUGAGACUACUGUGAACAGUAAUCUAAUCAAGAGAAGCUAGUAGUUUAGAAUAAGGUAAUGGCCCCAGAUGGGAAGAGAAUGGCCAUCGUUGACUGCUGUUCAGAAGAUAAAAUCCACAGGACUUGUCGCUGGCUGCAUAUGAUAGGUUGUAAAGGAUGACUCCAAGAUUUCUGGUUUUGUAGCCAUAUGGAGGUAGCCAUGAUGAUGAUAUCUCAUUCUCUGAGAUAGUUAACCCUGAAGGUAGAAUCAAUUUGGGGAGGGGGAGGAUAAUGAACGUUAUUUUGAAACUGCUGAAUUUGAGGUGCCUUAGUGAUAUCCAAACGACAUAUCAAAGAGGCAGCUGAGUAAAUGGGUUUGGAGUUCAGAGGUGAGGUCUGUGAUAGAGACACUAAUUUGUAAGUUCUCUGUAGUGAGGUGAAAAUUGAAGCCAUUGGCCCAGAUGGAAUCUCAUUGUUUUAUUUUUAAUUUUUUUAAGUUAUUUAUUUAUUUAGAGAGACAGAGAGAGGGAGACAGCAUGUGCACACGUGUGCAUGAGUGGGGGAGGAGCAGAGAGAGAGAAUCCUAAGCAGGCUCCACACUAUCAGUGCAGAGCCUGAUGCAGGGCUUUAUCCUAUGAACCAUGAGAUCAUGACCUGAACUGAAAUUGAGUCAGAUGCUUAACAGACUCAGCCACUCAGGCACCCAGGGAUCUCCUUGUUUUCAUGUAGAAUAUACGAUGGCCUAGGGAAAAACCUUGAAAGAUAACAUUUCUUGGCAUGAUAAAUGAGAUUAAAUCUGAAGUGAAGAUAUAAGAGAUAUAAACAUUUAAGGGGGGCGGGGAACAAAGUAGCCUUUGUCAUAGAAACAAAGACAAGAGAAUAUUUUAAGAAUCAAAAUUCUGUAGUCUUAACUAUUGAGUUCUGUAGUAUUGAGUUCUUCUGAAAGGUAAAUUAAGGUAAGAAUUGAAAAAGUUUUGAUUUAGGGGUCACUGGUAACCCAAGUAAAAUUUUUACAUAGAAGGAAGGGGCUAACGGCCAGAUAGAUAUGAAUUGAGGGGUGAAGAUACUAUGUUCAUAAGGAAAGGCUGAGCACAUAUAAGACAGAACACAUGAUAAUAGUAAGGGAUUGGAUCUAAAGUAUAGAUUGCAUGGACAACAAAAAGUCAGCUCUCUUUUGAGAUUGGAGAGACACAGGGACAGGAUGAUAUAGAUGCUAGAAUGUUUGUAGAUUUUAUGGAAAGAAGUUGAGGGAGUUAGGAUUAGAUGGCCUCCGUUCUCUCUGAAGCAUGUGGCUAUUUUUUGAAAAUGAGGAGAAGAAACCAAUUAUUUUGGGAAUUAGGGCACAAGUAUAUCAGAUAUACAUAGCUUAUAGUAUUAGUUAUCUAUUGCCACAGCAGUGCUAUGUAACAAACCAACCCAAAGGUGAGUGACCUAAAACAAUAGGCUUUUAUUUAGCUUGUGAGUCUGUGGACUAGCUUGGUAAUUCUUCUAUAGUUGUCUGAGCUUCCUCAUGUAUUUUGAGAUUGGCUGACUGUCACUAGGCUGGCUUCCACUGGGUCACUGGGAGGAAUUAUUCCUCUCCCAUGUGUCUCUCAUCUUUAGUAGGCUAUCCCAGGCAUGCUCUCAUGACCAAGGCAGAGAUGCAAGAGCAGAAAUAGAAGUAUGCAAGAUGUUCUCAAGCCUCUGCGUUCAUCACAUCUGCUAACAUUCUGUUGGCAAGACCCGUUAAAUGCCCAAACUCAGGAUCAAAGAAUAAGGAAAGUGACUGUUCCUCUUUAGUAGGAGAACCUCUCAUGCUGUACAGUUGUAUGCAAGGGUGGGGGUGGGUGGUGUAGAUACAGUUGAAGGGCAAGGCAUUGGGCCCUUAAAGCAAUGAAUCCACAAGUCCCCAAUAGUAUUGACAGCUCAUUCAUAAUAAUUAUCAUCUUUUGGUAGUAGAAUCCAAAAGCCCUAUCGUGUGCAUUUCUUCAGAAAAAUUUGAAUGCUUGGGUGGAGCACCAAAAAAAUACGUUAAACUCUGGGAAUUUCCAGAAAGUGUGAAGAAAAUACAGACAGACAGAGAGGCAAGGCCAUUUAUGAAAUAAGUUAGGCAGGUAUUGUUGUGUAAAGCAUCUUAAAGUAUAUACUGGUUACCGAGGAAUAUGAAGGUGUGGGGAAAAUGGAAAGCGUGAGGGCAUUGUGAAGCCAAAAGCAAGUCAUAACAAAAAUAGUUAAAAUAUAAUCUUGACAAGGAAGAGGUCAAGUCAGGAAGAGCAUGCUUAAAUUUUCAAGGUAGAGCAUUUACAUGAGAUAACAAGGCUCAUGGAGUUAGUUGUUAUGAGUGGGGAAGUGAGGUGGAGAGUAGGAAAAGGAGAAGGGUGAGCAAAUGAAGUAAGAGUGGGAUGUGGGUAGUGGGUCAUUCCUGUAAUAGGAGAAAAGAUGAAAAAUACUAGCCCAGUGUCAGAGUGUUGGAUGAAUGAGAGGGUGUGACCAGGAGGUUAGUAGAUGAGACUGUGGAAAGAAGAAAAACACAGUAGAGGCAAACAGCAUGGGAUGCAAGAGGUGGAUUUUUUGAUCAGAUUAGUACUAUUGUUAUUGUCAUUGAGAAUGAAGGUGAAUGCAAUAAAAACAGCAACUAGAAGCAAAGAAGUCAAGCUUUUCUCUCAACCUUGAAAUACAUGGAUAGUGAUAAAAACAACCAACCAAUACCUGGGAGAGCAGCAACCUAGACUGCAGAUUAGACCGCAUUGAGGGGCCUGCAAAAUUUAUUUUGGAACCAGUAGUGUCCCAUAUUCACUAAUGUUUGCCUGGCAGUUGUAACCUAGAUUAAUUCUAGUCAAACUGGCAUGGGUAUUCCAGGCUAGGCCAGAGAACAAUAAGGGUGGGAAAGGGACUGAGUUAAGAAAAGGAGGUAGGAGAAGGUAACAGAGAAACAUUCAUUCUCCCUCCCUGUCAUCUCAGUGGUUCCUUGAUAAGAAGUCAGUGCCUCCUGAAAGUAACCCCUUUUCUGCCCUCAGAAGGACAGAAACCAUUCUGACAAUUGAUGAUCUCAAAGCCUUUGUGGGAAUAAAUUAACCAUUGUGGAGAGGAUGGGAAGUAACACAUGGGAAUUAUACAGAGAUAGGGUUGCUAUUUUCUCCAUGUGAGAAAGAAAUGAGGAAAAAUAUAAGAAAAACAUAUAUGGUAAAUAUACAUUUAUUUAAAUGUACAUGCAUUUAUUUAUUUAAAGAUACAUACAUUUAUUUAAAGAUAACAUGAAUGUCCAGGAUAAUGAUUAUAAGUGGAUAUAAUGAUCUAAGAUCAGUGAGUUAACUGAUCACGUAAGGAAUAAAUAAUAUAUAGUAUUGCACAUGACUUGAGUUCGUAUCCCAGUCAUCUUGCUCAUAAUUGUGCUCAUCUGGUUGGCGCUUAGAUUGUGAUACAUAGUAAGUAUUAAAUUUAUAUAUUUGAAAAAAAUAAUAAAUAGUCUGUCUCUUGAGGAAGUAUAGUUAAGCCUUUCUGAACCUUAACUUCUGCAUUUCUAUUUUCCUAAUUGACAGUUUCUCUAUAAGAGAUAAUUGUCAGUAUUAAAUGAGAUGGGAGAUGUGGACGUGGUCUACAAUAAAAGUUAGCAAAUAUUAAUUGGAAUCUAAAUUUGCCAAUGUGAAGAGAAUCCUUUCCUUAGUCAUCAUUCAAAGGUCUCUUGCUGUCUUCCUGCAUUUGCAUUUUAACCCAAGCCUGGUAUAUAAAUACUAGUGAUUCUUCUUAAAGGGUUGACCUGUUAUAUUUACAUACACAUGUACUCUUUGAGGUAAUCUUGAGCCAGGCUCUUGCUGAUUAUAUUUCAGCUUUUCAUGCUGUUGUCCCAGAAGACGUUGACUUCAUCUGGAGACAUAGUAGCGCCAUCGGUCUUCAGAGGUCCAAUUCAUUCUGCCAUCCGGAAAUUCUGUCGACAAGGCGGCCAGUGUUAGAAAUUAAGCUUGUGACAUGCAGGACAUGGCGGAGUGCAAACAUUGGUCAGUGCUUCCUCUCCCAGCCACAGAGGAAAGCCACACUGAUUGGUAUUCAGGAAAGGGACCUCCUGUUUCGAAGGAUUCCUUCAUGCUGUUCAGCAAUGCUGUUUAGGGUGGAUUUUCCCAUUUGAACUGCAAAGCUUAAACACAAAUAUUAACUACCUGAAGCUGCAAAUAGCAGCAUAGUACAUUAAAAAAAUAAUGAAUAUUUUAACCAGCCUUUGCCCAACCAAGAAAAAUAUUAUGCAGAAACGAGGCUGAUUUUAGAAAAAUGCCCAAGGAAACAUUAAAAAAAAAGUUGAGUUUCCUUUCAAAGUUUGUUUUUGCUAAACAUUCAUAAUUUUGCUUUUUUCCAAUCCAAUUUUAUUAUAAGAAAGGUCUCCCACAUGUGUACCUGGCAUUCCUUUUAAAAUGAUUAGUAAUACACAAAACCUUUGGAAAUGGUGGGUGAGUUCUUAAAUGUGACAGAAAGGACAAGAUGUAUUAUAAAUAAGGGAAGGUGCUGCUUUGCAUGCAUAUAUGUUUGUAGCCCCUUUGGUUAUAGGCAGCUUUUCAUGUUCUCAUCAUUUUGACUACUUAACAUUUUAAUUUUGCUCAUUUAGAGAAUCCAAAUGUAACUGCUUCUUCACUGCAAAUUUUCUCCCCAGUGAAAUCACUGAAGGUACCAAUCACUCGUGGUCAAUGGAAGACUUUGGUGUUUUGGAGCUGUAAUUCUGGAUAGACAUUCUGUUACACCUGUUGGAUAGCUUCCUUGGCAUUCAUUUCUGUCUGUGGUGAAGAUCAAAAUGAAAUUAUCAAAACAUGCUCUUCAUGAAUUCUCAUUCUCAAUCAUUAAAAUAGAAAUUUUAAACUGAUUUUAGUGAAUAACAGAAUGCUUUUAAAGCAUUUUCUCUUUUUUACAAGCUCUUUUUUCUCAGCACAUAACAUUAUCUCAUUAACUCCUCAUAACAAUCCUAUGAGGUUGGUAUUGGUAUGAAUCCAUUUUCCAGAUGAGGAAAAUAUCACACAGAGAUUAAAAACUGCCCAGAUGGUCAAGUCAGGAUUCACAUAUAGUCCAGAUCCUUUGCUUUUUAACCUCCCUGUUCUGCUGUAAGUAAAAUUCAGUUAAAAAUUAGCUAAAAUGGCUUUCCUUGGCUCCUGUUACUCUGUUGUCAUUCAAGGUUUGGGAUGGUUUGUUUAUUUUUUUUUGUUUAAUUUUGUGGAUUAUACAUUUUAUUGUUAUAAUGGUAAUAAAACUUGGGUCAAAGCACCUAGAUUCUAGUUACAGCUUACCUACUGGCUCUAAAUGACUAUGAGUAUAGGAAACUCUCAGUCUCCCUCCUGUAAAGCAGACACAAUGGCAGGUAGUUUCCUAUCUUUCUCAGGGUUUUGUCCUCCAAAUCCGCUGGCAAUAGAUUUAAAAUAUUAUUGCUGAUGCUUCUCUCCCUACACAAGAAAAAUACAUCAAGCUAAAGUUCAUAACUGUUCAAGUUAACACUUGAAUAUUAAACUUCUAAAUUUUUUUGCCCUAAAGGAUGUUGAACCUUUUGGGGAAAGGGAAAUUCUACAUUAUUGGUGAAUUUUUAUCAAAGUUUUUGCUCUACGUCAAGAAUUACUACCAAGAAUAAGUUGUGACGGGGCAUCUGGGUGGCUCAGUCGGUUAAACAUCCCACUUAAGCUCAGGUCAUGAUCUCACGGUUCCUGAGUUGGAGCCCCAUGUGCAACUCUGUGCUGACAGUUCAUAGCCUAGAGCCUGCUUCGAAAUCUGUGUGUGCCUCCCUCCCUCUCUGCCCUUCCCCUGCUUGCACUCUCUCUCUCUCUCUUUUUCUCUCUCCAAAAUAGACAAACAUUAAAAAACAAACUUUUAAAUAGAAAUUAAAAAAAGAAUAAGUUGUGACAUGCCUUUGGAACAAUAAAGAACAAAACCACCUAUGUUUCAGUAAUAUCAGAAAUGUGGGAACAUCUACAAUAAUAGUCCAAUGGUGAAAUUAAUUUUGACUGCCAACAGAUUCCUUAUGCCACUCUUUAGGGAUUGCUGAAUCUAUUUAUAGGGAACCAUACCCAGAAAAAUGCCACAGUUGGAAAGGCCAUCACAAUAUCUGUGAACCCUUGGCAUAAAUGAAUUUUCAGACUAUUUUAAGGCAAUUUAUUAUUUUUAUUCCCAAAGCUGUUUCUUCUUACCCACAUAAGAGUAUUUAUCUCUAUCGCUAAGUUCCUGUUUUAGUCCUUUAGUCCUUAUACAGCUUUCUUCUUUCUUCUUACCCCAAACUUCAAAUCCAAUUCCUCAGUUUUACAUUGUUUGAAAUAAGUCUUUCUCCUAUCUCUAGGCCAGUGUUGUCCCAUAAAAGAUGAAAUUGUACUGUAAAUGAAGGAAAAACCCAAAUUUAAAUAUCCUACUCUGUUAUUUUAAAGGGAUCAUUCUUCGCUUUUUUCCUUUAGUACAAGCAUCUUGAAAGGAUGUGGUCUUCAUGCCUGGAAAGCCAGAAUGGUUUUAUUUGAAAAACUGGAGCCCCCUCAGUUUGUAUUACUAAGCACUGUGCUUGUGGUUUUUGUAAUUCCUUCCCUUGGGGAUGUCCUGACCCCUACCAUACUUAAUAAUUUCACUCUUCUGCUCCCUUCUUUGAGGUCUGAUAGUGACAAUGGAGCAGCAGGAAAAACGAUAGUGAAUUAAAUGAUUUAUUUAUUAAAUGAUUAUAUAAAUAUUUAGUGAGCACUUUCUAUAUGCCAGGAACUAUUUUAUGUACUAGAGAUAUUGUAGUCAAAAGUAAAAUACUACUGAUAACAUAGCACUUAUAUUCUAAGUAUAUUGGACAGAGAAACAGAAAAAAAAUUUCUAUCUUAGUAUUUGUCUAUCUUAAUAAGCAAAUAGAUAAUUAAUAGAUAAUUUUGUAUUAUGGUAUAAAAAUAGAGGAAAUAAAGUGUGAUAGAGUUUGGGUUGAGAGAGAGAUGCCUUAUUGUGGUCAAGAUUCUGAGAGAUAACAGGGGAUACCGUAAUUAUGAGAACUAGCCAUGCGAGGAACAUUCUAAACAGAACAACACCACGUACAAGUGAGGUGAGAUGAUAAUUACUUGGAAUGUUGAGAAUUAGAAGAUUAAAUGAUCAAGGUGAAGAUGACACAGAUGAGGUCUAAGAGAUAGAGAGGAUCAUGUAGUAUAUAUGUGGCUUUGUGGAUUGUGGAAAGGAGGUGUGGAUUUUGUUCCAAGUAUGAUGGCACAGAGAAGUGAUUCUCAAACUUCAUGCACAUCAGAAUCACCUGGAUGACUUGGUAAAGCAUGCAUUACUGGGUCCCCAGAGUUUAUGACUCAGCAACCAUAGGUUAGAGCCUAAGACUUUGCAUUUCUAGCAGGUAGUCCCGACACUGCUGGUGUCCAGCCAACACUUUGAGAACCAUUGCCAUCACAGGCAUCUGUUAUUUGUGCCUGCCCAGAACAGAUUUCACCACAGUUUUGUAACUGAAUUUGAUUUUCUUGUGGGAAAAGCCCCUUCUCUACUAUUAGCCAACCCUGUGUAUUCCAUUACUUUACUUUUGUCACAGUGAAGACAUUCAAGGAUGGACAUAUAACUUGGCAGUAGUAGUCAAAAGUCAAAUACUGGUGAAACCCAAUCCAGAGCCACUCUUGUAAGUCUUGGGAGAUGGAAGUUCUCAAGCCACUGGAUGAGAAGCUGGUAGGCAGGGGAAAUCUCCCUAAGAGGUAAGCCAUGGCAGAGGAGCACUGAGCUGAAAGAUGGCAAGACACUGAGCUCUGAUAUUCUCAGCUGAGCUCCCGGAUCCAUCCAUCCCUAAAUCAACUCUAUUCCUGUACUUUUCAGUUACAGGACUAACUUUCCCAUUUUAUAAUUAGGCAGUUUCUCUUUGGUUUCUAAAACUUAUAAACCAAAAGAAAUUAUAAAUAAAAAGCUAUUGUAGAUACACCACUUAUUUUUAUUUAAAUGUACCUUAGUUCAUCACAGAGAAUCAGACAAGAGAGUUUACAUGGCUUAGUACUGCUCUGCAUAUUUAUGAAAUAACCUUUUUACAAGCCAGACUUGAGGUGUUUUAACAUAGAAAGUAACAUAAAAAAUGGGACAUGGUGGCAUCACAUCCCUGCCAGCAGCACUGUUACCCCAUAUUUCCAUAAUCUGACCUUAAAUAGAAUUUAUAAUUUUAUGGAAACCUCAUGUUCUUCACAAGCUGAUGCAAGUUUUUUGUUUUUGUUUUGUUUUGUUUGUUUUGUUUUUGUCUCUUUUUUACCUCUGGCCCCUUUCAGCCAUGGUUUUUCAUUAUAAUUAUAUAUGGCAACUUCUCAUUCAGUUUUUUUUUUUUUUUCGCCCCUAUUCUCAGUUUUUUUAUUUAUUUAUUUAUUUAUUUAUUUAUUUAUUUUUUAUGAAAUUUAUUGACAAAUUGGUUUCCAUACAACACCCAGUGCUCAUCCCAAAAGGUGCCCUCCUCAAUACCCAUCACCCACCCUCCCCUCCCUCCCACCCCCCAUCAACCCUCAGUUUGUUCUCAGUUUUUAACAGUCUCUUAUGCUUUGGCUCUCUCCCACUCUAACCUCUUUUUUUUUUUUUUUUUUUUUNNNNNNNNNNNNNNNNNNNNNNNNNNNNNNNNNNNNNNNNNNNNNNNNNNNNNNNNNNNNNNNNNNNNNNNNNNNNNNNNNNNNNNNNNNNNNNNNNNNNNNNNNNNNNNNNNNNNNNNNNNNNNNNNNNNNNNNNNNNNNNNNNNNNNNNNNNNNNNNNNNNNNNNNNNNNNNNNNNNNNNNNACCACAAUUUCUUUAUCCAUUCAUCAGUUGAUGGACAUUUAGGCUCUUUCCAUAAUUUGGCUAUUGUUGAGAGUGCUGCUAUGAACAUUGGGGUACAAGUGCCCCUAUGCAUCAGUACUCCUGUAUCCCUUGGAUAAAUUCCUAGCAGUGCUAUUGCUGGGUCAUAGGGUAGGUCUAUUUUUAAUUUUCUGAGGAACCUCCACACUGCUUUCCAGAGCGGCUGCACCAAUUUGCAUUCCCACCAACAGUGCAAGAGGGUUCCCGUUUCUCCACAUCCUCUCCAGCAUCUAUAGUCUCCUGAUUUGUUCAUUUUGGCCACUCUGACUGGCGUGAGGUGAUACCUGAGUGUGGUUUUGAUUUGUAUUUCCCUGAUAAGGAGCGACGCUGAACAUCUUUUCAUGUGCCUGUUGGCCAUCUGGAUGUCUUCUUUAGAGAAGUGUCUAUUCAUGUUUUCUGCCCAUUUCUUCACUGGGUUAUUUGUUUUUCGGGUGUGGAGUUUGGUGAGCUCUUUAUAGAUUUUAGAUACUAGCCCUUUGUCCGAUAUGUCAUUUGCAAAUAUCUUUUCCCAUUCCGUUGGUUGCCUUUUAGUUUUGUUGGUUGUUUCCUUUGCUGUGCAGAAGCUUUUUAUCUUCAUAAGGUCCCAGUAAUUCACUUUUGCUUUUAAUUCCCUUGCCUUUGGGGAUGUGUCGAGUAAGAGAUUGCUACGGCUGAGGUCAGAGAGGUCUUUUCCUGCUUUCUCCUCUAAGGUUUUGAUGGUUUCCUGUCUCACAUUUAGGUCCUUUAUCCAUUUUGAGUUUAUUUUUGUAAAUGGUGUGAGAAAGUGGUCUAGUUUCAACCUUCUGCAUGUUGCUGUCCAGUUCUCCCAGCACCAUUUGUUAAAAAGGCUGUCUUUUUUCCAUUGGAUGUUCUUUCCUGCUUUGUCAAAGAUGAGUUGGCCAUACGUUUGUGGGUCUAGUUCUGGGGUUUCUAUUCUAUUCCAUUGGUUUGUGUGUCUGUUUUUGUGCCAUCUCAUUCAGUUUUGGUCUAAACGUGAUCCUUUCAAAUAGCCUUGCUUGGCUGUCCUAUUUCAAGUAGCAUCUCCAUGCUCAAGUCCAACUCUGUCAAAUCAUUCUAUUUCAUUACUUUCUGAGAAUUUAACAUUUUCUCAGAUUAUCUUGUUUAUUUGCUCAUUAUCCAUCCCUUAUAAUAGAAGAUAAGCUACAUGAAAGCAGUGGUGUCUCCUGUCUUAUUUAUCCAUAGGUCUCUGUCAUCCAAUUGAUGACUGAAUUAGUUACACAUUUUCUAGAAUGUAAAAAAUAAUGAAAUAAUUGCACGUUUUUACUUUUUCUUAAAUAACCUUUGCAAAUAAUAGACUGUAUAUUUUUAAGAUUUUUUAAAUAUUAUUUAUUUUUGAGACAAUGCAAGAGACAGAGUGCAAGCAGCGGAGGGGCAGACAGAGGGAGACACAGAAUCCGAAGUGGGCUCCAGGCUCUGAGCUGUCAGCCCAGAGCCUGAUGCGGGACUCGAACUCAUGAACUGUGAGAUCAUGACAUGAGCCGAAGUUGGAUGCUUAACCAACUAAGCCACUCAGGUGCCCCUAGAGUGUAUAUUUUUUAGAGCAGUUUUAGGUUCACAGCAAAAUUGAGAGGAAGGUACAGGGAUUUCCCAUAUACUCCCCAGCUCUGUAUAUGCAUAGCUUCCCCAUUAUCAAUAUCCUGCACCAGAGUGGUACAUUCAUUACAAUUAGUGAACAGUUACUGAACUUACAUUGUCACAUCAUUAUUACCCAAAGUCCAAAAUUGACAUUAGGGUUUCCUCUAUGAGCCUGGAAAAAAUAUAAUGACAUAUAUUCAUGAUUACAAUAUCAUACAGAAUAUUUUCACUGCCCUAAAAGUCUUUUGUGCUUCUCCUAUUCACUCUCUCCCCACCCACCUUGGCAUCCACUGAUCUUUUUACUGUCUCCACAGUUUUGAAUGCCAUACAGCUGAGACCAUACAGUAUCGUAGACUUCUCAUAUUGGCUUCUUUCACUUCGUAAUAUGCAUUUAAGUUUCCUCCAUGUCUUCUCAUGGUUUGAUAGCUCAUUACUUUUUAGUGCUGAAUAAUAUUCCAUUGUCUGGAUGUACCACAGUUUAUUUAAACAUUCAUCUACUGAAGGACAUCUUGGUUGCUUCCAAGUCUUUAUUCAGUCAGGUGAGUGGGAAAAUAUGAGGACUGUCUAUAAUUUUGUAAUUAUAUGUAACCUUUAUGAUUUCAAGAUGUUGCUAGUGACCCACUGGCCAUAUGUGGAUCAAAGUGUUUUUCUGCAGUGGUGAAGGAUUUGUGCCAAGCUGUCUAUGCUUCCUCUCUUGUUCAACCUCAUGACCACUUUGGCAUUGGUUUGUGGGACAGGGUGUGGGCAUUGGCAGACCUCAAACAUUUUGGAAAGGAAGUUGUUUUUUGGGGGCAGUGGUAAAUCUGUUUUUAGACAUGUUAUUUUUGAGGUGACAGCAGGCUACCAAGUGUGACAUCUACAUGUAUGGAAUUGUAUAUGGUUAGAAAUAAGGUAUUGCAGAUAAAAGAGAUCAUAGUUUGUCCUAAAUAUUUGAGAGUCCUAAGCCUAAAAAUCUUAAAGAAAAAGUGUGGAUGAUCACAAAGUACAGGUUGAUGGUCAUUUUUGAGGAGAGGCAAAGGCAGAUGAGGUUAUAUGUGGGGAGGAUCACUGAGGGGCAAUCUUAAAAAUUAUUGGUAAUCUUUUCUUCCAUAAUCUUGUUGGUAUGUUUUCUAUUAUAUUCAAAUAUCAUGUAUUUUAAGUUAAUUAAAUUUGUAAAAAAGAAUAAACAUGGAUUGCCUUUCUAAAAAAAUGUGCAGUACCAGAGGAAAUUUUCAAUACUUUAGAUGUCUUUUUAAAUUUCAUAAAAUGUUGUUGCUUAGUUGAGAGAAUUCAAGUGAGUGCAAUAUUUUUCCUUAGUUUCCAGCUAUUUCAAGAACACUGUUUUAGUUAUGAAUGAAUUGAUGAUGUUUUUCUCAAUUCUGUUACUCUUGUGUAAACAAACAUAAUUCACUGAACUUUUUUUCAUACUAAUGCUCACUCAUCUACAAAAGACAAUUUCCAAAUACCUACAGCAUAAAGAAUAGAAUUACAGCCUAUGUUAAUUAACACACGAUUUAAAGCAUGACCUAUGUAUCGGUUCCUUAUUGCCAUAAUAAUGCUGUAUAGCAAAUCACCUCAAAAUUUAUUUGCUUAAAAUGUAAGGAUCUUUAUAUCAUAGUUUUAGGCUGGGUGGCAGGAUUGUUGUAGUCUUGGAUGGGUUCAUUCUUGUGCCUGCAGUGUGCUGUGGAUGAGCUAGAAUGCUCUGCUGAUCUUAGAUAGGCUCUCUCCUAUGACAGGGAUACACCAACUGUUAGUUUGUCUAGAAGGAAUCCGACUGGAAACACUGGGACAAUUCUGCUGUGCCUUGCAUGUCUUAUCCUCUAGCAGGCUAAUCUGAACAUCUUUCUUAUGGCAGAGAUAGAGGAGGAAUGUAGAAGAGACAUUUAAGGACUUUUCUGGAGCUUUAGUAUAUUUUUACAGCCUCUGUUGAUGCCAUGUUUGCUAACAGUUGUGGCCAAAGUAAGAAUUAGUAUACAGCAGAACACUCUUCCCAAAGUGGGAGGACAUUACACAUUAUAGGGCAAAGGGCACGGAUUCAGGAUAGAGUAAACGUGGGGCUGUUGAUGCAAUUCAUAUACCACUACAUGGCCUUGCCCUUCCCUUCCCCAUGCCCUUCUGCAUCCUCUCCCUGCCAAUCCACGUCCUGCAUCCUAGCCUUCCUCUGAGUCUCAGGUCUUGUCUUCCUGACUGUGCAAGUGAUUAUUCCAGCCUUUUUAUCCACCCAAGACCUUAAGUUUCUCACUGUUAGCUUCCAUCGUUUCUCCUUCUGUAUCUACAUUCUUGAAUGUUACCUCAUAAAAGAGUAUAUCCAAUCAGACAUGAAGGAUUAAGGAAGGGUUUUGUUUUACAACCCUAUAGAGUCUGAUAGAAGCUGGGCAGUAAUUAGACCAUAAUCAAUAGUUUUUAUUCUUUGUUCAUUGAUUUGUUUUUGUUAAUGUAUUCAUUCAUAAAUCCUCACUGUCUCUUUCUGGAGUUCUAGUACAUUAACAUUUAUUUUUGUUGGUAAUUGAAUAUAACCCAUCAAUUCCCUCCUUCCUUUUAUUGCCUUUUUUCCUUCUUCCCUUCCUCCCUUGUUUACUUCCUUCUUUAUUUAGUUCUUUUUUUUCCUUUCUUAAUUUUUGAAAACUUUUCUCUAGAUAUAAGGAUUUUAACUUAUUGAAGAUAAAGAGGCUCAAAACCCUUUUCAUCACAGUUAAUUAGAUUUCUGACUCACUCUCCAUAGCUAGUAUUUCUCCAGGCAUAUUGCUUGUGCAUACCCCCCAAAACAGGUGUCAAAACACAUUAAAGGCACAGCCUCCUAAAACAUCAAAGUCGUGUGUUCUUUAUUUUUUUUAAGUGCCACCACAAAGCUACAAACCUGUCUAAAUUAGUCAUGUGAACUGUAUUACUGUCAAGAUGUAGUUAAUUCAGGUGCUGCCCUCAGUAUUGAUCUCAUUAUCUCAUUUAUAUAUGUAUAAAAUUCUGCUUUAAUCCACAUUCCAAAUCUGAAUAAUUUAUGCAGAGACCAAAGGUAUGGCAGGCUAGCAAAUAAUUUCAGGACCUUUACAGAGAUGCCAGGUAAAAGCAAAGAGCUGGAAAGUAGAAAAGAAACAAAACAAGUCUUGUUAGGUGGACUGUUCAAGAGGCAGGCACACUAGAUAUUAAAUACAAGCCUCCAAUUUCUCAGUGAAAGGUUCAACAAGAACCUCCAGAGUCUAGAUUUUCCACCAUGGAGAUGACUUUAGCCUAGGCCACCAGCAACAAAGAUUUGAAAAAUACUGAAAGCAAAAUCCACAUUAAAUUUAUCACAAUUAAGUGGUAUGUUGGAGUAGGAAAGGAAACCCUAAAACACACUUUUGAACCUAGGAUCAGUUGGGCAAGAAAUGUAAUAAGGCAUUAUUACCCUCAUUAUAUAGUUGGAGAAACUUAACUGUGUAACAAACAAAGCAGCUGAGUGACUUGUGCUACCAAAUUCACACAACUAGCAGGUGCAGGAGAAUCUGAGUCACUUUCCUUUGCCUCCUCAACAGAAGACUGAAAGCAUCAUCCUAUCCUAUAUGUAAAAUAUCCCCAGAUUUACUGCAAAAGGACUUCCUCACAGCAAACGUGAGUCCACUGGAGAGUAAAUACAGAGAGCCUUCCUUGGUUUUUAAAGAUUUUGUAAUCCAAGUUAAUUAAGUAUCUCAUUACAAUCUGUUACUAUUUUUUGAGACAAGUAAGAAAAACAAAAUGAAAGUGAUAAGCUUGGGAGAAAUGGGGUCCAUUUUUAAGCAAGCCCUCUAGUUAAAGACUCUUCUCCUUUCCUCUUUAUUCUCCCACUUAAAACCAACUGUGACAUUUCACUCAGUGCCUUAUGAUAGAAUAUCUCUUUCCCUUAUUUUUUUUUCUUUUGAUUUCUUUCUUUCUUUUUUUUUUUUUUUUUCCUUGAAUAAACUGCUGCAUGAGCUUUCCCCCCACCUCCCUGUAGUCCUAAUAUACCCAGGACAUUCUCUCACAUGAAAUCUGCCAGGUUGGUCUGCCUGCUCAUGUUCCCACUGUUCUCAUAAGAAAAGAGAGGAAGGGGGCUCAAUGCCUGGAGUGUGUGAAAAUGGGAGUAAGGUGAAGGCAGAGUGUGGCAGGUAUUGUCCCGAGGGCAUGGAUGGAUAAUCACUCCUGUCACGGCAAAUAGACUCUGUCACAAGGAAUUCCGUGGUUUUCCAGAGGAAAUGAGCUUUCCCUGCAGGCUGCCAAGCCCAAAUGAGCUCCUUACAGCACCUGCAGAUCUGAGCAUCAAGCAAUUAUUCCACUAUCUUGCCUAAAAACAAAGACUGUGCUACCCUUUGACAACCUCUGACCUUUUCCAGCUAACAUAAACUAAUUAUAUUUGCAGCAGGAGGGGAGGAAGGCUUUCGUAGUCCUCUGUGGGAGUUGUCCUUCAUGCUUUGUGCCAUGUUGUCAGUUCUGGCAAUCCAAAAAAUGACCACCCUUCAAUCAAGGGGGUUGUUGGACGAAGCGCUUAAAGAGAUACAGGGAGGCCCUUAUCACAAAUAAAUCUCACUGCCCAGGAUUUAGCAAUGUGCCUGAGUGGCCCACACUGUCCAUUUUGCAGUGGUACAAGGGAGCCAUUGUUAAGUGUCACUUAGCAGCAAUUACAGCCUGGUCAAAACAGUUUUGUUUUGUUUUGUUUUGUUUUGUUUUGUUUUUGCACAACUUAUUAAUGGGCUCACCAUUAGGUGUAAGGAAUAACCCAAGCCACGGGCACUGAAACAAGGUUAGAGGUUAAUUGAGACUUUCUAUCUCAACAGCCUGAGAUUUUGCAACCUUAUGCUGAGAAGACAGUCUUGAACAAAAAGAUAAUAUGAUACAAUUAGUUGGAAAGGAAGAGGGUCAAAAUUCCCAGAUGAGAAAGGAAAACUGGCCAAGGAAAUCAGGCCAGAGGGACCACCUGGACCACUUUGGAUGCCAAGAAUAUCUGUGGCCAUUCAUCUGGUGGAUGAGGCGGAAAGUGGUGUGCCCGCCAUUCAUCACAUCUCUCUUCUCUACCAAAGAAAAUACAAGGUCAGUGCUGUAAACAGUAGGCACCCCAGAGUAAUUGAAAUUCCAGAAACUGCCUCAUUAGAAGAGCUCACAGGCAAUCAGGUUUUUCUUUUCCUGCUGAAGGUAUAUUCAUCCCUUGAAAUUGCAUGGCUGGCCUUCUUCAUGGUGACUAAAGCUGCCAGGGAGGUUUUCUGAGAGUUUUUGAAGGACUGUGUCUAAAUAAAUGGAUGCCUUCAUAGUUGAGGGAACGUGGCCCAUCAGGACUUCUUGGGCUUGCUUGCUAGGCCAUGGCAUGCCCGAAGUCCACACCUGCUCAUUCCUUCUUCUCUAUCAACAGGGCUCCUCUUUCUCCAUUCCUUCUAGGUCAGAGUCAACAUAUUGUGUCUUAAAUUCAGCAGCAGCAGCUCUUUAUCUAGAAACCCAGGCCUUGAAAAUAUUGUUGUAGGUCUCUGGGAUUUAGUAUUUCUUAGUUUUUUUUUAAAAAACCCCCUCCCUCAGCCCCACCCCCAACACAAACUUUGACACAUCCAGCUGGCAGACCCCUCUGACUGGAAGUUGACUAAAAAUUGCCAACUCAUUUUCUUUCUUUCAUUUUUUUUUCUUUCCAGUGCAGCUGGUGCCAAAAUGUGAUGAUUUGUUUUGCUCCAGUCACUGAAGUUUUUGUUUUCUUUUAUUUCAACCCCCUGCUGGCUUCCCAACUUGGUGCUGAGUCAUCUGGUGCAGGUGUUCUGAGCGGCUGGUAUUUAUGUCACUCGCAGAUGGUUUGGGUAAAUUACACGAUGUUCCUGCAGCCCCGUCGAGGCUCUCUCAGCUCUCUUUGAUCCAAGGGCUUCCUGUGGCUCCUGCACAUGUGCAGGACUUCAGGGCACUGGGUGAACUCUUGGAUGGAUUCUAUCCAAAGAUGGUUAGGUUGCUCUGAGCCCCACAGACUGAUGGGCUCCAAUUCAGGCUAAGAGAAGUUGACUAGGACAGAGAAUUCUGAAAUCACAAGGCACCACAGCUUAACCUGCACAGGGAGUUACGUGCCCAGUGUUCAAUAUAACAUGAUUAAGUUUACUAUACAGCUGCCUAAGGAAAUUGGGACAAAAGGGACCUCAUUCUGUCUGUGAAGAAGGGUGGGAGUCAUCUUAGAAAAAUUAGACCUGUUAUGUGGCACUGUCAAGUCUUAGAAAUACACGUUUAGUGUUCUUUUUCUUGCCUCUUGUUUAACCCCACUGUGUCUCUAGCUUCUAUUCCCAUGCUUGAUGCAAAGGCUGGUCACAUAAGAAUCUUAAAACUUCAUUCAUUUAUGCUUUAGACACAGAACAUUGGUGAGGAGCUUACAGAUCCUUGAUCCCUUCCAUCUGAAAAGACUCAUCACUGUACAAUACUACAUUGAUUUUCCUGGAGUGACCACCCUUCCAAAGAGUUUCUCAGAAAGAAUGACUUUCAGUGCUAAAACCAAAAUAGUCCUGGGCAAGUGAUGAUCACCUUAAUGUAUGUGGAGGAUUACCUGGAAAACUUCUUAAAAUGCACAUUUCUGGGCUUCUCUGGUACCCAGGGGUAAUGAUUCUGUUGGUCUGGAGUGGGGCCUGAGGAUUUGCAUUUGGAACAAGCACCAGGGUGAUGGUAAAAGUGCCAGAUCAGGGCUGUAUUUUGAGUUGCAAGCAGCUAGACAAUCCUUUGCUAUUUUCUAGCAACUUUAGAAGAGGAGAUCACAUGUAGGCGAGGGUAAUAGUGAAGAACACAGAUGCUAGAGCAGGGCACAGACUACAGAAAGGCAUUAUUUCUUUAAAAAGUGACUUACCCUGAAUGUAGCAGACAGCUGCUGCCAUAUGAAACACCAACCAACCAAUCUGGGUGGCAUACAACAAUAAACAUAUCCUCACAUUCACAGAAUGACAGGCCCAAUGUGGCUCAGCAGAUCUGGGCUCUGCUGGGGGGCUGUGUUUCACUCUGUAGGUUGGGUGCAGGUGUCUUCAGCAUACCUCAUUCUGGCAACCUGACACAUGUUUUUUUCUGAAGGUGGAGGUCACAAGUAGAAAUCUGAAAAGUUUCUGAACACUCAGACUCGGAACUGGCACAACAGUACUUUCACACACAUUCCACUGAAUAUAGCCAGUCAAGCCCAAAGUCAAUGGAGUGGGGCAGUACAUUCUUCCACUGAAAUGGGUGAACAAGUAAAUAUUUGCUGAAUAAUAAUCUAAUCUAUACAGUGAACUCAAAGUUUGAAAAUUAUCCAGCCUGGUGACUGAAAUGUAAUUGCUUCGUGUCUCAUAACAUGCAACUGACUUUCAGGUUCUCUUAGCACAGAGGUAGAGAUAGUAGCUGAAAUAGUUACUAAAUCCUGUCAUACAGAUCCCAGUUACUCUCAUUUAAAAAAAAUGUUUAACAAUAAUUAUUUCUGAGAGACAGAGAGAGACGGAGCAUGAGCAGGGGAGGGGCAGAGAGAGAGAGACAGAGACAGAAUCCAAAGCAGGCUCCAGGCUCUGAGUUGUCAGCACAGAGCCCGACACGGGGCUCAAACUCACAAACCGCGAGAUCAUAACCUGAGCUGAAGUUGGUCACUUAACCAACUGAGCCACCCAGGAACCCCCCAGUUAUUCUCAUUUUUAAAAGAAAUCUCCUUGAUAUUUUAAUAUAUUUGAUUAUUUUGUAGGAAACCAAAGGGAAUAUAGAAUAAACAAUGUUAACCCAGUUGUAAGUUUUGUUUAGGAAUAAGGGUUCUGUAAUUUAUUUUAUUUUACUUUAUUUUAUCUGAAAUAUUUUAUAUCUCAUUUUCAUUACCCUUUCCUCUGAAGUCCUUAACCAGUUUGCAUUCAAUUAAAUAAAAGUAUAGAUUCAGUGGCUUUUCCCUACAUAAACAUUAUAAUAGUUGAUGUUAUAAUAAGGUAUCAUGUAAAAGAUUUAGAGAGAAAACACAAAUAACUAUCAAAAUAAGUAAGUACAUUAAGAAAUCAUUUUGACUACACUAGAACUACCUUGUUCUUUAAACAAAUAAGCUAUUCUUGAUUUUUAGCAAAGGGCUUUAAAUGGGAUUUAUUUGUAUACUAGGAUUAUUUAUCAUUGGUAGGACCUUCUGGAGGAUCAGUGUUUCCAGAAUGUUGGUGGUAUCAUCCAUUGCUCACUGAUUAGGUCUUUUCCGGCAGAGCAUGAGGUUGUCAUUGGUUUAGCAAAGGGAUGUCUUUGUCAAAGUUAAGGAAAUCAAUUUGUUAUUUGUAUGGCUCAUAAAACAUAAACAUUUGUUACUGAGCCCCCGAAAAGUCUCUAUUAUAAAAAGACUAGCUAAUUUUUUAAGCUAUCUUCAAUCAGGAUCCAGGUUAUACACCAUGGUAUCUGUAGCUUUUUGGCUGGGUCACAGUGACCUGCACAUAACCCUGGCAGCAGGCCACCAGACACAGUGUUUUCAUCCUUUUGGUGUGCCAGUGUAUCAAGAAUCCACAGUUCUCAUUGAAAUGACCAAUGGAAGACUAGUGCAAAUAGGUCAUCAGUUGGGAUUGUUUCUACAAAGGGUACUAAUUUUCUUGCAACUGCUAUAAAGGAUCAAAGGUAAAUUCCAUUUUGUGCUGCUAAUCACUCCACUAAAUUUUAUGUAGGAAAAACCCGGUUAAAAUGAAUUACUGUGGCAGCUUUGAAGGGGAAAAAACAAGGAAAGGAUUAUAUAAAAGUACACUAUGCAACCUAAUAAAUAUGCAGGGAAGUGGGGAUGGAUAUUGUUAACAAGUAUCUGCUACUCAAGAUGACCCCUCUACUACUAUGGUGUUCAAUUUCAUAGUCACUAGUAAUAUGGGACUAUUUAAAAUAAAGUUUAAUUAAAAUUUAAAAUUCAGGUCCUCAGCCAUAUUAGCCACAUUUCAAAUGCUCAGUAGCCCCAUGUGACUAGUGGCUACCAUAUUGGAGAGUACAGAUAUGCAACAUUUUCAUCACUGCCAAAAUUUCUAUUGUUCAGCAAUGAUCUAGAGGAGGUGUUGGACUUAGUGCUUGUAUACUGAAGACAUAAUUUAUUUUAGUAGUGCUAUAAAACUCUUUCUCAGCUCCUGCUCUAUAGUAAAGAUUACCCUAAAAGACAAACCUAGAGAAUUGACUUACCAUUAAUGAACAAACUGCUAGUACUGAUAUUAAUAUUUCUGCUCCUGAUGAGCACUUGCUAUGUGCCACAAAUAUGCAACAUUAACUAUGUCCAAAGGAGGAGGCAGGAGCAGGCUGCUGUCUGGAAAGAAGAUGACUUUGUUCCAUGCUUCCCAUGCUUACUUUGUCAUCCAAGGUUCCCUCCCCACAAUUUAGGAGAUCUGAGUUUUAAUGAAAUAUAGGGUGUAACAAUCUAAGGGUAUUAACUAGCUUUUUUUUUCUUCCCUAUAUUUCUUUAUGGAUAUACAGAGUGAGAGACUUCUUACACUAUUUCACUUCAUCUCCAAAAAUUGUAAAUACCUAUUAGACUCCUCCAUCUUGAUGAUAUAUGAUAACUGAAAAGCCAAACCAAUUCUUAAAUGCCAUGACUCCCAGGUUCCAAAGGAUGUAUGUAGAUUGGGACUCAGAUUCAGUUCUUACCUCUGUCAGAGAGGAUAUGGCUCCUGUUACUCUUAGAAAGAAUCUAUGUUCCAGAAUCUGCUCUACUGCACACCACUGAAUUCUGGCAUUUUCAAAUAUUGUAUCAUUUCGUUCUCAUAUUAGGGAGUAAGAACUAUCUGUGGGUUACUUUGAGAAAAAUUACGUUAAGAGAAAAGAGCUGACUCAAGAUCACAAUUAAAUAAAUUUAUUUGAACCUAGGGCAUUUGCUUCUGUUUGUCAUUGUUUUUUUACUCACAGCUACUGUUACUGGGAUAACUAUCUAGAAUAAGACAGUAGACUCUGCCAGAAAUUGGGGUUUGGGGAACAAGGGGGAAUGAGGAUAAGAAUAAGGACUGUAUCCAAGAGGAAAGGAGAAAAGAAAGUGUAGAGUAUUUAAGCUCUCACCAAAGAGGCUGAGAUUUAAUAGGAACAGUGGGAGCAGAUUCAGGAAACCAAGGCAGAAAUUCAGUUAUAGGAUCCAAGCAAUCAGAGGAAGGUUGCACUUAGGAGAUUUGUGGGUUCGCAAGCUCACCCCAGAAACAAAGGCACAAGACUGAUGCCACUAAAUGGACAGAUUAGGAUCCUAGUUUCCUUCCAAGAUUAAGUAAAAUUAUACAGUUUGGAUAUGGAUUGCCAUUCUCAAAGUUUUUGAAGAAAGAAAAUCUGUACCCUCGUCAUUUCACUUACUGAAUUUAAGGUUAGCCAUAAAAUUUCAGAGGAAGAAGAUGUCAUGUAUUCACUGUUUUGAAUGAGAUAUUACUAUUUACAGUCAGAAUAAAAUAAAGUCAUAGAAAUACAAACAGAACAUAAGAAAUUGUUGAGUGUUGUACUUCAGGAUAGUUAGUAAUGAAAAUAUUCUAUUCUACUCAGUUUAUAGUAAAUUACUCUCAUAUAGGACACAGAACCUAAGUCUUAGAACACCAAGGAUUGUCCAGCCCUGUUUUACUGCAGAGAAAAUUUGCCAUAGUUUUUGCAUUUGGAAACUUUUUCUUAUGUUACACAAGGUAAAAAUAUAAGCUCUUUAGCACCUGGAAUUGUUAGUGAGGUAUAACUAGGGUGACAGUAUAAUUUAUCGUCCAAAUAGAGACACUUUUGAGAAUGGAUGUAAUUAUUUAUAAUUACACUAGAACCACAGGUGUAAACCAGAACCAUCCAAGGCAAAGCAGGGCACACUGUCACUCUAGGUAUAGACCACAUCUGCAUGCAAUUGGAUUCAUGACAUUUUCCCACCUCAGUUGCUGAAUAUGACCCAAAGGCUGCUCUUUUCUGUCAGCUGAUAUACACGGUGAUUGAAAUAAUAAUGUAAAUACACAGUGAUGAAGACGUCUAACACUCAUUUUAAGUAAAAAUAAUGAGGGUAAAGAAAAAUGUAACUGAUCAUUGUUGUUGAGUUUUUAUUUUUUAAAAAGCAGUCACUUGACAUAGUACAUCUUAAAAAAGGAUGUCCGGUAACCGAUGCCCAUUCAGCAUGGAAGAGUAUCUCUCUUUAAUUUUUAAAAAAUUAUCAAUUUCCUACAAUCUUCAAGGCACCGUGUUUGAUAUUCUAUUUUGGAUGUGUCCUUAGUCACCACGGGAAUUUGGAGGUUGUCACAGUGUUUGGGUGGUAUUUACUCGAUGGGGACCUGCACUUGUAGAUGCCCUGCACUGUGUUGGAUAGUCUUGCACAGCAAAGAAGUGUCUCAGGUCCCAUCUGACAUUUAUGUGCAUGAAAAAUGUGUUUAUAAAUACCUAAGCCUAAAACUUAACUCCAUUUUAUAUAUAAAUGCAAAAUAUCUUUCUUACACUGUUUUAAUUGUAACUACCAUACACAUUGAAGGAAUAUGCCUUUUGUUUUAUUUGGCACUUUAUCAAGAAUUGUUUAUUAUUUUAGAGAAUCACCUCACAGAAGGCAACCCCAGUCAUCACAGUUGAGUGGCGACACAACACACCUGCAUUUGUAACUGACAUUCAAGGUGACCCUUGAAUGAGUAAAGACUGACAAUUUAAUUAUAUCUUACAAUGUAGGUAUGCCUAAGCAAUUACGUGUUGAAAUACUUACUUUAUCAUAAAUUAUUUUCCUCAUAAUUUCUUUUACAAUUUAUUUUUACAACAUAUUUAGAGCAUUAUGUUGACUUAAAAUAAGUGUGUGGGAGGCUCAUAUUAUCUAUGAAUUUAAGUGCAGUAUAGUAAAUGCUAUGUUAUAAAAUCUCUGAUAUAAAUACAGGCCUUUGAGUUUUAUUGGGCUUUGGACCAGGGCUCCAAAGCAGUGUUCCCCACAGUAUAGCCCUAGAAUUGGCAAGGAGUUCAUUAGAAAUGCAGAUUUUUAAGUUUUACUCCAGAUCAACAGAAUCAUAGUCUCUUAGGUGGUAUCCAAGUGAUCUGUGGUUUAACAAGUGUUAUAGGUGUUAUACAUGCUAUUAUUGUGCAAAUUUGUGGAUUACUGUUCCAGGUAAGACAAAGAUGAAUGAUAACUUGGCUUCAAAGAAUAUAUAGUCUAACAGGCGGCAUAAAGAUAUCUUCCUACUUGAGUUAGUGAUAGACUGAACAUGACAUAUCAACAGCAUAAAGCUAGAUUCUGAGACAAGUUUAAACUACACAACCCCGAUUAAAAUGAACAGGACUCAUGCUGUUAAGACUCGGUACAGUCCUAAAAACAUACCCAGCAGAGUAUUUAAGCUGUUCCAAAACACGUCAUUCUCUACUUUUUAACAGGGAGUGAACAGCUGGGAUGUGUUAUUAGUAAGCCAUGUUUUCAUAGGCUUUCUGGUUUUCUUUAGCCAAAGUCUUACAACAGUCUUUGGACAAAUUAGUGCCUGAAGCUAUAGGAAGUCUUUAGUCGUUUUGGAGAACUGCUGAGUAAGUCAAGUCUCAAAGACAGCAUGCCCACACGGACUGACUUUGCCACCUUUGGCCUCUCCACCUUGGAAAUGCCUUCACAACCAAUUACACUAUUCUCAAAUGUCUAUUUACUUUUAAUGACUCUAGUUAAAUGUUAAGAGUUAUUCCGAUGACCCAGUUCAAGACUAGCAGGAAAAGCUUAAACAAAUCAAUAGACUAAACUGAGAAGCUCUCAAAUGAAUGAGCAAGAAUCAAAUCAACAUUUUAAUAAAAGAGCAACACAUUGUUGAAUGUCAAUAUGCCUUGGUGGUACUGAACCAGAUCUUACCUUUCAAAAGACAAUAAAAAGAUCAAUAUGGAAGCAACGUUGGAACAUGGAACAUGGAAGCUUUCUGUUCCUAGACAGUCUCACAUUCACUUUGGCUCCACAGCAUUGUUUUUUUUUGUUCCAAAUUGUCAGCACAGUGAUCUAGCCUCUCCCAUGUUAACCAAAACAACUCCCAGAGAUAUUCUUCCUGUAUUUUUUUGUUGGGAAAAAUCCUGAAACAUUAUCUCCUCCUGUCAUACACAAGAAACUGCCUAAGGUUCUUCCUUGUGUUGCCUCUUAUUGUUGGGAUCUGCAUGGGUAUUCUGUUUUAACUUUGUUUUAUUUUCAGUGCUGCUGGUCAGUCAUUACUGAAUCCUAGCAAGCCCAUUUAUGUCAGAUUCUACACCUGAAGGUGUAUUCAAAAUAUUGUUACAUGCCCUUUGUUCACAACAUCUAGUGUCCAUUUUUUAUGGCCUGUAGGCAACUUCUGUAACUGUAUAACUCCCACUUGGGAGUGAGAGAGAGAGAAUGGUGCCAAUUCUUUUGAUAAUUCAGGAUGCAAAAAUCUAUAUGCUAAAGUCAUCUGGAUAAAAGUAUAAACUCCUCACCUUACUUUGGCUGGAAACAACUUCACAUUAACAUUCACAUCCCCUUUGGUACUGAGAGCUGCUCAAGGAAGCAUUUAGCAACAGGUGGUCCUGGUUGCACUUAAGCAAUUCCCCCUAGGGAACAACACAUGCUUACACUGUAGAUUCCCAGGCCAGUAAACCCAAGACAAAAUUACAACUCCCAGUAGUCAGCUCAUUUAGUUUUACACAAUGGAGUCCAUCCUCUUUGUUGGGAAUGGAAAAUGUAUUCCUUUUAGAAAAAAAGUAUAGUGUAAUAGAAGAGGGGGAAACUCAUUGGAAAUUAACAGACUCAGGAGAUAAUAAAAGUUCUGCCAAUGAUCAGCCCUGGGAUAUUAGUCAAGAAUUUAAAAUUUCUGUUCAUUAACAGUGUCAGUGUGUAUAAAAAUUAAAAGUUUAAAAAUCCUAGAUGGCCUGUGAAAGGACUUUAGGAGGUGCACAUAUGCAUUCAUUUGGAUAAAAAUUUGGUGCUUCUCAGCAUAUGCUUUCUACAGAUUUUUACAAGGGUAGAUAUGACCCCCAAAAUUAAAAAUCAUGGGAUUAAACUUCUCCAAGGAAACUUUACUACCCUAAUGUUCUAUUUAGUUCAUUUCAGCAAAAAUUUAUUGAAAACUUUUAAUAAGCCAGUAUGCUGUGUCAGGCUCUUAAAAUAUAUGGACAGACAAUACAUAGACCUUGCCUUGCAGUUUUUUUUUUUACCAUGAGUUUACAGUCCCCGACUAUAAAGAGAUCAAUUGCACCAGAUUUAUCUGGUCUCUUAUAAUCUGGGUUUCAUCUCAUUCCCAGCUAAAAUUUUAUACUUAGUCCACGGGUGACUCUUAUUCACAAAACCAAAUGUUAUCACCUAAAAGUACCUGCAUCCUCUGAUUGUUUAUUACAAAUGCAGCAUAUCUGACUUCACCCUAGAUCUCUCUCUCUUUUUUUAAAAUAUUUAUUUAAUUUUGAGAGAGAGAGAGAGAGACAGAGCAUGAGCAGAGGAGGGGCAGAGAGAGGGGGAGACACAGAAUCUGAAGUAGGCUCCAGGCUUUGAGCUGUGAGCACAGAGCCCGAUGCAGAGCUCAAACUCACAAACUGUGAGAUCAUGACCUGAGCUGAAGCCAGACGCUUAACCGACUGAGCCACCCAGGCGCCCCACACCAUAGAUCUCUUGAACCAGAAUUCACAUUUUAACGAAAAGUGAUUCAUAUACAUGUUAAAGUUUGAGAAGCUCUGUCUAUAAUACCCAAUAGUUUGACUUCACCCCUCUAAACUAAAGAAAUAAAUGAUACAAUCUGUAUUCUAGAGAAGCCUUAACUUUAAUGUCAUCAUUACUUUUGUUAACAUAAAAUAUUCAGAAUUCUUAUAAUCACUUAGAAUAAUGAAAAAAAAGUAGAACUAGUGUGUAGGAAGAAAAUCUACCUCCUUAUUUCUUUGUCUAAUAUCUGGGCUUAAUUUGUUGAGUUAGGGGAUAGAAUUGAUAUCCUUAGUAUUGUGAUUCAUUGCAACUGCUCAAUAAAUUUUGAAUGGACAAAUAUCAAAGAACAAUACAACAAAAGAAGUCAGGAAUAUUGGUUGAAAAGAAAGGAAGUGACUGCUACUUCUGGGCAAGGUGGAAUACAUCAUGUUUACCCUCCCGUCUGGAACAAGAGAAAAACAGACAAAACAUAUGAAACACCAGUUUUCAAGACACUGGAAAGGAGACAAUAUCAGUGAUGCGUGAGAGCUGGUAAAAAAAAAAAAAAAUUAGAUGAGCCUUUCCAUUACCCUAGAUGACUGCCUUAAGAUAGUUGCCAGAGGAUAGCGUAGUGAGGGGUGCUCAGAAAGAGCCCAGCAGACUCUUUACUAUCAGGAGACAGAGCUGAGAGUCUACAGAGAACAGCAUAGUUGUAUACUGAUCAGUCCAUUUAUAUGACGAAACUAUUUGAAGCUGAGGAAGAAAUCACUGAAAGGAUUAGACACUGUUCUAAGUGGACCCACAGGUACUAGAAAUACUGCCUGUUCCUAUUAGCCAGACUAGAAAACCUCAAGAUUUCCUGGGGCACUGUGUGGGGUACACAAAAAGAUGUUGCCUCAGUAGUAGAGAAUAAUUAGUCUAGAUUGAGCACUGUGUUGGUCUUACUGAACAAAUCUUAAAAGCAAGAAAGAAGGAUUAAACUUCCAAUUAAUUAUCCUUAAACAAAAUUCAAGAGUAUUUAGAGAAAUACAAAAUUAUUCAGCACUCAAGAAGGUAAAAUUCACAAUGUGUGAUAUCCAAUCAAUUAUUAGCUUACAUGCAAAGAACAAGGAAGAAAAGCCCAUAAUGAGGAAACAAAUAAAUCAUGCCAAACCAACCCUGUACUGAUCCAGAUGUUAGAAUUAGCAGAUGAGGGCACUAUUAAAUUUUAAAUGAAUUGGGGCACUUGGAUGCCUCAGUUGGUUAAGUCUCUGACUUUAGCUCAGGUCAUGAUCUCAUGGCUCUUGAGUUUGAGCCCUGUGUCAGGCUCUGUGCUGACAGCUCAGACCCUGGAGCCCGCUUUGGAUUCUGUGUUUCCCUCUCUAUCUGCCCCUCCCAUGCUCAUGCUCUGUUCGUCUCUCUCUCUCUCUCUCUCUCUCUCUUAAAUAAACAUUAAAAAAUUAAAAAAUAUUUUUGGGAAUAAAUUAAUUACUAUCUUAAAAACAAAAACAAAAACAGGAAAUGUCAUGCUUUUACAAGAAACAUCACCACCUGGUGGUAUUUCCAGGUUUUGCCAGUAAAGACACUUAAAAAGAGGAAGUCUUUGUGUGGUUUUUCUUGGGGUUCACAAAUACUUGCAUAAAUAAUACAAUCACUUGUGUAAAUAAACAUUUUAACAAUUACAUAGACUAUUUAUACUAGUAGUGUUCAACCACUUAUAUAAGUUAUAUAUUCAUACAUUAUUGUAUUACUAUACAGACACAUAUGUAUAUGUAGACACAUUUAUGAGUUUUCAGAACUAUGUAAAUUAUAUAUGCAGCUAGUAAAUAGACUUUUUGAAACAGUUGUUGUACUGAAAGUUAAGUGUAAUUCAUUAUCCAGUAAGAAAGGCCUUGUCUUCCUUAUAGCAUUGCAUUCUUAGACAUAAUUUACAAAAAAAAUUUUAAUGUAAUUUAAAUAUCCUAUCAUAACCACUCUGUAUCCUAUUACCUGGAUUAUUCUUUUCAUAUAAGUAAUUUCCAUCUCAUUUUCUCAUAUAUUCAUUUAUGUGUUGAUUGUUUAAUAUCUUGCCAUUAAAAAGUAAGUCCUUUGAAGUUUUAUCUCCCCACUGUAUCCCCAAUACCUAGAAUAAUCUCUAGUAUGUAGUAAGUACUCAGUAAACAAAGUUUAAAUAAUUGCUUCACAUUCAAAGCAUGAGAUGAGUUUAAUGAGUCCUGAGGUUUCAACAAUCAGAUAUAACGAGGGUAUAUGUAAAACAUAUUUAUGCAUUUUUUGUGCAGUUAUGUGCAUAUUUAUUAUAAUCCCAAAUCCAUUUUAUAGUAAGUUUUGCAUAAUCAGAUAUCAACUUUAUUGGCCAAUUUUAGUUUCUAGCCAGGCAGUUAUUUAUUUGGCAAUUUGAUAUUUGAUAUUCUAAAAUAAUGGUUAAAAAUAUGCCUAUGGAGCCAGCCUGGGGUCAAACCUUGAUUCUACUUCUUAUUUGCUAUGUACAUUGAUUAACCCAUUUAUCAGGAAACAGAAACUAUUCUAGGUAUUUUCAACAGGGAGAUUAUAAUACAGGCAUUUGAUUACCCUGGGAGUAGAAGGUUUAAGAAGCCAAAAGGGGUACUGAGUUCUCUAAAAGAUCAGCAAAAACAGGAAGACAUCACCACAGUUAACAUGAAAAUUCAAUAUAUAGACUGUGUUGCAGGAGCUCAAGAGUCAGGGUCGAAGACAAGAUUAUCAGACUUCUGGGGACCAUGGGCAGAGGGGCUGUCAGGUGAGAGCUGGAGCCAUACAGGGUACACAACUACUGACAGAGAUGCAGUCAAGAUAGAUAGAAGUAAAGGGAGAAAUACAUUGGUUUGCUCCUUUCUUCUGCCCUCUGUUCACUUGCUCUUAUAACUCAUUGGACAUAACAGCCAUAAGCUGUUUGGCAAGGAAAUCUGAGAAAAAUAGUUCUCAAAACUCUGUAGGCUCUGGUUAACCCAUCUUUAAGUUGCCUAAAUGAACAUUUUGUCCUCUAGCUUUGCUUCAGGAUCUUUCCACAAACUUUCUCUUACACUGGAAUAAUCUUCCUUCAUCUCUUCUCUUGGUUACCUGUUCCUAAUCCUUCAGAUUUUACUGUCUGUGUCACUUCUGUAAGAAGCUUCCUCUGAUUCAUCAGAUCAGGUUAAGCUUUUCUGUUUUACAUACUCUUGGAGAAUUUACUACAUCCCUGAAAAUAGCAUCAGAAUUUGAGAUUAUGAAUUUACUUGAGCUCUUGUGUUGAGAAUGUCUUUCUUUCUCACUAGGUAACAUGCUCCAUGAGGUCAUUUUUCCUCACUGUAGACUCUUCAGAAUCUAACACAAAGCUGGCACUCAUAUAUUUGUUGAAGGAUAUUUCUCUACCCAUAUCCUCAUCCCUGUUUUUGAAGCACCAUUAGGUCCCAGGCUUCCCAAACAAACCAAGUGCAGCCUUGAAAUGUUAUCUCAAAUUCCUAGACAUGUAGAGUACCAAGUUACCACUCAAAUCAGCUUGCUUAAUGGAAAUUCCAAAAUGAAAACCCGCAAACACUUCUCAACUCCAUAGCAUCUUCUCUACAAAAAUCCCGACUGAAAUACUUAACUCCGUCUAAUUCAGUUUCAAAGAUAAUUUUGACAAUUGUGUUAGAGUUCUCCAGAGAAACACAACCAAUAGAAUCUCACAUAUAUAAUUUAUAUGUAUUAAAUUAAAAAAUAUAAGAACAUUGGCAUACAUGAUUACAGGGGCUGACAGGCCCCAAGAUCUGAAAUUGGCAGGCUGGAGAUCUAAGAGGGGUGAUAGUACAGUUCCAGAACAAACCUGAAGGCCUAAGAACUAGGAGAACUGAUGGUGUGAUUCCAGACCAAAUGCCAGCAGGCUUGAGACACAGGAAGAGCCAAUGUCUUAGUUCAAUUCUGAAGGCAGGGAAAACAAAACAAAACAACAUAAAACAAUGUCCCAACUUGACAGCAAUCAAGCAGGAGGGAUUUCCUCAUACUCAUGGAAGAGCCAGUGUUUUUUAAAUUUUAUUCAGGCUUGCAACUGAUUGGAAGAGGCCCAGCCACAUUAGGGAGGGUAAUCUGCUUUACUCAGUUUCCUGAUUCAAAUGCCAUCUCAUCCAGAAACACCCUCACAGACACACCCAGAAUGGUUUUUGAUAAAAUGUCUGGGCACCCCAUGACUCAGUCAAAUAGAUGCUUUAAAUUAAACAUCACAAGUUCAUCUCUUGUCAACUUGGCACCUAUACACAUCUCCUUAAACUGUACUUAAUCUCAAAAUAAAAACAACAGCAAAGUCCUAAUAUGGCCUAACAUGAUUCAGCUAUUCUGGGUACAGCUGAAAACACACUAACUCCUUCCCCAGUAGAGGAAGUAAAGUACUCCAUGACCUAAAUACUACAAUGUAAAACUAAUAAUGUUUAAAAACUAUGACAUAAAGUCAAUACAUCUUAUAUUACAUGAUAAGGGAAAGAGAAGGAAGCAAAGAUAUUGUUCUCUUAUAGUCACACACACAAAUAUAUUCAUAACAACAACAACAAAAGGAAAUACUCAUGACAAUUACUGUCCUCAUUUCUGUAACUGGUCACAAGGUCAUAGCUAGCAUUUACAGCUACCUUCUUCCACUACCAAUUCUGUAUUCCCUUUGUAUUCAGCAAGCACCUCAGCUGAUCAUCAUCCUUUUCCUGUUAGAGUGACAGUAACUUUCAUUCCUAAAGGGUCUGGGCCAUUAGCACUCCUGCCUAGAUUGGGAUGUCUCCCAGCAUGGUAAAUACUAAGAGUCUCCUGUAUUGUUCACAUAACUCUUCCUUAGGUCCAUCAUGCAGUAGUGGUUUAAUCUUCCAUUGUGAACUGAGCCAGCACAGGAACUCCCUUUUUGCCUUUUGAUUCAGAGGAAUGAAGAAUCCAGCAUGGCCUGGUGGCAGUCUUGAUUUCCAGUUCAUUGAAAUCAUUGUUGUAUCUCCUGGUAGAAGAAGUUCUCCCUUUGGAACUAAAAGCACUAGGCCAGGGAAUUAUAAGGUCACAAGAACAGAAACCAAACAUAUUUGCUUGUGGGUCACUGAGGUAAUAGUGAGUGGUGCCUCUUCCAUUUCCACUGCUUGAUUUCUGGACACACGAAUCCUGGCUGUUGUGGAAAUAGUACUACAUUCAUAUAUUAGACACUGACUCAGUCCUUUUGGGGAAAACAGAUGUAUACAUGAUCAAAUAUUGUGAAAAUCACAGUAUACAUUCCUGAUGAAAGUGUAAGUGGGACACUUCACAGAGUAUGUGGCAUUUGAAAAUGACAGAAAGCUAGGGGCUGAUUGCAAAUGACAUUAAUGUCAUAUGUUUUUUCUUGGCCUUUCCCAGAAGUAGACUUCCAACUAAGAAUUCAGUUGCAAGUGCUUAUUUAAAAAGUCAUCCAGAAACAGGGGCACCUGGGUGGCUCAGUUGGUUAAGUGUCCAACUUCAGCUCUGGUCAUGAUCUUGUAGUUCAUGAGUUUUGAGCCCCACACUGGGCUCUGCACUGUCAGCACAGAGCCCACUUCCAAUCCUCUGUCUCCCUCUUUCUCUGUACCACCCUUGCUCGCUCACUCUCUCUCUCAAAAAUAAAUAAACAUUAGGGAAAAAAAGUGGUCCAGAAACAGUAAUAAUGGUAAUAAUGGCAUGAGGAAGUUAAGACUGGGAAGGAGAAGCCAUUGUAGGGUGAACUGCCAAGCUACUCUGGGCAACUAGAUCCUAAUCUCACUGGGGAUCUCUGAGAAACAGUGCUGAACAUGUUCCUCAGGUAUUUUGCUCUUGAGAGGUGAAGGGACUGAAGUAAUUACCUUCAGUAAUUCCUUGAGUGUUGCUUCUGUGGUAAGUGUUAUUAAUUCCUUGACAUUUCUGCCUUUCCACGUGCACCAACAGAGAUGGCUAGAAAAAAGCUUUCAGGCGAAGAGAUGCACAGACUAGUAUUUGAUACCCAGAUAUACAUUCUGAAAGGCAGAGUCGGGGAAAGGGGCAUCAGAGGAAGACCAACAGAUUUCCUACAACAGAGAAGGGAAUUUGGACUUUAUUCAAUGGACAUUGGGAGGCCAUCAAAGGCUCUCAGAAUGUAGGAUAGAGAGGAAGUAAAAGAUGACUUUUACCACAGGUGUUGAAGAGGACAGUGGUACUAUUAAACUAGUAACUCAGAGUCAACUUGAUACUCCCUUUCUUUCACCCUUCACAUUUGAUUAUUCACUUAGUUUCAUUUUGUUUUUGUGUUGUUUUUUUAGUUCAUGAAUAUUCUCAGCUUUCUUUUAUACUAAUUUUUGGACACUAAAACCAUGAUCUCCCCUAGAUAUUUACUUUAGUUUCACAAUUGCAAUUGAACAUUCCUAUACCUAGCUGUUAGCUAUUGUCCUAACAAAUUUAACCCUCAGCUUCACUAAGGUCUCCAUUUUAAAUUUCAGAUCUCAUCAGGGGUCAUUUCAGGACCUUCAUAAUGUGAGUCUACACUUCCUUUCUCCUGCUACAGUAGCCACACUAAUUAAUCUCACAUAGCUCCUCCAUUCCAUUCCCACUGAAAUUCUCUAUUUUUCUAUCACUGCAUAUCAAUUUAUGCCAUGGUGACUUUGGACAUGUUCUAACAUUUGCUGAAAAAGUCAGUUUUCCAAGUACUUAUCUCUUGAGGCAUUCACAGUGUGUGUGUGUGUGUGUGUGUGUGUGUGUGUGUCCCCAAAUUCUAGCAGAGGGCAUAUUAUGUGGUACAUGUAAUGAAUACUUGCUUAAUGAAGAACACAAGAGAAAAUAGAUACUUUCAGGAGAGAGUUAAUGAGUCCAGAUUUAUUCCAGUUUUAUCCCAGUUGAUCCUGAAGUAAUUGUCAUUUAUUAAAAAGUGUGUAGCAAAAAGUUGGAAAGGAGUCUCUUGAUACCUGGAGGAAAGUGAGGUCUGAAGCAGCAUACACCUGUUUGAAUUUUAUUCUGAAAAAGAACAUAUGAUUUAAAUCACAAAGCACAUGAGUCUUGUUUCCUGUUGCCCCCACACCUUGUUCCAUUUAGAAAACAAAGGAUUACUUACAAGAACAAGCAAGAACACAUAUGGUGGCAAAGGAUAGACUAUUGUAGGACAUCUUCAAAGUGUAAUAAUUGGGGAACAAAUAAGAGAACUUGAAAUUCAAACUAAAGAAAAAAAAUCCUCAUCUGCCCCUUUGAAAUCUUCCAUAUUCAAGUAGGACCAAUUUGUGAAAGCAAUAAAGAUUCUACUUUCCUUCUUUCCUCACUUUCCAGUGACAUUCCACAUGCAUCAUGCUCCCAAAGCUGGGCUGAUUCCUAAGUUAUAGACCAAAUAAUUGUUGGGUAAACUAAGAGUAUAUAUGUCUGUAACUAAGGAAGAGUAACUUGGAAUGGCUUCUUCAUAGAACAAUGUAACGACAUUAGUCAGCCUUGGAGUAAAGCACUAUUGUAUGGUCAGUAAAUUGAAUAUAUGUGUGUCUAUUAUUUCAUGGUCCAGAAUGAGAUUCAGUAUUUAUCUACAUGAGGAGAUCUGUUGGAUUUUUAUGUUUUGUUUUGUAGAGAUAGCCUUUCUUCAGCAACACAACAACCACCAAACUUCAUGACAAGCAAACACACACCACUUUUCUUAUGUUCUUUUUGGACAUUUCAGGAACAAUCCUUAUGCAGUGACUCAGUUUAUCAGUUCCCUCUGUCUAACUUGAAUUUACCAGCAUUUCAUGUAAAGAAACUACCUCCCAGGGUCAGAGUGUGCUGACAUAUGAACUCACUCAACUAACCAUCUGAUUUUCAGAGACAAAUAUAAAUAAUAAUACAUUUUUUCUUGUUGUUGUUAAUGGGCAAUAAGAACCUCCAGUGUUUGAGAAUUGUCUAGAUCACAGAUCCUAACAUAAAAAGACUUCUGGAAACUGAUGGGGCACUCUGUGCAGAAGAACAAUAAAUUAAGCCUAACCAAGAGCAAGGUGAGUGCCCAGAAGCACAACUACACAGGUGUGGAUUUCUCCACUGAAAAGACAUAUGGGAAUCAAGAGUGGAGGCAGGAGGUGCCUCUGAUGAAAAGGAUGUGGGAGUCUUUAGUUCACUGAUAACUGUGACAAGAUGUCAUAAAGAUGCUUUGAUAUUAAGGAGAACCAUUCCUAUAAGAGCUGGUCAUUUAGCUUCGAUUUCAAAGCUUACACAUAAUUCUUUAGAAUAUCCAGGGAGGAAAUCUGCUAAAUUCGGGUUGAGGGACUAUCGGGGAAUUUGUAGUAUUAGGACUAAAUGUUGGAAGCUACUUUAUGCUAUCACAUAAAGAUCUGUUAAAGAUAUACCUGUUAAGGAUAUACCUGUUUCUACCUCAACAUAAGAAUUUCCACACAGCAUCUAUUAGUCACUUGGUCUAUCAGUUCCAACAAGGAUGACAUUUUCUCUCCAUUUUAUUACAUGGGAAAUAACUUUUAAAAAUAUGCAGACUUUUUUACUCUAAAGAUCUCUUUUAAAGAUUUUUAUUUAAGACUAUGAUGUUGAUUACUGAGUAACUAAGAUGAACAUGUAAUAGGAUUUUCAUACUUUAUCUCACUAAAAAAAAGUUAAGGAACAUUUCAUAGAAAUGUUAGAUCUUCUGUCAAUAGGAGCAGUUAUUCUCUCUUCAUACUUUUUUUUUUAAUCCAUCAGCACCACAAGGUCAUGGUACAAAUGAUCAAACAUAUAAUGAAAAAUUAGUUCCUUAGAGCUCUACUUUCAUUACUCUUGAGUGUCUACUCCAGUAAAUCUUUGAGAUUUCCAAUCUAUGUGCACUCAAAGCCAGCUUAGUGACUAGUGACCAAGUCUGAGCUGACCAGCUGAUGUAGUAAACCAGCCAAUUUUUCUUGUUGCCUGGAUUCACCAGUUAUUUGACUGGUAUUAUUGAAUACUGAGGUAGAACUUGAAAGACUGUGCAUAUAAAUGCAAAUUCAGAGUUUGCAAAGUGACAACUCAUAUGUAUCUCCCCUCAACUAUAUGAUACCUUUAUUUCAUCUCUUUGUACCAUUGCAAACUCAGCUCUGCUUUAGGUCAAGAGACUGUGUGACACAGAAGCCCACAUUCAUUUAUCUUGUAUUUACUAAGUACCCAUAAUGUCCCAAACAUUCUGCUGGGCCCUUUGAGGUACAGCAGUGAGCCAGAAGAGACACAUGGACCAUACACCCAUUCUGAAGUCAUUUUCUCUGUUGUUCAUCUCCAUCUUUCUAUAAUCCUGUUUCCUGACAGAAAAAAAUAUGUCCUUCUUAUUUAAGCAUGCAACUCUUGUUUUCUUCUGUCAUACACUGGUCAGGUUGGUCCCCUAUAGAACCAGCCCCUGCUAAAGUGAUAUGGUCUCCAACACUAUUAAAUCCCACAUCACUUUCCCCUUUGCUGCAUGCCAUGCCUUAGAGCCUGGCAUUGAAGAAUCACAAAUCUACAGUUUGGAAGAAAAGCUGCUUCCGUGACAGGCAUUAAAAAGAAAGGGAGAUUUGUGGUUAGUUUAGUGAAUUUGAUCUUUUCACACCAAUAAUUUAAUUGUGAUCUUUGUGAAUAUUCUAGAAGUUAUGAUAUCAUUGAAUUCAGGGCAGGAAGAGUUCCCAUGAAUACUUCUACUGCCUUACUUUUUCACACAAAGAACUCUGAUACCAAGUGGCUAAGUAAGUGUUUGUCUUUACACAGUCUGCUUGCUUGGGAAUUGAAAAAAAAACAGUGAAAAAAGUAGAGAUAAAAUCUAAGCAUAACUCAUAUCUAGAGUCUAAUUCAUUAUUAUGAAAAUGCAAGUUUAAUUAGAGUGAUAAAUUAUUAUUAUUCUAAAGGGUCAAGCCUCCUUAGAUUCUUUCAAUUACUUCACUUAGGAAAAUAACUAUAAUUUCUUCUUUAAAACACCAAAUUAACAAAACUACUACUAAUUCUCUGGGAACCAGGGGAAAGGGAGUCUAGAGCACAAUCACAUAUAAGCAUGUGUAGUUAAUAUAUUUUUAGCAUCUAUAAGGAAAUAAGUUUUUUUUUUCCCUUGGACAAAAGAGUCUGUAUGAUAUAAUCUGUUUCCACUUUUUCAAUAAAAAUAUGUUGGGUCUUUUUUUUUUUUUAACACUUUUACCUUCUUUCUAUUUCUAAAAUUGUCCAAAGGCAAUGUGAUUUUUGUAAAAUGUCCUAACGGUUCAAAAUCAUUCUACUGCCAAUGUCUAAUUCUAAACCUGAUGUUCUGGAGAAAUGUGUGGCCUAAACCAUGCCAGAAUGUCUCGUUUUAUGUUUAAAUGGUCACAGAUUUAAUAAUGGUCUGAAAAAAAAGAGGCUUGCAUUUAACUACAUCCUUUAGUUUUUAAGCACUCAUCCAAGCAUGCACAAACACAGGGGAAUGCCAUGCUCUUUAAAUCCAUGAGCAUCAUGGAAAAGGCCCACUCUGGGCUCUGUACACAUUAACAAAUUAUUACCCAUUAGGUCAAUGCAGAAAUUAAUUGUGGGAUUCUUUUCAAAUCCACAUUGUUUCCUGGCUCCGUUGCGGGCCACUCAAUUAGACACCUCUCAAGGCCUUUGUGCUGGACUAAACGCAGCUAAUUGUUGUAUUUCUGCAUGGAGUGAUUCAUCUCCCAGAUGUCUCAGACCUUUCAGCAGCUCUGCUCCACCAAUAUCUCGACAUAUGAAAAUAGAGUCAUUUGGGACCUAGGCAGAGGGGAGAGAUUGGGAAGCAAAUAGAGCAGGGUAUUCUUUACCCCUGCCCUUUGGUAUGAUUAAUCUUCAGUGAGAAAGGACUCCUGAAUCAUUCUCUUGACAGGACAGCCCCCUUGCCCUAUCUGGCUUCCCAUGUGAGGAGAGAUGGAUGAAUGCUUCCUUUUUUCUCUUCCUCCAGGUGCAGCCCUAUUCACACUCGAGCCUGACAGCACAUAAUAGAACAGUUUCUACUUGCCCGUUGCCUCAGCUCUGUAUUCUUUUCUCCUCCAUUGAUUCUCAUUUGUUCAUCCCAGUGACAAAGCCAGUCGAACUGAAAAUGCACGAAGACCCAAGGACAGUCACUUAUUUCCUUGGAGCGCUGGAGUAAAUGUGUGUGUGUAUUUUCUUACAGAAAACAUAACUUCAGAGUAAAUCUAUGUAAAAAAGGUCCUUACAAGUCUGAGUUACUGGGUUAGCUUGAUUUUUUUUUUUUACUUUGACUUUGAAUUUUUGCUUUGUCUUUGUAUUGUUUUCUUCAACUCUUUCCUUUGCCCCUAGCAAAUAAUGUCUGUCGUUCAUCCAUUGCAAUAGUUGACUAUACAAGAAUGAAGUUGUGGAGUAGAGAGAGGUAUCCAACCCUGUUAUUUCUGUGGUUUCAACCAUAUUUAAAAGAACCAAUAACUUAUCAUCAUCAAAUAUAUUUUUUAGAUUUAAAUCAGAUUGACAAAAAUGCUCUGAUUAAAAAGUGAGAUGAAAAACUGGUACUUAAAACAAUGUUUUAACUUUAUAUGGACACACACCUAGAGUUAGGCUGAGCCCUACCAAUAAUAAUUAAUCUAAACAUUAGUCUUAGUUUGAGUUCCCUGAAAACAGACAUUGAGACCAGGAUACAAGUGUACAUAGCUUAUUUGGGAGGUGAUUGCAGGAAGUGAGGUUGGAAUAAUUGAUGAAAGGUAAGGCAACCUAAAAGACAGCCUAACUUAUCAAGCAAGUUAUCACCGUGGGCAGCUCAAGCUCAGUCCCAAUAGGGAACUCUGGGAACCCCUAUAGAACAUGCAACUCAAGAGUGAUCCCAUCUACAGAGCAAGGGAGCUAUAGUAUUUAUACACUAAUUUCCAACAGUAGUGGUCAAAGGUUGGUCCCACAAGACUUAAUUAUACCAGUGUAUCAGGUAGAUUAUACUUGAUUACUAAACAGUCUUCAGGCAAGUAAAUGGAGAUGUGGCUAUUGAAAGACUGCUGUAGAGCACAGACAUGGCAGGGCAUCAGCAGAGUAGUGUCUCCUCCAUUAUUGUACUUUCUAAAGCUAGGACAGGAAUGAUCACUGGCCUUGAUCUAAUUAAAAUCCUGCAGUGUUGUAGCAUCUAUGCAAACUCUGACUUUGAACUGUAAGGCCUUCCUUGACUCUUCAUUUUGUUACAUCAACAUUUCUAGCUGAACUUCUCUGUCCUCUGCUUCACUAGACAAACAGCAUGGCUAAUUAGUCUGACGUCACAACCUUAGGAGAACCUAUUUGUUUAUUUUUGUAAGCACAGUAAAGAUUUUUUUCCCCUGAAUCAUUUGAGAGUAAUUGCUAACCUGUUGUCCCAAUACUUCUGGGUAUUUUAGUAUAUUUUGUAUAUACUAUGUAUAUAUAUAGUAUAUAUACACCAUAUAUAUACUAUAUAUAUGUACUAUAUAUAUACUAUAUAUAGUAUAGUAUACUAUAGUAUAGUAUAGUAUAUAUGUAUACAUAUGUAUAUAUGUAUAUGUAUAUAUAUUUUUAUAUAUACUAUAUAUAUGUAUAUAUGUGUAUAUAUACUAUAUAUAUAUACUAUAUAUAUAUACUAUAUAUAUAUACUAUAUAUAUGUAUAUGUAAGAGAAUGUCCUUGUUUUUUGUAAUGUCCUUGAUUAUGCAAAAUUAGGAAAUUAACAUUAAUGCAUUUCUACCAUCUAAUCGUCAAAUCCCAUUCAAGUUUCACCAGUUACCUCAGUAAUGACCAAAGCCCAUCCCUGCUGCUCAUCUUUUCCUUGAGAUCCUCUUUCCUCUUUUCCUUGAGGCCACCAAGAGAAGUAAACACAUAUUGAUCAAUAGCCAAUGGAAAAUAAGAGUACAUUUUGAUCAAGUCAAUUGCCUAUGAUCUACUAGCAAAGAGGUUUUUGAGGAAACAGAGUCUCCUGCUUCCCACCUCUCAUUCCAUAUCUUAAGAAUUACUGGCUGUUCACAGUGGUGCAUACUAUAUGAAGCAAUGCCCAGCAUAUUGAAAAAUACAGAGAUAAGAAAGAAAGAUGCCCAAGCUUCAAGAGUUAUUGCUUGCUUUGCAUGGAGUGAAUGAAGAGAGAAACAGAGACCCUAUUUAACCCACAGUCAUGCUCCCACUCAUAGCAGUAGUCUAGUAAAGGUCAUGAACUCAACACAAUGAUUAGUAAAUCCUUCUCAAACUUUUGGGAGGAUAUGGUACAUAGUGCUGAACUGAGAGGUUAACAGAAAGUGCUUCCUUUUCUACAUAUUCAUUUUGAUAGAGUCUAAGAGAGCUACAGCAUGGAUCAUUCAAAGAUCCUGCCUUUAAUGGGGCAAAACAAAAUUUAGUUCAACAAAUAAAAUAGAAGAUAAGUGUGAAGUUCUAUGUGAAAGGGACAGAAAAGUGGGCAAAUGACAGUGUAUGAAUAAGUUUCCUUUAAAAAUUGUGUGAAUUUAAAGAGCUUUACAAAUGAGAUUUUUUGUUGUUGAUCUCCCCUGUAUGAAGAGUUGGGAGUUUUGUCUCAGGUCAUUACACAAAGACCAAUUCUCACCAGGUGCUUAGGGUCAUGGGUUCAGUUCACUCCUUGGUUACACUUCCUUUCGGCUCAGUCAACUAAAUCAGUGCAGAAGAGAACUUAAUAAAGGAAAGGAAAUCCUACCAGGACCUGCUCUAAGGCAUCUUAGGGUUUUAAACCUAAUGCUUGGCCUCCGUAUGCCUUCAGGUUAACCAUAUGUAAACAAUUGCUACUUUUCACACCAGAAGCAGGUUACCUUUCAGUGGUGGACUGAUUCCUUGGCCAUAAAGUUUAUAAGUCCACUGGCUAAGUUUAUGAAGUGCUCAGGCAUCCUUUGGAAAUGAAAGGCACUGUGUAGUGGCAAGGGCUCUAGGGUGCGAAAGAAAGGAAACACAGCCAAAGAGCCUAAGUCUUAUUAGCCAAAUACAUUACUUUUGCAAUGAAAUUAGACACAUUCUCAGAGAAUUAAGACUGACCCACAGCACUGAAAUGCCCUUGAGCUGGUAAAGCAGAGAGCUGUUACAUGCUCAGCCUCUGAGGGCUCUUAAGCAUGGGAAAACCCAGCGGAGAGUUGAAUGGAGUAAAAAUAAAACAUCUUUGGCUACAGUAAGUCUUGUCCCUUCUGUAAACUUAAAGCAACUCAUCACUGAAUGGUUCUUCCCUUGAAGUUAGUGGGAAUACUAUCAAGACGUAGAGAAGGCUUUGAAUCAAAUUUCCUCAGUUUUCAGUCUUUUUUGUAAGAACUUUGACUUUCUCCCAGGGCUGCUAAUUGUGCAUCUGCUUCAGAAGCAGAUGAGACUUCCCUUCCUUAGCCAUACAUCUUUCCUGAAGCUUUUAUUCCUUGUAAAGAUAAAUCAGAUACUAUUCCCUUUCAAGUUAAGCACCUAGUUUUGCCAUGUAACACACCAUCCCAAAAUUAGUGGCUGAAACAAUCUUUCUUUUCUCAUGAUAACGUAAACUGGCACUUUGGGCUGGGCUUAACUAGGACUGCUUGUCUCCCCUUAAUAAGGUGGUGGAGUUCACCCAUUUGUUUGUGAUCAGUUGGUGGUUGAUGGCCUCAUUCACAUGCGUGGUGGUGAAUAGCUGGCUUCAGGGUCAAUGGAAGUAGCUAGACCAUGUGUCAUUCAUCCUCCAGCAGGCUAGCGGAGAUUCAGUCACAUGAUGGUAGUCAGAGCUCCUAAGAAUAGCAAGACAGGAAAAGCCCCAGUGCUCAAGCAAUUGUCAUGCCUCUGUUUAUAUCAGGUUUUCUAAUUUCUCAUUGGCCAACACCUGUCACAGGUCUAAAUCUAGAUUCAAAAAAUAGAAGAAAUAAACUUCCCUUUCUUUGAGAGAAGCUGCUAAGUCUCAUUGCAAAAAAGGCAUGGAUACAGGAAGAGAAAGAAUUUGUGGUCAGCCUUGCAAUUGACCAUAUAAGGCAAAAAAAUGAAAAGAAAGCUGAAUAUGUUCUCACUGUAAAUUCAUUCUGAUCCAAAGAAAAUGCUAGAAGAUAAUACCAGUGGGAAGUAGGGAUGCCAUAUUUAUUUUGGUAUAUAAUUGUCAUUAUUGGAAUCUUUCAGCUUAUGCAUGGAGAGAUUUUUGAGUCUCACAGUAUGAUAUUUUUUUCUUUAAAACUUCCCUCUCACAUUAUGUGCACAUUGAGGAAGCAUAGUUAUUUCUGGACAAAGAAGCUCAGUAUUCAUUCUCCCCCCACCCCCUCCCCCUCCCUNNNNNNNNNNNNNNNNNNNNNNNNNNNNNNNNNNNNNNNNNNNNNNNNNNCUCUCUCUCUCUCUCUCUCUCUCUCUCUCUCUCACACACACACACACACACACACACACACAGAGUGGGGGGGUUAAUAAAAGAAGAUAAAAGAAAGUAAAGGAAAAUUUCAACUAGAUUUUUUUCUCCUUUUUUCCUUCCUUUAAUUAUUCUUUAGACUUGCUUAUAAAACAAAAUGAAGCAUGUGGUGAACCUGUUCAUACUUUCUCACUUUUAGUGACUAACUUCAUACCUUUAUUUCUGUAUAUUGAUGGCAUUUAGGAUACAUUACCCCAAAAUAUGGCAACUUGGCAUAUUGACUAUUUUCAGCUGAAGGAGUUUCAGAAAACAGCAGAAGAGGAAGGUCACUCUGACUUUCCCUCCGCUCUUCUUCCCUGUAACAGGUCAUGAAACCCUCAUAUGAGAGGUGCCUUCCCUAUACCCAAGGAAAGGAACCUCCUCACCCCUAAAGAUAAAGGGAACGCAAGACGAAUCCUAACAAACUCCCUAACAUAUACAACUAAUCUAUACAACUGACAACUCUUUAUCAAUCCUAGCAUAAAAAAUAUAUUUGUCUGUGUAUAUGAGUCUUCAUUUCCUGAUAAAGCCUCCUGUGUCACUUAAAACUUAUACCAAAUAAGUGUAUAUGUGUCUCUCAUGUUAAUGCAUCUUUGUCAGUUCAAUGUUCAGGUGCAGGCAGAGACCCUAAGAGGAUCAAGAAAAACCUGUGUCCUCCCCUACAAUGCCAGUUAAUACAGUUAUUCCAAUACUACCACUUAAAGCUGUGUGGCCUGGGCAAGUUACUUAAAUAACUGAUAUCUCAGUCACUUCAUCAGAAAAAUGAGAAUAAUGAAGGAGUCUCCUUCAAAAGUUGUCAUAGGAAAUGAAGGACUUGUUAUUUUUAAAGCAUGUUGAACAGUGCCUGAAUCAUAACUAAAGUUAUGCCACUUUAAAAAAGUGUUUAUUAAAUAAAAAGCAAGAAGUUUGUGUUUAUCAUAACCAUGUCAACUGAAGGCUGAAGAGGUGAUCAAGACAUUAACCCCAUUUUAGAGCAAACUCAGUUUUAUUUAUGAAAAUUAUUUAGGUAGACCCUACCAUCACUGCCUACUCUUGGUUCGCUGUUGCUAAUGUGGAGCAGGGUUGUUAGGAUGUAGCAACAACAAUGCCAGCCCCACAGGCUUGCAGAAUGUUCUUCUGCCUCUAAAGCACUUUCCCACAAAUUGUGUUUGAUCCUUGUGCGGAGGUUUACCUCAGUGGUAUGUGAGGGCUACUUCAAAAUAUUGGCCUUAGGACCAAAAGAACAGACAGAAAGCAAAGGAAAAGGGAAGGAAGGAAUUAAUUCUUCAUGUUUUGGGGACCCACUAGCCAUGCCCCUUGGAAAACUGCCAGAAUUUUUUCUAGCAGUUUGGAGUCAGCAACUGUACUUACAAAAUCAGGGGAAGCCACAAUAAUCGGAAACAAUCACACUUCAUAUAAAAUUCAUGAAUUGUGAUAGAACCAUUGUAAAAAGAAGGAAAUUACCAGAAAUUCUUCAUGACUGUAAAAAAGCCCACAUUUUUUUAUAUUAACCAAAAAGGACAACACCCUUGAAAAUUUUGGAUUGAUAUGUUCUAGUUGGGAACUUUGGAUGUCUGAUACAUUUAUGCAGUUUACAUUCAGAUGCUUUUUGCUGCAAAGAACAGAAUGCCCAAAUAACAAAGGAGCUUAAACAGUAGAAGGUUCUUUUUUUUUUAAUCAUAUAUUGAAAACUAUGUAGGAAGGCAUUUGUUAGCUUUCCUCAAAUUUCUGGCUCUUUUCCUGAUUUCAAGAUGGCUGUAGCAACUUUAAGGCUCACAUCCUUACAGGAGAACUUCCACAUGUAGGACAGGAAAUAGGUCUGCUCUUCAUACAGACCUUGAGUGGAUCGCAUGGCCAUGUUGUAGCAGGAAAGGAAAUUGGGAAAUCAAGUUUCAGCUGCUAUCUUUGCUUUUACUGAUGUAGAAUUGCGAGGGGCAGGUGACAGGGUGAGGAUCUCUCUGACUGGCAAGAAGAAGGAAAGAGGAAACUCACACGGUGUGUCCCAGUUUGCUGGGACAUAUAUUUUGAUCCCAACAUAUAUAUGAGUUUUCUCAUUCUUCCCCCAUCUUCAGUUAUAUCCACAGUCACAAACAAUACACACUCUUUAUAAUAUUUUAGGAAUGACUAUGUCUGAAUUAGCACUAAGAUAAGUGGAUCUAUCCAGGCCUAAGGAAGCUCUGAGGACCACCCCAAAAGUGGUGGAUAAUAUAACCAAUUUGUCCACCUAGUGCCCUCUGGCUUAGCUGGAUGUGCUAUCACCUUAAAGAAACAGCUUCAGUUCUUGUCUUUUCACAUGAAUAUUUUGAUCUAUGUCUCCAUGUGAAAUUGAAUAGAAAGCUACCCAACUAAGAGUUGUGAGUAGCAGUAUUUUAUGUUACCAUCUUUUAAAACUUAACAUUAACUCAAACCAUUUUACCAUUUUCAAAUACAGUAUGGUAUAGGACAGUGAUUUUUAAAAUUAUUUAUUGUGCCCUAGGAUUCUGUUGAGGCCAAGUGGGUGGGGUGGGACUAAGGGUUGCCCAAACUCUGGCACAUCCAUCUAGAUAUCUCAGCUUUUGUCAUCUCUUUGAUUUGGAGCUGAGAGAGUUCUGCAUAAAAAUUUAUUUGUAAAAUGAGUUCUAUAGCUAAGAAAAUUUCUUUAGUGAAAAGAAUUUAUGAUUCGGUGUUAGAACUGGGCUUGGACAUUAAUACUCACAUUUAUUAGUAUGCCAUGCAAUUAUGGGUAAGUUCAAUUCCUUCCCCCUGUAAUACUAUUUUAAUGAUAUUGAACCCAUGAAUUUUGAGACAUAAAAUAGUUCACAAAAUCACCGAUGCUAUCUAAGUACACAUUACGUGCCCGGGAACUAUCAAUAUCUUUCCUCAUUCACAUUUUUCAUGCUUUGAUCACAGUAGAGUGCCCCAUUAAGUUUGUGUUCAACAGAUUUCUUAGCCAAAUUGGAUUGUUUCAAAUGCUUUGUUGCAAUAACCAUCAUUCAUGCAGAAGAUAUUUCUUUACUCUAAUAUUCCCAUGGAACAAAUUCUAGGAAAUGAGUUUGUGGAUCCAAGGAUAUAAACAUCUGUUUGCUACUCAUGAAAUUUUGCCAGAUUUUAUUUUUUUAACAGAAUCAUGAUUUAUACUGCCACUAACAAUAUAUCAUUGUACCAGGUUUAAAAAAAACCUUGCUAAUUUGGGUAUUUCUUUUAUUUAAUUUUGGCAAAUAUAGCAGGUGUAAAAUAAUAUCAAAGAGUUGUUAAAUUUGUAAUGGUUCUAUUACUAGGGAAGAUACACAUUUUUCUUCAUUUUUAAGGAUGACUAUGGUUUCUGUAAAGUGAGACAAUGGUCAUUAUAAAAACGGAAGCAACUAAUAAACUUAUAGACAAGAAAUUUAGAAACCAUUCCAAAUCCCACCAUCCAGAUGUAUUUCAUUUCAAAAUCAGGUAAAUGUUAUUCCAGAAAUCUCAUAGUUAUCACCCUCUCACCCUCUGUCUCUCUCUCUCUCUCUGUCUCUUUCUCUCAUAUAUUUUCACAUAAAAUAUUGAUUGAGGGUAAAUAAAAAUAUAAGGAAAGAGAUACACAUCAGAUCUUAUAUCUAUAUUUUAUAAUUAAAAGUAUGAUUUUUGAUGAAUGGUGAAUAAUAAUGAAUAAUAAUAAUUUCUCAUUUCAUCAGAUUUAGAAAAGAUGUGUUUUUCACCAUUGGUGUAAAAUUAAAUCAAAAUAUUUUAAGAACCAUUUUUAUUAUUUUUAAAUCUAUGUAUUUUACUCUCCUUUUUGGUUUUGUAUAUUAUUUUAAGUUUUAAAGUUUGCUAAUAAGAUUUAGAUGCUCACAUGUUGCUUUAUUACUUCAGAUAACUUUUUUAAGGAAUUAAAAUUAAGGCCAGCAUUUGAUUCAUUUCCCUUUCCUUCCUCCAUCCUUCAUUAGAGGAAACCAUUAUUUUGAAAUGAGUGUUGUUUUUUAUCUCCAUGCACGUUUGUAAUUUUAUUACACACAUAAGGCCAUAAACAGUACACCAUUGUUUCCUGUGUAUAGUGGACACUGGCAUGCCCCUUCCAGACCCCUUUCACUGUUGGUAUACUCCAGCUCCAGCUACAGUACGUGUUGGCUACUAAUGGCUCUCAGCUGUCCUAGUCUCUGAGGGAUUAUCCUGGGCUAAGUGGAAGAUAUUCCACUGGGAGGAUGUUUCUCACAGGUCAGCCCACAGCCAGUGAUGGAUUGACUGGCAAGUGUGUGUGCCUGAGGUGGGGUUUGGGGAGGGAGAGUCAAUGAGAUCAGCCCCUUGCUCCAAGGUAAGACCAGUGCUGUGGUUCAGUUAAUUCUCCAGAGCUGUUUUUGGGAUCAGGCCUCAGUGAGACUCCAGCCAAGAGCACAACCUUGCUCUCCUGUUUCUUCUGCCCUGCCCUGAUCCUGCUCUUUUUCUGAGAGUUGUCCCCUGAUUAAUCACAUGUACCAUGAUCCCUGUAUCAGGCUCUGCUUUUAGAGAGUUCCCACAGAAGAGGAUGUGAUAUCUAAAUUUACAUAUAUUAUAUAAAUUAUAUCUUACUUGUUCCACUUGUUGUUUAGCAUUUUGCUUUCUUCACUUUAUAUGAUAUUUUGUGAGAUUUAUCUUUCUUCAUAUUUGAAACAAUGUCUUUAACUGAUAUUAUUUUAUUUUAAAUAAGUUUAUUCCUCUAGUUCCCAUCUAAGAAACUGUUAAAUGUUUGUUUUCUCUCUCUUUUUUUAAAAUCUCUUGCAAACAUUGAACAAUUUUAUGUAUGUUCAUCUUCAUAUACUUUAAAAUUUCUCCAUGGUUGAUGCCCAAGAUGAGAACUGCUGGCCCAUAGGGUGGGUGGGUCAUCACCAUUCUUAGGUAUUCCCAAUUUACCUUCUGAAGUGGGAUUCCAAAUAGCUGUUAGUCUGAGGGUUUUUUGUUUGUUUUUGAUUUUUUUAAAUUUUCUAUUUAUUUUUUAGAGAGAGAGAGAGAAAACAUAAGCAAGGGAGGGGCAGAGAGAGAGGAGACACAGAACCUGAAGCAGGCUGUCAGAAUCUAAGCUGUCAGCUCAGAGCCUGAUGCAGGGCUUGAACUCAUGAACCACGAGAUCAUGACCUGAGCUGAAGUCAGACAUUUAACCAACUGAGUCACCCAGGAACCCCAGUCAGCUCUUGGUUUACAUUACUGUUUUGUAGCAUCCUUGCCAACACUUGAAGUUUUCAAAUUUAUUAUUAUUACUUCUAUUAUUAUCACUUUGGAUCUGAAUUGGUGGGUUAUUGUUUUGAUAUGUAUUUCUUCAGUCACCAGUAAUAUUGUAUUUAUUUAAUAUAUGAAUAAGCAAUUAAAAAUUUUUAAUGUUUAUUUAUCUUUGAAAGAGAGAGCGUGAGCAGGGAAGGGGUAGAGAGAGAGGGGGACAGAGGAUCUGAAGCAGGCUCUGUGCUGAGAGCAGAGAGCCCAACACAGGGCUUCAACUCAUGAAUUGUGAGAUCAUGACCUGAGCCAAAGUCAGAGACUCAACUGACUGAACCACCCAGGUGCCCCUAAAUAACCAAUUUGGGUUGAUAACCAAGCUAGAUAUUCUCCAUUUCCGUUCAAAUCUUUUCUCCAUCUUUUUCUACCUUGCUGUCUACCUGAGAGGCUGACCUUACUGAGGCUGAUCUACAGGGACAUAUUUUCCUGUUUGGUUUGGCCAACUAGAAUAGCAUCAAGAGAUAGAGAGGGAAUUAGGGAUUUUUAUUUUGGCUCUCCCUCUGUGCAGAUACCAUCAUCUGGCUGUGUCUCUUUAAUGAAAAGUCCUUGCUCCUGUUAGACACUUUUCUCCACAAAACUAAUAUCCCUACCCUCUUCUCUUGGCUUGCUGGACAAAUGGAAUGUGGCAGAAAUGAUAUGAAACUUCUGAUACUAAACUUCAAGAGGGUUACAUGCAAGUAGGAUGGUAUAGGAAGCAGCAUCAAUAUUGGAGAAAAAGAAAAUCCCUGAGGACCUUAACUGAAGCACCAAAGUUGGCAGUCCCCAAAAGCUUCAUGGGGAAAGCCUACAGCUGUGCAGUCUUUGGCAAAGCCCCCGCUCCUCUCUAAGCCAGCAACAUCAAAGAAGGUGUUUGUGAGAAGGCUGAAGCUGAUGAAGAUAGUGACAUCCCUUCUGCCUUCCAGAUGUCAUGCCAGUUUCUCCUGUGGCAACCUUUAACCCAGAAACAGACAAUGAAGAGCAGCUUUUCUAGCAGCUGUUCUGGAAUUGGCAGGUGAUAUUGACAAGAAGUUUGGUUUUAUUGUUUUAUUGGAUUUUAUGUUUAGCUUGAAAAUGUUGAGACUGUCAUAGGUCAGCAAACUUUCUCUGUACUGGGCCUAAGAAUGAAUAUUUUAGGUUUUGAGGGCCAAGGUUUCAGUGGCUACUCCUCUCCUACCUCCUUCCUCAUUCUUUUCAAUAACUCUUUAAAAACGCAAAACUCAUUCUUUGUUCUUGGGCUGUGCAAAAUGUGACUGCAAGCCUUUGACCCAGUCCAUAAUUUUCCAAACUCUAAUCUACAUCUGGUAUCAUUGUUGACACAUUUAGAUCAACUAUACAUCAGUUUUUUGUGGUUCUUCUUCUUUCUACUUAGAAAAUUUCAGUUUUUAUCUUUACUGAUUCCAAAUGGAUCGUAUUUUAGUAUACUGUACCUUCACCUCAUUUGAAAGUUACACAUUCUAUUUCAAUUCUUUUUUUAAUGAGAUAUGAUACAUAGCAUAAAAUUAAUUCACUACUUAAAAGUGUACAAGUCACUUAUUUCUUUUUAUAUCCACAAGGCUGUGUAAUCAUCACAACUAUUUGAUCUAGAACAUUUUCAUCACUCCCAAAAGAAACUGCCUCAACCAGCAGUCACUCCCCAUUCCUGUACUCAGAGGCCCUGGAAACCACUACUCUAGUAUCUGUCUCUAUUGGAUUUGCCUGCUCUGUACAUUUCAUAUAAAUGGAAUCACAUAAUCCAUAUUGUAGCAUCUAAUUGUGCUUUAUUUCUUUUUAUGUCUUUUUAUACAAUACUCCAUUGUAUGAAUAUACUAUGUUUUCUCUUUACCACUUGAUGGACUUUUGGGUUGUUUUCACUUUUGCGCUAUUGUGAAUAAUACUGCUAUUCACAAUACAUUAUUCAUAAUACUGUUAGGAUUAGUGUACACGUUUUGGGGCACCUGGAUGGCUCAGUCGGUUAUGCAUCUGACUUCAGCUCAGGUCAUGAUCUCACGGUCUGUGAGUUCGAGCCCCGCAUCAGGCUCUGUGCUGACAGUUCAGAGCCUGGAGCCUGCUGCAGGUUCUGUGUCUCCCUUUCUCUCUGCCCCUCCCCUGCUCAUGCUCUGUCUCUCUCUGUCUCAAAAAUAAAUAAAUGUUAAAAUAUUUUAAAAAAAUAGUAUACAAGUUUUAAUGUGAACAGAUGUUUUCACAUGUAGGGUAUAUGUGUGAACUGCUGGGAUAUAUGGUUGGUAACUUUUUAAGGAACUGCCAGAUUAUUUUCCACAACCAUACAUAUGAUAUAUCCAUUGGUAGUGAGUGAGGUGCCCCAAAUUCUAUACAUCUUCACUAACACUUUUUACUAUCUGUAUUUUUUAUUAUAGUUCCCAUACAGGUUGUGGAAUGGUGUCCCAUUCAGGUUUUGAAUUGCAUUUUCCUAAUUACUAAUGAUGUAGAGCAUCUUUUCAUGUGCUUGUUGGCCCUUUGUAUAUCUUCUUUGGAGAUAUGUGUAUUCAGAGCUUUUGCCUAGUUUUAAAUUGUGCUAUUUGUCUUUAUAUUAUUGAAUUAUAUGUCUUCUGUAUAUAUUCUGCACCCAGAUUCUUAUCAGAUAGGUGCUUUACAAAUGGUUUUUCCCAUUGCGUGGACUAUUUCCAUUUCUUGAUAGUGUUUUUAACGUUCAAAAGUUUUUAAUUUUGAUGAAGCCCAAUUUCUCUCUCUCUCUCUCUCGGUUGUGCUAUAGUCUGACUGUGUGUGGGGGUUACUUAAGUCAUGAAGAUGGAGCCCUCAUGAACAGAAUCUGUGCCUCAUAAAAGAGACUUCCCACAGAUUCCUAGUCCUUUCCCAUGUGAGAAUACAGUGAGAAGGCCUCGUGUAUGAAACAGGAAGCAAGCUGUCACCAACCACCACUGUAUCUGCCAGCACCAUGAUCUUGGACUUAGCAGUCUACUGACUGAACAGUGAAAAAUAAAUUUCUGUUCAUUAUAAACUACCCAGUCUGUGGUAUUUGUUAUAACAGCCCAAACAGACUAAAACAGAUUGCUUGUAUUUGGGGAGGACUGUAAGACUCCCAAAAAACCCCUAUGUUUUCUUUUCUUCCAUUUAAGUCUUUGAUCCAUUCUGAUUUAAGUUUUAUACACCGUGUGAGUUAGGACUGCAAAUUCAUUCUUUACAUGUGGAUAUCCAGAUGUCUCAGCACCAUUUAUUGAAAAGAUUCUUCUUUCCCCAUUGUGUAAUCUUGGCACGAUUGGCAAAAAUCAAUCGUCAAUAGAUGAUAGUUUUAUUUUGGGGCUCUUCAAUUCUAUUCCAUUAAUUUAUUUGCUCUUAUACCAGUACCACACACUUUUUUCCUAUUUAUCAACUUAUGUGUGUGUGUUUUUUUUUUUUUUAGAUUUAGUCUUACUUUAUUUUUUUAUUGUUUAUUUUAAUGCUAGUAUAGUUAACAUACAGUGUCAUAUUAUUUUGGGUAUACAGUAUAGUGAUUUAACAAUUCUGUACAUUAUUCAGUGCUCAUCAUGAUAAGUGUACUCUUUAAUCCCCAUCACCUAUUUCACUCAUUCCCCUACCCACCUGUCUCUGGUAACCAUCAGUUUGUUCUCUAUAGUUGAGUCUGUUUCUUGGUUUCUUUCUCUCUCUUUCUUUUUUUCUUUUGUUCAUUUGUUUUGUUUCUUAAAUUCCACAUAUGAGUGAAUUCAUAUGGUAUUUAUCUUUCUCUGACUUAUUAUUGCUUAGUGUUAAACUCUCUAGAUCCUUCCAGGUUAUCACAAAUGUCAAGAAUUCAUUAUUUUUUACAGCUGAGCAAUAUUACAUUGUACAUAUAUACCACGUCUUCUUUAUCCGUUCUUCUAUCAAUGGAUGGACAGUUGGGCUUCUUCCAUGUCUUGGCUAUUGUAAAUAAUGCCACAAUAAACAUAGGGGUGCAUGCAUCCCUUUGAGUUAGUGUUUUUAUAUUUUUUAGGAAAUAUCCAGUGGUGUGAUUACUGGACUAUAGGGCAGUUUUAUUUUGAACAUUUUGAGGAAGCUCCAAACUGUUUUCCACAGUGGAUGCACCAGUUUGCAUCCCCACCCACAAUGUAAGAGGGUUCCUUUUUCUUCAUAUCCUCACCAACACUAGCUGUUUCUUGUGUUGUCAAUUUUUGCCAUUCCAACAGGUGUGAAGUGGCAUCUCGUUGUGGUUUUGAUUUGCAUUUCCCUGAUGAUGAGUGAUAUUGAGCAUCUUUUCAUGUGUCUGAUGGCCAUCUGUAUGUCUUCUUUGGAGAAAUAUCUGUUCAUGUCUUCCACUCAUUUUUUAAUUGGGUUAUUUGUUGUUUGGACAUUGAUUCCUGUAGCUUUAUAGUAAGUUUUGAAAUCAAAUAGUGUUGAGUCCUCUAACUCUACUGUUUUUGAAGAUACUUUUGGCUAUUUUGUGUCCCUUGUACUCUCAUAUGACUUUUGGUAUCAGCAGUCCAAUUCUGGGGGAAAAGUCUUUGGAAACUUUGAUGCAUUAAAUCUAUAGCUCAUUUUGGGGAACAAUACCAUCUUAACUGUAUUAAAUAUUCCAAUCUCUGAACAUGGCAAGUCUUCCCAUUUAUUUAUGUCUUCUUUAAUUUCUUUUCUGAAGCAUGCACACAGUCUUGCACAUGUGCAUAGGCCUCUAGAUUCCUAGGACUAUGUCAAAGCUUUUCAAAGCCCCUGUGGGACAUGUCAUUGCUCAGCUUUUCCUUUUAUGCUUUUCCAUUAGUCUAUGGUUUACCCCAAAUGUUAUGCAUUGCCUCAGGCAGCCAUGACAUUAAAACAUUUGCCUUUAAAUGUUUCUGACAAAUGCCCCCCAGGAGGGGCUUUCAGCAUGAGAUGAGCAUAGAAUCAGGUUAGAUAAAGACAAUUCUUUUGAGUUGUCUUUCAUGGACUAUUAGUUCAAAUAAUGGCAAUUCUUUGAGAAAGAGAAUUUGAAAGAGCUACAGUUCUGUUCUGUUCCCAUCAGUACUGAGAAUAUGAGCUUUUUUUUUUUGAUGGCUACUGUGAGUUGGAGAAUGGGAAAUGGGACUAGGGUAAGUUAAAACACUACAAAACUCUGUUCUUACUGGCAUUCAGCUGUUUUUCUUAAAUACUCCCUGGAUUGCUGCAAGCCUAUGGCUAAGUUCCAGAGUUCUGAAAAAAGUAGAUUCUGACAAUUUUGCCAGUUUCUCAUUGCUUUUAGAGGAUGAUAGAAUUUUUGGAGGUCAUUACUCUGCCAUUUUUACCAACAUCAGUUGCCCUUAACUCACCUUAAUUCUCAACAUGAAUUCUUUUUCUGAACAAAAAUUCAAAGUAAUAAAAGACUUUGUCUUCUUAAUGUUGUAGGAAUUUUAUAAUUCCUUAACUCCUAUCACGCUUUUUUCUUACAUGGUAUUGUGAGCAUGUUGUAUAUGUUAUUUUAUAUAAAGACAUUCUCCUAAGAUCUCUCCUUACUAUCAAAGCAGAAAUUUUCUUUACUUAUUCUGGUUACAUCUCAUCCUUCUUGAAUAUCAUAUCUUCCUUUUAAAAAUUAAUUCCAGGGCACCUACAUGGCUCAGUUGCUUAAGUGUCCAACUUCCACUUAGGUCAUGGUCCCCACAGGUCGUGAGUUCAAGGUCCUCAUCGUGCUCUCUGCUGUCAGCACAGAGCCCACUUCAGAUCCUCUGUCUUCCUCUCUCUCUUCCCCUCCUCCACUCAUUCUCUUUGUCCCAAAAUAAAUGAAUAAACUUAAAAAAAUUAAUCCCCUUUUUAUGUUGGGGCACAUUCUGCAACAUUCUUUUUAAGAAUACAUAACAACAAAUUUUUGAGAACUUACAGUUCUAGUAUUUUAGUUCCACCUUGUUUUAAUAAUCACCAAAUAUGUCAUUAUUUUCUCGUUUUCCAGCAUUUAAUCAUUUUUUUGAUUUACUUAGUAAAUGUCUUUGACUACCAUUCUUUCUUCUACCCUCCUCUUUCCCUUUUAUUUUCAGUUUUUUUCUUUCCUGAGCAUAUCCUUUAUUCUUCAUUUUGCCCUCAUAAUUUGGUACCCUCUUAUUUACUAUUCUAAUAAUAUUCUAAUAUAUUCUAAUAAUAAUAUUCUAAUAGUGGCAUUGCUCAGUUUAAGUGUGUUGUUACUGUUUUCUUUUUUCGUUUGUUCAGUUUAAGUGUUUAGACAUGUUUAAUUUUAAUAAAAGUUGCUGAUUGUUGAUCCAAAAGCCUAUAAAAAUUACAUUUCCUCCUAGCCUCGUGAGGGAUGAGAGGUAACAUGGAGCAGAGAUGAGCCAUACUAAUUGAAGACAGUCUAGACCAACCCACACUGAAGCUGUCCUCAGACACAGCUCAGCCUAGACCAGAAGAAUCAGCUGACUGGCACACAGACUCUUGAACUGACAAUAUGCUUAAUAUAUAAGCCACUGUUAAAAAACAUGACAACAGACCCAAAAUGGAGUUAUUUAUGCAAAGCCCCAUAUCACCAAAUCAAGACUUAAUUAUAGUUUCAACUCUCCCAGAAAUGGCAUUUUAAACUAGUCAAUCAGAAAUUCCUUAAUCAGCACUAGUUAGGUAUCUGCCUGAUAGACCCUUGCUAUCUCCUAAAGUAAAGUGACAUUUCCAUAACCAGUCAGCUUUUUUUGUCUAGUAUAACUUCUUUGUUUUUGCUUGUGAAAGUCUUUCAUUUUGUAUGGUUCCUCUCAGCUCCUUUCUAUCUGCUGGAUUGGAUUCAAUAAUUCAAUAAUUCAAUUCAAUGAUUGAAUAAAUUGAAUAAAGCCAAUGAGAUCUUCAAAAUUUACUAAGUUAAUUUUGCUUAACAGCAGUAAGUUUUGAAGUUAUUUAUUAGGCAAUAUCAAAAUGAUACAUAUGGACUAUAGUAAAAAGUAUCUCAAAAGCAAGAUUGUAACCUAAUAUUUCAAAUCAGAUAAAUGAGGCCACAGUUUGGCUAUAAGCAUGGCCAUAAGCAUGGUUACAGUGUAGGAUACAGAUUUUAUAGGCAUUUUUGCCCUUGGAGCUGAGCCUGCAAGUGGUGCUAUAAAGAGGUGGACACCUAGGGAGCAAGCUAAGACCAGUUCUCCAAAGAUCUAACUCCUUAUAGGUUUAAUGGAUACCUCCUUAUUGCCAGGCAUAAUGCUAGUGUCCUAAACAAGGAGAGGAGUAACAGAUCUUCAAAACUGGGAUCAAAACUGUCAGGUAAACACUCUAUCCCAAGCAUUUGGUGCACACAGCUACAGGAACUCAAAAGUAAUCCAAAUGAUAAGUUUGAAGUAAGUGUAUGCAUAGGCACACUUAAUAAUUUCCAUGACAGCCCCUCCUAAAAGAUAGAUACUCUAUGCUUUACCUCAGUACAAUUAAACUAUGUUCUCUGAAAUUUAUAUUUCAAAGCAGAUGGAGUCUUCCUCUUCUGGAUCCAUGGAGGCUGCUCUAGACUGAUGAAGGUUUCCCCAUCUGGAUUUCUAUCUUCAUAGACCUGUGAGUACUGUUGGAGUUGAGAGUGGCAGAAGGUGUUUGUUUCUUCUGAACACUUGUAUGGACAGGUUGCCACAUCCACCUAGGAUUCUAGAAGACAUCUGUGGUAAGUAACUGUGGACAAUACACAUAAGUGUGUCUAACUGGACUAGUGCCCGAUGGCAGUGUCUGCUUAUCAUAUAUAUUUUUUUUAAUAUAUAAACAUAAGGUCAGUUUGGGUUAAUUUUUAUAAUUAUGGUUACAGUAGUAUGCAUACUCAAAGGCUAAAUUAUAUAUGCAGUUUUAGGGUAAGAAAAUUGUCUCCUACUUUGCCCAUGCUCUAAAAGAAAAUAUCCCAUCAAUAACAAUAAAUAGCAAAGCUCAACAUGCUCACAUUGGAUAGCUACCAUUACCUUAGAUGCUUUCCCUUUUUUUUAGUAGAGGCUUUUUUCCCCUUUCCUGCCAACUGUACUAUUAUAAAGUAUAUUUUAUGCACUUAAUUACAUUUCCACCAACGUCAUGUCUAAUGUGUGAGCAUGCCAAAAAGCCAUGAGAAUAUUCCCUGUCUUGUUGUCAUGCCAAGUCAAGUAUAAAUUAAUUUUCUGAGGAUCUUGCAAAUGUCUCAUUUAACAUUCUUUCAGCCUAAACCUGCCUAAUAUAAAUGUACACAAGUGGUAAUUCUCUGUUGGGAGGUGGAUUGAGCAAAGAUGUCAUUUUGGAAGGAACUCUUAACUUUAAGCGAUUCCCUUUAAAAGUAUGCUACAUAUUACCUGCUCUGCUUAGCUCUCAAACAAAUAGCCAGCAAUUUCAAAUGACUACUUUCCAAAGCAAAUUACUCACACCUUCCUACUCAUCAGAAAGUCUCAGCUGAACUAACAUUUUAAAAGACUGUUCUCAAUUCACAAUUCUUAUGGAACGAAAUUGGAUUUUUCUCCACCCCUCAUUUUUGCUGUAACACUUUGGCUACCUUUACCACAUGUCACUGUAAUAUGCUACCAAAAAUAAAGUCUUAAGUUGGUGACAUGAGAUCAAUUCUGGUAUUCAUCACUGUUAUUCUCUAAUGCUCCAUCUAUUACAAACCAUGGAAUGUUAAAUAAUCAAACUUUUUUUUUUUUUUGCCUAUCUUAUUUUGGCAAGAUGUUUUAGUCUUUCAAGAAAAAAAAAUGAAAGCCAUGUGUUUUGAAUGGGUUCCAUUGCAGCAUGAUUACUGCAAUGAAGACAUUUUAUUGUGCUAAUUUUCAUUAAAUAAAACCUUGUUGAAAGCCAGUAGUUUUCCAAAACCCAUAUGAUUUAUGACAUGCUAAUGUUUGUAGGAAUACACUCUUUUUCAAUUAUAUGGAGUAAGUAACGCCUUUCAGAACAACUCAAUAAUAAUAUCACCUACGACAACUUUAAUUUUAGACCUACAGCAUGGGUGUGAGACCUAGGAACCUAUCGACAAAAUUGUCAGCUUCUGCACAAAUUUAAUCUUCAUCACCUCUAUGCUGUGUUUAACAUCAGAUGGUUGUGCUUGCCAGAGACUCCAAUAAUAUGCUUCCAGAAGGCAGGCACUUCAUAAACAUUGAAAACUGGGUUUUCUAUAACUCAAAUAUUUUUUUAAACAGCCAGCAGAAUGAGGGGUUCUAGGGCCCUAAGGGAAAUAUGGGUGCACCUGUAGGAAAUGGGCUGGAUAUUCCAGAUAUUCUCCCUGUACAUUCUUUCUUUCUGUUUGAUGUACCUAUUUCCCACACACUGACUUUUAUCCCUUCCUUAAAGACCCUGACUCUAAGUGCAAAUACAUGAAAUGAAAACAAUAUAUUUUCCCAUUAAUUUUAUGGGGAAAAUGAUAUGUUCUAUUCUAACCCCAAAAUAUGCAUAAAUUUAUCACAGAUAAAAAAUAUCAAAUGACAAAAAAAUCAAGUUUACAUAAUUAAUAAGCAACAAUUUGGAAGUACAUAAGUGGUAUGUACAUAAAAUUUAAUGAAAUAAAUAUUUAUUUUACUUUUCAAAUUAUGAAGUGAAGAGUCAAGACUAAAUAAUAGUAGUUGAAGGUAGGCUCCAGGGAAUCAUUUUUUGGAAGGUUCAUUCUUUGUGUACCAUUAUUUUCACUAAUAUAUGAACCUUUCUGAGGCUUAUUAUUUUCUUGCAUUCAAAUUGAAAUUUAAAAUAAAAUUGAGACACAGAAGAAUAUCUUUAGUCAAAUGAAAUGCUAAGCCUUUCAUUGAAGGGUUCAAAAUAGAUGGAAAUAGGGGAUACAUACAAUAGCCUGAGGAGGCUUUUGUAUGAGAUACUUCUCAUUGCUUCCUCUUGGUGUGAGGACGCAAAGCAACACUGUUGGUGUUGUCUAAACACAACAUGCAAUUCUAAUUCAUUCCAUAUGAUAUCCUCUGACUAUUGUAUUAAGGGAGUGAGUGUGAUUUUGCCUGAAACUGUAAUGUCAAAUACCAUUUUUAAAGAGUCAUUAGGGUGAAAAUUCAUUACCUGAGCAAUCAUUAUUGAGCUUGUCUGUAUUUGGAGGGAUGGGAUAUCCUUGGCUGUUGCAGUUAUACAGUAAAAAUAGUUCCUUGGCUUCUUUCUCUUCUGAUUGAUACUGUGCCCAGAUGAUGGAUGCUUCAGGAAAACUUGUGAAACAUGUAGGAAACAACAUUCUCCAUCUAAAUGGAGAAAUUGGACAUUCCAUUAAGCAUAUCCAAUAUUCAAUAAGAACACUUUGGUCCUAAAAUAUCCUAUUGCUAUGAGAGGACCAUUAACUAGAAUGUAUUUGGCACUCAAUAUGAAUGACAGUUCUUGGUCAUGUAAAAAAUGAAGAAAAUUAAUUCUAAAUUUUGCUUCUGUUUACUGAUCAAAGAGCAAUCCCAAGAAAUAAUGAAUGAAUUAAUAACAUGCUAACCAAAUGAAUAGAAUAAAGAUUCAUUUUAAAAUUUGGAUAGUGAAUUGGAGUACAUUCUAUUAAAGUUAAAAUAAAACACCAGGAUUUCAGUUUAUUAUUAUUAUACUCUUACCAUAUGAUCCAACAAUCAUGCUCCUUGGUAUUUAUCAAAGGAGUUGAAAACUCAUGUUCACACAAAAAUAUGUGCAUGGAUAUUUAUAGCAGUUUUAUUCAUAAUUGCCAAAAUUUGGAAGCAUCCAUAGAUAAGUAAACUAUGGUACAUCCAGACAAUGAAAUAUUAUUCAGCACAAAAAGAAUAAACCUGCCAAACUCCAAGUUCAUACUCUUCCCUAUCUCCUUCAUGGUCUCCAGAAAUAGUAGAUGCUGAGAUAGUUAUUUAGAGAAGGUAUUCAGUGGUACCUAAAAUGAAUGUUAUAUAUGAGGAGAGGAAGACUGUACUGAAAUAAUUCUGAUUGAUCCUCUGAAAUCAGAUGACUAGGUUUCUCAAAAUUUCAUUACAUUCUGCUUACAUAUAGACUUAAGCCAAUGGAAACAUCAGUAGCUUUCAGCCUUGCAUUUGAAGCCAACUAAAACUUUCUGUGUCUUUUACCUCCUUAGAAUUAACUCUCCCAAAGAGAAAAAUAAUCAACAAUUUAAAAACAUUGCAUUUAAUGCAUUCCAAGCAAUAAAAAGAAAAGGGCAUCAAGACAGUCCCAAUAAUUAAGUACUAACACCCAACCACUACAUCAUUCUGACUUCAUAAUUAAAAGGAUAUGUUUGAACCUGCUUUAUGUGAGUCCUUGCUCUUUAAGCCCCUAUAUGCACUAAUGGUUAUCAAAUGGGUGCCUGUUUAUUUUGCAAGGGAAGGCCAACCCUACAGACCGGGUUGUUUAAGUAUUUUAAAUAAACAUUCUCUAUAAACUCUAAAAUGGUGCAUUUACCAUGACUUCUAUAAAGGACUCAUUUACAUUUAUGUGGAAAAAAUAAAUAGAACAAAGGAUCAUUUAAACCUGGUCUUUGCUCAAAUUCAAUCUCCAGGUUCAAGCCCCUGGUACUCCCUUUCAGAUCAGGUACUUUGUGGUCAGAGUAUAAAUUGAGUUGGGCGUGCUAAACCUGCAGUCAGAUUACACAGGAUUUCUAGAAUGUGCUGGGAAUCCCUUUGGAUUCUAAGCAUCCCCAAGGUGGAGCUGUUUAUAGUUCCCAUUUCUCACACCAUACACCCUAUUUGCAAACAUUCCUGGUGCUGCAGAAAGAUAAUCAUUUGUAAAAAUAAGCAGUAUAAUUGUAUCCUAAAAAACCUAAUGGAGAGAAAGCCAAGUCUUCACACCCAUUUGUCAGUGAAUGAUGUUGAUAUUGUUAAUAGAUCCCUGAAAUCUGCCUGUUUUAGGCACUGAAAUAUUCCCAGGGACAGAAUACCAUUGUGUGAAAAUAUCAUGCUUUCUUUCAAAUUGGAUGCCCUUUGCCUAUGUAUACAAAUUAAGAAGGAGGCAUGAAAUGGUUUUUCUUCUUAGAUCCUGCUUAUCUAUAGUGGUGACAAACUUUUCAUUUUCUUUUUUUUUUUGUUUUGUUUUGUUUUGCUUUUUAAAUUGAACAGCAGUCAGCAUUUUCUAAUAAGUUGUAGGAGUUACUCUUUGCUUUGACUAUAUGACAUUUUAUGACAUAGUAAAAAAAAGUCACUUUUUCAUGGGCUGCUCAGAAAAUAUAAUCAUUAUUAUAUACUUUAAAAUACCAUAUAUCAUCAUAAUGUUACAAUAUCUGGCAUAACAAAGGGACUUCAAUUGGGUGAGGGUUUGUGAGUUUACAAAUAUUUGGAAAUAAAAGGAAUUAUCAUUAAUUCCCUAAGAGUACUCUGCUUGGGGUGAAGCUAACCAACAGUGAACAAUUAGUUGAAAAGUGAAAAACUCCAUUAAUGGAUGAUUUUGCCCACACAAUAUUAAUAAUUAGCUAUGCUUUUUUAACUCAGCUGAAUAAUUGCAUCUAUGAUAGGUGGGCACUGACAUAGAGUAGGAUGGUCACAUGGGAAGAGUGCUGAGCAGUGGUUUGUUCAAACUUUGCCUAAAAAAUUAAUCUUGAGAUAGUUUUAAAUGUAAAUAUAAAUUUUAUUUGUAAAGAUGAAAAUUGCAAAAAUAAUAUGGAGUUCACAGAUUUUCCUGGUCACCCAGAUUUUUCUAAUUUGAACAUCCUGCUUGCAUGAAGUACGACUAAUAAAUUAACAUUAGUGUAAUACUAAUAACUAAGUAAAAGACUUCAUUAGAAUUUCAGUAGUAUUUCCACUAAUGCUCUUUUUUCUGGUCCAGGAUCCCACAUUGCAUUUAGUUUUUAUGUCUGUUUUAGUUUCUUCUAUCUGUGAUAAUUCCUUAGUCUUUCCUUGUCUUUCAUGACCUUGAGGCUUUUGAAAGAGUGCUUAACUAGAUAUUUUGUAGAGUGACUUUCAAUUAAUUUUUCUUUGAUGUGUUCUCAUGAUUAGGUUGAACUCAUGCAUGAGGUUGAGAUAUCUCAAUACUAAUGAUAUUAGCUCUGGUUACUUGAUCAUUUUUCUAUACAUUUACUAUUUUUCUCUUUGUAACAAAUAAAUAUCUUGAGAGAAUACUUUGAGAUUAUGCCAAUAUUACUGUUUCUCAAAUAUUCUGUUUCUUUAUGCCCAAUAAUUUUAGUAGUCUUUGGUGAAUGUUGCCUGCAACAGUUAUGAUCUUGGUACCACCAUUUCUUGUUCUACUUGGGCUGUAUUAGCUGAUGAACCCUCGUACCUUGAUCUGAGUAUGAAAACAUAAGUUUUUUUUUUUUUUCUGUCAGAAUAUGACACGAUAAAUUGAAUAUUAAAAAUGCUUGCUCAAAACUGUUGAAUAUCAUAUUCCUACCUUGGGCUCAACAGGGAUAAAAACACUGCCAUCUAACUUAUAAUCACCUGCCAUGCACGCAUUUGAUUAGACAGCUGUCAGGUAUCUUUAAAAUUAAGGUAUUUUCCCUUAAUCUCUACUCUAGAAAUUGGAGUAACUAAUGUUUUCAACUAGGUUGAAUGUGAACUUUUUUUUUGUUGAUUUAUUAUACCCUUUUAACAAUAAACAUUGAACAGCAGAUCUAUUCAGGGGACUUUAGGUAACAGAGAAAGUGAAGACAACUAGGAAAUAUACUUUAUCAAAUUAAAUGGAGAGCUUUGUAUUGUUCAGUACAGUAACCACUAGCCACAUGCAGCUAUUGAAAUACGGCUGACCAAACUGGGAUAUGCUGUAAAUGUAAAAUACCAACGAGAUUUCAAAAACUUAGUAUGAAGAAAGGAAUACAAAAGAUUUUCGUUAGUAAUUUUUAUGUCUAUUACAUGUUGAAAUGAUAAUAUUCUUUAUAUGUUGGGUUAAAUUAAACAUAUUAUUGAAUUCCUUUUCUUAUUUUUUAAUGCAUCUUUGAAAAUUUUAAAUUACAUAGUUUACAUUAUAUUUCUGUUUGACAGUGCUUAAUUUGAACUUUAUAUGGAAUUCUCUUAGCUCCUUGAAAAGCAAAGUUCAAAGGUCAUGGGCACUGUAGCUAAGAGACCUGAGUUCAAAACCAGGCUUUAUUACCUAGUAACUAUGGAAAUUGGAAAGUUACUUAAUCUCUUUGAAGUUUCUAUUCUCCUCAUCAGCAAAAUGAGAACAGGAUAUAUACAUCGUAUGGGUUUUGUGAGGAUUAAAGAAAGAUAAUUUAUGUACAUAUUGUAGAACAGCAAUUGACACACAUUACGUAUUUAGUAAAUGGCAGCUAGAGUUGUUAUUACACACUGACUAACUGAAAAGAAUUUCAGAUCUUUGAACUGACAACCAAGGCACAUAUAAUGUGUACUCUAUUUCUUUGUUGUUUAUUGUUUAAUCCUCUGGGAAAAUUAUAGUUAAUAGCCUACUAAAGAGUCUAGUCACAGGGUAACAUAAAUCCAUAUUUGAAAUUAUUUUAAUUUUCUCUUUUAAUUAUACCUAUCAUAAUAUUUUCUACCAAGAUCUGUUUAUUCAACAAAUAUUUUCUUGAGCAAAUUACAAAAUGCCAAGCAGGAUGGAGCUCCUGGGGAUGCAAAACUUAACUUAAAAGAAAUUUCCCUGUUUUCCUGGAGCUUACACUUUAGCUGGGGAACACAGAUAAUAAAUAAAUUAAUAAAUGUCAGGUAAUGAUAUGUGUAAGAAGUGAAUAGACUCCAUCCACUGGAAAACUAAAUUUAAAAAUAAUUCUAAAAAAUGGUUACUUAUAGAAAAAGGGAUCCAACAGGGUGGCAUAAACCAUAGAGGGCAAAAAAAAAAAAGAAAAAAAAAGAAAAAAGAAAAGGUGAUGAUGUGAGGCAGGAAGAAGGUUUCUUUGAAGGAGGAACAGUAAGAAGUCCAGUGUUCCUGAAGCAGAAUGGCCAAGGGCAACAAGCCACAGAUAAGGUUUGAGAGGCAAUUAUGGACCAGAUGUGAGGAUGUAUAUGACAUGAUAAAACUUUUUAUUCUUUCACAUUUAAUAAUGUACUUGAUUAUUCACCCAGCAAUUUCUACUAGUAGAAUUCAGAGGAUUUUAGGCCCAUUGUCCUAGUUCAUCUUGAUAUGAUAUGAUUGACUUAACUGAAACAAUUUCUCUGAAUACUUUGUGAAUAGACAAAAGCUAGUCAGGAAUAGGUUGUGGGAACUGAUUAGAUGGUUCUAAUCAUUAGUAUCUGGGAGGAAGAGAAAAGUGGUAGGAUUUGAGAUUGAUUUUGAAGAUAGAGCAGGCAAGACUUGUUUUCAAUUUCACAUGCUUUGUAGAAAAAAAUGAGGAAUCAAGACUGUCUCCUUUUGACAUAGGAAACUGGGAGAAUAGUCUGGUAACAUAGAAAAAUUAGAAUUUUCUUGGGUGGGUGGGUGAAUAGGAUUUCUAGCUGGACAUCUUAUGUUUGAGAUUCUCAUUAGACAUUCAGGUAGAGAAGGUAAAUAGAAAGGUGUCCAGAUUAGGGGCAUCUGGGUGGUUCAGUCAGUUGAGCAUCUGAGGUUCAAGAGGGAAAGAGGUAUGUGAAAUGCCCAUAAUUUUUGUUCCUUUCCAUAACUUAGGCUUAACUUGUACACAAGUUAUAUGAAUAUUGAUCCAGCUUUGUGCAUCCUUGGUGGCCUUGCUUUAAUAUGUAGGGCUAAGUCACCAGCCAAUCCAGCAUGGGAAAGAGGCAGGGCAAAGCAAGGCUUAGGAAGUAGCAUCUUUGUAAAAUAUCCAAGAAAAUCACUCAUAGUUGAUGCAAUUAAAGACUGCAACAUUUCAGUAAUAUAAUGAAAACCCAAAUCAUACUUUAAAAAUAUCUGAACACCCUGUUGAUAACUUAAUUGAACUUGAUGAACCCUCUAUCUAGACUUUUUAAAAAAUGAAUGGAAAUUAAUUUUAUGGGAAGUGUAAAAGGAGUCUGACUGUUUUUUGAUAUUUCACUGCUAACAGAUUCUAAGCCUCACCCCACCCUCUUCCCCUUCUGCCAUAUUCCGAAAAGCUAAAAAGUACCCUGGGUAUCCCCUCUUUUGGUGCCAGUGGGAGAUUCAGUGUACACAAACCCUUGCUGCACAUUAGAAGACUCACCUUGACCCCACCCACUGGCACCAUAAAAACUCUACCAGCCUUUCCUUUCUUUCUCAAGCCGGUUUUGGACCUGCUUGAGAGGCCCAUCUGCAUCUCCCCAAAAUAAUCAUUAUAUAAGCAGUAAACAUUUUCAUGCCUCUUGCUGUGUGUGGUAUUAGUCUCAGUAAUCUGAACCAUGUUUUGGGUAGAGGUCCGUUCUGUUUACAUAGGAGGACUGCAAUAGAAAGUGCACCUGUCAGAGAGAUUUUUAUGGCUAUUGGAGUUGGGCUCUAACAAAAUAAAAUAAUUAUAAACUACUCGAUGAACUUGCUUAAUGGAAACCAUAGGAUAUACUGGGAAUCUGCAUUGAGAGACAUCCCCUUUUUAAGAAUUCCUUUCUUAAAAAUAGAUUAGUGAUUAUGGGUACACAAUGAGGAUCAUUGGCCAACUUAAAGCUAAUCAUCUAUUUCAAAACUUCUUAUAAAUAACGAACAUUUUAUAUUUGCUUUCAGCUCUAAUUAUUCAGUGGAGAUUAUAAGAUACAUCACAGGGUAUAUAUUUAUAUAUUUGAAAUUUAUUAAAUCCUCGCACCUCCCUUGGCCUUUCUUAAAAUACCCUUACUGAAAAAUACUGACUGAAGAUGCUUGGAAGGUUUGAAUCUCCUACAGGGGCACCUGGGUGGCUCAGUUGAUUAAGUGUCUGACUUCAGUUCAGGUCAUGAUCUCACGGUUCAUGAGUUUGAGCCCCACAUAGGGCUCCAUGCUGAAAGCUCAGAGCUGGAGCCUGCUUCAGAUUCUUUGUGUCUCUUUCUCUGCCCCUCCUCUGCUCAUGCUCUCUCUCUGUCUUGCUCUCGCUCACUUGCUCAAAAAAUAAACAACCAUUUAACAUUUUUUUGAAUCUCCUACAUGCUUUAAUGCUAUUUCAGGUCUUGAUUUUUAUACCUAGAAUACAAUUCCUCCUUAGUAAAACUAUUGUGUAGUGUUCCACCAAUUAUAAAUUCCAAGUCUAAAUGAAACACAGUGAGAUCGAGAAAGAAGUCUAAUCUCUUCUUUUUAUAGAUGAGGAGAGGGAGGCCCAUAUACACUAAGUUACCUGCCCCAUUUCUCACAGCCAAUUAGUGGUAAAGCUGGGACUGGUCUUCUCCAGGGCUAUUUGUCUUCUCUACAACCAUUCCUCUACUUCAUCCCCAACAUUAUCAGACAUUCAUCUUUCAUACCUCUCAGUGAAUAGAAGAUAGGAGGUGAACUGUCUCAUGUCGUCCUCACAUAUCUCCACGUGUUCACAAACACUGAAAUCUUAGUUUAUCUUUUGAGGGCAGAGAGAUGCCAUAUAUUUUCUUUGACUGAAAAUGUAAGUAGCCAUUUCCAACAUGCAUAGCUGGGGUUGUGCAAGCUGAUUCUGGACAUAAAAUAGAGCAAAGGCUACAAAAGCCAAGUCCAGUUGAACCUUUCCUUUCUCUGUCAGAUAAAUUAAUCUGAGGUAUUUAACAUAUGGCCACUAGUGCCGGAGUCCAAAUACAAAGACCUCCAAAUCUUAUAAAUACUGUUUGUUGAUAUGUUAUGUUUUUUAAAUGGUAACAUGCUACAGUAUCAGAAGCCUUCUUUUUUCCUUUAAUUUUUUUUUUUAAAUCUACAUCUUCACUGAAAAAUCAAAGGACUUUUGAUUCACUGCCAGUGACAUUAAGUUCUGUUAACGGAUAACUUUAUUUAUUUUGGCCAUAUAGAGACACUAGAAACAAUAAUACAAUAGCAUAGUACGCUAAGUGUGGUGCCAACCUCUUCAUCUCUAUCAUACUAUUAUUCCAUUUAGCCUCCCUAAUAAAUCUACUCCUUAUAGUGAAGAAGCCAUUAUCCUACCAGUUUUAUUAUACGAUAACUGAGUCUCACAGAAAUUAUAAUUUACGGUAGAAUCUGGCUACAGAACCAGGAAGGCUGGAUCCAAAUCCCAGGAUCCAGUAUCUGUGGAUCCUCUCCCUACUUUAAUAUCCUGCCAGUCUUGUUUACUAGUUGAAGUCCAAGAUCUCCCAUCAUACCCAAUACAUAAUAGAGGCUCAGUAGAUAGAUGUUAACAUGAAAAGAUGAAUGGACAGGCAUAUUUAGUUUUCUGCCUGAACUAAACAAACAGGCCAAACCUCACUUUGCAGGCAGAUGUAACUCAGAAGAAUGCAAGAAUCUAGUGUUCAUUAGUGUACCUGAGAAAGACAAUACAAGUCCCUUGGAUAAGGGAGUUGGUAUUAAUGUAAUUCACCUUGAAACCAGGGGGGAAUUGAGCAAAAAAUCAUUAUGGACAUAGAUUGGCUGUAGAGAAGUUUGUGUAGUUCCAAGACAAUCAUUAAAAACACCCUCCAUUUGAUUGCUUUGGUAAGAAUUCUGUCAGUUUAACUGCCUCCUGCCACGUCCACACCACAGGAUAUUAAAAAGCCACUUUACUUGGUUGUGCCCACUAUCAAUGCUGUGAUUUUUUUUUUUUUGAUGCUGUUUUAACAUGAGAAUGCAAUUAACUUAUUCUGCUCCUGUGAAGGGAUCAGACUUCUGGGAGUUUAAACAAAUUAAUAAAUGUGUUGAUUAGGAAAGAGAAUUCACCAGCUUCCUGUGUAUAUUUUUAUUCGGCACAAUACACACAUAGAGCUGUGUUGUUAUUUUUGUCUACUGGCUAAUGAGAAAGAGAAGGAUCGUUGCCAACUGUUCUCCAUCACCUGUGGUGAUAGGAAGGAACAAGCUUUAGCUCUAGCAUGAAGUCAUUAGGUUCAUCACAGGGAAGCUUAACUUUUCCAUGGGGUUUUAAGCCUUUGGAAUGGAUUGGUGAGGGAGAUGGAAGCUUUUGCCAGGUAGGGAAGGUGUAAUUUUUUUUGCUGAAGUAUCACACAAGAGGUAUUCCUUUUCCAGUAUAACAGUCUUCUGCUCCCCCGACCCCCCAACACACACACUUCUUUAUACAUUGGUAGUUCUCAGGUGAUGCACAGAGAUAAAAUGGAAUCCUUUAAGGAGCUUUUAAAAAUCCCAAGAGCUAGGCCAUUCCCCAAAUUAAAUCAGAAACAUUAGGGAUAGGACCCUGUCACCAGUACUUUUUGAAGCUCCUCUGUGAUUCUACACCUAACUGUAAACUAAGGGAACUGCUUAAGGAGAAGUUCUCCUAAACCAACUUUGGUGACUGAAGAUUGUGUAAAGGACAUUUCCAUUGAGCCAUGAGCCUGCAUGUCAGGACUUGCCCAUCACCUGACCCUAAGUAACCUCGGGGGCUGUGGGAGCUUCUAAGCCUGUAGAAGAAAGUAACAAGAGAAACCACUUCUUUAAAAAGAGUUGAUUAUGAUCAGUAUAAAACACAGGGGGAGCAAACUAUUUGAAGUCUGUGACCCCAUAAGAAAUUUGGGCUCAUGCUAAUGGAUUUGUUGGGUCAUUACAGUUCCUAAAACAGUGGAUUUGGGGUGCAACGGCCAUGCAACACCAAGUUCCAUCACAACCAACAAUCUUGAGCUGACAGUCCCAAGUAUUAGUUAAAGCAACUGGUCAUCUUUUCCCGUGAGAUGCUGUGGCCUUUGCCUUUAUCAAUCCCACAGCUGCUGAAGUCUAGGACAUAGACUUGUGAGAUGCUGUUCUUCCUCUUAUAAAGAAGUUGUGGUUUAUAUAUACAAUGGAAUACUACUUGGCAAUGAGAAAGGAUGAAAUAUGGCCUAUUGCAGCAAUGUGGAUGGAACUGGAGAGUGUUAUGCUAAGUGAAAUAAGUCAUACAGAGAAAGACAGAUACCAUAUGUUUCACUCUUAUGUGGAUCCUGAGAAACUUAACAGAAGACCAUGGGGGAGGGGAAGGAAAAAAAAAAAAGAGGUUAGAGAGGGAGGGAGCCAAAACAUAAGAGACUCUUAAAAACUGAGAACAAACUGAGGGUUGAUGGGGGGUGGGAGGGAGGGGAAGGUGGGUGAUGGGUAUUGAGGAGGGCACCUGUUGGGAUGAGCACUGGGUGUUGUAUGGAAACCAAUUUGACAAUAAAUUUCAUAUUUAAAAAAAAACUAUAUAUGAGUAAAAUUUCAAUGCUUUCAACUAAUUGUCUCUGGUUUAAUCUUUUUCCAUGUUUUCUCCUCCUUCUGCCUUUUUCCCCCUGCCUUUUCAAACUUUUUAUUUUGAGAUAAUUUUGGCCUUUUUAUUGUGACAAAAAUGUACAAAACAGAAUUUUCCAUUUUAACCAUUUUUUAAGUAUGCAAUUUAAUGGCAUUGAGUAAAUUUACAUAGUUUUGCAACAAUGACUGCCAUCCAUCUCCAGAACUUUUUUGCCAUCCCAGACUAGAGCUCUUUAUCCAUUAAGUAAUAAUUCCUCAUUACCUCCUCUUCCCAGUCCCCGGGAAUCACUGCUAUACUUUCUUUUUCUAUUAAUUUCAUUCUUCUAGUUACUUCAUAUGGUGUAAUCAUAUAUUUGUCCUUUCAUGUCUGGUUUAUUUAAUUUGCCCUAAUGUGUUCAAAGUUCACCCAUGUUGUGGCAUGUAUCAGAAUUUCUUUCUUUUUCAAGGCUGCAUCAUACUGUGUGUGUAUACAUAAGAUAACUGUAGAUUCACAUGCAGUUUAAGAAACAGAUGAACAUAAGGUCUCCCUCUCUGAGGGAGACAAAACAGAGACUUAUAAAUAUGGAGAACAAACUGAGGGUUACUGGAGGGGUUGUGGGAGGGGGGAUGGGCUAAAUGGGUAAGGGACACUAAGGAAUCUACUCCUGAAAUCAUUGUGGCACUAUAUGCUAACUAAUUUGGAUGUAAAUUUUAUUUAUUUUUUUUAAUUUUUUUUUCAACGUUUAUUUAUUUUUGGGACAGAGAGAGACAGAGCAUGAACGGGGGAGGGGCAGAGAGAGAGGGAGACACAGAAUCGGAAACAGGCUCCAGGCUCUGAGCCAUCAGCCCAGAGCCUGACGCGGGGCUCGAACUCAUGCACCGCGAGAUCGUGACCUGGCUGAAGUCGGACGCUUAACCGACUGCGCCACCCAGGCGCCCCGGAUGUAAAUUUUAAAAAAUAAAAAAUAAAAUAAAAAAAAGAAAUACUACAGAGAUCUUGUAUAAUCUUUACCCAAUUUCCCCCAAAGGUAACAUUUUGCUAUUCUUUAGUACAGUAUUAUAAUCAGGAAAUUAAUACUGAUACAAUCUAUUGACUUUAUUCAGAUUUCACCACCUUACUUGUACUCAUCUGUGUGUGUGUGUGUGUGUGGGGGGGAGAGAGAGAGAAUAUCUCUAUUCAAUUUGAUCAUAUGUGAAUAAUAGCAUGACCAACACCCGAGUUACAACAUAAGGAUCCCUCAUGCUGCAGUUUAAUAUCCACAGCCAUCUUCCAACCUCUCCUUCUCACUAACUCCUGGCAACCAUUCAUAUGUUCUCCAUCUCUGUAAUUUUGUUAUUUCAAGAAUGCUAUGUAAAUGGAAUUAUAUAAUAUGUAAUAAUUUGAGAUUGGCUUUUUCCAGUUAGCAUAAGUCUCUGGUGAUCCAUCCCAAGUUGUCACAUGUAUUAAGGGUUUGAUCCUUUUUUAUUUUUUUUUUUAUUUUUUUUUAAAUUUUUUUUUUAAUUUUUUUUUUCGUUUAUUUAUUUUUGGUACAGAGAGAGACAGAGCAUGAACGGGGGAGGGGCAGAGAGAGAGGGAGACACAGAAUCGGAAACAGGCUCCAGGCUCUGAGCCAUCAGCCCAGAGCCUGACGCGGGCUCGAACUCAUGGACCGCGAGAUCGUGACCUGGCUGAAGUCGGACGCUUAACCGACUGUGCCACCCAGGCGCCCCAUCCUUUUUUAUUUUUGAGUAGUAUUCUAUGGUAUAAAUGUACCACAUCUUGUUUAACUAUUCAUAUGUAAAAGAGCAUUGGAGUUUCCAGUUUGUGGCUGUUUAGAAUAAAACUGCUAUGAAUAUUUACAUACAGGUUUUUAUAUAAAUAUAUGUUUUUGUUUCUGAAAUAAAAGCACAAGAGUGCAUUUGCUGGGUUGUAUAGUAAAAGCAUGGCUAGUUUUGUUAGAAGAUGGCAUAUAUAUUCAAGCAUAGCAGCGUCAUUUUCCGUUCUCACCAGCAAUGUAUAUGUGAUCUAGUUUCUCUGCAUCCUUGCCAGAAUUUGGUUUUGCUACUUUUCCUUAUUUUGUCCAUUUUGAUAGGUGUGUAGUGAUAGCACAUCAUAAUCUUAAACUAUGUUUUCCUAAUAGCUAACGAGCUAAUAAGUUCAGCAUCUUCUUGUGUGCUUAUUUGCCAUUUGCAUAUUAUUCUUGAUGAAAUUUAUUUUUUUUAUGUCUAUUUAUUUAUUUAUUUUGAGAGAGAGUGAGUGAGAGAAGCAGAGAUUCCCAAGCAGGCUCUGUGCUGUUAGUGCAGAGUCUGGUGUGGGUUUCAGUCCCAUGACCUGACACAGUGAGAUCAUGACCUGAGCCAAAAUCAAAAGUCAGGUGCUUAAACAACUGAGCCACUCAGGUGCCCCAUUUUUGGUCAAAUUUCUGUUUUUCAUGUCAUUUGUCCAUUUUCAUAUUGGAUUUUCUGGCUUUGUUUUUACUUUUGAGUUUUGAAAGUUAUUUUUUAUAUUCCAGAUACAAGUUUUUGUCAGGUAAAAGAUUAGAAAGGAAUAUUAUGAAAACCUCUAUGCCCAUCACUUUGAUAAGUUUUGUAAAUGGACUAAUUCCAAGAAAGACACAAUCUACCAAAACUCACAUAAGAAGAAACAGAUACUCUGAGUAGCCUCAUAUCUAUUAAAUGUAUUGAAUCAAUAAUAACCUUUUAUAACAAAAGGUGCCAGAGCCAGUUGAGUUCACUGGUAAAUUCUACUGAACAUUUAAAGAACAAAGUAUACCAAUUCCCUAUAAUCUCUCUGAGAAAAUAGGAGCAGGAGUACUUCCUUAGUUAUCUAUGAGGUUAGCAUUACCCAAACACCAAAACCAUGCAAAGACACUAUAAAUGAGAAAACUACAAACCAAUAUCUUAUGAAUACAGAUGCAAAGUUUCUCAAAAAUAUAUUGGCCAACUGAAUUCAGCAGUGUAUAAAAAGAAUUAUACACUAUGAUUAAGUGGAAUUUAUCCCAAGUAUGCGAAGCUGAAUCAACAUUAAAAAAUCACAUCACUAGGGGUGACAGCGUGUCUCAGUCUGUUAAGAGUGACUUCAGCUCAGGUCAUGAUCUCACAGUUCAUGGGUUCGAGCCCCACGUUGGGGUCUGUGCUGACAGCUCAGAGCCUGGAGCCUGCUUCUGAUUCUGUGUCUCUAUGUCCCUCCUCCACUCACACUCACCCUCUCUCUCUCUCUCUCUCUCUCUCAAAAAUGAACAUUAAAAAAUAUUUUUAAAAAAUCACAUCACAUCAACAGAUCAAUCAGAUAAUGGAAACAUUCAAUUAGCCUUCUACCAUAGUGUUAUAUUUUAGGGGUACACUGGUGUGGGGCAAGUCAAAAUAUCCCUUCUAGGGUAUGUUGUUGCAUCUUCUCCCUCUUAUAACAACAACAACAGUAACAAAAAAAGGCACAAUGCUUAUCAAGUCUCUUUGGAUUUUAGAAGAAGCACAUUUCUCAUAUGGAUGUGAUACUCAGGCACAUUUACUGAGUAAUCCAAAAAUUUAAAAGUUUAGAGUGGUAUGCCGAACAUGAGAAGGCCAUGCCACAAGUCCAGGCUGCCACACAAGCUGCUGUCACUUGGGCUAUAUGAUCUAGCAGAUCCAAUGGUACUUGAGUGCAAUGGCCCAUAGAGUUGUUUGGAGACUUUGGCUGAUUCCUAUAAGUUAAUUAGAGCACAAGACCUUAAGAUUUGGAGCAGGCCCUGCCAUUAACUAAAGAUGUCUCCUUUUGAGAAAUAGCUUUUGGCCUGCUAAUGGGCCAUGGGCCACCAAGUUAGCAUGAAACCUGAAUUGUGUUUACAGCAGCACUCCGUCAUCAAAUAGAAGUGGUAUAUACAAGAUUAGAUCCCGACAUGCCUGAAGAUACAAGUAAGUUACAUAAAGAAGUGGCCCAAAUGCCUGUGGUCUCCACUUCCAUUAUACUACCUUUUCACUCCCAAUCUGCACCUUUGGCCUCAUGGGGAGUUCCCUAUGAACAGCUUUCAGGGGAAGAGAAAAGUCUCACCUUGUGUACAGAUGGUUCGGCAUGAUACGCAGGCACCCCCAGAAAAUGGACAGCUGUGCGCUACCACCCCUUUCUGAGACCUCCCUGAAGGACAGUGCUGGAAGGAAAUCCUCCCCAUGGGCAGAAUGUCAAGUAGUACACCUGGUUUUUAAAUUUUCUUAGACAAAGAAAUGGCCAAAUGUGUGAUUUAUAUUGAUUCAUGGACUGUGACCAGUGGUUUGGCAGGAUGAUCAGGGACUUAAUGAACCUGAUUGGGCAAUUGGUGACAAGAAUGUCUGAGGAACAGGUAUAUAUUGCCCUCUGAGUGGGCCAAAAAUGUGAGUAUGUUUGUGUCACGUGUCAGUGCCCACUAAAAAGUGACAUUAUCAGAGGAAUAUCUUAAUAAUUUACCCAGCCACCCUUGUCGAUACCCUCCACACUCUUGAGCAAUGUAUGCAUACGCAGGGCUGGGACUAUGUAUGGGCAACAUGGACUUCCUUCCACUCAUUAAGGCUGAUCUGACUAUAGCAGCUGGUGAGUGCCCAAUCUUUCAGUAGCAGAGACUAACACUGAGUCUGGAGAUUUCUGGCUAAUGCAGAAGAAAGCUUUCUUAAGUUUAUAAAAGUGUUUAUAGAAAACCUUCUACGAACAUCAUAUAUAAUGGUGAAAAACUGAAUGCCUCCUCACUAAGAUCAGGAAGAAGGCAAAUGUGCCUGUCUCACCACUCCUAUAUGAUAUUAUAGUAGAUGUUCUAGUUAAUGCAUUAAGACAAGACAAGACAAGAAAAGGUUUACAGAUUUUGAAGAAAGGGGUAACACUUUCUUUAUAGACAGCAUGAUUGCCUAUAGAAAAAUUCCAAAGAAUUGACCAAAAAAAUUCUGGAAGCUAAUAAGCAAUUAAAGCACAAUUGCUAGAGGUAAAUUAAAUUACAAAAGUUACUUGCUUUUCUAUGCACCAGAAAUUAACAGGUGAAUUUUGAAAUUAAAAACACAAUAUUACUUUCAUUAGCACCAGAACAGAGGGAGCAGGUACUCAGAAAUGAAUCUAACAAAAUAUGUGCUGUACGUACAUAUAUAUUAUAUUGCAGAUAUUGAUAAAUUGAUUUUAAAAUUUAUAUGAAAAGUAACAAAAAAAUCCAGAAUAGCCCAUACAACUCUGAAAAAGAACAAAUUUGAAGGAUGGAAGUUUCCUAAAACCAAGACAUAUUACAAAGUUAUAUCAAUAAAGACAGUGUGGUAUUGGUGAAAGAAUAGACAGAUAAAUCAAUGGAACAGAAUGGAGUCCAGAUACAAUCACAGAAAAAUGGUCAACUUAUCUUUGAUAAAGAAGUAAAGAUAAUUCAAUAGGAGAGAGGAUAGUCUUUUCAAGCACUGUUGCCAGAACAAUAGGAUGUCCACCUGCAAAAAGUAAAUAAGUAAGUCUAGACACUGACUUUAUACCUUUCACAAACAUUGACCAAAAAUGGAUUACAAAUCUCAAUGUAAAACACAAAACUAUAAAAGCUUCUAGAAGGCAAUAUAGGAAAAAAUCUGGGUGACAUUAGGAUUGGCAGUGAGUUUUUAGAUCUACCAAAACUGUAAUCUAUGAAAAAAAAUUGACUAAAUUUGUUAAAAUAAAUUUAAAAUUGAUAAAAUUUAAAAAGUUGAAAUCGAUAAAAUUAAAAACCUCUGCUUUGUGAAAGACACUUAAGAGAAUGAAAAGAGAAGCCACAAACUGGGAGUAACAUUUGCCAAACAUAUUUGCUAAGGACUGUAUCCAAAAUAUACAAAGAAUACUUAAAAAUCAACUGUAAGAAAACAAAAAAAACUUAAUAAAUGAGUAAAGAAAUUUAAGACAUAUAUGGCAAAGGAAAAGAUAUUUGGAAUAUUUAUUCCAAACAUACAUAUCCAUACAUGCAUACACAAACACACACAGGGAAGAAAUCAUCUCUGUGACAAACUUCCCAAGAAGAGUUUAUCCCUCUUGUAAAAGGUAUUACUAUAGUGAUAAACAUAUGCCUUAAUUUGGGCCAAGAAAUUUUGAUUACUUGGUCUCUUAUACAAAAUAAUCAUAGGCCUGUGGAUCUCAUGAUUUUAAGUAUUUGUCCCUUAUAAACUCCUCCAUCCUCACAAAUGGCAUUUAAGAGACAUCUUUGACUUGUCUUCAUCACCCACGUUUUCAGUCGCUUAUAUCAGUAUCCUAAAGAUCUUUCCUGUUCGUUCUCUCUUCUCAUACUUUGGAUCCCACCAACUUCCACCUUCCUAGCCCUGACCCCUUUUACCUCAUCCGUUCAUGUUGUCACCAUAAUUACUCUGCUUUGGUUUUUAAUUCCUCAUUUUCAAUUUGUAUUUCAUACUGCUGAUGCAGACGGAUCUCUAAAACCCAAGUAACAGUUUGAUUAUCUCAUUCCCUUGUUCAGACAUUCUUCAGUGUCUACUAGUUCUUCGUGCAAAUUCUUUAAACUAUCGUAUUAAGACUGCAUGAUUGUAGUAGUGUUGUAUGAUGACAGAUGGUAGCUAUACUUGCCCUGAGCAUAGCAUAAGGUAUAAACUUGUUGAAUCACUAUGUUGUACACCUGGAACUAAUGUAACAUUGUGUGUCAACUAUAUUUAAAAAGGGUGGGGGGCACCUGGGUGGCUCAGUCUGUCAAGUGUCUGACUCUUGAUUUUGGCUCAGGUCAUGUUCUCACUGUUCGUGGAAUCAAGCCCUACGUUGGGCUCCAUGCUUACGGCACAGGGCCUAAAUGGGAUCCUCUCUUUCCUCUUUCUCUGCCCUACACCUGCUGACAUGCGUUCUCUCAAUUUCUCUCUCUCUCUCUCAAAAUAAGUAAAUAAACAUAAAAAAGACCCUGAAUUAUUGUACUGUAUAAUAUUUAGCUUGCUACUAGCCUUCAGAUUGCUGGUGCUGUAAUCACACUAGAAUGCACUGAGUUUUGUAAACAAGAGUUAUUUUAUUUUGUGUCUGAUAAACCAACUUCCAUCUUACCUAGAUUAAUACAACUAAUGUAUUUUUUUUAGCUUUUAGAUAAUUUCUUCUCUUAAACCUUUCUCUGAAGAAAAAAUACAUAAUGCUUUCCUUGUCAAUAGACACUCAGUAAUUAUUUUGAAAAGUGGAUAGAUGGAUGAGUGGAUGACUGAAUGAAUUUUAGUUAUUCUCUAAGCUUGUGGAAAUAGGCCCUCUUUCUACUCUAUGCCCAUAGAGUAAAUUGGGCACUCAUUUACUAAAUAAUUGAGAAUGAAUAAAUGAGUAUCUUCCUGAAUGUAUGAAAGACUGUGGGCUAAAUACUGCCUUCCAAGACAAUUAUUUUGAUAGUCCUUGUUUGAGGAAUCAAGUAGUGAUAUUUGAUAGUCUCUUCUUUAAUAAGAACAACUCAGAGUUAUUCUUUCUUUUGAAAGUUUGUAUUUGACAUCCAAAGUAGACAAAAUUCUGCCCAAGUAAGUCUCUGGCCACUUUUCUCUCCUUAAUGGAGUAUGUCUGUCAUAUUUUUUUUUUUCCUUUCAUCAUGAAAAAAAAAGUUAUGUAGUGAAAUAAGUUCUGGGCAAAGCAUUAAUUACACAAUAUGUACUGUUUAGACAUUUAAAUCUUGUAAUUUUAUAUGUCCUAGAGCUGAGACUCAUCUUACUGACAAGCAAUGUGUAUCUAAUGAAGAUCAUUUUAGGCAAAAUGUUCUCCUAAGAGACAAAACCUUGCUUCUAAGCCUCAGGUAAUCUGCAGCAAACACUGAAGUAUGCAGAGGGUAGAGAGGAAGAAAUCUAAGAAAAAUAAGAAACUGGCCUCCUCUGUGGAAUCCAAUUUAAAUCCAGAGAAUUCUCAAUCAGGUUGUCACGGUGAGCCACAUAUAUAUGAAAACCCAAUCAUUGCACUCAUAUUAAUUAAACUCUUCAUGAGAAUUCAAAUUACAUUUAUUUAGUAGACUCUAGAAACUCUAAAUAAUAUGCCAGUCAUUUUGCUUCUCAUCUUCACCUUUGAGGUAUUUUAAAAGAGAUUAUCUCUUGUGAAACAUGUUGGCACUCAUAUCUGAGAAGAUUUUGUAUAAGUAUAUGGCUAGAGUUCUUUCAGAAGGAGAAAUGGAAAAUAGCCAUUUGACUGCAAUUCUGAAAAGAUCUUACAAAACCUCUCCCUGUGUUCUGAUUCCCAGAGGGAUAAUUCUCUUCUCUCUCCAUCAAUUUUUGGAUAUACAACUCAUGGGGAAAAAAGAAAUGUCUUCAUUUUCAGACGAGCACAUUUCCAUUCUCCUUAUUUUUUGUCAGUAUUGUGUUUUGAGCAGGGAUUAAUUCACUAAGGUCAAAAUUCAUUCAGCUGCAGGUAUGCAUAGGUAAUCCUUUGUCCACUUCAUUUGAAGAUGAAAGGACAUGUGGUCCUUCUUACUCAGUUAUGACCAGGCACUGCUUUCUGCUCUUUGAGGGGGCUUUGGAAGAGGAUGGCUGCCAUGGAGUAAAUAUUGGUUCUGUACAUUCCAUGGCUGGGCAGCUUAUAUUAUGGCUGACUAGAAAAUCUGAUCCUUCUUUUUCCUUUCAUGUAUCUCUGCAUGAAUAGUAAUAUGCAACUAAUAAAGUAACUAGGCCAGGACAGAAUGAAGACAAGCUCCAAACAAACAUUACAACUAAUUCAUCCUAAUUAAAAAUUGGCCUCAUUUCUGCCACAUGGAAAAAUGCUGGUAGUGAAAACAAAUACAUAUGCCACUUAGAUACUGAGUUAUUGGUUUACCUUACUUUUCUUUGACCAAUGAAUGUAUAGGAUUUGGGGCUUUUUAUUUUUAAUUUUAUUUUACUUUAAUUUGGGGGAGGGUCAUCUACAGCAUCAAUCUGAUUUAUCAGCCUACUAUUUGGUGAGGGCUGAAACUUGUAACGUUUUUUUUAACUUCUUUCCCUUCUGUUGUCUUUUGGAUGGUGUCAACCCCUCUGUAGAAAACGAAAACAAUAACAGAGGAACUGUAGGGACAUAAAAAGAAAUUAGUCAAACUUGUUAUGAUUUUGCCUUGGUAGAAGUUUAGAGAAGAUAAAUAAUGGGACGUUCAUGCUCUAUUCAUGCUCUUGCACUAAUAGUGUUAUCAUUUUCCUCCUGAUUUUCCUUCCUCAUUGCACCAGUAUUCCACACCAGAUCCAUUUCUAUAUGCAUUUAGAUUUUAAAUAUGGAAAAAACAAUAAUUUAUCUUAAGGGUGAGAUCUUCAUUUUUGUGGUUUAAAAUAAAAUACACACAAACAUGAAUAAAUAUGCAUGACUUUUUUUUUCUAGUCACAAUCUGCUAAAAUUUGUGUUAGUAAUCCAGCCAGCCUACCACCUGAAUGCAAAGGCAUAAGUGAGCCCAGACAAGAUUGACUGAGAACAAUCCAGAUCACCAGAACCCAGCUGACCCAAGCAUUUGUGAAAUAAUAAAUGGUGGUUAAAGGUUUUAAGCCACUAAUUUGAAAAUUCAUUUCAUUUGUAUGCAACACAUACUGACUCUUUGCUGUUGGUAUUUUGUUUGUAUCUUCUAAAUUAAGUAUCAGUACAAAAUCUGCUGAGUACAAAUGCUAAUGGAAACAAUAGAUAGUUCACUGUGUUUAUUUCUUCACUUGUUUUUUUUUUUGUUUUUUUUUUUUUUUUUACAUAGCAUACUCUCUGAAAAGGACUAGCAGUGGAUUUAAAAGAUAUGAAAUAUAACAAGUGAUCUAUAAUUAGUAGUAACUUAAAAGUGGUAAAUAAGAAAAGCAAAAAUGAGGAUAGUGAAUGAAACAAGAGGUAGAAAUGAAGCAUACAUUUUAAAAUAAUGCUAAUAUAGUAAAACCUUGGACUGUGAGUAACUUGUCCACAGGUGUUCUGCAAGAUGAGAAAACAUUUCUAAUAAAUUUUAACUUGAUAAACAAAUGAUGUCUUGCAAUACAAGUAGUACAUGACAUCAAAUGUCACAUGAUCACAACUGAGCCCAUGGUUCUUGAAAUUUGCUUUAAUAUUUGAGUGAUUUGGAUUGCAAGCAUAUUUCUGGAAUGAAUUAUGUUCACAAACCAAGGUUUUACUGUAUAUUCUUUAUAAUUAAUAAGAAAAGACCACUAGCUUACAUUUAAGCCCUUUUAGCACCCAAUUGAAGCGUGCAAACCUGAACCAGUUACACAACUCAUCACAACCAUAGCUUAACAGAUGUACAAUUAUUCCUCCAUUGGAAAGACCAUUUGAAUCCUAAACAGAUGAACAAACAAAAACUGGCAUAUGUGAGAUGUCUGAUUGUUGAAAACAUUAGAAGAAAGCAAAUGUAAUAAAUGACUGCCUAAGAAAGGUAAUACUUGUACUAAAAAAAAAAAGAGAGAAAGGAAAAAAAUAAAAGAUGCAAUGAACAAAGAACAUCCAGAGAACAUGAAAGUGAUCUUAGAAAUUAAAAAUAUAACUCUUCAAAGGAAAAGAAAAUAUAAUUUCAUAGAAGAAACAAAAAAUAAAUUUGAGCAAGUUUUCCAGUGUGUGUAUGUGUGUGUGUGACAGAAAGCACACAACCAAAAAGACACAAAAUUUGACAUAUCUAGCAGUUACAACAUGUGAUAAAAGAAAUCUCUGAGAAAGAAAAUAAAACAAAACAUAGAGAUGAAACAAUAGUUAUCAAGGAAAUUGGUUUUGAAAACUCACCUGUCAAGAGCUGAAUAACUGAGUGACAUAAGCAUUAAGAUUUAAGGUGCCAUUAACUGCUGAACAAAAUAUACAUUUUUUAAAUGCCUUGUAUAAUUCAUGAAUUUGCAGAACAUCAAGGAUAUGCAGAGCCAUUAAAAUUUCUGGAAAGAAAGUGGUGACCUCUUACAAAGAAACAAAUAUCAGACUGAAACCUACUUAAUUGGCCACUCUGGAUUGCAGAAAGAAAUGUUUUCAGUAAUGUUUUCUCUGGUCUUAGAACAGAUAUAUACAUACGUAUUUGUUCUAAGAAUAUAUAUAUAUAUAUUAGAAAUAUAUAGACAUAUAUAAUAUAUAUAAUAUAUAUAUUUGUUCUAUAUUCUAAAACCAGCCAAAGUUUCAAUCAGGGCAAAAUUAGAGAGAUUUUUUUGAUAAUUCAAGGACUCAGAGUUACUUCCAUAUGCUCUUUGUUACAUUGUGUAUAUACUUGGCAGUAAUAAAAGAUUAAGAAAAAAAUAUACCCUAAAAUGAGUUAGUUUUUCCUGCCUUCUAAGUCUGACCUAACCUGAUGCUUCUAGAUUUACAGAAAAUACCCCACAUCUUCUAUAUAGAUUCAUGAACAUGGGCAAUUUUAUGUAUCUGACAUAAUAUGUCAGCAUUCAUAACAUCUGGGGGAGAAAUGUACUUUCUAAAGGAAAUCUUGAUUUAAAAGAUAUUUGGGGUGCAGAAAAGGAAUAUUUAACUUGCUUAAUAAACCACUGUUCUUAAGCACUUUUAAAACCACCUCAGCUAUACCAUCAAUAAUUAACAGAGUUCUAAGAAAGUAUUUUCUGUUCACUAUAAUGGGCUCAGCAGGACUCCUGCUUACACAUACUAUUGUGAGGAGCUCCCAUUACUGCCCCUAGUUGAAAGUAAACAUAUGGUGCCUCUUUUAACAUUUCCUUUGUUUCCAGAUUCAGGCCAACUCUCCAUGUAAUUAUUUCAAAUUGGUGGAAUUGUAGUCCAUUUGUUUCUUGAGCAUUCUAUUAAUUUUUUUCAUUAUGGAAAAGAAUGUGACUGCACAUAUCCUGGGAGUAAAAAUUCAAGGAAAUAAUCUCAUUUAAGUUAUUUCUGAUGUCAAAUCACACAAUCACACAAUCCAGAAGUUAGGCUAUAGUAAAACAUAAAAAGAAUAAGCUUUAUUAAAAGCCACUCUAAGUUACAGGAAAUUGCAAUUAGUUGGAUGUAUUACUAGACAUUUCAUAAGACAUUUCCAUGAGAUGUAAAGCCGUAUUUCCGGCCUUUUUAUGACCAAGUACACUCUGAAUACCCUAUAUCUUAGUUAACAGAUUUAAAGUUAAAAUAUGUUAAUAGCAAAUGUUAUUAAAGUGUGUCCAGCCUGUUUUUACAGAAAAUGGUGAAGCAAAACAGAGUAGAACAAAAUCAUGGGUUUGCUUUGGCCAAUGGGUGGAGAAAAAACGUAUAGUGUCUGUGAGAAAAGUUAUGGCAAGAAUCUAUCAAUAAAAUCUGUUAAAAUAAUUAAGUGGCUUUGCAAUGUCAAGGGCAAGGCAGAAAAUAUUUUUCAAAAUUAAUGCAACAUUGCCUUUUGUAAAAAUUCAAAAUAAUUUGCAGUUAGAAGGAAGAGCAGGGCACAAUUCACUGUGCAUAUGGUAUGAAUAUAGGAGGGUGUGCUAUAUAUAUAUAUUACAGAUACAUAUAUAAUAUAUAUAGCAUUAUGUAUGCAUAUCCAUGUGUCCAUAUGUGUAUCAUAUCCUUUCUAUAAUGCUGCGUGUGUAGUAAAUACAAACAUAUGCUAUCCCAUCCACAUGCCCAUUGUCCGGAAAGAAUUUAAGGCAGUUGGAGGUUUUCCAUAGUUUUUUUUUUUUAAUAGUUUAUUUGUGUAUUUUUAUGACCGUACAAACAGACAAAUUCAGAGAUCAAUAUUGUCAACACCUAUACCUACCACCCAGAUUUAAUAAAUGAUGUUGACAUUUGGACACACUUGCUUUCACAUCAUCUCUUCUCUUAAAUAAAUCCGGUGUGGCAGAUACAGUUGAUGCCACCCUUACUCUCCAUUUCUUUCCAGACUUUACUUUUACACUGUAACUGGUGAAUAUCAAUCCCAUCUAGGGUUAUAUACUUUACUACCUUCAUAUAGUCUGCAAACAGUGGUAUUUAUUUUUAUGUGUUUUGGCAUCCUUAUGUAUUCUUGUGUUACUCAUUUUGUUCCCUUGAAAUUCAGUUGCUCCAUGAUACUCCAUUAUAUAAGCAGACCACAGUUUACACAUCCACUGGUUUCCUGGUAGCGUUUAGGUUGUUAGCAAUUAUUGAUCUUUUAUAUAAUGAUACAAUGCAUACUUUUGAGCAGGCCUUCUUGGGCACAUGUUUAAGAGUGUUUCUACAAUAUAUAACUCAAAGUAGAAUUGCUGCAUCAUAGGCCAUAAAUGUCUUUGGUGUGUGUGUGUGUGUGUGUGUGUGUGUGUGUGUGUGUGUGUGUUUUGGAAAUUGCCAUAAUGCUUUCAAAAUAGUUAUAACCAUUUACAUUCCCACAAAAAGAUAGUUUGUCUUUCCUCUGCAUAUUUACCAACACUUGCCAUUGGUUUUCCCAGUGUGUACAGCACAAUAUAGGAAGAAUGUUAUUCCUCUCUCCCUUUCUGUCUCUCUGUCUUUCUCUCUCUUCUCUCUCUUUGGACAGUUGGGCAGUAUAAUACAAAAAAAGUUUUAACAAGAGAAAGUACAGGAUUUAAUAGGUAUGAAAUAGAAAUCAACCUUUGCAGACUCCGUCAAAUUUUAUUCUCCAUCUAGAUUUAGAAAUGGUUUUUAUUACAACAGUGUAUCAGCAAAUAAGUUAAAUUUUAAGAAAAAUAGGAGAUUUAUCCAGGCUUUGCUGUUUGUAUGAAGAUAUUUGGGUCAGAAUCUGUUUGUUCUCAGAGCUUAUUGGCUUUUCACACUAUCUUAGUGUGUGUACCAUGUUUAGUUUAUGAAACACUUUCAUAUAUCAUAUUUACCUUGUAGGGAAGACACUCUAUGUAUAUUUAAAUUAUGUUUCUAGUGUAAGGCUUACACAUGUUAUCAUGUAAUCUAAUUUUCAGAAUCUUAAAUAUAUUAACUCUCAUUUUUAAAAAUCAGGAAAACAAAACCUGGGGGUAUGAAGUCACUGCAAAACAUAAUCAGAGAAACGUAAGUAAUGAUACAAGAUUCGAACAUAGUUGUGCUUCCAAGUCUAUUGCUCUGAGCUUUUAGUUCAUUAUGUUGGUUUUGUUUUGUUUUGACUGAGAAAACUAAGACAGUAAUCUAUAGGGACUUUGUUACAUCAGAGGAACGUUAGUUAAAAUUGAAUUUAGGCUAAUUUUAGAAAGGGCAAAGGACAGGGAAUUAUUGGCUUUCUAGGUUGGUGGCCUAGAAAAAUUGUGUCAGAGCUUUUGACUGGCCAACGGGCUUGUAAGAGGCCAUCCUUAUAAGUAGGGGGAGGGAAAUAGAGCUCAAGGUACAUUUCUGAGGUUAAAAAGAAAGGGCAUUUGCUUAUCUAGACAUGAUAUCAAGAACUGACCCAGAUAAACAAAAGAAAUAGCAAAGCACUGUUUUUUCCUCAUGAAAUCAUUAAAAAACCAUCCCACCCAGAGACACUAUGGUAAAUCUCCAUGCUGCAAUUUGCAAUUUAUACUUCACUCUGAGUUACUGGAUUUUUUCCCACAUGCAAUUUGUUUUGCCACUUAAUGUUUGGCUGUUCAAUGCAGACGUCUCCAAGAGUCUUUGUGUUUCUUCUUUUUCAAUACGUGUGAGGACAUGAGGUCUUCACUACUGUUUGCAUAAUUAACUGUAAAUGCACGGGAGCAACAAUAUAACAGAGUUUUUACAAGUGCUGGUUCUGGAAUCCCAGUCCUGGGUGUAAUCCUGGCUCUGAUUCUCAUGUGCCUAGAGACCCUGAGCUGUUUACUUAAACUCAGCCUUGACUUCCCCAUUUAUGAAAUGAAGAAUUUUUGUAGUUCAUGGUUCAUGAAGAGUAAGACAAUUAAGCAGAUAGAGUAAUUAACAAAAUUUCAGGCACCUAAUAAGUAUCUGAUAUAUGUUAAACAUCAUUAUUAACAUCCUUUAGAACUACAUAUAUCCAUUGUAGAGCUUUAAGUAAUAAGCUAACAGACACACAAACACAUGCAAUUAGCCACUAGAGUGCAUGAAAUUACUGAAGAGGGUAGAACACUCAGAACUAUAAACCACAACUUGGCAAAACCCAUGUAGGUAGUGCCUGAAGAAAGGAUUAGGGAAUGUGUCAAGAGUUUUCGGUAUCGAAGGAAUUCAAGAGGAAAGUUUCUAAUAACAGGAAAAUUGUUUGGAACAAGAUGAUAAAUUGUAUGAAGUUUAAAAAAUUUGAAUUUAUUAAAUAAGGGUGCCUGGAUGGCUCAGUCAGUUAAGCAUCUGAUUCUUGAUUUCAGCUCAGGUCAUGAUCUCUCACAAUUGUGAUAUCAAACCUGUGUGGGGCUCUGCCCUGGGUGUGGAGCCUGCUUAGGAUUCUCUUUUCUCUCCCUCUACCCCUCCCCCACUCACACGUGCACUCUCUCUCAGAAAAAAUAAAAAUUAAAAAACAAAAAACAUCCAAAAUCUAUAAAGAACUUAUCAAACUCAACACCCAAAAAACAAAUAAUCCAGUGAAGAAAUGGGCAAAAGACAUGAAUAGACACUUCUCCAAAGAAGACACCCAGAUGGGCAACUGACACUUGAAAAAAUGCUCAACAUCACUCAUCAUCAGGGAAAUACAAAUCAAAACCACAAUGAGAUACCACCUUACACCUGUCAGAAUGGCUAACAUUAACAACUCAGGCAACAACAGAUGUUGGUGAGGAGGUGGAGACAGAGGAUCUCUUUUGCACUGUUGGUGGGAAUGCAAACUGGUGCAGCCACUCUGGAAAACAGUAUGGAGGUUCCUCAAAAAACUAAAAAUAGAACUACCCUGUGACCCAGCAAUUUCACUAUUAGGCAUUUAUCCACGGGAUACAGGUGUGCUGUUUUGAAGGGACACAUGCACCCCCAUGUUUAUUGCAGCACUAUCAACGAUAGCCAAAGUAUGGAAAGAGUCCAUCGAUGGAUGAAUGGAUAAAGAUGUGGUAUACAUAUACAAUGGAGUAUUACUUGGCAAUCAAAAAGAAUUAAAUCUUGCCAUUUGCAACUACAUAGAUGGAACUGGAGGGUAUUAUGCUAAGUGAAAUUAGUCAGUCAGAGAAAGACACAAAUCAUAUGACUUCACUCAUAUGAGGACUUUAAGAGGCAAAAGAGAUGAACAUAAGGGGAGGGAAACAAAAAUAAUAUAAAAACAGGGAGGGGGACAAUACAGAAGAGAUUGACUCAUAAAUAUGGACAACAAACUGAAGGUUACUGGAGGGGUUGUUGGAGGGGGGAUGGGCUAAAUGGGUAAGGGGCACUAAGGAAUCUACUCCUGAAAUUUUUUGACAUUUGUUCCUAGCAGCCUCAUGUAAUUCCCAGUGAAUAUAAAGUCUAAGAUAUGUCAUUAAUGACAAUAAAUGUUUGGGUUUACCUAGCAAAGACAGGACUCUGAACUAAGAAAAACAUACCUGUGCACAAACUAGCAAGUAAAACAUCUAAAUGUAUUACUAUGCUGUUUAGAAGAGGCACAUCUCAAAAAUCAAUGUAUGGAUGAAGUUAUGAAAGUUAUAAAAGAAGGUAAUGGUGAUGAUAAGAGAAUUCAAAGUGAAAGUUAUUAAAUACAUUAAAAAUGAUAUCACAUGAAAUACAAAUUAAGUCAACAUUUUUGCAACAGAAUAUUGUAUAUAAUUCCAAACUAAAAUUUUGAAAACUUGAAUAAUUGAUUUUUCUGAAAAAUGUUACCCAGAAGUACUCAAGAAGGAAUAGAAAACAUGAAUGGAACACAGAAGGAGUUGCAAAAGUUGCCAAAGAGAUAUACACAAGGAUGUGCAUUACUGCUCUGUGUAUAGCACUGAAGUGUUGGUCCCUCAAGAGGAGACUGGAUAAAUACACUUUGAUGUAUUUAUGUGACACCAACAUGAAAUAGACAAUAAAUUAAUGAAUCACAUGGAUAUGUGCCAUAAAAUAUAUUUCAAUAAAAAUAGCAUAAUAUAUAUGACAUAUUGUCAUUUGCCUUAAAUGUCAUAACAUAUAAACAAUUAUGCACAUGUAUCUAUUUUUGUAAUUGUAUAGAAAUGAAUAAAAAUUGUAACUCCCAAUUUCUUGACAAUGAAUACUGCUAACACAGUGUUGGAAUUCAAUUUUGAUACACAUGGGGCUUCAACAAUAUUUUUUCUUAAAAAAUAAAGCAGAAAGAUACAAGGUGAAGAUGUUAUAAAGCUGAUUAGUAGACAUUUUUAUUAUAUUAUUUUCUAUUAAUUUUUGUCAGCUUAAGAUAUUUACAAAUAAGUAAUACCUAACCUAAGAGAAUCACUUAUAAAAUAUUAGAAGUAAUAAGCAGUUCAAUAAAGUGACCAGAUAGAAGCACAACAUACACACAAAAUUAAUGGCUUUCCUAGUAAGCAGAAGUGAGUAGAAAAUGUAAUGAAAACAAGUCCAUUUUCAAUGGAAAAAAAAAAAAACUUGAAUUAUUAGUAACUACUCAAGCAGAAAUCUACAGCUAAUAAGAAAGAAUAUACAGGGGCGCCUGGGUGGCGCAGUCGGUUGAGCGUCCGACUUCAGCCAGGUCACGAUCUCGCGGUCCAUGAGUUCGAGCCCCGCGUCAGGCUCUGGGCUGAUGGCUCGGAGCCUGGAGCCUGUUUCCGAUUCUGUGUCUCCCUCUCUCUCUGCCCCUCCCCCGUUCAUGCUCUGUCUCUCUCUGUCCCAAAAAUAAAUAAAAACGUUGAAAAAAAAUUAAAAAAAAAAAAGAAAGAAUAUACACAGUUUUAUGAAAAAAAUUUAUUUUGAGAUGGGGAAAUAUUAUGUUAUAAAAUUUUCAAUUUUUAUCCAAAUAAAUGUUUCAAUACAAUGCAACUCCAAAAUUUUUUGUUUUGUUUUGUGGAAUUCAAUAUAUUUUUCUGAAGUAAAUAAAGAAAAGCAAUGUGCAAGAAUCAAAAUCAUAUUUUCAAAAGGACUUUAUCCUUUUAGUAUAAUUGAUAAUCUCAUUCUAAAUUUUGCCUGGAGGAAAAAUGCUCAACAACAAAGACAUUUUUUUAUAAACAUGCACGCUAUGGGACCUGACUUACAAGGUACAUAUUUUUUUUAAUGUUUAUUUACUUUUGAGAGCUAGAGAGACAGAGCACAAGUGGGGGAGGGGCAGAGAGAGAAGGAGACACAGAAUCUGAGGCAGGCUCCAGGCUCUGAGCAAUCAGCACAGAGCCCCACAUGGGGCUCCAACUCACAAGCAAGCCUUGAGAUCAUGACCUGGGCCAAAGUCGGAGGCUCAACCGACUGAGCCACCCAGGUGCCCCUAUAAGGUACACAUUUUUAAUAACAACAAUAAUUGAGAGAGUGUUUAUCAAACAUAGAUAGAAUGGUGGGUGGUUCUGUUGGUUGAGCAUCCAACUUCAGCUCAGGUCAUGAUCUCACUGACUGUGAGUUCAAGCCCCGCGUGGGGCUCUGUGCUGACAGCUCGGAGCCUGGAACCUGUUUCAGAUUCUGUGUCUCCCUGUCUGUCUACCCCUCCCUCAUUCAUGCUCUGUCUCUCUCUCUCUCUCUCUCUCUCUCUCUCUUUCUCUGUCUCUCUCUGUCAAAAAUAAAUAAAUAUUAAAAAAAAACAUAUAUAGAAUGUUGAAACAAAAGUAGCAAUCAAAAAAGACCUAUGUACUUAUUGGAAAAUUGCCUUUAGCAUUAAAUAUAUAUCAUUAAUAUAAAUCUCUUCUUGGCACUAUACUUAAAAAUAAAUUCAUAAGAGAAUAACUGUAAAAGCAAAAUCUUUUGAGUAGAUUAGGGAGGGUAUGUGACAGAAAAAAAUGUGUAAGGAUUCACCUUUGAUUUUACAAGAUAUUUUUCCAUUGUAAUAAGAGAAAAGAAUUAAGAUAUAAGAACAAUUUUAGAUUCAGUGGUAGAAAAAUGAAGAAUCAAGGGGGCAUAUCUGAACCACAAACACCCUCAUACCCUAAUCUCAUGUUGUAUCUGGACUCAAAGGCAACACAUUCAGUCAAGAUUCACAACUUUCCUCUUUAGUCACGUGCAGGAGCCAUAUGUCUGCACUGCCAUGGACCACAGGUGAGAAGCCAUAGAUACUUUUGAUCCACAAGUUUAUUUGUAAGCUCUGGAAGAACUAAUAAUUAACUUCCUGUGACUCAAAAGGUAAUACUUGAAUUAUGGUGCAUUUCCUUUUCCUUUUAGCCAAGUUUUGUUUUAUUUUAUGUCUUCUCUUUCUUUCUCAACAGUAAAGUGUUUAUUUCAUUGGCUUUGGUCUUGUAAGUUUAGUUAUAAAAUUAUAACUGGCCUGAAAAUCACUUCAAAUCUAAAUCUAAAAAAAAAUUUUCAAGGUUCAAAUAAGUUCAGUUGUACUUUUUUGUUUAAUCGUAUGCCUUGGUGUAUGGUGGUUUCAGCCUGGGACAGAAGCAGGGCUAUCCAAAUAUAUGAAGAGAGCCCGUUUCCUUGUUGUUUAUGACUUAUGAUGGUUGGAAGGAUAAGAAACCUUGCAUGAGCGUGGGAUCAUGUGUGACUUCCAGACUAGAGAGGUUUGGAUACUGUUCAGAGAAAUAUUUAAACCUUGUGAUGGGUCUUCAUGGGUUAACCUUCAUAGAACCAUUCAUCUCCAAUGAUAGCAUUCAUCCUACCCAAUUUAUUUAAAGGAUUUCUAUGGAAUACACUGUUCUUGGUAGCUUUUCUGAAGUAAAUACUCUGUUUGGGAAUAAAUACUUAGACAAAAUCAAGGAUGAGAGUUCCAUCAAAGAAUUUUAAGGGAAGUUAGAAAUAUUUGGGAAGAGAGGCCACAUCUGUUGAAACUGAUAUUAUCAGGUUGAUUUUCUAACAUGAUUAUAUCAGUACCACUGAUAAUCUAGCCAUUCACAAGCCCAGAUGUUGUAUAGUAGAUGGUUCAAUCCAGUGGUUGCUAUAUCUCUGUCCACUUAAUAGAGAUUGUCUUAAAGUGGUAUAGGUGUAUCAUAAAUUGCAUAACCCUAUAGCUAACCCAGUAAUGGGGUUUGAUUUAGUCUUUUGGUUACUUUUCACAAUGUGUUCCAUACUUUUCAAAGAAGCAAGAGAACCAGGCAAGUAAUAACUUUCUUAAUCAAGAACAGAAAGAUAAAAGAAACAUUAUUAGUUGAGGCUUUUUUUUAAUGUUUUAUUAUUUAGUUUUGAGAGAGAGAGCGAGAGAGAGUGAGAGAGCAUGAGCGGAGGAGGGGCAGAGAGAGCAAGUGAGACAGAAUCCGAAGCAGGCUCCAGGCUCUGAGCUAUCAGCACAGAGCCUGACACAGGGCCCAAACCCACAGACUGCACAGGUCAGACCCAUGGCCUGAUCAUGACCUGAGCUGAAGUUGGAUGUUUCACCAACUGAGCCACCCAGGUGCCCCCAAAGAUUUUUUUUAAUUUAAAUGUAAAGAUGAGGCAUUUUGAAGACAAAGUUCUAGAGAUGGCAGUCUAUGGAAUCAUUUGAUCAACUCUCCAAAUAAUCAGUGUCUGAAAACCUGUUUCAGUCACCAACAUAAUAGUGCAGCCCAAACAUUUGUGUGAUAAAAUUAAUUUUUUUCAGUCAAUUUGGUUUUUAUAAAUACUUGGGCAAAAUAAUACAGAAAUAUCAUAUCACCAGCACUCAUUAUAAAGUUUGAAAUUAUUGCUUUAAAAUUUUUUUAUUAUUGGGGUACCUAGGUGGCUCAGUCAGUUGACUGUCUGACUCUUGGUUUUGGCUCAGGUCCUGAUCUCACAGUUUGUGGGAUUGAGGCCCGCAUUGGGCUCCAUGCUGACAUUGCAUAUCCUACUUGGGAUUCUGUCUCUCGCUCUCUCUCUGUCUCUUCCCCCGCUUAUGCAUGCUCUCUCUCUCUCUCAAAUAAAUAAGCAUUUAAAAAAAUUAUUAUUUCUAAGACACAUUUAGUUCUCAAGUUAGUUCCUUGAAAAUAAUUUAAUUUGAUUCUCAAAUUCAUAGUUUUACUCUGCUUUUUGAAAUCCUACCUACUGUUAAAGGCAGAAUUCAUGAUCUGUCUUUUACCUCAAAUCCUCCCUAACUUCUCAAACCUACAGUAAUUUCUCUCUCAUUUGGACUUUUAUAAUGCUUCAUAUUCUACUCUGCAAAGGAUGGAUUUUUUAAAAUUUUUUUACUGUUUAUUUAUUUUUGAGAGAGAGAGAGAGAGAGAGAGCGUGAGCAAGGGAGGGGCAGAGAGAGGGACACACAGAAUUGGAAGCAGGCUCCAGGCUCUGAGCUGUCAGCACAAAGCUGGACGCAGGGCUUGAACCAUGAACCGUGAGAACAUGACCUGAGCUGAAGUCAGAUGCCUAACCGACUGAGCCACCCAGGCACCCCUGCAAAGGAUGGAUUUUAAGUACAAUCUUUCUCAUUAUUUUUAUAUACCCCCCCCCCCCAGAGGAAGACUUCAGGAAUAAUUCUCCUUUUUCACCCAAGGAACAUACUGGGCAAAACCCAUACAAAACAUACAUUUUUCAUCAAUUUCUGGCUGGCUUUUAUGUGAUCUUAGAAUUAGAAGUCAAACUAAAAAAUAUUCUUUUCUGUUAGCAAAUAGAUAUCAAAUAAUGGCAAAAGACCUCUCAGUAAUACUAUGUUAAUCCCUAGAUACAGAAAAUUAGAUAAAUUCCACACCCUUCAAUGUGAUUAAGUUAUUAAUUGGCUUCUAGUAGUGAGUCCUCAACUAAAAGCAAAAAGCAACUUCUUUCUUUUAUUUUUCUUGUUGGAGAGCCUUUGGGGCUCUCCAGUUUUAUUGUCUGACUCUACUGGUGCCUAAGCACAUUAUCUCUGCUAUUCUCGUGUUAUCUGUGCUUUUUUUUCCAUCUUUAAUUUAUUUAAAUUCAAGUUAGUUAACAUACAGUGUAGUACUGGUUUCUGGAGUAGAACCCAGUGAUUCAUCUCUUACGUUUGACACCCAGUGCUCAUCCAGACAAGUGCCCUCCUCAAUGCCCAUCACCCAUUUAGCCCAUCCCCUCACCCACCUCUCCUCCAGUACCCCUAGUUUGUUCGCUGUCUCUAAGAGUCUCCUAUGGUUUGCCUCCCUCUCUGUUUUUAUUUUUCCUUCUGUUCCCUGUGUUCAUCUGUUUUGUUUCUUAAAUUCCACAUAUGAGUGAAAUCAUAUAUUUGUUUCUCUGACUUACUUCACUUAGCAUAAUACACUCUAAUUCCAUCCAUGUUGUUGCAAAAGGCAAGAGUUCAUUCUUCUUCAUUACCAAGUAGUAUUAAUAUAUAUAUUAUAUAUAUAAAUAAUAUUAUAUAUUAAUAUAUAUUAAUAAUUAAUAUGUAUUAAUAAUAUUAAUAUAUAUUAAUAUUAUUAAUUAAUUAUAUAAUUAAUUAUAAUUAAUUAUAUAAUUAUAUAGUCUAAUUAAUUAUAUAAUUAAUAUAUAUAUAAUUAAUAUAUAUAUAUCACAUCUUUAUCCAUUCAUCAGUUGAUGAACAUGGACAUUUGGGAUUUGGGCUCUUUCCAUUAUUUGGCUAUUGUUGAUAGCACUACUGUAAACAUUGGGGGUGCAUGUGCCCCUUGAAAUCAGCAUUCUUAUAUCCUUUGGAUAAAUAACUAGUAGUGCGAUUGCUGGGUCAUAGGUAGUUCUAUUUUUAAUUUUUUGAGGAAACUCCAUACUGUUUUUCAGAGUGAUUGCACCAGUUUGCAUUCCCAACAGCAGUGCAAAAGUGCUCCCCUUGCUCUGCAUCCUUGCCAACAUCUGUUAUUCCCUAAGUUGUUAAUUUUAGCCAUUUUGACAGGUGUGAGGUCGUAUUUCAUUGUGGUUUUGAUUUGUAUUUCCCUGAUGGUGAGUGAUGUAGAGCAUCAUUUCAUAUGUCUGUUAGCCAUCUGGAUGUCUUCUUUGGAAAAUUGUCUACUCAUGUCUUCUGCCCAUUUCUUCCCUGGAUUAUGUGGUUUUUGGGUGUUGUGAUAAUUUCUUUAUAGAUAUUUGUUUCCUUCACUGUGCAGAAGUUCUAAAAGCAACUUCUAUUUUAGAUAUUCGUAUAUGUAUUUCUUGUUUGAUAAUAAUACCUCAUCUUUUUUCUCUUCUGAAGAAAUAAUAGCAAAUACAGUAAGGUUUUAUGAGCAGGGUUUAAAACUCAUCACUAGAUUCUUGUGUGGGUUGUAUGUGUCUGCUCAGCAUCUAUCUUUCCUCUAUGAAGACAAUGAUGUCCUGUGGGGAACAACAGCUCUCCCCUUGAGACCACUCCCAGAUGUAGGAAUUGGUUGGACACCCGCUGACCACUGUGAUUGAUUCCUAAAUUGACUUAUUUUGAAUGAUUAGAGAAAUAUCAGGACUUUUUUGGAAAUAUCAGGAAAAAGGCACGUCCUUUCCUGUAAGGUUACCAAGAAGGUAGGAUAUAAGCUCAUUGUCAUUUUGCCAAAACACUUGAAGGACCUGUAUGGAAAUGGGGCCAACAGAACAAAGAAAAUUGAGAAAGGUGGAAAUACAUAAUACCCUGGAAAUACAUAAUCCCCUGUAUCUAGCUGUACCUGAAGUCAGUCCUGAGGCUCUGCUGUUAUUUGAGAAAUAUUGUGCCUUUUCUCCUUUAAGACAUACUGGGUAUGACUUCCAUCACUUGAAACUGAAAUUGUCCUAAGUCAUAGAGAUCAUAGAGAUAUGAAAUACUGAAAUGUUUACAUAAAAGAAUUUACCAUGCAAUUUUUGCAGUUAAAUGUAACUAACAGAAAAAUUUUUAAAUGUCAACCCUUAAGCUCUGGGUUGAAAUAAAGGAGAAUGAAUACUUGGGCUGUACUUCUUCUCCAAACAAAGGAUUACAUGGGCAGAAAAAUUUGAAUUAUGUUAAGAAAAACACAUCAUUUAAAAAGUCCUGCCUGUGCUUUGUGAGGCUCACGGGCAAUGAUUAGAUGGCCUUUUGUUUGGGAAAACACUUAAAGGAGUUGGUGCUGUACAGGAAUAACCAGGAGUUAAAAUAUGGGGAGACAUAAACUUCUAAUCAAAGUAAAUAACAGAAAUUUGGUUUUGGAAUCAAGCAGAUAGGAAUCAGGGGAAGGAGUUGGGAGUAAGGAUUUAGAAGAUUAAGACAAAUGUAACCUACAGACAGUCUGCCAUGGCUGGGAAGACUUAAUGGAUUUUUAGGACAGGGAGAUCCAAUGUUCAAUUUUAAGGAAUUUCUGUUUUUUUUUUUCUAUAAUCCACUACAUUAACUCAAAAUUGAGUAAAAGACUGUUAAAUGUAAGAGGCUUGUGUGUUAAGUUCUUUGGGGGAGAUGAACUGAUGGGGUGUUGACCUUUGUGGGCAAAGCAAGCUGGAGAGAAGAGACGGCAGUCAGAAGGACUGAGAGCAGGUGACAGGCAAGUGACAGGGAGGUGGGGCUACAGGGCACACCAACUCACAAGGCUGCAAACUUCCCUCCUACUCCCUGAGAAAUGCUGAGACAUUUCAAAGGGUGAAGACCGGUUUGUUUGAGUAUGAAAAGACAGAAUGAUUCUGGAAAGCUGGGGGUCUUGGUGUGGUGGUAGGGGGCAGGAGGAAGGCAUCUGUUUGGCUAAAACCUAAAUUUAUCUGGUUUCUUAAUCAGGGCAAUAAUCCCUGAAGGAUAGCAGAAUAUCUCAUCCCUAUAUAUGCUAUUUUGUCAUAUUAUUUGGAACUGAAGAUAAUGGAGAAGAAACAGAUACAGGAAAGGUUCUCUGCCCUCCCUAUUUGCCUAAAAGCAGGACAUAAAUUUGUGAAGAUGUUCUCCCUGUCCUCCCUACCAGGAAGGACUAAAGUUAAUCACUGGAGACAACGCUCCACAGCCCAGAGAUGGCACCAGAGGUAUCUAUGUAACAAACCUUGCUAAAGCAACCUUUAUCUUUUAUUAGUUUUCCCAUAUACUUAUCUCCCUGAAAAUUUCCAUCCCUAAAAUCUUGAAGUUUUUUUCUUCAUCUUGUCACUUCUGUACAAAUUUAUCAUCCUUUGGUAAGAUGCUAUAUAUAAGCUCAGGUCUGACCACCCCAUUGAGUUUCUCAUCACUGGGUACUCCCACGUGUCUGUGCCAUGCAUGUGUUGAUAAAUUUGUGUUUGUUUUUUCCUUUCUUUUGCUAAUCCGUCUUUUGUCAGUCCAAUUCACAGGACACAAGCCAGGAAGAAAGAUUGUUUCCCUCCCCUGCACCCCCACAGCUGGACUGAGACCAGCAUUCAUUGCAAGUAGCUUGCUUGAGAGUGAUCCCAGAAAACCAAGGCAAGGAGAGAGAAGGGCAAGAAGACCAAUAAAGGGUGUGUUAAUGGGUAGGUUACCACCAUGGAUAACUGGAGUUUGGCCCCUCUGAGGACCCUUUGAGAGAGAGUCCAUAGAAUACCGUCCGUGCAAACGUUCAGGAACCUGGGGAGCCUCUGUUCCUAGUUUGUCAAGAGUGGCUCUUAGGGAAUUUAGUGUACUGGCACUUUCAGUCUGCCACUGUGGAUCAGUCGUGCUCCUAAAGCCAGAGGUGACCUGUAGGCAGAGAUGUGACACUUAAAGGAAAACAAAAAAUUGGUACAUGUGGGAAUUGUUUACAACCUCAAGAAGCUCUAGUAGGCUGAGGAACAUGGUAGAAGGCCAUUAACCACAUCUUCUCUAUCCAGUGAUAUUUCAAAGGCAGCAAAGAAAAUGUUCUUUCAUCAGGUAUUUGUACUGGUAGAAGUCCUUAGUGGUUAGAGGAGAAAAUAAUAGAGGAACAUGUGUGAACAUUCAGAAGAAAACUUCUAUAUCACUCUAUAUAAUUUAUUUAACUGUAUCUAUAUUGUUUUAAAAGGUUAUGACAAUACAUUCAGGGGUUCUUCACAUCAACUUGCUACUGUGGGCCUUCUCUUAAUUUUCUUUUACUUUUAAAAAUAUUCUUAUGUAUAAAUUAAAUUAGUUAAGUAUUAAGAAAGUGUUUCAGUUAUGCAUAAUAUACAUGGACAAGUAUAAUGAAUACCCAUGUUAAUGUCACUCAGAGUUACUAUUUCCAAAGAAACCUGAUAAUAACAUGUGCAGUGUUAUAUUACUGUAUAGAUAACAAUAUGUGGAGAAUCAGAAAAUCCUAUGCAUUGCUGGUAAGAGUAAAUUUGUACUUUGUGGAAAAAAAAAUUGGCAAGAUCUAGUAAAGAUGCAUAUGAAACUACUUCCUAGCAAUCACAUUUCCAGGUGUUCAUCUUAGAGAAACUCUUGCAAAUAUCUCCAAGGAAACAUUCGUAAGCACCGUUUAUAACAAUAAAAUGUAAAAUAGUAUUACUGUUUCUCCAUUGAUUAAUGGAUAAGUUAUUUUAUUCACAGAGUAGAAGGCAAUAAGUAGCACUUAAAACACCUAUAGUAGCAUGUGGUAUUAUUCUUAAAUGUUUGCUGUCCAUCCCUAUAAGGGGAUCAUGCUCCCUCAUCUGGCAGCUGAUGCUGACACUCGUGUUAGGUAUCCUCCCCUUUGGGGAGAUUAAAACUCCCCAUUCCACUGACAUCAGGUAUGACAAUAUGACCUGUUUGGGCCAGUGAAAUGUGGGCAGGAGUGAUUACGCCACUCCAAGCAGCGGUGAAGAGCCAUUGUGUGUCUGUUGCCUGUUCCCUUGGGCAUUAGCACACCAGUGCCCCCAGACAAAGACUAGUCAUUCUGUCCAGGCCCAGAAUAAGGAGAAAUGAAACAUCCAGAACUCAUAGGGCCUGUGAGUGAGACCUAAACCUGUUGAUUGUAAAUUUAAUCAGAGGAGAAUGGGAAAUAGUAUAGUUUUGUAGUGAGGCUGCAAAGGCUAGAGAACCAGGCUUUAUUCAUUAGUAUUGCAGUUGUAUCAACUUCUUAUGGCAAUAUUGGCCAUCUCCAACUGAUGGAAAAUUAAAUAUCCUUGAUUAAUAAAUGUGGGAAAAUAGUUCUUUCUAGAAAAUAAAUUUAGGUGAUCUGUGGAAGGUUUUAUAGGUCGUGGAUAUUGGAAUCAGAUCUUAGUGUGGGUACGAGGCUUGCCAUUCAAGGCUCUGUAUCCUUUAGCUUAAAUCGCUGAUCCUGAAGUGGUCCUGACACAGAGGAAGCUCUCCAUGUGUUAUAGCUCUUAUUAAGUAAAGUACUUCAAAUCACCAAGUCCUCAGUGUAGAUGCUAAAUUAGUAAGCUUGGAAAAAUAUAAAUAAAGAUGUUGUUCAAUGUACGUAAUACUAAUAAUCACAAAUAUGUAUGUUAAACCAGCCUCUGGAUCUAUAUGUGUGCAUCACUCCAUAGGUUCAUACAUUUUCUAAAAAUUGAAGUACAUACAAAAAAAAAGCAUAUAUAUGAGUUUCAUGAUUUUUUUUACAAACUAAAUCAGUAGCUACGUGGAGAAACAAAACAUCACUGGCACCCCCAGAAGUGCCCCCAGUGAUGCCAUCCAGCACUGUGCCCCACUCAAGUUCAGUCCUCUCCUGACUUCUAGCAGCAAAAAUUAGUUCUGCCAGCUUUUGUACUUUACAUAAAUGGAAAAAUACACCAUGCAUUCUUUGUGGCUGGCUUCUCUCAGACAGCAUCCUGUUUGUGAAAUUCAUCCAUAUUGUUGCAUGUAAUUGUUGAUCAUUCUUUCUCAUUUCACUGCUUGGAUUCUUAUGAUUUAGUUAUCCAUUCCAUUGUUGUUGAAUUUGAGCAUUGUCGAGCUUUUGGCUUUAUGAAGAGCAGCCAUUCUCAUACAUGUCUUUUGCUAACAUGUGCAUGUUUCUGUUGUGCACACACUUAGGAGUGCUGUUGCUGCCUCCGUCAGAGGGCAUGCAUAUGUUCAGUAUUAGUAACAGCCAAACGGUUUUCAGAUGGAGCUGUGCUGGUCUGUACUUCUAGCAGCUGUGUGUGAAAGUUCUGACUGUUCUACAUUUUAGCCAAAACUUGGUGUUUUUUAUUUUCUAUUUUUAUUUUAGCUCUUGUGGUAUAUUUGUAGUACCAUUUCACUGUGGUUUUAAUUUUAUUUCCUGAUGACUAGUGAACUUUCAAUAUUUAGUUUUUCCCAGUCAGUGUACGUCUUGGCUUUAUCAGGCUUAUUGGGUAUUUCUAAGCAGUAUGGAGUUAGCAGAUAGGUAAUAGGGUGAAAUGCAAGGAAGACUUAACAUUUGACAUAUGUGACAUGGUCACAUAAUCUUGGCAUUAUUUUCUAAAGACAAUCAAAUAUAAAAACAAGCACAGUAGAACUGUUAUGUCCCAGGCACCGCUUUGGGAGUGAGGGAUAAAAUAAUUCAGUAACACACAAUCCUUGGCAACUCCAGAGUACAAUUGAGAAAUAAUCAAGUGUUAAAAAAUCAAAAUUCAACUGAGUGGGUUUUAAAAAUCUUAUCGGCUUUAAUCAGAAAUGAAUCAGGCAGUGUCCAAUAUAACAGAUAGAAAAAAGCUCAGAGCUGCUGUACAAAAUAAAAGACUUUUAUAGGAAGAAGGGAGCAGGAAGUUAUACUAGCAAAAAACAGACCUGUCAUGGUCGUGGAGAAGUCACUUCCGUUUAGGUGAUGGCUGGGUUCUGUCACGAAGAUUACCUCACUAGUGCUGAUCAGGUGAUUCCUAAUAAACUGGUUUGAGAUUCCAUUUCUGGGAGAGCUGAAACUGUAAUUAAGUCUGCUUAGCAUGAAGUGAGUCCAUUUGGGGACUGCCUUCUUGCUUGGUAACACAAGGAAAACUCAGUUACCAAGUAUCUUAGUUUGGGCUUCUGUAACAAACUACCAUAGACUGAGUGACUUAAACAAUUCAUUUCCUGCAGUUGGAGGCAUGGGAGGUCCAAGAUCAAGGUGCUGACAGAUCAGUGUCUGGUGAGAGGCCCCGUCUUGGUUUGCAGAUGGCCAUUUUUCUCUUUGUAUCUUCUCAUGGCAGAGAAUACCAUGGUACUGGGGAUUAGAUUUCAACAUAGGAAUCCUGAGUGGACACAUUUAGCCCAUAGUACCAUGCAAUGGUAAAUGCUAAACUACACGUAUUUACAGAGUUCUAUAAAAGCACAGAGAAGGGAAGUCUUGAAAUCUAUGUGGCACAAGUACGGAGUGUGUGUGUAUGGCAGGGGGCGGGGGGAGCUGGAAUGGCACCAAGGAAAGGAUAAAAAGUCAUGCUGAAUACUGUAAGAAAUGUAGAAUUUACUAGGCAGAAGUUGGAAAGAAAUUUUUUUCUAGGAAUUACAACAACACGUCAAUAAGACCAGACAAGGAAGAGAGACUCUCUCCUGGAAAGGAGUAACAAGUUUGGCAUCAGUGGAGCAUAGGGUGCCCAUGUGGGAAUGCGAAAGCUGUGGAAAUAGGCAGUGCCAAGUACUUGGAAACCAACCCCCACCCCCAAGCCUGUCAAGAGGGUUUUAACAUCCUCCUAUAGUAGAAACAGAGGAUCUGUUGAUGAGAUCCAUGCCACACGAGAACAAGAAGGAAUAGACAGUGGCCUUUGUUUUAAGAAAAUUUAUUAUCCAAAACCCACAUUCAUACAAUAAUCAUUUUAUCAGGUUGAUUCACAUUUUAAAAAAAGACAAUUCUAAAUAGAAUUCUAUUAAUAAGCAGACGUCUUAGUGCCCUUAAGGUGAGAAUUUUUCUUAUAACUUAUCAGGAUGACAUCUAUUACAUUACUAUUGCCUUUUUCCCUUCUUAGAACAUGUGUAUGCAUGUUGGAAUUCUGUCUUGUUUUUCCUCCAUAAAUCCUAAGAAUACAAUUUCUAUAAUAUCCAGAUUUGCUUUCUUAAGAGUGGAGUAAGAAUUUAGCUACCUGCAAAGUAAUGAUAGUGCUGAAUCCUUCUAUACGUAAACAAUUUUCCCAGUUUUUUCAUAGUUUAAUCUAUCCUUACUUCAAUUAUAUCACUUUAACGCACUCAUAUUCAAAUUCAUUUUUGUAGAAACAGCAUUUCUCCCUUCAUUUAUCUGUGUCUUACCUGUGGAGUUGGGGUGUGUCACCCUCCUAGUGUGGAUGUCUUCACCCACCUGGAAACUCUCUGAUCCACCUACUAUUAGGAUUUUAUGGAGGUUUCCUCAUGUAGGCACAAUCAAUUACUAACUUCAUUUCCAGCCUCUCUCCCUGCUUUGGAGGAUGAGGAAUGAGGCUGAAAAUCCAAGCUUUAUUUAUGGCUUGGUCUUUCUAGUGACAGCCUUUCCUAACCACCACCCCCCCCCCCCCCCCCGCCCCCACCUGGGAGCUAUCCAGGAGCCCGCCAGAGCCCCUCAUCAGGACAAAAGAUGCUUCUUUCUAGUGCUCUUAUCACUUGGGAAUUUACAAGGCUUUUAGGAGCCCUGUGUGAGGGAUGGAACCAAAGACAAAUACUACAGCAAGAGAUGUUCCUAAUGUUCUACUCGCUUAGGAAACUACAAAGGUUGUAGGAACUCUGUGCCAGAAACCAGGGCAAAGAAGAGUUAGGGAAAACUAUGAGGAUGAAAGCAAUUACAGUCAAACAGAUGUGAUGAAGACACUGUGAAAAUGUGGGGGAAAUUUUAGUACCUGAGGUAGCACCCACCUCUCAUCAUCUCCUUCAUUUCCCUGCCUGCUGUGUAGCUAGAAAGUCACAGUUGAGCUCCCAUCAUGCACUUGGCAGUAAUAACGAGGAUGAAAGUAAUAAUUGAAGAUGAGCAGGAAGAUGAAAGAGACUGAGGCACUGACAUCAUAGAGCUGCCCAGUCCUGGACUCUGUAAGAAAAUUAAACCCUGAUUUGAUUUAACUAUGAUAGCUGGAUGUUUGCUAUAUGUAGCCAAAUGCAAUCCCUAACUGUUACAACAUGUAAGUCUCUAAGAAAUCUUGUUUCAAAAUAUAACAAAAGAAUUAUAUCAAGGUCCAGACAGGACAUGUGGGAACAUAAGGCAGAAUCAAAUUAGGAAAUGAGGAGGGCAGUUGAAUGCAAUCAAUUGAUAAAGGUAAUUGGGAGCAACCAGGGAGAUAAGACAUUGAAUUAGAGUGCACAAUUAAAGAGAGGCAUAUACAGUCCCAGUGGGUACAUACACAUGGAUGUUGGAACCUGUGUUCAUGUAGCAAAAAGAAACAGACCAGAAGAAAGGGAACAGUGUGUUCACCCAUGAUGCCUGCUGAUUCAUCCUGGAAGCUCAUAAUUGCUGGGUCCUGUAUUGUGGUCUGGGAUCUUAUCAAUUAGCGAAAAUCUCAUCAUCCCAGUAUUCUAUUGAAUAACUUUUGAGAUGGCAAAUUAUUUGAGUAUAUCACUGUGCAAUCACUUGGAAUAUUUAAAACUAAAUUAUGAGAUGACUAAAUUAAUCAAAUCCUCAUAUUAAUACUUUUCUUGUGGGACACCUGGCUAGCUUAGUCCAUUGGAGCUUAUGACUCUUGAUCUCAGGGUCAUGAGUUCAAGCCCCACAAUGGGUGUGGAGCCUAUUUAAACUAAAAAUAUUAAAAAACAAGACCUUUCUUGUCAAGUUUAUGAAUGUCCUAAGUGUUUGUCAUAAAGAGGUUUACAAUUUUAAGAAAAUCUGGCAUUGAGAGCACCUGGUAGAUUUACUUUAUUAUUUCAGUUGGAAAUGAAUAAAUGAUUUAGAAUUAUGACUUUAAAUCAAAAUGUGUAAUAAAAUUUAAUUGUUUAUAAACAAUAACAGAAUGCUUAAAAGAACCUAAUUCACCAUAUUUAUAAGUUUGAGUUCGUAUAUUUCAAAGAGUUACUUCAGAACUUAGAGGCAUUUUGCUUUAAAUACGUAGUUUGUCCUGACAUGCAGUAGAAGUACUUAAUUAAAUUAAGUGUGUUUAAUUGAGGAUUGAUUGUAGUUUAAAAUGUUUAAAGGCAUUUAAUUAAGCAAGGCUAAUCAUUAUUAAUAUUUAACAUGAUAAACUUUAGUUAAUUGAACAUUUAUAAAUUAACAGUGUAGGUGAUUGGAUUUGUCACAAAAAUAGCUUUAUGUAUAAAAAAUAAGUUUUGAAAGGUGCACUUGACAUUAUAAAAAUAAUGUGGCUUUUGAACUUGCAACUCUAAUUAAUGGAAUAUUAUUUAGAACCAAAAUAAUUAUAAGGAGCUAUUUCCACACAAUAGGGUUCCCUCAGACUAUACGUCACAUUAACAUUUUUCAGUGAAGAUACAGAGAGUAGAAGUCUCAGAACAGGGUUCAGGAGAAAAGGAUCUGAUUUUAUCUUACUGUAUCUUAUUUUAGUAGGGUAGAAGCAAUAUAAACAUGUUUAAAUGAAGAAGGGAAAGAAAAAGAUGGUAGAGAAAGGGAGAUGAACACACACACACACACACACACACACACACACACACCCCACCACCACCACCACCACCACAUAUACAUAUACAACUUUCCUUUCCUAUAUAAUAGACAUAAAUGUUUGAAGCAAGAGUAUUGUGACUGAAUAUGACUUUUGAGGAGCAUUGACCCGUCUCUAACAGGAGGUGGCAACUCAAGUUAAACUAUAAAUGCAAAUUCUGAUUAUUGCAUUUUUAUGGCAGGAGCUUACUAUACUGGAAGCUGAAGAACAGUGAAAUAGUUUUAAUGCCUUCAGGCUGACCAUUCUGAGAGUCAUUUCUUAUAUUCUUAUAUACUAUAGAGGGAUAGAAGCUUUAGGACAAAUGAUUUAACAUUUAUAGAUCAAGAAUAUAACUUCUAAUAAAAAUAAAGAAUCUCUAAUGUCCUCUUAAUAGUAAUAUCACUUAGGGGCACCUGGGUGGCUCAGUCGGUUAAGUGUCCGACUCUUGGUUUCAGCUCAGAUGAUGAUCUCACGGUUCGUGGGUUCGAGCCCUGCAUGGGGCUUUGUGCUGACAGCUGGGAGCCUGGAGCCUGCUUCGGAUUCUGUGUUUCUCUCUCUCUCUCUCUGCCCCUCCCCCGCAUCACUCUGUCACUCUCUCAAAAAUAAACCCACAUUAAAAAAUUUUUAAAAAUAUAUUUUGGGGGGCACCUGGGUGACUCAGUCGGUUAAGCGUCCAACUUUGGCUCAGGUCAUGAUCUCAUGGUUCAUGGGUUCGAGCCCCAUGUCAGGCUCUGUGCUGACAGGUGGGAGCCUGGAGACUGCUUCAGAUUCUGUGUCUCCCUCUGUCUCUGCCCCUCCCUGACUCGUUUGUUCUCUCUCUCUCUCUCUCUCUUUCUCUCAAAAAUAAACAAACAUUAACAAAAUUUUUAAAAUAUUAAAAAAAUAGUAAUAUCAUUUAUAUGGACUAGGCACAAAGCAUAGGAAAAUUUAUUUUAUUGAUUCUUGUUUAUAUAAAGGUAUAUCUUCCCCAUAUGUGACAUAUCUGCUAAAAAUAAAAAGAUGUUAAAUUAGAUGGACUGUAUAAUCUAAUAUCAUGUCAUCACAUCAUCUCAUUUAGAGAUCGUAUCUAAAAGUGUUUUCUUUUUUUUCUUUUCUGCACUUCCUUUUUACUGACCCUCUCCCCUCCUUCGUCAGAUGAAAUCACACUAUCUCAAGGAGAAUUAGGAUUGCUUUUAAAAAAAUAGAAUAAAGAGGAAGACUCAGUUGUAUUGACUUCCAGUCUGGGCUCCUAAACUGCCAAAGAAGAGGCCCUGGCAGGAACAGUGUAUGGAUAACAUGGAGAGGAAGAGGCUGAUGGACUUGCUCCUGGCCUUUCCCCCAAACCCAACCCAUGAGUUACCUGGGCUGACAGAAAGUCAUGCACGAGUUGAGACAAUGGUGCUUUAACAUGUGUUAGAAUUGCUUGGAUGAGUCGCUAAAAUACAGGCUGUGUGGGCCUAUCUCUACAGUUUCUGAGGUAAAUCUGAUGUGACACUCAAGAAUUUGCAUUUUUAACUAAUUCCCAGCUGAAGCUGGUGCUGCUAGCCUGUGGAACUGAGAACCAGUGACUAAGGAGAUGGGGGAAUGGCCCAGAGGCAACAAGAGGAUUCGAUAAAUCUGUUUCCAGAUGGAAGUCUUUCUUCUGGCUAGCUCUGGGAAGCCAUGUGGAAAUAGAGCCAAUGCAUGCAGAUCAUCCCAUAGCCAAUCACGUAAGAACUUACAGCAUCUGGUCAGUGAAGAUACUCACCAGGGCCCAUCAGAGUUGCCAACUACAAGCCUAUGGUUCUUUCAGCAAAAAUACUUGGCCCUAUUUUGAAAUUUCACUAAAUCCCAAGUAAACAAAUUCUUGGGCUCCCACUGUUUUUAAGAGCUCAGUUAUUUGUAAAUACAAAAGCAAAGGAUGGGGCUGUUAAUAAAAAGAGAUACUGAUACCCAUGUGAUAAAGAAAGUCUUAGCACCAUACCUGGAUGGGACCAUAAGUGGCCAGUCUUCUCCCACUUUACUCCAAUAUUCCUUUCACAUUUUUGGUAUUAUGAUUCUUUAUCUUAUUUAUGAAUACUUUAUAAAUACUUAAUGUUUCUCUUUUCUUCAUGUAUGUUUUCCCUUAUAAUCUCUCCUGGUGCUUUUAUGAGACCCACGCCUCUCUGACAUUAGCCAGAACCACCUAAAUGUUCUGCGAGUGGAGGGUAUUUAGCAGCAAUUACUUCUUUAAAAACAUUGCUGUUGUUUCCUACAAACACAUUUCUAAACUCCUCUGUAUCCUACUGCAUCAUCUCCUUCGAUGAUUGUAUUAGCACAGAGAGGAUGCCUCUAAAUAUUUUUCAAGUCUAAGGUAUCCAAAAUAGUCCUUUGAUUUUUAUCCAAACAUAUUCACCAGUCUUGAUCUGUAGGGAACAGUCAGCUCACUGCUGCUCCGCAGAUGUGAAAGAACAAGUUAUGCCAGAGAAAUCUCCAUGCUAGUCCAUAUGGAGCUAAAUGUAAACAUAAAGUCUAUGUUUCAUAACAUCUCCUUCCAAUCACAUGACAAACUUGGAUCUGGAUGUAACAUGUGAGCAUCAAGCAUUGAACAAAUCCUGAUGGCCUAUUUGGCAGUCAUCAUUCUGGAUAAAGUUUGGGAGGGAAAACAGGCCAUGAGGAAGCUGUACUGUGUCAGAGCUUAGCCCACCCCUUAAUCAAGGCCCAUGCCAAGCCAUGCAACCGCUUUCAAAGAGUGAGCCUGGUCCUGCAAAGAAUCUGGAAUAUCUUGAUUUGGAAUGUAUUCAUGCCUCUGCACUAGGUGCGUUUUUAUCAGUAUGACUGAGGGUGAAACCAUGUUGAAGGUGAGAUAAAUCCUAAGAUUUAUGGUUUUCCCACAACCUUUUGGAGCCACCGACUGUAGUCACCAUAUUAUCUGAUCAGACCAGGAACUAACAGUGAGUUAAAGGAAUGGGGCAACAUAUAAUUUCUGAAAUAGCUUUCUUUUGUAGAAGUAUAGGAAACACUGUGAAGAGAAAGAAAAACUUUACAUGGUUAAUGCCAGCCACUUCCCUGUAAACACAUUUUGUGUGUAUUUGAGUGUCUUUUACAGAAAAGGACUCUUCCAGCUAGCAUGGCUGCAUGACAGACCACCCAAUAAAGCAACAAUCAUAUCAUUAGGCUCAUCGAUUCUGUGAGUCAGGAAUUUGGAAAGAGCACAGUGAGGCAUUGUGUUUCUUUGAUACUUGGGACUUCAACUUUGAAUCUCCAAAGGCUGGGGGUGACUUGAUGGCCGGGAGCUUAAAUCAUCCACAGGCUCACUUACCUGUCUGGUGGCUAAUGUGAGCUCUCAACAGGCUUAUUGGCCUGAAACACCUACACAGGUGCCCUUCAUGUGGCUGCUUGUUGGGCUUUCUCACAGCAUAGUGGUUGUGUUCCAAGAACAGGUACCCAAUAAGAUCCAGGCAGAACCUGUAUCACUUCUUAUGAACUAGCAUUGGAAGUCACCUUGCUUUACUUUGGUCAAAGUCACAAGCCACAUUUGAGGAGAAGAAAUGUAGAAUCCCACUUCUCAAUGGGAGGAGGGUAGAAGUCUGGCUGUAAGAGUAUGUGAGAUAGAAAAUAUUUUUCUGUGAUCUUUGGAAAAUGCAAUUUGUCAUAAAAAUUAUCACAGAUCUCUGAAUCAGACUUUUUGCCAUUUGGUUGAUUUACUUCUCUUGUCUCAAGAUUGGGACUGCUUUAUUGUAGCAUGACAUGUCUCAUUCUGAAGAUAGGAUCUUUACUUCUACAUGUUAAAUUGUUUUGGAGGACAUAGUUACAAUUCUAAAAAAAUACAUACUGGAUGUAAGAAGGUGGAUCUUAAUGGAAGAAGAGAAGAGCCUAUUUUGAGUAGGAGCAAAGAGGAAGUUGACUUAUUUCUAUGGCUCAAAAAUGAAAACCUCCAUGAUUUUUCUGGACCUGUGGCCCAUCAACCUUAUCUUGAAUUAAGUGGAAAAGCAUAGGUAAGAUGAAGAGGUCAGGUUGAAAACUGCUUUGACUGCCCUGCUGCUAAUGGUUGAAAGAAGAAUACUUCAUGAUCAAAGCAAUUAUAAAACUAGAAAUGGGUCCAUUUGUGCCCAUCUGUUCCAUUCUCUGAUUAGCGUGGAUAUUUCAUAGAAACUGGACAAAUAAAUCAUGAGAGGUUGCCUAGUGACCCUGGGCAAGUCUAUGGCUACUGCCCAUUUGAAGAUAUUCCUUAAUGCCCCAAGUUUCUAAUGACUUUGAAUUUGGUGUUCCUGAGUACAGGCUUCGGUCUCAUUUGCAUCUUUUUCCAUCUUCCCCUACUCUACUGAUAAUUCUAAAGCUCCUCACCUUUCUGUGAACUUUAUUAAAAUGAAUGGGCAAGAGUGAGCUGGGCCCCUUUCCUGAGUUGCCCUCUCCUCUUUCAGCUGCCUUGGAGAUGAGACAAUGGGUUAAUUGAGGUAGCUACCUGUAUUUGGGCCCUGUACAAACCUAUCUCUGUGUUGUUUUUGGAGAGUAGUCUAAGCAAACUGCCUCCAAAAUAUUUUUUCAGAAACUUUUGCCAAUAUUGCAAUUUUCCACCAAAGCUUUUGAGGAAAAAAGAAAGCCUUAGUGGAUUGUUUAUAAAAAAGCAAAAGUAAUGCACCAGGCCCUUUAUAUAUUGUAUUUUAUAAUAUGCUUAUUUAUUAUGUGUUAUGUGGAGAUAAUUUAUAAUUAUGCAAUAAUUAUACUUUUUCUCUUCUCCCAUUAAGAUAUACCCUCUAACAUCUAAUGUGUACCUUGUGAAAUAUUAAUGCCUAUGUUCCAAUGCAAUGGAGCUGUAAGAAGUAAGGGUCCUCGGGGUGCCUGGGUGGCUCAGUUGGUUAGGCGACCGACUUCAGUUCAGGUCAUGAUCUCGCAGUUUGUGAGUUUAAGCCCCACAUUGGGCUUUGUCCUGACAGCUCAGAGCCUAGAGCCUGCUUCGGGUUCUGUGUCUCCUCCUCUCUCUGCCCCUCCCCUGCUCACGUUCUGUGUCUCUCUGUCUCUCAAUAAUAAAUAAACAUUAAAAAAAUUUUAAUAAAGAAGUAAGCAUCCUAUCUCCAUAGUGGGACAUGUCAUGCUACAGUAAAGCAAUCCCAGUCUUUAUUUAUUUCUAUAUAUGCCAUAAGGAGAGGUGAAUAACAUGCUCCUCCAUGAUAGCAUUAAAGUUACUUCAAGGAGAAGCUGUUUGGCAAGGAAAACUAACUUCUUCCUUGUCCCAUAGAACAACUAUUUUAAGGCAUUCAUUUAUGGACAUUGGAUGAUGUCUUUGCUUUCUUUCAUCUUUAAUGAAGGGUGAACAGUUGGAUUGGGGUCUUGAGAACAUAAAUACUUCUAUUGUUAGAGCAGAGUUUUUAAGAUUUAGGGUAUAUCAAAAUCACCCCAGUGCUUAUUAAAAUGCAGUUGCCUCCAGGGAGCCCACACUCAGAACCACUGCUCUUCAGCUUUACUCUCAAAGUGUGCAGUGUGGGCCAGCAGCAUUAUUGAAAUAACCUGGGAGCUUAUUGAAACACAAAACCCCAGGCUGUAGUCUAGACACAGAAAAUCAGAAUCUCUAGUUUAACAAGAUCUGCAUACACAUUUAAGAUGGAGAAGGAGAAACACUCUGCUAGAAUAGUAGUUUGUAGCCAUUCUCUGCUAUUGUUAUUUAUAAGUGUAAUACAAGCCCUUGAUCAUACCUAAUGUUAAAAUUAAUUUCCAGAUGGGGCACCUGGGUGGCUCAGUUGGUUAAGCGUCUGACUUCUGCUCGGGUCAUGAUCUUGUGGUUCGUGGGUUCGAGCCCUACACAGCUCAGAGCCUGGAGCCUGCUUUGGAUUCUGUGUCUCCCUCCCACUCUGCCCCUCCCCUGUUCCCACUCUGUCUUUUUCUCUCUCUCAAAAGUAAAUAAACAUAAAAAAUUUUUAAAUAAAAAUUUAAAAAUGUAAUUUCCAGGCAAUUUUAAUUGCUCUCCUCUUUUUUUUUUCCUUAAAGAUUAUGUACUGUUUAAAAAUAAUCUCUAAAGCUAAUGUGGGGCUUAAACUCAUGAACCUGAGAUCAAGAGUCACAUGCUCUUCCAACUGAAUCAGCCAGGUGCCCCUCAAUUAUACCCCUCUUAAAAAGGCAAAGCAAGUCUGUUCUUAAGCUACAAAUUUAAUGACAUUAUUAUAUGGAUAGCUAUUCUAAUUUUCAAAAAUAAUUGUUCUAAUAUUAUGACAAAUAUUAUGACUGGUAGUCAUUUCCAAUACCAGAGUCAAAACCUAUAAGAGGUCCAAAGAUUUUUUUGUCCCAAAUAAGAAUUGGAAAAUGAGUAUGGAUAGUACUGAUUUAUAAGUUGUACUCAGAAUAAGAAUUUACAAAAAUAAAUGGUCAGUAAGUAAAUCUCAGAAAUAUCUGGACAGAAGAGUAUGAGUUCUAUGUAGAUCACAUCAAUCUAAUCAUGGAGAAGGUAAGCAUCAUUAUCCUUACUUCUCCGUUAGAUGGAAUGACCAAUAAUGUGACAUGGCUAACUUAGCUUAAAAUACCAAAAUCAUCAUCAUCCUCAUCGUCGUCAUCAUCAUCAUCAUCAUCAUCAUCAAGGUUUAGUUUCCUGAGACAAUUUGGAAUUAUUAGUCAAAAUCUAAAAAGCUUUUAAUACAAAAUUCUUUUGCCUGAAUAUGAUCUGGAAUUUCAAGGAGAGUUUCAGUAUAAAUUCAACACAACUGAUAUAUAUAUAAAAUCAAUAUUAACUAGACAAGGUAGCAUAUAAUUCUAAAAUUAUUGCUUUAGGAACUAAAAAGAACAUUAUUUGAUUGCAUUGACUUUACUGGAUUUAAUAUAUUUAGAAGACUUCUGAUUCCAGAUGGCUGCUGGACUCUCAUGUAUAUUCCUUCUUUCACAUAUCCCAUUAAUAUUAUAAAAAUAAGUUAUUAAAUAAAAGUUUUAGGAAAUAGAGACUCUGAAAUAUCUAAGAAGUUGAGAAAAAUUUAUACAAUGCAUGUAAAAUCAGAUGACAAGCAAUAUCUCAUAGGACUAAAAAUCUGCAAUCCCAUAUAGAUUUUAAAAGUGCAUUUUCCUAGAAAAAUCCCAUGGAGGGGAUUCAGAAUAUAUCUGAGAUAGCAAAGACUCAGAGCAGAAGAGAAAGUGCUGAGGGACAAUUGGACCACAGACUCCAUUCUGCUAUGGAAGUUUUUCUUUCUAGGAGAAAAUUAAGAGAACCAUUCUCUAAGUCAAGUUUCUCUGUGCUAACAUUUCUCAGCUUUUAUGUCCAUGUGAAUCAGCUAAAGGUUUGUGGAAAGAGAACGUCUGAUUGACUAGGUACAGAGUGAUGCUAGGGGUUGGGACUUUCUAAGAAUUUUCCAGGUGACGUUGAUGCUGCUCACCAAGGUCUGUACCACAAAGAUGUACACCAGCAACAACCAAGUAGAAACUAUAAUAGAAAAAAAAGGCCUUCAGAAUAACAAAGCUCCAGAGUGUCUGGAAUACGUCUAAAAAUAAUUUUUAAAAAGAGAUAUUUAAAACUUUCACUUUAGUAUUGUAAAAGAAAAUUUGCAUAAAUGGACACAGAGCAAAACAUGCUGAUGUGUGGGACAAGGGAAAAAGUGCUAAUUUUGUUGAUAAGACCCUAUACCUCUGCACUCAAUGACUUGAAUCUCUCAUCUGGGCUGAAAAAUGCUGUAAAUGGUUCUUCAGUGCUAACUAUUAAAACAAAGCAACAGAAAACCCUUAGGGGAAAGAGGGGAAAUUUAAGAAAUAAUUUCCCCCAUAAUUUAAAUUAGAAUAUAAUUUCUUCCAGGCUUAUGGGUUAUGUGACAUGAUAGUGUUCUGAAAAACUUAAGCAUUUCCACCUUACAUGUAACUUUCUGGAUGCUAAUUAUCAAUAAUCAGUGGGUAUCUCAAGAACACAGACGUGGUGCUUAGCAGUAUGGAAAAACACUGACUCUGAUUCAAAGGAUGAAUAUUUGUGGAAUUCACAAAAUAUUUGUGAAAGGGCUCUCAUUCCUCUUCUCAGCAACCUAUCCGUAUCUGGCAUUGAAGACUGAAAAAAUUAACUCUACACGUUCAGAAAGUAGAACAACUUUCAAGUGUUCUGAAUAAAAAUAUGGAAAGCCAAGGGGAAGAAGGUAAUUUCAGAAGAGAAGCAUGACCAAGAGCCAUGACCAGAAGCCAUGAAAAUCUUCUAUGGUGUUAUGAAUUGAAAGUUUAUCUCCCUCCCAAGCUCAUAGACUGACAUCCUAAACCUAGUGUGAUGGUAUUAGGAGGUGGGCCUUUGGGAGAUAAUUAGGCCGUGAAGUUAGAAUCCCCAUGAAUGGGACUAAUGCCUUUGUAAAAUGGACCCUAGAGAGUUCUCUUAUCCUCUUUCCAGCAUUGGGGGGUACAGCAGGAAGUAGACAUUCUGAAACCUGAUGGAGGGUACUCACCAGUAUCUGACCAGGCUGGCACCCUGAUCUUGAAAUCCUGGUCUCCAGAACCAGGAGAAAUAAAUUUUUCUGUAGCAGCCUGAACUAAGAAGUAUGGGGUUCCUACCUUCUUAUUCCCCCAGAGGCUCUGAAGAAAUUGGCAUCUGGUCAUAUUUUUGUUUGGAUCCUCCUUAUUUUUAUAUCCAUAAGCUCCACGUAAAGCAAAGGAUUCACCAUGAAUAGAAGCUAUGUUAGCUUGGAAGGACUGUGCUAUAAAAUCAACAUGUUGUCAGCCACUUCUUCUCUACUAAUCCUUGCCUUCAGUUUAUUAUAAGUCUAAAACUCAAAGGAAACUUCUUCCAACCUAGUUACCGUGAUCACAGGAAACCUUUAGAAUGGUACUGUAUAAUUUACAAAGCACUCUUGUGCUGCGUGUGUGUGUGUGUGUUUUCAUUUGAUUCAUAAAGGCAGUCUUUGGAGUUAUCUUAUGAAAUGCUGAGGAGGGGAAGUGAGACAUUGAAAUAGGGACACUACCUUGUUUUCAAGGAACUCAUUCAUUGAAGUAGGAAAGGCAAGUACUGCAUUAGUGUCUUUGGCAACUAACUGAUUUCUGCUCUUUCAACUGAACUGGUCUCUCUGUUGCAUUUGUAUUACUUACUACCCCCUUUCACCCCACACUCUUCACCCCCUAUUGCUGAGAUUAUCUCCUCCAAGGACUCCUACCUCAGUUCUCUCUUCUGGCUCAUAUCCUAUAUGUGGAUUUGUGUGUGUGACUCACUUUUCUUUGCCCAGGAUGAAAUGUUAGUGUUGCCCAGGUCAUCACAGAAGUAUUUCAUGAUCCAGUAUUCCAAAGAAUGGUCAGAUUAAAGAUUUAUAUACUUUUGUCUUAAAUCCAUAAAAAUGCAUGUUGAUGGUUGGAAAAGAGGUGGUUGUUAAUGUCUUGGCUUGGGCCUCUGUACUUUAGUUUCCUCAAAUAGUGAUGCAAAUAAUAUGACUUCAUAUGGAUGCUCUAAGGAUUAUAGAAGUAUUCACUAGGUACUUAAAAUAGUUCAUAGUUUGUAAAAAGUGUGUGUAAGUAGUCACAAUUAUUGUAGAGCAUAAAAGACUGAACUCAGAACUGUCCUAGGUAGAAUAGGUCAGCUGCAAAGUCAAAUUCACAAAGAAAGGGGGAAAAACAUCAAGUCUAAUGAGCCCUACAAGCAGCAGUUACAGAAGGACUGGUCAUAGGUACAGAAUUUGAGAAAUACAAAUAACAGAGUGACCUUAUCUACUUCAUUGGUACGAGACUAAUACGUCUGACAGCAUACCUUUAACUAUGAAGCAUACUGUUAGACACAACCAGCCUUUCAAACACUAAGGCGGAAUUUAGUUCUUAAUCAAGCUUAUUCAUGCCUAGAGGCUUUCCACAGACAGUCUAGUUCUUCCCAUAGAAAGUCCAGGAAUUUAUUUUCAAAGCAGGUGUCCAGCUUCUGCUAAUCAUUUUACAGUGACUAGACUAUAACCUCUAAAAGAAAAUAAAACACCUUGGGCUUAAUGUCAGCUGUCACACAAAUGUUUUCUUCAUGUUCCAAUGACAGGUUAUUGCACCCUGUCCCAUCAUAUAAUACACAGCUGCUAUGGGAAUAGAUGUGUGAAUUCCCAAGAAGAAGCUGAGAACAAGGACAUGAGGUAUUGUGUAAUAAUAGUAGAUGGACAAGACAUCUUAAGGACAAAUCAUUGAAGAAAUUUUUUAGGAUAUCAGAAGUUACAUUAUAUUGUAACAUGCCAUCCUUAUAUGUCUGGUUCUCUUCCCUCAAAUUCAUCCAUAGUAGUGAUGCUAAGCGGGAAGAUAUAUGGAGCCCUUUCCUCUCCUCCAAUAUAUGCAUCACAAUAUAUCCAAAAUAGCAGGCCAUCCCUGUGUGGAAAUAGGUUUAACAAGAAAUGCAUUUUCUUUUUGGUUUGAUGACAACUUAUAUCAAAAUGCUAAAAUGACUUUUUUGUGUUUAUGUCUAGUUAAAAUUUAUAGGGCAGUUGGUCUAAGUUAGAAAGUCCUACAAAUUUAAUGAGUAUAUUUAUAAAAUGUACAUAUUGGGACAAUCUUUUAUGGGAAUGAGGACUGGUCAAAAAGUGGCCCCAUGUAAACUUGAAGAGGAGUGGAGUUUGGGAACUUGCUCCCAUGCCUGUUCAAGACUAGGGAGAGGUCACAGCAAAACCAAGGCUAUAAAAUGUUUUUCUUAUUUCCAGGAAUGCACAGGAGCCUUCAUUUUUGUAAGUGAGCUACUAAGAGCCAGCAUGUAUUUGCUUUUUUACUUACCCUUUUCUCUUUCAAAUGACUUGAUUGUCAGCCUUCCCUGAUUUUAUCUCUUUUUUAUUCAUCUGGCUUGUAGAGGAAAGAAAAGAUCUUUUUAAAAAAAGUCAUUUGAUACCUACAUUACCAAAAGAAUGCUGUAUUUGACUUCAAGCAUUCUAUAAAAUCUGUUAAUUUUUGUGGAAAUAACAUUUCAGAAUUAGGGGACAAUAUAAAGGAGACCAAAUAAUAGAUUUGAGCUAUGCAUUUGAUGAAACAGGUACACCCCAGUCAUUUUCAUAGGUGAGGCUUUGCGCCUAUACCACCUUAAAAAUGGUUCACUAUAUAUGCUAAAAGCCAAGACAGAAAAUAUGGUUACAAGAACAAUAGACAAAAAAAGAAAGUGAGUUUGUGGCAUCAAGGUCCUUACCCAAGAGAGGAAAAAAAUUAAAUUUUGAAAUUGCAUAUACUACUGUUAUUAUAUUAUUGUUAAUAUUUAUAUAUGAACAAUUGCCAUAGGUAAACUAUAGAAGCAAUAAUUAAUAGGUUUUCUGAAUUAGAAAAUUAAUUAUUGCUAUUGCAAUUUUAAUAGACAAUGACACUUCUGAUUCUUUUUUAAAAUGUUUAUUUACUUAUUUUGAGAGAGAGAGAGAGAGAGCAGGGGAGGAGCAGAGGGAGAGGGAGAGACAGAAUACCAAGCAGGCUCCAUGCCAUCAGCACAGAGCCCGACGCAGGGCUCAGUCUCAUGAACUAUGAGAUCAUGACCUGAGCUGAAAUCAAGAGUUAGGUUUAACAGACUGAGCCACCCAGGCACCCCAACAUUUCUGAUUCUAAACUGAACAGAAAUAAUGCUUAGACAGAAUAUCACCAACUGAGCUAUAGAUAUAAUGUUUUAAAAUUUCUGUCUGAAUUUUUUCUGAAGAACCUGCUAAGCGAAAAUAAUGUUAUCAAUACUAUUAUAUUGGUUAAAUAUAAUUAUUAUAUAUCUAUAAUAUUAAUACUUGUACUGAUUAUAUCAUGUUCAUAUUUUAGUAAUUCCUAUGGGGAAGGCAAUUGGGAGAGUAAAUGAUAGGUAGCUACAGAACCAACUGAAGACUGAAGAAGGCAUUUCCAAGGUAAUUUGGUCUAUUCACACUGAAAUGGAUUUUGGGGAAAAUGAACUGUGAAUAAACCAGUUUGUCCAUUGGAAAGUCAUUGAGAUUUACAUCCUUCCAUGAGCCAGAUUCUCUGUCCUUACCUAAUCAAACUGUAUACAGAAAAACACAAGAAAAUUCAUUCUCUCAGAGACCAUUGGUUCCACCUUGAAUGUGAUUGCUGUGAACCUCCUGUGACACUGUCAGUCUUCCAGGGACAUAUUUAAUCUCUGCUCAAGAUUUUACCUGACUUUAUUCUGACUUUCUAGGAAAUGCUCUGCUUUUACUCUUUGAACAAACCAGUAAAUCUCAGAUAAUACCAUGGGACUCAGAUUGACAAAUUACACAGUGUUCCUCAUGAUAAGUGUAGUCUUAAUGCCCAUCACCUGUUUUACCCAUCCCCCACCUACUUCCCCUCUGGUAACCACCAGUUCUUUUUUUUUUAACUUGUUUUAUUUUUUAUUUUUUUAAAUUUACAUCCAAAUUAGUAUAUAUUGCAACAAUGAUUUCAGGAGUAGAUUCCUUAGUGCCCCUUACCCAUUUAGCCCAUCCCCCCUUUCCACAACCCUUCCCAUAACCCUCAGUUUGUUCUCCAUAGUUAUGAGUCUCUUCUGUUUUGCCCCUCUCCCUGUUUUUAUAUUAUUUUUGUUUCCCUUCCCUUAUGUUCAUCUCUUUUGUCUCUUUUGAAAUCUCAGAAGUCAUAUGAUUUUUAUCUUUCUCUGACUAAUUUCACUUAGCAUAAUACCCUCCAGUUCCAUCCAUGUAGUUGCAACUUGCAAGAUUUCAUUCUUUUUGAUUGCUGAGUAAUAAUACUCCAUUGUAUAUAUAUAUACAACAUCUUCUUUAUCCAUUCAUCCCUCGAUGGACAUUUGGGCUCUUUCCAUACUUUGGCUAUUGUUGAUAGGGCUACUAUAAACAUGGGGGUACAUGUGUCCCUUUGAAACAGCACACCUGUAUCCCUUGAAUAAAUGCCUAGUAGUGAAAUUGCUGUGUCACAGGGUAGUUCUAUUUUUAGUUUUUUUGAGGAACCUCCAUACUGUUUUCCAGAGUGGCUGCACCAGCUUGCAUUGCCACCAACAAUGCAAAAGAGAUCCUCUUUCUCCGCAUCCUUGCCAACAUAUGUUGUUGCCUGAGUUGUUAAUGUUAGCCAUUCUGACAGGUGUAAUGUGGUAUCUCAUUGUGGUUUUGAUUUGUAUUUACCUGAUGAUGAGUGAUGUUGAGCAUUUUUUCAUGUGUCAGUUGCCCAUCUGGAUGUCUUCUUUGGAGAAGUGUCUAUUCAUGUCUUUUGCCCAUCUCUUCACUGGAUUAUUUGUUUUUUGGGUGUUGAGUUUGAUAAGUUCUUUACAGAUUUUGGAUACUAACCUUUUAUCUGAUAUGUUGUUUGCAAAUAUCUUCUCCCAUUCCAUUGGUUGCCUUUUAGUUUUGCUGAUUGUUUCCUUCGCUGUGCAGAAGCUUUUUAUUUUGAUGAGGUCCCAGUAGUUCAUUUUUGCUUUUGUUUCCCUUGCCUCNNNNNNNNNNNNNNNNNNNNNNNNNNNNNNNNNNNNNNNNNNNNNNNNNNNNNNNNNNNNNNNNNNNNNNNNNNNNNNNNNNNNNNNNNNNNNNNNNNNNNNNNNNNNNNNNNNNNNNNNNNNNNNNNNNNNNNNNNNNNNNNNNNNNNNNNNNNNNNNNNNNNNNNNNNNNNNNNNNNNNNNNNNNNNNNNNNNNNNNNNNNNNNNNNNNNNNNNNNNNNNNNNNNNNNNNNNNNNNNNNNNNNNNNNNNNNNNNNNNNNNNNNNNNNNNNNNNNNNNNNNNNNNNNNNNNNNNNNNNNNNNNNNNNNNNNNNNNNNNNNNNNNNNNNNNNNNNNNNNNNNNNNNNNNNNNNNNNNNNNNNNNNNNNNNNNNNNNNNNNNNNNNNNNNNNNNNNNNNNNNNNNNNNNNNNNNNNNNNNNNNNNNNNNNNNNNNNNNNNNNNNNNNNNNNNNNNNNNNNNNNNNNNNNNNNNNNNNNNNNNNNNNNNNNNNNNNNNNNNNNNNNNNNNNNNNNNNNNNNNNNNNNNNNNNNNNNNNNNNNNNNNNNNNNNNNNNNNNNNNNNNNNNNNNNNNNNNNNNNNNNNNNNNNNUUUGAUAGGGAUUGCAUUGAAUAUGUAGAUUGCUUUGGGUAGUAUCGACAUUUUAACAAUAUUUGUUCUUCCUAUCCAGGAGCAUGGAAUCUUUUUCCAUUUUUUUGUGUCUUCUUCAAUUUCUUUCAUAAGCUUUCUAUAGUUUUCAGUGUAUAGAUUUUUCACCUCUUUGGUUAGAUUUAUUCCUAGGUAUUUUAUGGUUUUUUGUGCAACUGUAAAUGGGAUCGAUUCCUUGAUUUCUCUUUCUGUUGCUUCAUUGUUGGUGUAUAGGAAUGCAACCAAUUUCUGUGCAUUGACUUUAUAUCCUGCAAAUUUGCUGAAUUUAUGAAUAAAUUCUAGCAGUUUUUUGGUGGACUCCUUUGGGUUUUCCAUAUAGACUAUCAUGUCAUCUGCAAAGAGUGAAAAUUUGACCUCCUCCUGGCCGAUUUGGAUGCCUUUUAUUUCUUUGUGUUGUCUGAUUGCAGAGGCUAAGACUUCCAAUACUAUGUUGAAUGACAGUGGUGAGAGUGGACAUCACUGUCUUGUUCCUGACCUUAGGGGGAAACCUCUCAGUCUUUCCCCAUUGAGGAUGAUAUUAGCGUUGGGUCAUUCAUAUAUGGCUUUUAUGAUCUCAAGGUAUGCUCCUUCUAUCCCUACUUUCUUGAGGGUUUUUAUCAAGAAAGGAUGCUGUAUCUUGUCAAAUGCUUUCUCUGCAUCUAUUGAGAGAAUCAUGUGGUUCUUGUCCUUUCUUUUAUUAAUGUGAUGAAUCACAUUAAUUGUUUCGCAGAUAUUGAACCAGCCCUGCAUCCCAGGUAUAAAUCCCACUUGGUUGUGGUGAAUAAUUUUUUUAAUGUAUUGUUGGAUCCAGUUGGCUAAUAUCUUGUUGAGGAUUUUUGCAUCCAUAUUCAUCAGGGAAAUUGGUCUAUAGUUCUCCUGUUUAGUGAGGUCUCUGUCUAGUUUUGGAAUCAGGGUAAUGCUGGCUUCAUAGAAAGAGUUUGGAAGUUUUCCUUCCAUUUCUAUUUUUUGGAACACCUUCAAGAGGAUAGAUGUUAACUCUUCCUUAAAUGUUUGGUAGAAUUCCCCCUGGAAAGCUAUCUGGCCCUGGACUCUUGUUUUUUGGCAGAUUUUUGAUUACUAAUUCAAUUGCCUUACUGGCUAUGGGUCUGUUCAAAUUUUCUAUUUCUUCCUGUUUCAGUUUUGGUAGUGUAUAUGUUUCUAGGAAUUUGUCCAUUUCUUCCAGAUUGCACAUUUUAUUGACAUAUAAUUGCUCAUAUUAUUGUUUUUAUUUCUGCUGUGUUGGUUGUGAUCUCUCUUUCAUUCUUGAUUUUAUUUAUUUGGGUCCUUUCCUUUUUCUUUUUGAUCAAACUGGCUAGUGGUUUAUCAAUUUUGUUAAUUCUUUCAAAGAACCAGCUUCUGGUUUCAUUAAUCUGUUCUAUUGUUUUUUUGGUUUCGGUAGCAUUAAUUUCUGCUCUAAUAUUUAUUAUUUCCUGCCUUCUGCUGAUUUAAGGUUUUACUUGCUAUUCUUUUUCCAGCUCCUUAAGGUGUAAGGUUAGGUUGUGUAUCUGAGAUCUUUCUUCCUUCUUUAGGAAGGCCUGGAUUGCUAUAUACUUUCCUCUUAUGACCGCCUUUGCUGCCUUCCAGAGGUCUUGGUUUGUGGUGUUAUCAUUUUCAUUGACUUCCAUAUACUUUUUAAUUUCCUCUUUAACUUCUUGGUUAGCCUAUUCAUUCUUUAGUAGGAUGUUCUUCAGUCUCCCAAGUAUUUGUUACCUUUCCAAAUUUUUUCUUGUGGUUGAUUCCGAGUUUCAUGGCAUUGUGGCCUGAAAAUAUGCACAGUAUGAUCUCGAUCUUAGGGCUGAUUUGUGUCCCAGUAUAUGGUCUAUUCUGGAGAACGUUCCAUGUGCACUGGAGAAGAAUGUAUAUUCUGCUGCUUUAGGAUGAAAUGUUCUGAAUGUAUCUGUUAAAUCCAUCUGGUCCUGUGUGUCAAAGCCAUUGUUUCCUUGUUGAUUUUUUGAUUAGAUGAUCUGUCCAUUGCUGUGAGCGGGGUGUUGAAGUCUCCUACUAUUAUGGUAUUACUAUCAAUGAGUUUCUUUAUGUUUGUGAUUAAUUGAUUUAUGUAUUUGGGUGCUCUCACAUUUGGCACAUCAUUGUUUAUAAUUGUUAGGUCUUCUUGGUGGAUAGACCCGUUGAUUAUGAUAUAAUGCCCUUCUGCAUCUCUUGAUACAGUCUUUAUUUUAAAGUCUAGGUUGUCUGAUAUAAGUAUGGCUACUCCGGCUUUCUUCUGUUGACCAUUAGCAUGAUAGAUGGUUCUCCAUCCCCUUAUUUUCAACCUGAAGGUUUCUUUAGGUCUAACGUGGGUCUGUUGUAAACAGCAUAUAGAUGGGUCUUGUUUUCUUAUCCAUUCUGUUACCCUAUGUCUUUUGAUUGGAGCAUUGAGUCCACUGACAUUUUGAGUGAGUACUGAAAGGUAGGAAUUUAUUGUCAUUAUGAUGCUCAUAGAGUUGGAGUUUCUGGUGGUGUUCUCUGGUCCUUUCUAAUCUUUGUUCCUUUUGGUAUUUAUAUAUAUAAAGGACUGCAGCUUUGACCUGUUCUUCCCCUCUGCAAGAGGGUCUCACCGAGCAAUGGGCAAAUGUUCGCUGCACCCAGGAAUGCUUGCAGGACCCUGCUGCUGCCAGUGCCCCAAGACUGCGGCCAGGUGCCAGCCCACCCCAGAAAAAGUUCACGAGAUGGAUAGUGUGUGUGUGUGUGUGUGUGUGUAUUUUUUUUCAUCUUUUCUCCCCUCAGAGAGUCCCCCUUAAAAUUUCUUGCAGGGCUGGUUUAGUGGUCACAAAUUCCUUUAAUUUUUGUUUGCCUGGAAAGCUUUUAUCUCUCCUUCUAUUUUGAAUGACAGCCUUGCUGGAUAAAGAAUUCUUGGCUGCAUAUUUUUCUGAUUCAGCACAUUGAAUAUAUCCUGCCACUCCUUGCUGGCCUGCCAAGUUUCUGUGGAUAGGUCUGCUGCAAUCCUGAUCUGUCUUUCCUUGUAGGUUAGGGACUUUAUCCCUUGCUGCUUUCAUGAUUCUCUCCUUACCUGAGUACUUUGUGAAUUUGACUAUGAUAUGCCUUGUUGAUGGUCAGUUUUUGUUGAAUCUAAUGGGGGUUCUCUGUGCUUCCUGGAUUUUGAUGUCUGUGUCUUUCCCCAGGUUAGGAAAGUUUUCUGUUAUGAUUUGCUUACAUAACCCUUCUACCCCUAUUUCUCUCUCUUCCUUUUCUGGGACCCCUAUAAUUCUGAUGUUGUUCCUUUUUUAUGAGUCACUGAUUUCUCUAAUUCUUAAACCAUGCUCUUUUGCCUUAAUCUCUCUCUUUUUUUCUGUUUCAUUAUUCUGUAUAAGUUUGUCCCCUAUAUUGCUGAUUCUCUGUUCUCCCUCAUCCAUCCUUGCCGCUGCUGCAUCCAUCCGUGAUUGUGGCUCAGUUAUAGAAUUUUUAAUUUCAUUCUAUUUUUUACUUCUUUUAUCUCUGUAGAAAGGGAUUCUAAUCUAUUUUCGACUCCAGCUAGUAUUUUUAUUAUCGUGAUUCUAAAUUUUGGCUCAGACAUCUUGCUUGUAUUUGUGUUGGUUAAAUCCCUAGCUGUUGUUUCUUCAUGCUCUUUCUUUUGGGGUGAAUUCCUUCGUUUUGUCAUUUUGAAGUCAGAAAAGGAAUUAAUGAGGUAGAAAAAGUAAAAUUAAAAUUAUUAAAAUUAAAAAAAUAUUAAAAUUAAAAAUUAAAUACACAAACAGAACACACACAAAAUCUAGUAAGUGAUGCUUGAUCCUAGGUGUGUUUUGGUCUGGGUUUGAAAGUGGAUAGAGAAAAAAAAGGGGAAAAAAAAGGAAAACAUUUGAGGAUUUGAAAAAAUGAAUACACUGAAGUAGAUUAAAUGAGAUGAUGGGAGUAAAAUAGAAUUUGAAAAAGUUUACACAAAAGUGAAGAAUAUAGUAGAAAAAAAUUAAAGAAAAAUAUUUUAAUAAAAAUUAAAUACAAAAAUGAAUUUUUUCUCUUUCUGUAUUCAAGAAAAAGAAAAAAAAAGAAAAAUAGAGAAAAUAAGGAAAUUGUUUGAAAAUUUGAAAAAGUGAAUACACUGUAGUAGACUAAAAUAAAAUGAUGAAAGUAAAAUCGAAUUUGAAAAAAUUUACAUAAAAGCAAAAAAUAUAGUAGAAAAUAUAAAGAAAAUUUUUUUAAUAAAAUUGAAAGUAAAAAUGAAGUUUUUCUCUUUCUGCAUUCAAAAAAAAGAAAAGAAACAAAAAAAGAAAAAAGGAAAUUGUUUGAAAAAUUGAAAAGGUGACUACACUGAAGUAGACUAAAACAGAAUGAUGGAAGUAAGAUAGAAUUUGAAAAAAAUACACAAAAGUAAAAAAUAUAGAAAAAAUUAAAGAAAAAUAUUUUUAAUAAAAAUUGAAAAUAAAAAUGAAUUUUUUCUCUUUCUGUAUUCAAGAAAAAGAAGAGUAGUGUAAAAGAGAAAAAAAAGAAAAUUGAAUAGAUGGACCUGCUAACAGAUUGAAAUAGGACUGAAAUUACUUCAUUUUCCCCUAGAAGUCAGACUAUGUAGCGCUUUAUAGCCCAUAAACUAAGUAGGCGGUGAGACUUCUGUUCUUAAAGAGCGAGGUUGGCCCAGUUGGGCAGGGCUCAGUGUAAUGGUUCCGUUCUUCACUAGAUGGCGCUGCUAGCCUACUGGGGUGGAUUGUUGUGGCGCUCAUAGGUGCGUAUGUGCAUGCACGGGAGUGGUGAAAAUGGUGAAAAUUGCAUCACCCAGCUACCCAGUCUCUAGUAUCAGAACUCUGUUCUCCCUGAUCAGCAAUCGCACACCCGUCCUCUCUGUCUUCAGCUUUCUUUAACUCCCCGCUUCUUCACUGUCCAUGACCAAGCCCCAGCCAGUACCUCUCUCCCAAGUUUUGUCUCAGAUGUGGCUAUUUUCCCUGGCCCCUUUCUUCUGAAGGAUUGUGGCUUUGACCCAUUCCGCCCCUCUGCAAGAGGGUCUCACCGAGCAAUGGCCAAAUGUCGGCUGUACCCAGGAACGCCUGCCGGACCCUGCUGCCGCCAGUGCACCGAGACUGCGGCCAGGUGCCAGCCCGCCCCAGAAAAAGUUCGCAAGAUAGUGUAGCAGCAGCUUUUCAGGGAUUAUGGAAAAUCACAGCACACAUCUGGCACCAGGCUUCACCCUUAACGACUUUGUUCCAGCACCAGUGAAUGUGGCCGUUUUCUGGGGUCUGCUGGGACCAGGUGGCUUCAACAGUCUCUACCAAAUAUCCUUCCAGCAGUGGAGCUGCUUUUCCCCAUGUGGCCCAAGAACCUCCUGGACCCCACUCUGUUCCUGGGGAUUCACGCUUCCCACCAGAGCACUGCCAAGUAUUGAGCUGCAGAGUUGCAGACUUUGUGCUCCCCUUGAUUACAGUCUUAAUGGAAUUUAAACCCUCUCCUUUCUCCCUUUUCAGUUUAGUCCCUGUGGCUGUUUCCAAUUUUCCACUUUCUCUCCAGCUGCUUUUGGGGAGGGGUGCUUUUCCUGUAUUCUGCCUCCCCCUUACCCCCAGUUUCCGUCCUCUCUCCAUCUGCAAACGCGGCUCCCUGCCUGCUGCCGGCUUCUCUCUCCCCAAGUUCACCUCUCCGCACCAUGUACCUGCUGAAUUCUGUGGUUCAGAUUGUGCAGAUUGUUGUGUUAAUCCUCCAGUCAGUUUUCUAGGUGUGUGGGAUGGUUUAGUGUUGGUCUGGCUGUUUUUCAUGGACAUGAGACACAAAAAACUUCCAUGCUGUUCCGCCAUCUUGACUCCUCCUCCCCCACCAGUUUGUUCUGUAUAGCUAACAAUCUGAUGAUUUGGUUUGCCUUUUUUUUCUUUGUUUUUUUUCCCCCUUGAAUUACACAUAUGAGUGAAAUCAUAUGGUAUUUGCCUUUUUCUGACAUUUUUCACUUAGUAUUAUACUGACUAGAUCCAUCUAUGUUGUUGUAAAUGGCAAGAUUUCAUUCUUUUUUAUGGCUGAGUAAUAUUCCAUUAUAUAUAUAUAUAUAUAUACACACAUAUGUCUUAUAUGUAUGUGUGUAUACAUAUAUUUACACAUGUAUGUGUAUACACACACACAUACAUACCAUAUCUUCUUUAUCCAUUCAUCUAUCAAUGAACACUUGGGGCUACUUCCAUAAUUUGGCUAUCAUAAUGCUACAAUAAACAUAGGGGUGCAUAUAUCUUUUCAAAUUAGUGUUCUUUGUAUUCUUGGGAUCAAUACCCAGUAUGGAAUUACUGGAUCAUAUGGCAGUUUUACUUUUAAUAUUUUGAGGAACGUGCAUAUUGUUUUCCACUAUGGCUCCACAAGGUUGCAUUCCCACCAAUAGUGCAUGAGGGUUCCUUUUUCUCCAUAUCCUCAUGAACACUUUUUGUUUCUUGUGUUUUUUUUAAUUUUAGCCAUUCUAACAGGUAGGAAGUGGUAUCUCAUUGUAGUUUUGAUUUGUAUUUCCUUUAUUGUCAAUGAUGUUGAGCAUCUUUUCAUGUGUUUUUGGCCAUUUGUAUGUCUUCUUUGGAGAAAUGUCUAUGUCCUCUGCACGCUUUUUUUUUUUUUUUACUUGAGAGAGUGGGAGGGGGGAGAAAAAGAGGGAGGGAGGGAGGAAGAGAAAGAGAGAGAAAGAGAGAGAAAGAGAGAGAAUUUUAAGCAGGCUCCAUGCUCAGUGCAGAGCUCAAUGUGGGACUUGAUCCCACAACCCUAGGAUAGUGACCUGAGCCGAAAUCAAGAUUUGGACAGUCAACUGACUGAACCAUCCAGGUGCCCCUCCUCUAUUCAGUUUUUAAUUGUUUUAAUUAGAUUAUUUUUUGGUGUUGAGUUGUAUAAAUUCUUUACAUAUUUUGGAUACUAACCCUUCAUUAGAUAUGUCAUUUCCAAAUAUCUUUCCCAUUCAGUAAGUUAUCUUUUAGUUUUGUUGAUUAUUUCCUUUGCUGUGAAGAACGUUUUUAUUUUGUUAUAGUCCAAAUAGUUUAUAUUUGCUUUUGUUUCCCUUGCCUCAGAAGACAUAUCUGGAAAAUGUUGCUACCGCUGAUGUCACAGUCUCUACCAAAUGUCCUUUGGUAGAGAACACAGCCUGUGUUCUCUUCUUUUUUUUUAAGUUGAUUUAUUUUAUUUAUUUAUUUUUCUUUGGAGCAGGGAAGGGGCAGAGGGAGAUGGACAGAGAGAAUCCCAAGCAGGCUCUGUGCUGUCAGCACUGAGCCUGAUGUGGGGGCUCAAACUCACAGAACUGUGAGAUCAUGACCUGAGCCAGAAUCAAGAGUUGCACACUUAACUGAUUGAGCCACACAUUCUUAUUUUUGUGCUAGAAAGUGGUCAGGUUUCAUUCUUUGUAUAUAGUUGUCCAGUUUUCCCAACACCGUUUGUUAAAGAGACUAUUUUUCUGAUUGAUAUUCUUGCCUCCUUUCUUAAAGAUUAAUCGACCACAUAAUCUUGGGUUUAUUUGUGGGCUCUUUGUUUUGUUCUGUUGAUCUAUGUGUCUGUUUUUCUGCCAGUACCAUACUGUUUUGAGUCCUCCAGCUUUGUAGUAUAUCAUAAAAUCUGGGAUUGUGAUACCACCAGUUUUGUUCUUCCUUUUCUUUUUUUUUUUAAUUUUUUUUUUCAACGUUUAUUUAUUUUUGGGACAGAGAGAGACAGAGCAUGAACGGGGGAGGGGCAGAGAGAGAGGGAGACACAGAAUCGGAAACAGGCUCCAGGUUCUGAGCCAUCAGCCCAGAGCCUGACGCGGGGCUCAAACUCCCGGACCGCGAGAUCGUGACCUGGCUGAAGUCGGACGCUUAACCGACUGCGCCACCCAGGCGCCCCUGUUCUUCCUUUUCAAGAAUACUUUGGCUAUUUGGGUGUUCUGUGUUCCAUUCAAAUGUUAGGACUAUUUGUUCUAGUUCUGUGAAAAAUACUGUUGGUAUUUUGAUAGGGAUUGCAUUAAUUCUGUAGAUUGAUAUGGGUGGUAUGGACAUUUUAAGAAUAUUUGUUCUUCCAAUCCAUGAGCAUGGAAUAUCUUCCCAUUUGUUUGCAUCAUCUUCAAUUUCUUUCAUCACUGGUUUAUAGUUUUCAGAGUGCAUGUCUUUCACCUCCUUGAAGUUUGUUCCUAAAUAUUUUAUUAUUUUUGGUACAAUAAUAAAGGAGAUUGUUUUCCUAAUUUCUCUUUCUGCUGCUUUAUUAUUAUUGUAUAGAUAUGCAGUGGAUUUCUGUGUAUUGAUUUUUGUAUCCUAAAGCCUUACUGAAUACAUUUAUUAGUUCUAGUAAUUUUUUUGUGGAGACUUUUAAGUUUUCUAUAUAUAGUAUAAUGUCAUCUGCAAACAGUGAAAGUUUUACUUCUUCCUUACUGAUAUGGAUGCCUUAUAUUUCUUAUUCUUAUCUGAUUGCUAUAGUUACAAUUUUCAGUACUAUGUUGAACAAGAGUGGUGAGACUGGACAUCCUUGUCUUUUUCCUGAUCUUAGGGGCAAAACUUUCAGUUUUUAACCACUGAGUAUGAUGAUAGCUGUGGUUUUUCAUAUAUGGCCUUUUUAUGUUAGGUAUCUUCACUAAACCUACUUUGUUGAGGGUUUUUAUCAUGACUGGAUGUUGUACUUUGUCAGAUGCCUUUUCUGCAUCUAUUGAAAUGAUCAUAGGGUUUUUAUCCUUUCUUUUAUUGAUGUGAUGUAUCACAUUGAUUGAUUUGUGAACAUUGAACUACUCUUGUAUCCCUGGAAUAAAUCCCACUUAAAAGUGGUGAAUGAUUUUUUUAGUGUAUUGUUGGGUUCAGUUUGCUAUUUUUUUAUUGAGGGCUUUUGCAUCUAUAUUCAUCAGAUGUUGGCCUGUAGUUCUCUUAUUUUGUAGUGUCUGUAUCUUAUUUUGAUAUCAAGGUAAGGCUGGUAUCAUAGAAUGAAUUUGGAAGUUUUCCUCCCUCUUCUACUUUUUGGAAUAAUUUGAGAAGAAUAGGUAUUAACUCUUUAAAUGUUAGGUAGAAUUUGCCUGUGAAGCUGUCUGGUCUUGGACUUUUAUUUGUUGGGAAUUUUUUUUUUAUUGAUUCCAUUUCAUUGUUGGAAAUCACUCUGUCCAAACUUUCUAUUCCUUCCUGAUUCAUUUUUGAGGAGUUAUAUGUUUCUAGGAAUUUAUCCAUUUAUUCUAGGUGGUCCAAUUUGUUGGCAUAAUUUUUUCAUAAUAUUUUCUUACAAUCUGUUGUGUUUCUGUGAUGUCAAUUGUUAUUUAUCCUCUUUCAUUUCUGAUUUGUUUAUUUGAGUCUUCUCUCUUUCUUUCUUUUGAUGAAUUUGGCUAAAGGUUUAUCAAUUUUGUUAAUGUUUUCAAAGAAACAGUUCCUGGUUUCAUUGAUGUAUUGUUUUUUGUUGUUUUAGCUUUGUAUUUCUGCUCUACUUUUUAUUAUUUCCUUCCUUCUACUAAUAUUGGGUUUUGUUUGUCCUUGUUUUUCUAGCUCCUUUAGGUAUAAGGUUAGGUGGUUUAUUGGAGAUUUUUUUUUUUUUGCCUCUGUAGGUAGGCCUGUAUUGCUAUAAACUUUCUCUCAGAAAAGUUUUGCUCCAUUCCAAAAAUUUGAACCAUUAUAUUUUCAUUUUCAUUUUUCUUCAUGUAUUUUUUAAUUUUCUCUUUGAUGUAUUGAUUGACCCAUUAAUUAUUUAGUAGCAUAUUACAUAACCUCCACAUAUUUGUGUUCUUUCCAGACUUUUUCUUGUGGUUGAUUUCUAGUUUCAUGCCUUGUGGUCAGGAAAGAUGCAUGGUAUGAUUUCAAUCUUUUUGAAUUUGUUGAGACUUGUUUUGUGGCCUAAUAUGUGGUCUAUUCUGGAGAAUGUUCCAUAUGCACUUGAAAAGAAUGUGUAUUGUGCUGUUUUAUGAUCUAAAUAUAUCUGUUAGAUCCAUCUGGUCCAAUGUGUCAUUCAAAGCCACUGUUUCUUUGCUUUCUGUUUGGAUCAUCUAUCCUUUGAUGUAAGUGGACUGUUAAAAUCCCCUACUUCUGUUGUAUUGCUAUCACUUACUUCCUUUAUGUUCCUUUACCUGCUUUAUGUAUUUGGGUGCUAUCAUGUUAGGUGCAUAAAUAUUUAUAAUUGUUAUACCUUCUUGUUGGAUUAUUCCCUUUAUGAAACAUAGUGUCCUCCUUUGUCUCUUGUUACAGUCUGUCUUAAAGUCUAUUUUUUCUGAUAUAAGUAUUGCUACCUUGGCUUUCUUCUCACUUCCAUUUGCAUGAUACAUUCUUUUCCAUCCCUUCACUUUCAAUCUUCAUGUGUCUUUAGGUUUAAAAUGAUUCUCUUGUAGGCAGCAUAUAGAUGGGUCUUUUUUGUACACUCUGUCACCCUAUGUCUUUUGAUUAGAACAUUUAGUCCAUUCACAUUCAAAGUAAUUAUUGAUAGGUAUGUACUUAUUGCCAUUUUGUUACUUUUUUUGUGGUUGUUUUUGUAGUUCUUCUAUAUUCCUCUCUUCUCUUCAUCUCUUCUCUCAUGAUUUGUUGACUUUCUUUAGUGAUGUACUUGGAUUCCUUUCUUUUUAUGCAUAUCUAUUACUGGUUUUUGAUUUGUGAUUGCCAUUAGGCUUAUAUGUAACAACUUACAUAUAUAGCAGCCUAUAUUAAGUUGAUAGUCACUUAAAUUUGAACCCAUUCUUUAUUCCUCUCCCCUCCACAUUUUAGGUAUAAGGUGUCAUACUUUGCAUCCUUUUAUUUUGUAAAUCCCUUAACUGAUUUUUAUAGAUAUACUUAAUUUUACUGCUGUUGUGCUUCCUACUUUUCUUAUUCCUGCUUGUGGUCUUUCUUUUCUACUCAGAACCCCCUUGAUACUUGUUAUAGGGCUGGUUUAGUGGUCAUGAAUUCCUUUAAUUUUUGUUUGUCUGGGAAACUCUUUACCUCUCCUUCUAUUCUGAAUGGUAGCGGUGCAAGAUAUUCUUGGCUGCAGGUUUUUUUUUUCUUUCAGUACUUUGAAUAUAUCAUGCCACUCCCUUCUCGCCUGCAAAGUUUCUGCUGCAAAAUCAGUUAAUAGCAUUGUGGGGGUUCUCUCUUGCUACUUUUAAAUUACACUUUAUCAUUGCUUUUUUCCAUUUUAAUUACUAUAUGUUUUAGUGUGAACCUCCUUGGGUUGAUUCUGUUGGCGGCGCUUUGUGCCUCCUGGAUCUGGAUUUCUGUUUCCUUCUACGGAUUAGGGAAGUUUUCAACUAUUAUUUCAAGUAAAUUUUAUGCCCCCCUUUUAUUUUUCUGGGAUUCCUAUAAUGCAAAUAUUACACUUGAUAGUGUCACCAAGUUCCCUGUGUCUAUUUUUGCUUUUUAUUCUCAUUUUUUUCUCAAUCUUGUUCAGCUUGAUUACUUUCCAUUACUUUGUCCUCCAGGCCACUGAUCCAUUCAUUUGUUUCCACUAGUCUACUGUUUCCUCUGGUGUAUUUUUACUUUCAGUUAUUGAGUUCUUCAUCUCUGAUUGGUUCUUUUUUAUGUUCUCUAUCUCUUUGUUAAGGGUCUCAUUGAGGUCCUCCACUCUUUUCUCAAGCCGAGUGAGUAUCUUUAUGACCAUUAAUUUAAAUUCUCUAUCAGGCAUAUUAUUUAUCUCUAUUUUGUUUAGCUGUCUUGUGGUUUUUCCUGGUUUUGGUUGUUUUUUUUUUUUGUUUCCAUUUGGGAUAUAUUCCUCUGUUUCUGUUUCUAUGUAUUAGGAAAGAUGGCUGUGUUUCCUGCUCUUUAAAGUAGUGGUCUUAUGAAGAAGAGGUCCUAUAAUGCCCUGCAGUGCAAUGUCCCCGUUCAUAAGAACCUAAUGCAUCAGGGUGUUUCCUAUGUAUGUUGCAUGUGUCCUGCUUUUGUGGCUAAGCUGGGUUUGCCUUCAAUCCAGUUGUGCAAUGGUUCUUUUUGCCUGUUGUAGUCAGAGUUUGGUCCCUGUGUUGUUAGUGGGCCAGUUUGGGACCACCUUGGUCUUGAGUCAAGACCAUGUGUUUGCCAGAGAUACAGUAGCACCAACCUGUAGGCCACUUUCCCUGUGUUGUCCACUACAAAGCUUUUGUUGAUGGGCAGGGCCUGCAGUGAGACCAAAUGUCUGCUCCAGCCCACUGCUGGGCUGCAAACUGGUGUGCAAACUGGUCUUCUCCUCUCCCUGAGGCAGGAGUCACUUUGGAGUGGUGCUGGCCUGUCUUGGGAUUGCUUGUACACUGCCAGGCUUGUGACACCACUUUGGAUGUGCUCUGGUCCAGGGAAUAUUGGAGGGAGUGGAUCCACAGAAGUGCACAGGGGCAGAGUGUAUGGUGUUAGCACAGUCCACACUGGUCCACUGCAGAAGGAGACCUACAGUAACACAAAACUGAGGUCAGCCAUGUUGGAGGGGUAGAUGCACAGAAGCACUCAGGGACAGGAUGUGUGGUGUUAGCUAUUGUUUGCACUGGUCUGCUGUGGGAGGAGACUUGGAACUGAAGCCUCGCUGGAGGAGAUAUGUCUACAGGAGAACACAGGGGCAGGGUGCACUGUUAGCAAGCUAGGUGGAGACUGUUGGCACUGCACUGGUUCCCACAGGUAUCCAUGUGUCAAGGUCGGGAGGGCAGGGAAGGGAAAUGAUGAUUUCCAACUCCUUUGUUCCUGGAGAAGUCUCCCCACAAUCUGUGCCUCUCUCUGUAACAUGCUCUGAGAUUCGUAAGCAAAUUUCCCUCUCGUAUAACCCAGGCAUUUUUCAAAUUGCUACUUCUAUGCUGUAUCUCAGCGGGGCUGUUUCUUGUUUCUGAGAGUGGGACUCAGUUUCCUCUCACCCUCCUGGCUCUCCCAGAGUUGAGCCUGCUGAUUUUUAAAGUUCCAAGUGUUAAGCCCUACUGUGUAUAAGAACUCAUGAAAUUCAGUCCCUCUGGUUUUCAAAGCCAAAUGUUAUAUGGGGAUUUGUCUUCCAUGUGAGGGUGCUUGGCAUGAAGGUCUAUUUCUCUCCCCUCUCCUUGCCUGAGGUGUCCCUCCUUCCCUAGGACAGUCCCACAGCUCCAUUUAUCUCUUGACCACCUCUCAAUCCUUCCACCCUCUUCUUCUUCUCUAUAUUUAGCUGCAGAGUCUGUUCUGGCAGGAGUUGGGUCAUUUUCUGGGUUAUUCACACUGAUGUGGGUGUUAUCUAGAUAUACCUGUGGGAUACAGUGAGCUUAGGGUCCUCCUAUUUUGCCAUCUUCCUCAGAGGUCUCCCAAGGACUUCACUGUUUUCGAAUCAUCAGGGACAAAGAAAUUUUGAGUUGGAAAGAACUAUUCACUUCAGUUCUACUUAAUUAAACAAUUAUUGUGUACCACCUGUAUGCCAGAAAAAUCUUCUAGGUUCUUGGAAUGUGGGAAUAAUCAAGCAGACAUGAUCCAUCAUGGAUUUAAAAAUGUACAUCAACUUAAAUAUUAUGUUCAAUAUUCUCAUUUACACAGAGAACUAGAAUUCAGAUAGCUUAACUAUCUUUUUAUAAUUCUCUACCAAGUGCUUUUAUUGGCUAUCAUUAGGAAAUAAUUGUCUCAAGUGGGAAAGAAAAGCAGAAAUCAAAACCUAUCAAUCAGAGAUCCAGAUAUAUUGCAGGAUAAAACAACUUUGAACUUGCUAGAUCCCACUCUCUGGUAGGUAGGCUAAUGGGCUCACAAAGAUGUUUACAUCCCUAAUCCCAUGAACCUGUGAUUGUGUCACCUUACAUGACAAAAGGGAUUUUAUACAUGUGAUUAAAUUAAGGCACUUGAGAUGGGAAGAUUAGUCUGGGGGAUCUGAGUUGGCCCAAUGUAAUCACAGGGGACCUAAUAAGAGGGAGGCAGGAGGAUCAGAAUGAGAGAAGGAGAUAUGAAAGGAGGGGUCAGGGCGAUGCAAAGGAUGCAGGUGGCCUCCAGAAAGUGGAACAGAUAAGGAAACAGAUGAUCCCCUAAAGCCUCCAGAAGGAAUACAGCCCUGCUGACCCAUUUUGGACUUCUCGCUUUCAUAAACAGAAUGAUAAUCAUUUAUGUUGCUAUAAGCCACUAGAUUUAUGAUGAUUUCUUAUAAAAGGAGUAGGAAAUUACUACAUACAAGGGGUGGGGCUCAGCAUCCUGUAUUUUAACAAGCCUUACAGGUAGCUCUGAUGCAUGAUAAAGUUUGAGCACCACUGCUCUAUACCAUUCAGUAAAAGUUCUAAUGUGCCAAUAAGGUUUAUACUCCAUUGGGAAGAGUUUUUCAGUGGAAUUGAUCCAUGGAAUUAAAAAAGUAAAAGUGUUGAGGCACUCAGUUAAGCGUCCAACUUGGGCUCAGGUCAUGGUCUUGUGGUUUGUGAGUUGGAGCCCCAAGUUGGGCUCUGUGCUGACAGCUCAGAGCCUGGAACCUGCUUCAGAUUCUUUGUCUCCCCUCUCUCUGCCCCUUCCCUAACUCACGCUCUAUCUCUUUCAAAAAUAAACAUCAAAAAAGAAAAAGUGUAAAUGGAACUCGGAUGAGGCUCAAGGGCAGUCAGUCAGAAGAGAUGAGAGGCCCAUUUAGCAAAUAGAGAAAGAAUCCCCGUAGAUGUGGAGGUGAAGAAGGAUGUGCAUAACGGGCAGUGGUGAGGUGUGGGAGAAAUGGACUGAGGACAACUAUCUCUACUGAGGUGUGGCCCUGCAUACUUGCUGUGGGUCUUUAUUUCAUCAUCUGAGAAAAAAAAAAAAAAACCUCAUGGCCUUUAAGAUCUCCAGAAGUCAAAUAACUACUAUUUCUUAACUUGGAAUCCAUGGAAAGAGGCCUGGAGACAUGGAUGGGGAAAAAAAUCUUUAUUUUUACUAAACUCUAAUUGAAAUAUAACAUUUCCUUCAAUUAUGAAUGUAAGUAAUAGACCAUAAUGGUAACGGCAGAAACUGUUACUUAGUCAUCAAUAGAAACCACAGAUAUUUUUGUAUUACAUUACAGUUAUGACAGAUGUUUUUCAAUAUCAUUUACACUCAUCACUACUUUAAAAUUAUGAUAGUAAUUAGAUGCACCAUUGGAUCCUUAUUAUACAAUGUGGGUAAUACAAAAAUAUAUUACUUUAUCACCAACUUAUGUUUUUAAAUUUUUAUGACUUUCAAAAGUUUGUUUUUCAGUGUGUGGGCAUGUGUGUAUGUGUGUGUAUAAUAUAUACAUAAUAUAUACAUAUACAUGCAUUAUAUAUGUAUUAAAAUCCUUAUAUAUAUCCAUAUAUAUAUAUAUAUAUAUAUAUAUAUUAAAAUCCUUUUCUGAGAAACAUUUUAUAGGCUCCAUCACAAUGCCCAAAAUAUUCAUUGCAAGAAAACUAAUGACAAACCCUUGAUAUAAUUUGUGCCUCAUAACAUGAUAUGAUAUAAAUAAAACAGGUAUCCUUCUAACACACUUUUAAAUAAUGAAACAGAGAAAAGGAAAGUAAAAUCUCAUUUAAUGUCAUAUACAUUAACCCUCAGACCUCUUUUAAGUUUUCUCACACAUCCACCUGAGCAUCUCUGACACCAGGUGCCAAACUGGUACCUUGUCACAUGUCUUUAAAGUCCCACUUUGUUUUUGAAUUAUACUAAUCUAUACAUCUCAAAAACUUGAGGAACAGACUCUAAAUACAUACCUUGAGAACCAGGCUAUGCCAAAUUUCUGUACUUCCUCAGUUGCACUGGCUUCAAAGUCAAUUAAUGGUUUGUAUAAUCCCACAGAAUAAGCUUACCUCUCAGUUAAGGAUGAGGGAGAAAGGGAAACAGCAAAGUCUAAUGUACGCAAUACAACAAUUGAAAAAGAAACCUUUGAAAUAGGAUACAAUCCUCUGAACAGCUUCCCACAGUGUAUUUGUUCCUAUCAUACUAUAUGGUUUGAGGGAACUUUGAAGUCCACAUUUAAAACUGCAACUGUUUGAAUGUGGUGCAACAAGAUAUUCUAUGAAAUUAGGGUGGAUGGAUGCAUUAGUCUCAUGGAUACCCAAUGAUAGAUGAACCAUGUAUGCUUGCAAGUUCAGAAUUAGUUCAUAUGAGCCUCCAAAAUGUUAUCUGUUCAUCCAGAACUUAUCCACACAAUCUGAAUUUCUUCACCAUCCAAAAUCCAGCUGACACUCAUGUGAGGAUUUACUUUCCCAUGAGAUCUCUCUUUCUACUCUCAGCCAGAAAUACUCCACACACUUUCUCAAGGUCACACAGCUGACAGGUCCCAAAUGGACUGGAAAACAAAAACAGAUGCAAAAGUAAAUAGCAGUAAAUUCAAUAUGGAAUCUAGUUGUGGAGAAUUAACUUUCUACGUGAAUACUGCAGGUCUCUGUUAGCAUCUGUGAGGGAUGGCUACAGGUGUGAUUACUUUAAUGUGCUAGUACUAGAGAAUAAUAAGGCCUUACUCAUUUUCAUUGCAUUGUCUAAAAUCUAGAGUCUACCAUGAAAUAGCAAAAUGGGAGAGGUAGAGCAGUAAGAAGAAAGAGCUGCAAAAGUGAUUCAGGUCUAAGGAUGUAAAUCUAGAAGGAAAGAUUCAGAGAACAAGGAAGAAGGAAAAAAAAGAGAGGGUAGCUGAGAAACAUGAUACAUUAGAAUAAGUGAAAUAAACAAAGAUGAAAAAAUAUCCCAGGCAAGGAUAGAGAUCAACUGUGGUUCACUUACUCUGAGAUCAAAACCAAAGGAAAACAUUGUAGCUGAUCUGAGAAAAAUACUUACUUUCAGCUUGCUCAGUUUCAAGGGGAAUUACUAUGGGAAAGUGUGUAAUCUCCUUUCUGAAAAUCUUGAUUGAAAUAUUAUUCUCUAACAUCAUUCCAGUGUCUCUGUCUUGAUUUAAUAAGAAGAAGGACAAUAAGAUAUUGUCAAGCUCUUUUCCUGUUAAUGAAUCCUGAUAUUCUCUGCAUUAUCCUAUGAGGAGACUAAAUGCAGUCAUCAAGAAACUGCUUAUAGAAAUUGUCAUGUUCAAAGAGGUACUCUACUGAGAAGUUAUGAUAUUUAAUGGGUACCCCGACUAGUGAUGGCUGGAAACUUUUGCACCAGGAAAGGGAGAAAGUGGCCCCCCAAAUCAUAUCUCAGAUCCACAUUCGAAUUUGCUGAAGUUGUGCAUAACUUUUAGUUUUAAUAUAAAAUGUGAUAUACCCUCCAUAUCCCUGCCUUAUUGAGAGACUUUAAAGAUGACAUCGGAGUUGUGAUAUAGCAGUGACAGUUAAUGUUCUUCUGUUACCCAAAUAUCUAUGAGCUUCUUCAUAUUUCAUAGCCCCCAUUGCUCUUCCAUUGGGCCAUGUGGCUGAUACUGGUCAAAAAAAUCUAUGAGUAAUUUUGUAUCCUUUGGGCAAAUACCUAGUAAUGCAACUGCUGAGUCUAGGGUAGUUCUAUUUUUAACAUUUUGAGGAACCUCCAUACUGUCUUCCACAAUGGCUGCACCAGUUUGCAUUUCCACUAACAGUGUAAGAGGGUUCUUCUUUCUCUGCAUCCUCGCCAAAACCUUGUUGUUUCCUGUGUUGUUAAUUCACCAGGUGUUUAUAGUGGCAUUAACAAUAGCCAAAUUAUGGAAAGAGCCCAAAUGUCCAUCCACUGAUGAAUGGAUAAAGAAGAUGUGGUAUCUAUAUUCAAUAAAAUAUUAUUCACCUAUAAAAAGGAAUGAAAUCUUGCCAUUUGCAAUGCUGUGGAUGGAGGUAGAGAGUAUUAUGUUAAGCAAAAUCAAGGAGCUGCUUUUUUAUCGGAUCAUGGGAACUUGAAAUCACCUAUCAGUCAAAGCCCUACACUGAUUAUACCUACCACAGAGAUUUUUUGGUAAUUUUUAAAAAUAAAAAAAAAAAUCACAUGCUAUAUUUAAAUACUUACAAGAAAGGGGUCCAUAUGAAAACACACACAAACACAUACACAAUACACAUAUAGAUUCCUAAAUUUACCUAGUAUUAAGGAAAUAGUUAAUACUAUUUUUAGCAUUUUUUCUAUUUAUGGGUUGUAUAAACUCAUUUACACACAGAAUUAGGGUGUGUGUGUGUGUAUACACAAUCAUUAGUUAGGGAUUCUAAUACUUUAUAUAACAAUCAUUUGUAUAGGCCUUACUAUGGAACUAAAAGAAUGGAUUUUUUUUUGGCCAUAAUAGAAAAAAAAAUAUUUAAGCUUUCUGAGCCUUAUUUUUCUGGAAUAAAUAAUAUUCAGGGAGCUGGGAAGCACUAAGACUCUGCUUAAACAAACUAACAUGCACAUAAGAGUUUUAUAAACACAGUACUCACCACCACCACUUUACCUCUUUGCCUCCCAAUUUCUUGAGGUGGAUAUCUUUAUUCUCACUUUAUAACAGAUAAAAUAAAGCUUGAACAGCAAGAAAAAAAUGAAAUUAGAACUUAAACUUAGAUCUCCAUCCUUUAUUUAUGGUGUACAUCCACCAAGCACGAAAAUGUUUCCUUGUCAUGUCAUCUGGAUCCUAAUGGAAGGUUAGGGAGGGUUCCAAUAGAGAUAAGGUAAAUAGAGGCAAGCUCAAAUGAAGCUUAAUGAAUUGACUCUUUGAGGAUACAAUGUGGUUAAAGGAAACCACAGGGAUGAUGAAGCACCCAGGAGCUUGAAAGAGCAGAGAAGACUUGACAACCAUUUGACAUGAAGGGGCAAAGGAGGAAAGCAGUCAUAGGGACCCAGCAAAAGCCCUUAGCUGUAACGAGGACUGUCCUAUAUCAGUUGUGGUCUUCAGUAAAAGAAUGACAACCACUAACCUGUGUUUUCUUCUCAUUUAAGAGUCCUUGCUUGUGGAUUCCAUUGACCAAACCCAACUAAGGUCAGGAAGCAAGGAAACCUGGUUUAUGCAGUCUAUUCAGGGCAGACUAAGGGUGGAGAAAGAGAGGGACAGUGGACCUGGAAAGGCAAAGAGAGAUUAUCCUGCCCAUGUGCCAAUCACUUCUACAGAUGGAGAAGCCACUUGGACAUACCUGUAUUGGGAAGAAACUUAAAAUGCUGUUAAAAAUGGAAUUGAGUCAGUGAUAAAGUACCAUUUCCUAGGCAAGGGGUUUUCCCAUGUUAGAAAGAGAACACUUCUGAAUGCGCAUAGGUGUGCGUUCUGGUGAGGACAGAGAUAUGAGUCAAGAAAAACAGCUGAAUAAAAGAAAAAUGAUUAAGGAGGAGGUAAGGGAUUGAAGCAGAGUUUGGUUGCAUGAUGUGAGAAAGACAGACUAGUGGCUGCCACCAUCAUAAUAGAAUGACCUCUGGAGAUAAGACCUAGUUAAUAAUCAGUGCACAAACAAAUUUUUCUUUAAUUGUUAUUCACAGCUUUCCGGAAAAAAAAAGUCUGUAUCUAUUAACCAUAAUAGAGCAUCUGGCUUUUUAAAUAAUAAUGAAUUCUGAGUGAAUGAAAUGAAUGAAUACAGUUAAGAUAGAGGUGGGCAAAAAUUCUGUUACAUUGGCUCUUUUCUCUUUUUCUUUAAUACAGCCCUAUUCUAUUUGUAAGAGUAUAUAAUGAGAUCAAAGAUCUUGUUUUAAAAAGCAGAAACAGACCCAUAAACUGAGAGAGCAAACUGAUGGUUGCCAGAGGGGAGGGGGUGGGAAGAUGGGCAAAAUGUGUGAAGGGAAGAGGGAGGUACAGGCUCCCAGUUAUGGAAUGGUUAAGCUGCAGAGAUGAAAGGUACAGCAAAGGGAAUAUAGUCAAUGGUAUUGUAAUAGCCUUGUAUGGUGACACAUGGUAGCUGCACUUGCGAGCGUAAUAUCACUAUGUUGUACGUCUAAAACCAGUGUAACAUUUUGCAUCAAUUAUACUUCAAUUAAAAAAACAACUGUUAAGGGCAAAAAGUCAUUCUCUUUCCUUCUAGUGAAAAACAAAUCUUGUUAGAGAGAGAGAAAGAAAGAGAGAGAGACUGAAAGAGACAGGGGGAUAUCCCUUCAGCAAAAAUCUGGGGAAUAUAAAGAUGAAUACAAGCUUUGACUCAGUUGCCUACCUGCAAACUACAGGCGGAAAAUCUGACAGCAAUUACUUGAUCAUUUAAGCACCUUCAGAACAGAAUCAAUUUGAACUAAGCCAAUAUUUCCAGACUAGGGCUAGUUCUGGGUUCUUAGGCCUUUGCCUUUAAAAACUAACCACUAUACCUCUUUUUUACAUCAAAAAUAAAUCACCAUACAUGCUUGCAAGUUCUAUGUUAGUUCAGAUGUUAGCCCAAAUAUUUACCUGUUUGUCCAAAUCAUGUUAAAAUGAUCAGAAUUUUGUCAGCUAUCUCAAAUCCCCCAGACUAACCAACACAUCAUACCUUCUUCCGAAUGCUGAUGGGCAUUCUCCUAAUAAGUGACCUGGUGGCUUUAGUUGUAGUUGUGAUCCUCCUCUUCUUCCUCCUCCUCCUUUUUCUUUCUUUUCUUAUCUUUUCUUUCUUCCUUUCUUUUCUUUUUUCUUUUCUUUUCUUUUCUUUUUGAGGUAAAACUCUGGAAAGCUACAACUUUCAAGAGUUUAGUUUAACCAGAGAGCUUUCCUUCUCAUGUCAAUGUUUUAGCCAUCCUCUGCAAGGAGGAAAGUAUUUUGAAUCACGGUACACUCAGAAGAGCCAUGGAUGGAAGAGUUAGGAAGUGCUGAAAACUAGUCCCAUUCCCCAGUUUGGUUAAUGGUUUGUUGAAUGUUCUAGCAGCAGCCUCUGCAAGGCAGACUUUACAACCCAGAAGUAAGUAAGGUUCGGCCUUUGGACAUAGUUACUUGGCACAAAGAGUGUUUUAAAAGAAUUGCAACUUGGUCAAUUACUCUAAAAAUUGGGCAGCUUCCUAUCAAACCCUCAUUGCCAGCUUUUCUUGAUAAGUUGGUAGAUUUGGCAGAAGUGGACCAGCGUUCCUGAUAUAGAAACCUGGGAGAAAUUUAGGUUGCUGAACCUUAUUUUUAAUUUUUUAAUGUUUAUUUUUGAGACAGAGAGAGAGAAAGAGAGACAGAGCACAAAGGGGGAAGGGCAGUGGGGUGGGGGGCGGGACACAGAAUCUGAAGCAAGCUCCAGGCUCUGAGCUGUCAGCACAGAGCCCAAUGUGGGGAUCUCCAUGAACCGUGAGAUCAUGACCUGAGCUGAAGCUGGACGCUUAAUCGACUGAGCCACCCAGGCGCCCCUGCUGUACUUUUUAGGUGGUUCAUGUUCUCUACUAUAGUCUCAGCCCUUCAAUAUUAAUGGUCUUAUUCUGUUCAUGUUCAGUUCAAUUUCCUGCCUGAUACCUAAUGACAGUUGAUUUUGUCGACAGGGAUUAGUUUGUUAAAAUGUAUGGUGUGUAGUGUAUCCAAAUCACAUAUUAUAUUAUGGACACACUCAUACUUUUAGGGAAUCCAUACAGGGUUCUGCAUAGAGAAUCUACGCCAGAGUUCUAGAAGAUUCCACUAAGACUUAAGUAAACAAAUUGCAGUGUUGCCCAACAAUUUCAAUGACCUACACAGGAAAAGGCAGGCACAGUGGCCUCAGUUAUUGUUAUUUUUUAAUUUUUAUUUUUUACUAAUACUUGUUUGGUUCAGUAUACCACUGAAGUAAUCUGAACAUGGAGUUCCCUUUGAAACCAAUGGAUGAUCCAAGGACAGAUGAAUUUAUGUGUGAAAUGGGCCAGUUUUUCUCUGUGUAAGUGGUAUUACCAAAUAAUGUUUUCUGUUCCCAAAUAAUUGCUACCCAAUUAAGCAUCAAGCUGACAAUAGCCAUUUGGCUGUCAUUUGCUUUCCAGAAUCAUCUGGCACUGUGUUUGUUCAUUGUGUCUGGGUGUUCCUGUCACCCUGACAUCAAGGCCAGCCCUAAAGUUGCACAACACAAAUUGAGGAAGUAAAAGAACCUCUACUUAAAUUAGUCCAUUCAGAUUUCUCCUUAACCAUUCUGGCUUUUUGUUAGGAUUUUCCAUGGCCUGGGAUCUCUUUGCUUGGACUUGACCACUGACCAGGAUUGUAUGACUGCCCUGAAAAAUAAAUUUAGUUUCUCUAUCAGUAGGCACAUUAUAGGCUAUCAAGAGUUCUUAACCUUUUUUUGGUGCCAUGGCCCCAUGCCAUUGGUUAAAGCCUAUGUAACUAUCUCAGGAUAAUUUUUUAAUGAGUGAAAUGAAGUAUACAGAAUUACAAAGGAAACAAUUAUACUGAAAUGUAGUCAUCAGGAUAGUAAAAUGUGAUAUAUAUGCUUAUUUAUGAGUUCAUUGAAUAUAAGCAUUUUAUUUUUUAUUUUUUUUUUUAAUUUUUUUUUUCAACGUUUAUUUAUUUUUGGGACAGAGAGAGACAGAGCAUGAACGGGGGAGGGGCAGAGAGAGGGAGACACAGAAUCGGAAACAGGCUCCAGGCUCCAGGCUCCGAGCCAUCAGCCCAGAGCCCGACGCGGGGCUCGAACUCACGGACCGCAAGAUCGUGACCUGGCUGAAGUCGGACGCUUAACCGACUGCGCCACCCAGGCGCCCCGAAUAUAAGCAUUUUAAAUAUAUUAUCAUAACUAUCAUAAUUUCAAGGUCUGGGUGUGCUGAAGUAAUGCUGAGAUAGCUGCAGCAACCUUUCUAUGGUUUGACAGAAUCAGGGGUCCUCUUAAUAUGCACUUUGCUACCUAUGUUAAAAUAAUUGAAGGAUGUGCUUAAGUUUCAGUUAGAUUCUAGUGAAAAUCAGGCUGUAAUUUUUUUCUAUUCAGGUUCGUAGAAACCUUAAAUUCCUUUCACAGACCCUUUUGAGGUCCAUGGACCCCAGGUUAACAAUAGUCCAGUCUAGGCUAAUGCUGUAAAAAUUAAACACCUCUGCUGUACAAGUUCAUUUUGGUGAGAACAGAAGACGGAUGUGGGGUAAUUUUGGAAAACAGCUCAAUCCACUGAGCCAUGUAGGGGAUUAAAACAUAUGUUAAAUAUAUUAAACUAUAUUAUUAAACUAUAAUAUUGAGCAUCCUGUUAUCUAUAUAGGCAAGACAAAGAACUACUUAAACCUGUCAUUUCCCAGUUAGUUGACUGAUCUUCCUUCCACUGAACUGGCCAAUGUCUUGGUCUCAAAGAAAUAGAAGCCUGGCUUCCUAAAUAGGGCUCACCGACUGGCUUACAGAAUAAGUGUUAACCUAGCAACAGGUUGAACAAGGCUCCAUCUGUCCAGCAAGCAGUCUUCAUGUGUUCACAAACAGCUGACACACUGUAGUGACAUCGAUGUACAUUAGUGCUCUUCACCUGAUUUGGGAGACAAGUAAUUAUGAACAGGAACUGCAGUUGGUCAUUCCCUCUAGCCUUGCUUGCCCUUCACAAAUCUGCCAUGUCUGAGCUUUCUCUUAGCUACUUCCAGACGAAUCAUGACAGACAUGGGAUAAGGUGAAGCGGCAGGGAGAACCCUGGUAGGAGAGCAGUACGUUUAUGUUUUGUUUUGUUUUGAGAGAGCACUCAUGAGCGAGUGGGGAUGGGCAGAGAGAAAGAGAGAAUUCCACACUGUCAGCGUGGAGCCUGACAUGGGGCUUGAUCCCACAAACUGGGAGAUCAUGACCUGAGCUGAAACCAAGUCAGGCAUUCAACCAACUGAGCCACCCAUGUGUCCCACAGAGCAGUACUUUUUAUUUUGCUUAUGACCCAUACAAAUAAAUUGUAUACUAUUUAAUAACCCAUAAAAGAAUUAGAAACCCUUUAUGGAAAAGGAGAAACCUAAAUAGGUGUUUUUGAGUAAGAUUCUUUCAAACAAAACAUUUUUAGAACAGUUACUCACCAUAUCGCAGCAUUCAAUAAAUGUUUAUUUUUUUUUCAAUAAUAACAACAACUUGUUAAAAUGCUGUCCAACCAAUCUGAAAGCUGAGCCCAGGAGGAAGGGGAUGCUUGUCAUUGCCUUCUCUCCUUUCCAGCCACCACAAAUAUUAUGCUCUUGCUAUUUUGUUUAACUUGGGCCAAAUUCACUUCAUAGAGUAACAGGGAGAGAGAGUUGGGUCCAUUAAGAAUAAACUUCAAAAACCCUCUGGCUUUGGGGCUUUCUUGUGUUAUUCCACCUCAAACCCAGAGGAUAUGAAAGAUGGGAAGAUUAGUGAGGGUUUUGCCCUGGCUGUUCUUUUACUGAAUGGCUUCAGAAAUGCCAAUUGAAAUAAUUAUCAAGCCAUUAUGAUGAUUUGCAUUAAAAAUGGUAACUUAAGCAAGCAGUCCCUGGGCUUGGAGGAGGGUAGCAUUUAAUGUUAUAAAAGGCCCAUUGAAGCCAUACUAGCUUUCUGGCUUUAGGAGGAUUACCGCACAGUAGUUCACAAAAAGGUUAUUCUUCCAGCUCUAUUUAUACUCACAGUACUUACAGUGCAUGCUCCCAGCGCACCCAUUCCUGGUAUUGAUUUGUGCCUGUGCCCAAAUUAUCAUCUGGCAUAGACAAGGCAGCAGCUUCUGGAGAUGAUGAUGCAAUGCUUGGAGCAUGGAAGAACAAAGAAAGGGCCUCUUAUCAACACUUCCCUUUGCUGUUUAAGUGAAAAUACCAGAGUACUGGUACCAUUUCCUACUCCCUACCCCCUCAACUGUCUCAUCAAAGCCAAUAGCUUACCCUGGAUCCCCUUUCAGAGACUACUUAAAAGUACAAGGCAGGAUAUUAUGAGGUCUAAUUCUCAUCAAUCUCACCACUUUUCUCAGUAAAGGAGGUAGUUACCUUAUAAAAGAUGCCAUCUUUGUUUUGUAAACAUCACAGACCCUAAAGAGUUUGGCGGAAGAGAGGAGGGUAUAGUAUCUGACAACUGUCAGUGCUAGAGGUGACAGUUUUGAAAGUGAUAGGGGGAGGGACACAACCCAUAUGCAGGACCAUGAAGCCCUGGAAGCCAUCUCACAGGUGACAGUGUUCAAGACAUGCUACUCAAAAAUAUACCUUGGAAUAUUGACUAUUUCAAGCUGAAAGAAUCUGAGAAAUGGCAUAUGCAGAAACGACUUUCUGACCUUCCCCUGAAGCAGGUCAUAAAACCCUCAUGUGAGUAGUACCCUCCCUAUAUCGAGAGGAGAAGGGCACCCUUAUCUCUGAAGACAAAGGGACACAGAGAAAUCGGAAUUAACAGGCCUUGCCAAAUUCCCCCAUUUACUACACUCAGCUCAGACUCUUUGCCCUAUCUUAUCUUUUCAUGACUUUCCACUCUUCUUAGAAUCUACCAUAAAAACAGGUUUAACCGUUUAUUUGGGUCUUCAUUUCCUUAUGAAACCUCCCAUGUCAUGUAAAACUUACAUUAAAUAAGUCUGUAUGCUUUUCUCCUGUUUAUCUGCCUUUGUCAGUUCAAUUUUAAGACCUAGCCAGGGACCCUAAGAAGGCCGAGGAGAACUUUCUCCUCCCCUACACAGGCCAUGCCUUAAAAAUUUGUUGAAGGUAACCAAAGUUAUACCAUGGAGCAAUUCAACCUAACUGGCACCACUGAGUUCUCAAACUUUAGUGUGCCCCAGUUUGCCCAAGGAGAUGGAUAAUAAUUCGGAUUUAUACACUCAUCCCCAAAUAAUCUGACUUAACAAAUCUGUUGUGGACCCAGAGAUCUGUACUUUUAAUAAAGCACAAGGGUAAUUCUGAUGCGUGUAGAAGAAUGAAGAUUACCCCAAGGGUUAGCUGGAAUACAAUAAUUUCUGGACAUUUCAUAACAAACCGAAAGAAAAUGCACAAAUUGGAAGUGUACAGCUCCGUGAAUUCUCACAAAACAAACCUUUCUGCUACCUAGCGACCAUAUAAAGAAGAAUAUUAUGAGCACCUCAGAAGCCCUUUAUGCUCAUUUCUAGCAACCGCCCCCACCCAGAGGUAUCCUGACUUCUUCUAAUACCAUAUAUACCUCUGACCUGUUUCUGAACCUCAUUAUAAAUGAAACCAUAAAGGACUUUUACAUCUUCUUUUGUUCAACAUUAUAUUUGUCAAAUUUAUCCACAAGUUGGGUGUAGUUACAAUUCAUCACUUCUUAAAAUAUAUAUUUUCUCAAUAUUUGCUUUUUUAUAGGUAGGUCUUGCAGUGGUGAGCACUUGAGAGCUUUUUAAACUAUUAUUUUAAAAAUUUUUGAUAUUGUUAUCUUUUGGUAUUAAGGCCUCGCAGAGCAGUCCACACAGGUUGGGAGAAAGGAAGAUGGAAAAUGACUAAUGAUCAAAAUCAUAAUUCCAGGGUCACCUGUGUGGCUCAGUUGGUUAAGCAUCCAACUCUUGCUUUCAGCUCAGGUUGUGAUCUCACAGUUCAUGAGUUUAAGUGCCGCAUUGGGCUCUAUACUGACAGUGAGGAGCCUGCUUGGGAUUUUCUCUCUCUCUUUCUCUCUGCCUCUCCCUGCUUACACUCAUGCCUGCUCUCUCUCAAAAAUAAAUAAAACACUUAAAACAACUAAUAAUUCCAUGAUCACCCAUACUAGAAUACAAUGGUAAAUAAGUGAAUCAUUUUAUAUUAUUCUGAGAUUUAUGUUGUUAGAAAUACAUUAUGUACCAGAUAGAUUUUAAAUUUCUUUGACAUUUAUCAGCCAUUUUCUGCAUAGUGAUGUCUACUAUUCUCAGUAAUCACACCAAAACACUUAAGAUGAACCAAUAUGCAAUGUGAACAUGUGUACCUGCUGGGUGACAGGGACAGAUCCCCUUGUCAGACUCAACUUGACAUUUUUCUUCAAUGGUUUGGGCUUUCACAAUGAUCCUCUGUCAGAUUCUCCCAGAAACAGUCCCUGAACCAAGUGAUUUAUUAAUGAAGAGCUCCCAAGAGAAGCCAGAAAGAGAUUGAGGUGAAAAGGACAGGGAAUGGGAAGAAGCCAAGUAACUGCUUGAUAUUUCAGACACAGCUUAAGACCCUGGAGAACUCUGGAGGGUAAAUAACAUCUCAAGUACUUCUGUUUUCCAAACCAGUGAGGCAAUUCCUUUGCCCAUGAGCAGUCAUCUGAAGAGCAAGCAGCAAAAGCUGAGAGAACAGGUUUAUAGAACUGGUCAAAGAAAUGCAAGAGAAUUUCAGCAGGACACCAAAUUAUCUCAUUAUUUAAUCAGGGUUAUCAUUUCAAUAGUAAUAGCUAAACAAAAGUAUCUCUAUAAUUUCACCAGGAUACCAGAGAGCAGAAAUCCAUUUUAGAAUUCACACAAAAUAAGGGCGCCUGGGUGGCUCAGUCAAUUGAGCGUCUGACUUCAGUUCAGGUCAUGAUCUCACAGUUCAUGAGUUCCAGCCAUGCACUGGGCUCUGUGCUGACAGUGCUAAAACUGCUUGGCAUUCCCUCUCUCUCUGUCUCUUUGCCCCUCCCCUGCUUGCACUCACUCAUUCUCUCUCUCUCUCUCUCUCCCCCUCCCUCUCCCUUCAAAAUAAAUAAAUAAGCUUAAAAAAUUCACACAAAAUAUGGAUGAAUCAGCCAUGAUGUAAUCUAAUACCCCAGAAGCAAAGCUAAUGUUACAGGGAAUCUGCCAUGUACUAUAACAUUGCAUGCCAUGGCAUUUCUUGGAAUUAAAUUACAAAGGAUUCAAAUAUUAGAAAAAGAACAAAUCUAUCAAGAAAGAGGAAGCAAGAAAGAUUUUAGCCAACUGGGGGGGGGGGGAUGAGAACUCAGUGGUUUUAUGUCCUAUUUCAGUCCUUUAGUUGGAUCUUCAAUUUUUGAAGAAAUGAGAAGGAUGUGAAGUUCAUAGGACUGAAUGCACCCUGAUGCCAUUCCUGUUUCCACCCCACCCCAGAUCCUCUUCUUGACUUGUCAGUUGGUCUCACCUGGUGAUGAAGUUUAAGUUGCAAGUAGGAACAUUGGACAAGCUACUUCACUUCUCCUUAACCUUAAUGUGUUCAUCAAUGCUAAGGAGGUAGUAAAACUUAAUUCCCAGGAAUUAUAGUUAGAAGAGUAAGGAAAGUACAUAGCAAAAUAUUUGGCCCAUGGUGGGUAUUCAAUAAGGUAGCAAUUAUUAAUAUUGGUAAAAUUGUCAAAAACCUUAAUUUAUGGGGCCAAUGCUCCAGUUACCAUGCUAGAUAAUAAAGCACACCAUCACUUAGUGAUGUGAAAUAAUCAUUUCAUUAUGCUCAUGGAUUCUGUGGGUUAGGAAUUCAGACAGCACAGAGGAGAUGGCUUUCUCUGCUCCAUAAUAUCAGAGACUUUAGCUAAGAACACGAGAUUGCUUGAAAUGAUUCAAGAACUGGGGCAGGAAUCUUCUGGAGGCAACUUCACUCACAUAUCUGGCAGUAGAUGCUGCCUGUUAUCUGGCAUGUCAGUUGGAUCAAAUCACAUAACCUCUCCAUGUGGUCUGGGUUCCCUCAGAGCACGGUAAGUUCAGGACAGUCAGACCUCCUACAUGGCAUUUAAGACUCCAAAGGAGAGCAUCCCAGCUAAGCAGGCUCAAGGUGGAUCACCUUUGUGAUCAAGCCUCACAAGUCAUACAGUCACUUACAGCUCCACUCAGUUACUAGUGAGUCACAGAUUCACCCAGAUUAAGUCGAAGAGGACAUAAACUCCACCUCACAAAAGAAGACAUGUCAAAUUAUAUGAAGCUAUUAUUUUUUUAACCACCAGAGCCAUAAUAAACUAAAAGAUACUCUCUAGGUUCUCUAUAGUGGUUCCUAUAUAAAUAAUGCUUAUUGUAUAAUUUUAGGCUAUACCUAAACAUUUUCUAACAAUCCAAGGCAAUCAAAGGAAUUCAAUGGCAUCCAGACUCAGUAUUCUGGCAGAUAACUCCACUUUUACCUAGUUCUCCCGACUUAAAUAUAAACUUGGCCACAGGGCACUUUGCUCAUUGAUAGGAUCUUGCCUAAUGCCUAAACAGAAUUUUAGCUUUUUCCACUAAUUUUCAGCAAGAAAAGGUCUACAGCACACGGAAUUUCUAAGUGAAAAGUAUGCUUCAAAAAGUCUGAAUUUCUGUGAAAAAGAAAAAAAAACUAGAUUUUUAGCAUUUUCCACACUGCAUUCCAUGGAAAAAAUACUUUCUGAUAACAUUGUAAUAGUUGCUCCUUGAAAAACAUAUGCAUGUCAAAUAGAUUUAAAAAGUUAUGAAAGUAAAUCAUACAAAGCUAAGUUGGAUUUUCUACUGCAGGACGUUUCAGAAUCUCUGCUUCGGUAAUAGCACCAGGAAACUCCACGUGCUACGUAGAUAUAGUUUGCAGCUUGUUUCAAAUUUACUUAACGAUAUACAAAGUUAUUAUCUAACAGAAUAAGCUUUGUGAAGUGUAAGAUGAGACAGUUGAUAUGGAUCAUAAAAGAGUUGACCAAACAGAGAAGGGGGAAGGGUAUUCCAAGUAGCAAAGCUCUAUCAUUAGCCCCACCCCCACCCCCACAUGUCUAAUGAGAUCAAGGCUACUAAUUGUGUAACAAGUUACUUGGUUGGUAAGACUGAUACAACGGGAAGCUUGCCGUGGUCUUUUUUAAGGGCAUUUGUAGGUAUAGGAAUGUGUAUGCUUACUCAUUCUUUACUGGCAAAAUCAGUAGGAUUUAUAAAAUAAAUAAAGCCCACUUUAUAUCAUUCAGCUCCCCACAGGUUUUUACCCCAUGUUGAGUCUGUUUUUCUGUUUUCUAAGCCUCAUCCCCUUUUCAUUCCUUCUCUUUGCGAUAUAUUAAUGAGUAAGAGGUAAUUAAGGUAGUACAACACUUAGGAACUUCAACUACCAAAUGGUACACAUCAUUUCAUAGAUUGCUGACAAGCACAUUGAUUAUUGAACAACAAUCAAAACCAAACAAAACAGUGGGCUUCCUAGGAGAAAAACAGGUUCCCGUUCAUAAUUUGGUACGAAUGCUUCACAGUUGAACUACAAAAACACAAGGGCUGAGAAUAGUGCUGGGAAAAAAAUGGAGGAAAGUUUUGUUUUGUUUUGUUUUUCACUUUCAUUUUACACAACUAUGUCUUGGCCCAAUUUCUUAUGGUGUGUGUGUGUGUCUCACAGUGCAAAUUAAAAAUAGAAAACAAAAUUAUUCAGUUAAAUAUCAGUCCAUAAUAUCCCAGUACUUGAAGGGAUCUUAGUAGACUCCAAAAAUGGCCAAGACUUCACCCCUCCUUAUAAUCCUGUUUUUGUCAUGUAAACUUUUAGGGCCCUCCCAACACAAAUCUGGUGGCAGCCAUGUAACUUGAUUUGACCACUGAAAUGUUCACAAAUACGACACAAGAGGAGUCUGGAAAAGUACUUGUGAAGCUGGGAUUGUUUUCUCUCUCCCUCUUUUGCCUCUGUCAUCACCCAGGCAAAUCUGCUUAAGGAUGAGAGAUAUGAGGGGCAGACCUGAGUCAUCCCAGUCCCCUCGGCCAAAACCAGCCUAGAUUAGCUGACAGCCAAUGAUCCCCAGACACGAGUGCCCCCAGCCAAGAUCAGCAGUACUAUUGUUCUGUGUGUGAACAAUACAUACCACUGAGCUUUGUGUGGUAACUUAUUCUUCGUUAAUGAGGUAAUAGAUAACUGAUGCAGGAUAUUUAAAGUAAUUCUGACUAGCCCUCUUUUUAAACACAGAUUUAGUCAAUUAAGUAAAUUUUCCUUGAAGAUUGGAAUUGACUUCCAGGUCUUUGUCUAAAUAGCUGUGCAGCUAUGGACAAGUCACAACCUCUUCCUGUUUUGUCAUCCUCUGUAAAAUCAGGUACCUUCCUUAAUUACUUCUGAUUGAUCAUCUAAAGCAUCAUCUAAAAUAUCUACUAUUAUGGUAAAUUUUGGUUUAUUUAUUUUUGAUUUCCAAAAAUUUUUUUGAGAGAGAGAUAGAGAAUAAGCGGGGGAGGGGCAGAAAGAGGGAGACAGAAUCCCAAACAGGCUCUGCAAUGUCAGUGCAGAGCCCAAUGUGGGGCUUGAACUCAUGAACCAUGAGAUCAUGACCUGAGCCAAAAUCAAGAGUCAGAUGCUUAACAACUGAGCCACCCAGGUGCCCCUGUUAUGGUAAAUUUUGACCAGAUAGAAAACUUUGAUAAAAAGUCAGCUGUGAAAAGCCCUAGGCUGGGAAUCUCUGAGGGCAAGAAAUGUACUGUUUGGUUUAUAACAUGUUCUCAGCAGAAAAUAAAUAAGUGAAACACUGCUUGUCAAAUUUUCCAGAUCCUAAGUGUUAGGACUUUAACGGAGGCUGUUAUUAGCAUAUAGAUAGCUAAAGCUUUACCAUAUAAAAAUAAAAGGAGAAAAUAGACAGCCAAGCCACCUGGAAGAUCAUUUUGUGGUAGAGAAAUAUGGAAGAAUGUGGAAGGAUUGGUAACACACAUAAAUAUAACCUUCUUGAGAGAAUUAACACUGAUGGAAAUACCUAUAAAAGGGUUGGGUGGAAUGCAAAUUACAAUAAACACUACAUUGUUGUGAUUUUAAUACCAGAUUUAAAUAAAAUAAUUCUUUUAUGAGAUGAAACAGUUACAAUUUUAGCAGAACAGUAAAGGUGUCUGGCAUGCACACUAUAUUCUUCUGGUACUUUAUACCCAGUGACACCAUAUUGGUACAAUCUUAAUAUUUACUCUUAUGAAACUUGCUCUUUUAUACUUAAAAUAUGGCAUGGAAGCAUUUUUUAUAACAGAACAUAUAAAUGUACUUCAUUCCUUUUAACCGUUGAUGAGUAUUUUGUAGUAAGAAUCUACCAUUCUUUCAUUUGUUCAUUACUUAGGGACAAUUUAUUAAACAUCUAUUAGGUGCCAGGUAUGAUUCUGGAUGCUAGGAAUCAAAAAGCAGACAUUCCAUCUUCAAGAGUUUAUUAUUGGUCUCCCACUUCUCCCCAAAGUAAACACUCAGUAUAAUUUCUGAUAACAGCAAUUGUUAUGAAGCUAUAAAAGAUGGGCUAGGGACCCACAGGUAGGUGGAAAGAUGCUCAGCAUUACAAAGCAUCAAUGAAUGUAAAUCAAAACCACAGGGGCACCUGGGUGGCUCAGUCAGGUUGAUUUCGGCUCAGGUCAUGAUCUCACGGUCCAUGAGAUUGAGCCCUGCGUCUGGCUCUUCCCUGACAGUUCAGAGCCUGCCUGCAAUUCUCUCUCUCCUUCUCUCUCUACCCCAACCCCGCUUGUGCAUGCUCUCUCUCUCUCUUGCUCUCAGUCUCUCUUUCUCUCUCUCACACAUGCACACAUACACACAAAUAUAAAUAAAUACACAUUUAAAAAUAAAACCAAACCACGAGAUACCACCUCACACCUUUUAGAAUAGCUAUUAUCUAAAAGAUAAGAAGUAACAAGUGCUGGCAAAGAUGUGGAAAAAAGAGAACCCUCAUGCUCAGUAGACAGGAAUAUAAAUUGGUACAGCCACUAUGGAAAACAGUAUGGAAGUUCCAUAAAAAAUUAAAAAUAAAAAUACAAUAUGAUUCAGCAGUUCCACUUCUGGGUAUUUAUCCAAAGAAAAUGAAAACACUAACUUGAAGAAAAUAUCUGAACCCCCAUGUUCACUGCAGCAUUAUUUACAAUACCCAAGAGACAGAAACAACCUAAGUGUCUGUCAACAGAUGAAUAGAUAAAUAAAAUGUGAUAUAUAUGUAUAUUAUUUAUUAUUCAGCCAUAGAAAGAUAUAUAUAUAGCCAUAAAGAAGAAUGAAAUCUUGCCAUUUGUGACAACCUAGAUAAUGGACCUCAAAGGCAUUAUGCUAAGUGAAAUAAGUCAGACAAAGAAGUAUCAUAUGAUCUCAUUUAUAUGUGGGAUCUAAAAAAAAUAAAAAACAACAACAAAAACAUGCUGGUGAAUACAGAGAACAGAUGGGUAGUUGCCAGAGAUAGGGGGUGGGGAAUGAGUGAAAUAGGUGGAAAAAGACAAAAGGUACAAUGUACCAUAUGGCAGCUAUAGUUGAUAAUACCGUAAUUGUAUAUUUGAAAGUUGCUGAGGGUAGAUCUUAAAAGCUCUCAUCACACGAAAAGAAAUUCUGUCACUCUGUAUGGUGAUGGAUGUUAACUAGACUUAUUGUGGUGAUGGUUUCACAAUAUUUACAAAUAUUGCGUCAUGUACACUUUAAACUAAUAGAAUGUUGUAUGUAGGUUAUAUCUCAAUAAUAGCAAUAAGAAAACUGGUGCAGCGAACAGGAGGUUUACAGGAUUUGUUGGGUUAUUUGGUAAAGGUGCUUAGGAGUGGCUGGAUGAGGAUGACAUUUGAGCAAGACAUGAAUGAUGUAAUGGAGAGUGAGAUAUAACAGUCUCAAGGCAAGGCACUGCUGACUGUGGCAACGACUAAUCUGAGCUCCCCACAACAUGCCAGGCACUAAGUGCUGUGUAUUAGCUCCUGUAAUCCUCACCAUGUCUCUGUGGACGAGGUACUGCCCCCACUAUCAGCAUCAUCCCCUCUUUUCAAAUGAGGAAACAGAAGCUUAGCCAGGUAACCAUCCUGGCCCCACAAGUGAGUGAGGGAGUGACACUGAAACCCCAGAAGCCUGGUUUCGACUCAGUACUCUUAACCCUUACUGUGUACUGCCUCCAGCUCUAAGUGAGGUCCAACCUAGCCUGGUCAGGGCCAGUGUGACUGGACCACAGUUAGCAACAGGGACUCCCUCUAAGAAGGAAAAUUCUUUUAAUUUAUAAAAAAAAAAUCACCCAAAACACUUAACCUCCACUUUAUACUUCACUCCCCCGCUCUUGACUUGUAAUGAUUCCUUGCUGACAGACUGGCAACCCUCCUUGACAGAAAUCAAAAGAGCUAUUUUAUUUUAAAGAAACUGAUCUUUCCUCAGCAUCUCAGGAUGCCUGCCAGUUUAUCAAAUGCAGUGGGUACGAUUUAAACCACCAGGUGGGAUGUUAGGUGGUAAGAAGCUUAUUCUUAUUCAUCACCCAAGUUGCUGUUCCCAGAAAAGGAUCUAUAAAUACAUUGAUUUUCAACCGUAUUUAAAUCUAGGUGGUAGGGAAAUAUUACCGAGACUUCAGUAGUCCUUGAUCCAAAGCAUUGCCACUACAUUUGCAAGUGGCCUGAGGCUGAAAGUGCAAGCUUCCAAAUCCCCAGAAACUGUUAAGCAGUGCCUCUUCUAGAAGAUACUACAAUAAUUUUCAUUAUUCAUUCUUCUGGGAUGAGUCUGCAUGAGGUUCAGAGGAGAAAAAAAGACAUUUUGCUAAUGUGUGAGCCACUAUCUAGGAAACAAGAACCACCCCAUCACCAAGUCAUUUAGGAGCCCCAUUUGGAAUCAGAAGACUGCAGCUUAGAAUCAUAAUGUGCCAAAUGACCUCCCCAGGCCCUCGGUAGGGAGUGGUAUUCCUUCUUCUGAUGUUGAUGCAAUUUCAAGCUUCUAUAUGGAGAGAAUUAUUUUCCCUCAAAACAUGAUAAAUAUCUCUGCUGAUAGCAUUUCCGUGACAAAUUCCUUCCAGAAUUUCUGCCUUCCUCAUUUUUUAGACCUCUACUGGUUUGAUCUCUUAAAUAAUUUUGCUUCCACUGUCUUUAUGACAAGCAUAUUACAAAAAUACAUCAUUUCACUGUGUUAAACAAUGCUGCAAUGCAUAUUCUUGAAAACCCUUUUUUGUAUUUUUGGAAAUGUUUCUUAUGAAUGGGUCAAGGAGUGUGCACAUUAUUUUUUAAUUUAAUCCUGCCAAAUUCCCUUUCAUAAAGACUUUACUGACUUCUAGUCAUAUCAUUAUUAUAAAAUACUUCAUAUUUAUCCAGACAGUGAUCAAAAAUAUGCACAAAAUUAUUACCAAGUAUUAGUGCAGUUGCAUAGUUUUUCGUAUCCAUAUUAGCCAUUUAUUGUUCUUUUGUAAAUUACUUGUACAUGUUUUGCUCAGUUAUUAGAGAACUCUUCUACAAAAACAAUAAGGCAUUAUGCUUUAAUUAGGAAAUAAUUGACUAUAUUUUAAUUCCUUGUGUGGUUAUUAAUGUAUCAAUAUUUUCUAUGUUUUCUAAAGACAGCCUCUUUUUUUUAUAUUUUCCUAGAAGAAUCAUUGAUCAUUGAAAACACUUAUUUGGUGUUAGUGAGCUAAUAAGAAUCCUGGGUACUAGCAACCUAGGCUAUGCUAAAAGUAUAGGUUUUAAGAAUAUGCUGUUCUAUGUGUACAGGAUCUGUUUAAGCCCAACUGUUAAAAAUUUUGAAGUUGGUCUCAGUCUUUCUGUGUUCCUAGGUUGUUUACUCUUACAAAAGAAACAAAACAAAAAACAAAACAAAGAACAAUUUCCUGUUUCUAAAUAAAAAAAAAAAAAUUGGGCUUUAAAAGACAUUUGGACAUCAAAUAGCCCUUACAAAACAUUUUGAUGAGUUAAGUGUAAACGAUUCUGAAACAUAUGGAUUAAAUUUCCCUAGGAAUCACUUGGGUUUAGAAAUUGAGAGAAAAACACUCAACCAAACUAGGUUUGGGGUUUGCCAACUCCAAGACAUUUGGUAAAUAGUUCAAGACAAAUGACAAAUCCCAAACUGGCCCUCCCUUAAUAAGAGGAUGUGUGCAAGCCCCUUGAGAAGAUUCACUCUGCCUUAUCUCCUCCUGUAAUAGACACAAGUUAUCAGAGACUUCUCUAAUUCUAGCUAUUACAUCUGGAAUUAUGUCUGGCUCUAAAAUAUAUUGUUAAUGUCAAUAAAGAUUAAUUAAAUAAAAUUUAUAAUAAUUAUUACUUUUUAUAAACAGUAUUCAGGAUCAUCUUCUUUACCACUAAGCCUAUCAUUAUUUUUUUUUUAAGUAUAAUUAAAUGUUCUGGGCUGAAAUUUACUAAUUUCAGUGAAAUACAAACUGUACACCAUCUGGUCUCUUGGGACAGUCCUAAAUCUGACUGAAAAGUCUUUCUUGGGGCACCUGAGUGGCUCAGUCGGUUAAGCAUCUGACUUCGGCUUAAGUCAUGAUCUCACAGUUCGUGAGUUCGAGCCCCACAUCGGGCUCUGUGCUGACAGCUGGAGCCUGGAACCCGCUUCAGAUUCUGUGUCUCCCUCUCUCUGACCCUCCCUCGUUCUUGCUCUUUCUCUUUCUCUGUCUCAAAAAUAAAUAAACAUUAUAUUUGUUUAAAAAAAAAGACUUUUAAAAAAAAUUAGAUCAGAUCUAAAUCUCAUUAAUUUGAACAUUUCUCCAGCUUCAACCCUGGAUCACUUAUUUGGACACUUGUCAUUAUACUUUGUAGAAAAGUGAAAGUUGAACUAGAUCUUCUAGUGUUGACUCUCGAGGAGUAAACAAAUUCUUUUCCAUCUGCAUAGACUCUUCCAGACCAAUAUAUCAGUAUCAGAACUCAAGACAUAAGAUGUACACAAGGCUUUGUAUGUUCAGGAUAUUCUUGGAAAGUGAUUUAGUAUACAAGAUGGGACUCUGUGAAAUAAGACAGGAAGGCACUUAUUAAUUUUUAUUUUAAGAGGUUUAAGAGUAGGACUGUAACAUAACCCAAAGGCAGAUGUCUUCAGGGUUAGUCACUAGGGAUGGCAAGCAGAUAGAUUGGAGGGUCAUUAUUUGUAAUAAAAUAGUUUUUCUUUAGUAUUGAAUCAACCCACAUGAGCCUUUCCUCCAAAUAUAUUUUAUAAAUGACACAUUUCAUAAAUAUUUUAGAGAACCUGCUUGAAGCUUUUAUAUUAAGGUUUUCUUGCUUCAAACUCAUCAUGUCUAAAACAAAAGCCCUUAUAUUUUUGUCCAAAUCAAUACCACUUCUUUCCCUCUGAACCACCUUCUUCCUCCAAGGUACACGGGGCAGUGAAAAGGACACAGAAUGUAGGAUGAGAGCACUGAGUUUGUAUGCUGGCUCUGACCAUUUAUGUUCUACACCCUUGGACAAAUUAUGACUUCUCUGAUUCUCAUUUUCUACUUCUGAAAAAUAAAAAACAGAAGCAACAAGUACAGCCUAAAAAGUGAAACACAGAUGUUAUCCUCAUGCUUAUGUUUAUUCUCCAAUUCUGGUAAUAACAUUCCUAUUCUCCAGCGGCCUCAACUUCAAUCAUUGCCUUUUUUUUUAAUUUGCAUCCUUCCCCUCCUUCAGGCCAUAGUAGAUUGCCUUGGUUACCUCUUCUUAAUUCAUCCUGCAUACCACCUCAAGAUAUGUCUUAUGUAAUAUUAAUAGAUUUAUUGAUUAUAUUACCAAUUUCUGAAGCAUAAUCUUGGAGGAGGAUGACAUCUACUUUUAAACCUUUCUUGACUCCCUGUGAUUUCAAAUCCUGUAGACUGAUCAUCUUGACCAGAGAUGAGAGUAACAGGCGUAUUUCUGGGAGGCCUAAAAACACUAAAUUCUGAACUGCUGAAAUUUGAACAAUAGACUUACUAUAACAUAUGCUUAUUUUACAUAUAUAUAUAUAUACACACUUAUAUAUAAUUUAUAAAAUAUAUUAUUUAAAAAAAUAUAUAUAUAUACGUACAUAUAUAAUAUUAUUUAUAAAAUAAGAAUAAGGGGUCCUUAAUGCUUUCCAAAGGAACUUGGAGCAAUCACAAUUGGUUGAACUGCUUAAACAUCUUUACCAAUUAUCAAAACAGCCAAUACUCAUGAUAUGUACCAGGUAUUAUUUUAAAUUCUGGGUAUAAGUUAGUGAGCAUUGCUUCCAUGGAGCUAACAGUAUAGAAGACUGAAAAACAUUAAUCCAACAACCAUGUGAGUAAAUGCAAAUUACAAAUGAGAUAUGUAACAUCAAUAUGUUAAAGAUAUUCACAGGGGAAUGUGAUGUAGUCAGGGAGAUCAGACAAGUUUUAGAACAAGUAAUGACUGAGGUGAGUAAUAUAACAAUAGCAGAAAUAAAACAAUACAUUGGGUUUGGGAGAGGGAGGUGAGAAUAAAGCAUCCCAGACAGAGGGAAAAACAAGCACAAAGGGCCUGUGGUAGUCAGAAUGGGAAGCUGGAGGAACCAUAAAAAGUUGACUAUAGUUGGAGCACAAAGAGUGACAUAAACUGUGGUAUUAAAAAGGCUGGAGAAGAAAUCUGGGGCUUACAUCUAUGAAGAUUCAGUUCUAGGUAACAGAAACCACUUUAGUAGGUUAAAAAGAAGGCACUUAUUAGAUGGGCUUAAUCAGUUGCCAGAAUUUCUGGAAGGCAGGGAGCCAAAACUGAAUGCCACAGUUGAGAGAGACCCAGCAAGGGGAAAUUUCACAGAAAAACCCCCGUGUUCCCCACCACCCCCUCCCCCGCCAUUGAUUGCUUAAUAUCCAGCCAGCCAGAAGCUGGACAUCAGAACCUCUAGUAUAGCUGGUUAAUCACCUGGUGUAGCAGAAGAAUUGCACAACCUUACAACAUUCCUGCGCACCUUCAAAUACCAUGAGGAAGGAUGUAUCUAUAAACCAGUAACAUGAGGACCCGGGAAAUGCUGGUUGGGAAUUCUACCUACGUUGGGAAGGCAGGAUUGACAAAAGGAAAAAUAAUUCUAAUGGAAAAAGAGGAGGUGUUCAAAAGCCUUAGGCCAUUAAAAAAUGACCAAUGUCAGGGGUGCCUAGGUGGCUCAGUCAGUUAAGCAUUUGACUUUGGCUAGCUCAUAAUGUCACUGCUCGUGAGUUCGAGCCCUGCGUCGGGCUCUGUGCUGACAGCUCAGAGCCUGGAGCCUGCUUUGGAUUCUGUGUCUGUCUCUCUACCCCACCCCUGCUCAUGCUCUGUCUCUCUGUCUCUCUGUCUCUUCUCUAAUAUAAAACAAAAAACAUCUAAAAUUUUUAAAAAUAAUACAAAAUAAUGUAAAAAAUGACAGGUGUCAGAGAGAUAAGGUCUGGUGUGAGAUACAUAUUUGUGAAUCACUGAUGCUACUGUAAUUAGAGCUGAGGACAUGGAUGCAGAUACACAGUGAGAUCACAGAUGGAAGAGGGAGAUGGGAGAAUAUGCUUUCUGUGGACAUUUGACAAGCAUUGCAUAAGGUGCCGUGAGUAAUUAGUUCAUAGUCAACUUUGAGCUUCCAAAUAGAUAGCUUCCAAAUUUAUAGCUUCCAAAUAGAUAAUUAUGACAUAGUAUAACAAAGUCACAAAAACGUCUUGUAUAGAAUACUAUAGAGCAAUGGACAGCAUUGCUCAGGCAGAGUACUCACAGAAGAAAGGAAACAAGUCUGUCUCUCCUCUUCCUCAUUUUUCCAGCUGCCAACUCAAGAUCAGCCUUGAGGUCUUGCAUCAGUGCUUCACUCUCAACAUGUUCAAAAUUGUGCUUAUUAUCCAUUUUCCUCCUUGCCUCUCAUCUAUUCCUUUUUCUGCAUUUACCGUCACUAUCAACUAUCCAAGUCGUUGUGCAAGUUGAAAUCUGUAAGUCACACUUGGCGUCUCUUCCUCACAUCUAGUCAGUCAACAGGGAUUAAAAAUUCCAUCACAGAAGUAUCUCCCAAAUUGGGCAUCUCCCCUAAGCACCAAAUCUCUCCUUCCUCUAAUCUCCUUCCUCUGAUCUCUUCUUCCUCUCCUUCCUCCUUAACUCUCCUUUAGACUUCCUCUAAAGUCCACAAACUUUUUUUUUUUUCCUGUAAAGGGCAAAACAGUAAAUAUUUUCCACUUUGUGAGCCAUAGGUUCUUGUCAUAAGUAUUCAACUCUGAGGCUGUUUUGUGAAAGCAGGCACAGCAACCUAUAAACAGAUGGGUGUGGUUGUGUUCAAUUAAGCUAUUUUUCAAGUUUGCUGACCCCUGCUGACUCUAGAAAAAACAUCAGAGUCAUUGUCCAAAAAACAAAUCAACUUACACGCCUUUAUUGUUCCUUUUCCUUCAGAAGAAAAUCUUGUAUGCCUUUGCCUCUUGAAAAGAGCGUUAUGAUUUGUUCCUAAGCUUAUGCUGCUUUCAUCGCCUGCUUCCCCCUCAUUGUAUGCAGUCUUUUCUAUCAUUUGUGUGUUUCUGAGCCUUUGUACAUACAUUUUCUGCCUUUUUAUUGCUUUCCUGGCAAAUCCUACUCAUAUUUCUAGACCCCACUCAAAUGUGAGUGCCCUCUGCUUAGCAGUGCUCCCCAUUAUACUUGUCCAGGAUUCCCUACCAAGCUCUGUUGUAGCUUUGUUAUAUUAUGUUCUGAUUAUCUGCUUGGAAGCUGUUUCUCACACUUGAAUGAGCCAUUUACUCACUUAAUGCAGCACUUGUCAAUUGUCUACUAGAAGAAGAGAUGAUAAAUACAAAAUGGUAAAUGAAGGAAUAAGUGAGAGUGGCCUGAGAGGGGAGAAAAAGAGUACAUUGGUUUUUGUUUUUAAUUUGGGUAGUAUAAAACAAGUGGAGGGAGAGAGAUUUUAUUCUCACAAUCACUAUAUAAAACUAGCUAUAAUAAGCUCAGUUUUUAAAAUAUAAUUAUCUCAGUUUCCAAGCUUAAAUAAUAAACAUGCAGAGAAAUAUGGAAAUUGAGACUAGUGCCCCAACUCUGGAUUCCUACAGUGUUUAUUUCACUCUGCCCACUUUGGUGCACAGCUACAAUUCUGCCUAGCACAUUUCUAUUUUAAAAUAGUGCUGUUGUGGCAACAAAACCUUAAAUCAUAGAAAGAAAUCUGGAGUGUUGGAAAUUCUAGCAGUAUGGAUGAGACAGUUUGCAAAGAAGGGUCCAUCUCACACUUCCCUUGAAAUCAUUUCAAGCAGGUAAUUCAGAGUGAGCUGCACUUGGUGCCGUCUUUGUGAGGGUUAUGUGAGGCUAUUAUUCACACCCUCCUUCUCUGGUACACAGCAAACCCUAACCUGGCUUUAGACAAGGGAGCGUGGACAGUUUAAGAGAACACAUGCUACAAGCCAGAACAGUUUAAUGCUCAAGAGCAGUGAGCAGUUGUUGGGGGGUGGGGGGGGUUGGGCAUCAGACUCAUCUCCUUGAGCCUUGGGCACUUCUGUGUUUCCUGGGUCUGACGCCUGGCUAGGUCACCUCAGAGUUGUCAGCACUGCAGAAAUACUUGGAAAGAAGACAGGAAGAGAACCUGGGAAUUUAACACGAUAUUAUCAAAUGGUUACAUAUCUGGACCUUGAGGGCGAAGUUUCUUUCAGUGGAUUGUUUUUAGACUGUCUUUUCUCUCAUACAAAACACAUUGUGUCAUUGGACACAAUGGGUGGCCGAUCCCCUUCAGAGGUCCUGUGCUGUUCCUCUAAUGGCUGUCCAGAUCAGCUGCUAAAGGCUCAUGGCUCCCCUCUUCUCUAGAGGAUUGUCCUCAGCUGAGCAGGAGCUCAGCUCCCCUUUGCAGGGGAGAUUAUAUGCAUGACUUCCCUGCUCCCUUGCCCCAAGUGGGGCCAGCGCUGAGGUACAAUUGAUACUCCAGAGCUCCCUGUGGGAUCAGACUGAAGCCAGACUCCACGUUAGGGUCUUUGCUCAGUUCCCUUCCCUGACCUGCUUCCUUCACUCCUUUUUCCCUGAGGAUGCUUCUUUAAUGAAUCACAUGCACCUGAAUCUCAGUCUCAGGCUUCUUCACUUCUAGAACACCUGGAAGAACAGGGAUAAUAAGGAGAACCUAGUCAAUAGGGAAAAUUUAUGAGGAACUGCAGGUAGCAUGUUAAGAAAUGAAAUAUCAUUUAUGUCUUUAAACACAUCUAUCAAUAUCAAAUGCUAUUAAAUGCUCAAUAUUUGGACUUUAAAAUGAAACAAUGGAUUUCUAAAAUUAAAAAUAUUAUAUCAAGGGGCUCCGGGGUGCCUUACUUGGUUAAGUAUCCAACACUUGAUUUCGGCUCAGGUCAUGAUCUCACCAUUGGUGGGAUUGAGCCCCAUGUCGUGCUCUGUGCUGACAGUGCAGAGCCUGCCUGGUAAUUUCUAUCUCCCUCUCUCUCUCUGCCCUCUCCUGCUAGUGCUUGCUCGCUCUCUCCCCCUCAAAAUAAAAUUAAAAAAAAUUUAAAAAGUAUAUAAAAAUGCAGCACACACACACUAACGAAAUCAUGAAGAUUUAGGAUAUUCUGGAACUCUUUCUUCUUUCCUUCUUUUCCUCUUAUUUUAAAACUUGCAAUAGCUAGAGCACUGGCUACUCCCAAAAGAGGCAAAAUCUCCUCAACUCAAUUUCAUCCUCCCAGGAACUUUAAAGGACUCAGUUAUCCAGCUUCUUAUUAAUUACAAAAUGUUGUAGCAUGAAAUAAUUUUUAAAGGAGUUGGUCUAUCUUUUUGCAUUGAAAGAGUCCCUGUAAGUAAAGAGAGAAACCAUUUCUAUCCAAACUUUUGGUCUACUCAGAACUAAUGGAGUUUCUUUGUUUCUCCACAAAACCUUUCGCCCUCAGACCAGCUGCUAAAGUUGAACGCCACAAAUGACUCUUUCAAAGUGAUUCUGAAGAGCGAUUCUGAUUCCAUAUGCUGGAAUCCAAAUUUCUUCAACUUUACACACAAGAUCAGAGCUCCACAUCUUAAUAGCCAUAUAACUCCAUAAAGAAUUAUCCUUGAUUUCUCUGAUAGAUCAUCACUGCAGAAGGAACUAAAAAAGGCUCCAUGAAAGCAUUCCACCUGUAUUGCUGGCAGAUGACUUAUAAAUGUCGCACAGACACGGGCCUACUACUGGCUCAGAGAAGAAGCAUUAAAUAAACGGCUGAACAUCUGCUGGUAAAUACACAGCAAACAAAAAAUGCAAUCCAGUGCCAAACAUGUGCACAGUGUGGGCCUCAUCUCUGCUCAUAAACCAAGCAAUGUGUUCUGCUAAUCAUUAGCAGAGUUAUUGAUUUUAGAUGUGUAUCACACAGCUAUAAUUUUGUCAGAGAGUAGACCACAUAAGUUGUUCUUUUUCUGGUUGUUUCAUUUUGUCUUAUUCCAAGAGUCCGUAAAUUGACGACCGGGACAAAAAUUAUAAUUGACAUCAUCUGUGGGAAAUAUUUCAUAAAACAACAGGCCCAGAUGUAGGAUUAAAGCCAUGUGGUAGUAAAAUACCCCACUGAAAAAGGGCCAGGUUCCAUGAUUUCUUACGAAAACAGAUGUGCUCCUACUCCCCUCUGCUUGUUUUUCAAUGCCUUUUUUUUUUUUUUACUCCAAAUAAUUCCUCCCCCCAAACUUUUUUUUUCCCUCUCUCUUUGCGAUUGCACUGGAGAGAGUUCAUAAAUGGAUUACAGAUGCAGGCUUGUACUUCAAAAUCCUAACUGUCACAGUCUCUGAAAUAAAAGAAAUGAAACAUUUGGGGAAAUUAUAUUGAACUAUGGGAAAGGUAAUGCAGAUUAUGCAAACAUGUCUGCUUGUCGCGUAUCUAGCAUCUUUGGGCAUGAACAUAUGAUUUCCUGGACAAUGAAGACUGAAGCCUAGGGAGUAGGAAGUUUAUCCAAGAUGCAGCUAGAAGGGUGAUUCCUUCUGAAAGCCUCCUGUUCUGAUGGGGAAGUUUUUACCUUUGGGGUUGAGAUGAGCUGGUGGAAGGCCUCACAUGUUCUUCCUAUCUUCCCUGAGGUGAGAUUUCUGGAAAAAGAGACGGUGCAGAAAAAGCGAGAACCCAUCAUAUCUGAACCCACCAUAUGUACUGGUUCAAGUGCCUUUUAGCUACAUUAUUGCUCUACAGUUUCCCAUUUGGAAAUGUUGGGAACCACAGGAGUGGGGUCCUGUGGCACAAACACAGGCUAUGUUGUUUGAAGACUAAUCUAUAAGUGCUGUGAAGAACUACACACAACUUUCUACCAAAGACUUUAGUGUCAUAUGGAAUCCACUGUAGUAUCACUGAUUAUAAUUAAUUAACUAAGCAUUUAUACUGCUUCUCAGCCUCGACCUCCAGUAAUGUGCCAAGAUGGUGUAGUGUUAGGAGGCUAUAAUACAGUGUAGAGGAAACUAAAUUACCAUCAUCACUGCUGAGAUUUCAACAGAAUAUCUACACUUAACAUCCCUUUCAACUCCUCAAAUACUGAAGCAAACAAAAAGUACAUAAAUUUGUUUAGAACCAAGAGAGACCAUGUCCAAUUUUCCUGUAUUAUUUCUUUAAUCCAUCUUUUUAGGGUUGAAUGAACACUAGAACUCAAAAUACCAGCUGGACUCCAGAAGACCAGGGCUAAAUAAUAACCCAAGAUCAUUUUUAGAAUCUUCUCUUCUGCCAGUUCCUCACAUACCCAGCUCACUACUACACUAGUGUUUGGGUUCUAACUAUAUUGAGUGAAAUGCUGCUGGACACCUCUGAGUUUGUGUUGACAGUAAAUGUUUUUACUUCUUGAUUUUAUUGUGAUAUAAUAAUGUAUAACAUUAAAAAGCCAGUUUUAUGCCAUUCUAAGCAUUUGAAAGUAGGCCAUUCGGUGGCAUUAAUUAUAUAUAUUCACAAUGUUGUAUAAGCACAUUGCCACUAUCUGAAGCUUUUCUACCAUCCCAAACAGAAACUCUCUCCCAUUAAAGCCAUAACUCCCCAUUUUCCCCUCUUUCCAUCUUCUAGUAACCUUUAAUCUACUUUAUGGCUCCAUGAAUUUGCCUAUUCUAGAUAGUUCAUGCAAAUGAAUUUUUUUCUGGCUUAUUUAACUUUGCAUGGUUCAUCCAAGUUGUAGCCUGUGUCAGAGAUUUCAGUUCUUCUUAUGUCUGAAUAAUAUUCCCUGUAUAGAUAUACCACUUUUGUUUACUCAUUCAUCUGUUGAUGAACACAGGAGCCACCUUCUGGCUAUCUUGAAUAAUGCUGCAACAUUGGCACACAGGUACCUGUUUCAGUCCCUGUUUUCAAUUCUUGUAGAUAUAUACGUAGGAGUGGAAUUGUUGGGUUAUAUGGUAAUUCUAUAUUUAACUUUUUUUAAAAAAGUAAUGUUCAUUUAUUUUUGAGAGAGAGAGAGAGAGACAGAAUGUGAGUGGGGGAGGAGAAGGAAGAGAGGGAGACACAGAAUCCGAAGCAGGCUCCAGGCUCUGAGCUGUUAGCACAGAGCCCAACACAGGCCUCAAACUCACGUACUGUGAGAUCAUGACCUAAACCGAGUUCGUACACUUAGCUGACUGAUCCACCCAGACACCCCUAUUUAACUUUUUGAAGAACUGUCAAAUAUGUUUUCCACAGAAGCUGGACCAUUUUCCACAGAAGCCCACCAUCAGUGUACAAGGUUCCCAAUUUCUCUACACCUUUGCCAACAUUUGUUAUUUCCCCCAAAUUUGUAUAACCUUCCUACUGGGUGUGCAGUGGUAUCUCAUUGUGGAUUUCAUUUGUAUUUCCCUGAUGAGUAAUGAGGUUGAGCAUCUUCUCAUAUGCUUGUUGGGUAUUUGUAAAUCUUCUUUGGAAACAUGUUUAUUCAAGCCCUUGCUUCAUUUUCUGAGUUGUCUUUUUGUUGAGUUGUAGGAGUUAUUGAUUUUAUUCUAGAUAUGAAGUGUUUUUCAAGUAUAUAACUUGCAAAUAUUUUCUCUCAUCCUGUUUUCACUUUCUUGACAAUAUCCUUUGAUGCACAGAACUUUUAAAUUUUGAUGAAGUCCAAUUUAUUUAUUUUUCUUUUUGGAAUCAUAUGUAAGAAUUCAUUGCCAAAUCCAAGGUCAUGAAUACUUACCCUUUUUUACCUGUAAGACUUUUAUGACUUUGGUCUUAUUUAUAGGUUGCUAAUGUAUUUUGGAUUAAUUUUUGUAUAUGGUGUAAGGUAAGAGUUCAAGUUAAUUUUUUUUGUAAGUGAAUAUCCAGGUGUCUGCUGAUAGUGCAUUUUGAUUCAGGACCUUAGGAUCAAAUUUAUGGUAUCAGGAUUAAAGUUGCUAUGUCUUUAAGGAGUUCUUUAUUAACCAGCUGGGCUGUAUUGACAGACCCCUAUUUGAUGCAAAAUUAUUUAAUUCAAUACCUACUCCAUUCAGUUUUACUUAUUUUCUCUCAAAAGAUUACUAGAGAACAUUGUAGUUAUUGAACCACAUCCACAAAGUGUUUCUGUAGUCACAAAUGGUUGAUUAUUGGGGAGUUAGAAAAUGAGAAAAGUAUUUGUAAGGAAGAGAGAAAAUAACCUGUUAGUGACUAUAUAGGGAAAUGGUCACCUCUGUGGGGCCACUGGUUGGGACCUCAGUAGCAGAGCAGGAGAGACUCAGGAGAAGUUCUAGGGGGGAAAGCACUUCCUGUGUCAGCCACCUCCAAUUCUUAUUUCAUAAGAAGAAUAUAUAAAAUUAGACCUGAUAUGAACUGCUGAAAAGUUGGCCUUUUCAGUAAGGAAGGACAGCUGAAGUGGGGAGAUAGCUAAGCACAUAAGCCACUGAAUCCCUACUAAUCAACAAUUUAGGAGGAAAAUUACAGCCUUGGGUGGGAGGAUGGAGAGAGGAAUCUCACCUGACCUGAGAGGAAGAUGAAGAGAAAGGCCACACCUCAGUGACACUGUUCAUAACAUGUCUAUAUUUCUGAUGUAGCACUGAAGCAUCAAAUCAAGAAACCGAGGUGGGAACCACAUGGAUUAGAAAAAUGCUUUCCAAGGAUCAUUCCAGGAAUAUGGGUUAGCAAAUCUUGAAUGGCAAGACUGACCCAAACCAUAUCUGAUGUUAGGAUUGGGCCUUCCCUGCAAUUGGCUCAGAAUCACAAGUGCUUGAGCCUGAACAUAAAGGGAGGCAGGUCUGGUGGCCCUGCUGGGCUGGCACAGCAGAAGCACACAAAGGAGGGUUCAGCCCUGAUAGAAGAAACACCUUGAUCCCUGCAGCCAUAGUGACUCUUUACCCCAUUUCUUUGUGGAAAGGGAAGUCAGGUAAGAGCUUUUAUUUAUGAAGUAGCCUGACAUUACAUUUAUAACUUCUGUUUUCCUAGAGUUAGGGAUUUCAAAAAUGAAGUAACAAGAGUGUAAACACAAAACUAAGAAUUAAAACUACCAUAGAAUUUGGUGGCAGUUUAUUUCACGAAAAUAUCCACAGAAGGAAGUUUCAAAUUCUAUCUGUAGUCUCAUGGUCAUCCCACAUGGAGAUCUAUUAUGUCAGUCUUAUAGCAAAAAAAAAAAAAACAACAUUUGAGCAACAAAGGAUCAAGGAAUCCCAUGAUGUGACUCUCUUAGACAUAGGAUUCUGAUAUCCUAGGAUGUAUUCUUCCAGUCCAUUCUGUAUCUGAAUCAGGCAGUUAACUAUUCUGGGAAAAAUUAAAAGUGUUAGAAAUAAAAGAAAAAUUGAUGGAGUUGUCAGAAAGAGAAAGAUUUUCCAGGACGAGAAGUGGCUAAACUACUAUCUUUGCAUCAAACCUUAAUGUUCCAUUUACUUAGAUUGGACCCUCCUUGAAGCUUUUUUGUCAGCUUCAGAUUUUCACUAAGGGAUUAGUGGAUAUAGAGAUAUAGGAGAAAAAAGUUAUCACUUCUGAAAGCUUAGAGUAUUAUGUUUGUCAUCAGCUUUUAAAUGUAAAUAAAAGUAUAUUUUUAUUUUCAGUGCUUGAGGGCUGCAUUUGAUGAGGCAUUCUGAUGAAAUACAUUCAUAUUUCAUUUGCCAUCUAUAGGAACAAACUGUGUCAAAUACAUUUGUGUGUUAGUAGGGCUUCAAUAUAGGCCCUCAUUUAAAAACCAAAUGGCAAAUUAAAAAAAAAAGUGAAAGAAGCAGGGUUACUUUUGUGUUUGCUCCUUCAAAAUGUUAUGGGAAGGGACCUCAGAGGAAACAUUUUUAUUUUCUCUUCAUCAUUGGCUAAGAUGAUAAAUAUUGUUGUAAGAAUUGUUGAGCCCUGGGGGCGCCUGGGUGGCGCAGUCGGUUAAGCGUCCGACUUCAGCCAGGUCACGAUCUCGCGGUCCGUGAGUUCGAGCCCCGCGUCGGGCUCUGGGCUGAUGGCUCAGAGCCUGGAGCCUGUUUCCGAUUCUGUGUCUCCCUCUCUCUCUGCCCCUCCCCCGUUCAUGCUCUGUCUCUCUCUGUCCCAAAAAUAAAUAAACGUUGAAAAAAAAAAUUAAAAAAAAAAAAGAAUUGUUGAGCCCUGAAACAUAGCUCCUCUGUCCCCUGCUCUCCAUGUUCACACGUGCAGCAGAAUAAGACAAGAUUUACUUGCUUGGAAUGCUGUUUUCAUCUUACUACUUCCCAAUUCAAAACUCUUAAUUGCCUUCCUAUUGGUCACUGGAGAAUGGCAUUGAAUAAUACAUUUCCAGACCUCAAAGAGAUUUUAAAAUCUACCUAACUCAGUGUCCCUUCCCUUCAAAAAAAAAAAAAGGAGAAACCAAUGCCCGGAGUGACUAAGUGAAGUAAUACAAUCACAGGGUUAGUUGCUGAAGGAUCCAUGUCCACAACUGGCUCUGGCUUCCAUUCCCAUGCUCUUUGUGGAACUGUAUCACUGCCAGCUCUGCACGGCCCCCCAGUGUUUCUUUUCAGCUUCAGUGAAGGUGCUUAUGGCCUCUAAAUUGCCCUCCUUAAAUUCUUCAAAUGUCCCACAGGCCGGAGAUACCCUCAUUUUCUUUCUCUACUUGAGAUUAGGCUGCAUUUCCUAGGAAUUCUUCCUGAGCAACAGCAGGCUCAAACCGUUAAUAGUUCUACUCAUUUGUCGUAUUUCCCUAUGUACUUACUUGUUUGUCUAUCACUUUGAUUUAUAUUUAAAAGCUUAUGAUGAACAGAACACUCUAAGCUUUCAGAAGUGAUGACUUUUUUCUUAUAUAUCUCUUUAUCCACUAAGUACUCCAUCAUGUUAUUUGAAAAUUUAUUAUUGCACUGAUGUUUGCCAAAGGACACAAAUGGAUGGAUAAUAUUGUGGAUUUCUCAUAUUGCAUAGAUAUAAGAAAUCUCAAAAGUCUGUAAAAUGCAAAGUUAUGAUACAGACAAUGUCACUCUAUCUUCUGGACUAAAGUUAAGAUGAUUCUGGACUAAAAAUUAAGGAAUUUUUAAACAAAAAGUUGAGAUGGGUAUAAGUAAGGAGCACUUUUGAGGGGAAGGAUCUGAGAUUGAAAGGUUAAGAGACUCAGCCAGGAUCUAAUUUGUCAGGUAGCAUAACUGAAAAAGAACUCCAAGGCUUUUUGGUCUUUCUGUUUUUUCUCCCAAUAUUCAAACUUUUUUUUCUUAAAUCAUGUCUGCAUUUUUUUUUUUUUUUUUACCGAAGUGUAGCUGACACGCAAUGUUACAUUAGUUUCAAGUGUACAACACAGUGAAGUCUAUCCGGGUUUUUUUUGUGUGUGUUUUUUUUAAUGUUUUAGUUAUGUUUGAGAGAGAGAGAGAGAAUGAGCCAGGGAGGGACAAGGAGAAAGGGAGACAGAAUCUGAAGCAGGCUCCACGUUGUCAGUGCAAAGCCCAGUGUGGGGCUUGAACCCACAAACCGUGAGAUCGUGACCUGAGCUGAAGUCAGACGCUCAACUGACUGGGCCACCCAGGUGCCCCUAGUGAAGUCUAUAUGUUAUGCUGUCCUCACCACAAGUGUAGCUACUACCAUCUGUUACUGUACGACACUGCUACAAUAUCAUUGAUUAUAUUCCCUAUGCUGUACCUUUUCUUCCUGUGACUUAUUCAUUGCGUAACUGGAAGCUGGUAUCUCCCACUCUCCUUCACCCAUUUUGCCCAAAUCCCACCCCCCUCUUCUCUGGCAACCAUCAAUUUGUUCUCUGUAUUUGCAGGUCUGUUUCUGCUUUUUUUUUUUUUUAUUCAUUUGUUUUGUUAUUUAGAUUCCACAUAUAAGUAAAAUCAUAUGGUACCAAACUUACUUUUAUAUGUUCUUCUUUGACAGAAUUAGGAUCAGAGUAUCCUUUUGAAACCCAGUGUUUGUGUGGCAAUGGUUCACUCUCACUGUAUGUUCCGUUGAUACCUCUCCAGUGUCCUCUAUUUGAACUGAGGUUGUACAUAUAGAUUCCAAAUGAAUGGCGAUUUCACUAGUUUCAUUGGUUUGGCCAAAGUUCUUAGCACCAGUCUUGCUCUUUUAUCUGGCACUAUGGUUCAGUUCCUAUCGUUACCUAAGAUGAAAAUCCCAUCGUUACCUAAGAUGAAAAUCAGCUGCACACAUAUUACAUAUUUUCAGCAGACUAUUUAUAUGAACUAGAGCCAACGUACACAUUAAAAUCUCUUUAUAAAUUGUCCACUGCCUUAUUCAACAAAGUGGCUUCAUCUCUGGGGAAAAAAAGAGAAUAAAUUUUACAGGAGAAUAGGAAAUGUUGGUGACCAAAUGAAUUCCACAGCAGAGAGAACUGGGAGAGUGACAAGUCUGUAAAAUGGCUUUUAAAGUAAGUCUUAUCAAGGGAAGGAACAGUAGCACAUUCUUAUCAGGAAAAGGGAAGAAUGUACUAAAGGAAUUCAUUGGAGUAUCUGUAGAGUUUUGACAAAAGGAAAGAAUUUAGCUUUUUAAUGGAAUAUAUACAUUCCAGUAAGAUAAUCUGAGCAUGGCUUCCUCAAGGUUUAGCUGGGAUUGGUUUACUAAUAUUUCUCCCAUGAUCCAUGUGAUUUUCACAUCACUACAUUAUUCAGUGAUCACAUGGGAACCAGCUGAACCCUGAGGAAAGAGGCCUAGACAUGUUAUACAGUGAAGAUCUGUUGGGGGAUAUUAACUAAUCUGCUUUGCUUCACUUCCUGUUUGCAUGAAACCAACAACAACUUGAGCUGCUGCACAUUACCUUCAAUUGCCCCAAAGAGAAGCAAAGGGAAAAAAAUAUCAGUCUCUCAGUAGGUCAACCAGGUUCCCAGCAGAAAACAUACUAUUUGAACAGAGUCUUGUGAUGAACCUAACUCAGAGGUCUGGGUAGGGCUCCGGAGACCAACAAGGAAUGUGAAAGCACCAGGAACUGUGAGGAGGCUGAAUGAGCUCCAGACUUAUUACUCUGUUAUGCAGGAGUAAGUGGGGCUACUGGUACCCAGAAAGUGUGGUGACCACGAGUAGUGAAUGGAGUCACUGCUAGAAUUGUAGCCUGGCAGGGAGUAAGCAAGCAAGGAAGAUAUGUACCCUAAUAUCUUUCUCUUAUGAACUUCUAGUCUUGUAAAGAUGCAUUCCAUAGCUAAACCCAGUGAGAAGUCAGAGGGCUUGGAAGCACAGGUGUUGUAAUUUGUAGAGGACAAUUUUCUGUGGUGAAGACCAGCAGAGAUAAUUUGUCAGGAGUGGCAAAUGGAGAAUAAAUAGCACACCUGGCUUUUAGGUUCUACAGCUUCUAAAAAUUCAGGCUUCAGCUUCUGGGAAAAUGGAAUAAAUAUAUAUUUUCCCUAUUCCUCCCACUAAGUACAAUUUUAAAGCCUGGACAUCUCUCUCUCUCUCUCUCUCUCUCUCUCUCUCUCUAAACUAGGGAACUCAGGACACAAGAAAUUGCAAAUUUUCUUAGCCAAGCUCUUUUAUAAUAGUCUUUACAUAUCAAGUAAAGUUACUUAACCAAGGAAGAAAGGCAACAUCACAUAGAAGCUUGUAUAACUGACAUAUUGGUAAUUCUGAAUUUAUUGAGACAUAAAUUUAAAAUGAUUUUUUUCUCCCAAUCUCUGCAUGCUAAUAACCCCUUGAACAUAUCCUAUACCUUUCUGGUCAAGAUAAAUAAUUGAAAAGUCAGCUUAAUUUAAUUUAAAACUUUGGUCUAAUGUUUUAUUUACAUCCGUUCUACCCUUCCAGGAUGAUAGAGCUUGUGGAGAUAGAGUGAACAGAUACUGUGAUCUGUGUUACCACUUCUCUUUCCAAUACAGAACUUUGGAGUAAAGGAGAGAGUAGUCUAACUUUUCAUUCUUCUUCCCUCUCUUCCAUCUUGGAACAAUCCCUCUGGUGUGGGAGGGGAAAUAGAAGACAACAUAUACCUAGAAAGGGGUAGCCACACCUUACUUUCCACCUCUGCAGGUGAUCAAUGCCAGUAUCUACCUCUACAGAUUAGAUUGGGUAUCUCUUAGCUGCACUGGUAGCUUCCUUGGUAAUCUUAUGGUUUAUACCUUGCCCCUCACCUUUUAUUUUUCACACAGAGUCAUAAGAACUAUAGAAAUCCUUUUCUAUGCCAUCCAGGGUCUGGUGUGUGAGUUGGCUUGGGAGGGAGUCUUAGGGUCUGGUGUGUGAGUUGGCUUGGGAGGGAGUCUUCUUCUCAAGCACAACACACAUGAUCAUUCCUCAUCUGUCUGCUUACGGAUAACUACCCAAUACUUUAGCUUUUUAGAGAUCUAAAAAUGAGACACAGGCACACAUCUUUGUGUUAUAUACCCCCUGAAAACUGCCAGGUUACUUAUGCCAAACUCUCCCUAGAAUUUUUUCACUAUAAAUCAUUCUAAUGGCAAUACCAGAAUAUACCAGUAUAGGAAAUCAAUCUGAAGAGAGGGAGGCCAGUUAAUGAAGAUGUGCUGUACUUCUAAAGCCCUCUCUUAUUUGUUUUUGACGGAAUUUGGCGAGAAAAUGCUAUUCUUGCAUAAACAUUGACCUCCUUGCAACACUAACACCUUUACCUCCCUUCUUCAGUAAGUGGAUUUCAGGGAAGAAGAAGGAGAUUGGAGAAGGAACAAAAAGGUAGGGUACUGGGGUAAAAGCUGGGAUAGCAGGGCAGAUCCAGCUGCUUCUUAGUAAGAUCUAAUGAACAUGCCUAAUACCAAUUAUUCAUGGAUCUUUUUAGAAAGUGAAAUAUUUAAUGGCUCUCUGAUUUCAGCUUUGGAACCUAGGUACCAAUUCAUUCUACAGCGAAAGUUCCAGUUAAUUUAUUUUCAUACUAGAUGUAUCCAAGUUUUAGAAGCAGAAAACAUGAUUGUAUACUCCUAUUCCAUUAUCCCUCCCUCCAAUUCGUUACCUCUUCCCAACCCAAGAAAACCUCUACUCUAUUCUUCUAUAAUCUCACCCUAUGUUCUGAAUUGCCUUUGUGCAUUCAUUUUGGAGCUAAUCCAUCAUAUAUUGCUUAAAGGUCAAAGUUUUUGUGACACUUGUGGAUGAUGUCAGAUGACUUCACAGGGACCUUGAUUCAGAAAGUAUGCUUCUUUGGGACACUUGAGUGGCUCAGUGGGUUAAGUAUCUGACUCUUGGUUUUGUCUCAGGUCAUGACCUCAUGGUUUCAUGGGUUCAAACCCCGUGUUUGGCUCUGUGCUGGCAGAGUGGAUCCUGCUUGGUAUUCUCUCUCUCCCUCUCUCUCUGCCCCUCCCUGAUUCAUGCUGUCUCUCUCUCAAAAUAAAUAAAUAAACUUAAAAAUGAAAAAAAAAAUGUUUAAAAGUAUACUUCUUUGAGUGAAUGGAUAGGAAUCAACUCAGUCUUAAAUAAAGAUCUUACCAAACAAUGGUAAGAGAAUAAUCUGCAAACUGGUAUCUUUGGUUGUAAUUUUUCUUCUCUUUUCUUUUUCUUGGUGGGGGGAGGCAUUUUCUCUUCAAAUAGUUCUCUGUCAUAUUUUCUCCUCUCCUUCUAGGACUCUAAUUAUAUUGUCAUGAUUGGAAUAGAAAAGAGGGAAGGAACUAUUCAUUAUAACUCACAAGUCGUUUAUGCUCUUUUUCUGUAUUUUCUAUUUUAUGCUUUCUUGAAUUAUUAAUUUUACUUAUUUUAAAAUCCUUGUCAGUUAAUGGUAAUUUCUGAAUCUUCCUUAGAUUUGAUUCUAGUUUUUCCUUUGAUUUUUGGUCAUAAGUUAUUAUUAAUUUGUUCAAAAAUAUAGAGGAAAAGGUGAAUAAUAUGAAAAUAAGGAGGGAGUAUUUUACAUGAGUAUCAGAAUCCAGUGGAAUUGAAAUUCUAGUUGAUGUGUCAAAAUGUAAGAUGUAGCUAAGAUGUAGCAAAGUUUGAAAUGCAUAUAUUAGAAAAUUCACAUUUCAAAAGCUUGAAGACAAAAACAAAAAACAACUCAACAAAUUAAAAUAGAAAGUGAUGAUUAAGGGAAUAGUAGAAAUCUGUUAUAUGUAUGUGUGUAUAUACACACAUCCAUAAAACCAAAUACUAAACAAAACUAAUGAAUCCAAAAGUUGUUUGUCUGGAAAGAUGAAGAAUACUAAUAAACCUCUAAAAAGACUGAUGAUGAGAGAGAGUGAGAAAGGUAACAGAAACUAUUAAUGUCAGAACUGAAAAGAAGGACAUCAUUACAGGUCUUUUAGGCAACAAAAACAUAAUUAAAGUAUAUAAAUAAUUUUAUGACAAUCAAGAUGAAGUAGGCAAAUUCCUUGAAGAACACAAAUUACUAAAACUUACACAAUAAAAAAGGGAAAACAACCCUGAAUGUGCCUAUAACUAAAUAUUUAAGAAGUAGACUCUGUUAUCCCAAACCUCAUAAAAAGAAACUCCAAGUCCAGAUGGAUUGACUGGUAAACUUUUCCAAACAUUUAAGGAAGAAAUAAUAUCACUCUUUUACAAAUACUUUGAGAGAAAAGAAAAAACACUUCCCAAGUCAUUUUAAGAUGUCAGCGUAAUCUUGAUACUAAAACCUGGCAAAGACAUUACAAGAAAAAAAGUUACAGAUCAAUCUUUCCUAAACAUUGCUAGACAAGAUUACCACAGAUACAAAUAUCAGCAUGUCAAAUCCAGUUGUAGAUAUGCAGGACCUGAAGUCCAGCAUUCACCUAUCAAACUGUAGUUAACAUUCAAAAAUCAUGCUAUUUUAUUGCCAAAUUAACAAAAAAAAAAUAGGGAAUCACUAAAUAUUUUUAGGAAUAUGGCAAAAGCAUUUGUAAAAUUCAACUACUCAUUCACAAAUUUAAAUAGCUUCCUGAAAUCUAAGAGUAGAACACAAUUUCCUUAAUGUGAUAAAAGAUAUAGAUGAAAUAUUUAAAGCAUUUUCUGUAAGUUAGGGGACAAAGAUUACUACUGUCACCACUAUAUGUUACUAACUUUAUACUACUUGGAGUAUCCAAUGAAAUAAGGUAGGUAGACAGAUAGAUAGAUAGGAAAGGAAAUACACAAAUAUUAUUUAUAAAAGAGAUAUUUAUGCAUAUACAAAUAUUAAAUUAUUUAUAAAUUAUUAGAUUAACAAAUUUAUCAAGGUCACUGGAUAUAAGACCAAUAUGUGAGAAAUAAUUAUAUUUAUAUACCAACAACAGAAAUAGAAAAUGAAUUUUUAAAGGACACCAUUUACAACAGCACCAAAAAAUAUCAGUUUCUAGGAAUAAGUCUAAUGAAAGGUGAAUAUAAAAUCUGCACUAAAAGCUAUAAAAUAUUAUUGAGAAAAACUGAAGAAACUCUAAAUAAGUGAAGGAAUGUACAGAUAAAUUUUGUCAUUUGGUAUCAUAAAAAUGUCAGUUCUCUCCAGAUUAUCUAGAAAUUUAGUACAAUCUGAUAAAAAUCUGGAUUUUUGGUGGAAAUUAAAAAGCGGACUCAAAAAUUCAUGUGGAAAUUUACAAAAUGAACUAGAAUAUGUAAGACUGAUACUGAAGAACAGUGAAGUCGAAGGAUUUACCGCACCAGAUAUUUAUACUUGUUUUACUAUGGUAAUUAAGGCAGUGUGAUAAUUCCAACCAAGACAGUAAAAUAGAAUAGUGAUGGAAAAAACAGAAUCCAGAAAUGGACCCACAUGUAUAUAAUCACUCAAUUACGUCAAAGAUGGUGUUACAGUGCACUUGGGAAAGAAGCUCUUUUCAACGAAGGGUGCUGGAUCAACAGUCUAUCCAGAUGAGAAAAAAAAGUCAAUCUUGACUUCUACCUCAUGUCCUACACACAAAACAAUUCUAGAUUGAUUAUAAAAGUGAAUAUAAAAGGUAAAAAAUAGUAACACUCUUAGAAGAAAACAGGAGAACGAGUCCAUGAUUUUGGUGUAGGCAAAUUUUCUUCAGUGGGACAAAAAAGCACUUACCAUAAAAGAAAUCACUGAUAAAGUUUAGUCUAUUGAAAAGAAAAAUAUAUUUAUCAAAUCAGAACUGAGAGAUUCAAAAAGCAGGCUACAGAUAUGUAGAUGAUACUUCAAUGCAUAUAUAUUUUUUAUUUAUUUUGAGAGAGAGAGAAAGAGCGCACACAAAUGGGAGGGGGGCAGAGGGAGAGGGAGGGAGAGAGAGUCCCAUGCUGAUAGCAGGCAGCCCAGCACAGGACUCAUCCCACGAACCAUGAGAUGGUGACCAGAGCCGAAAUCAAGAGUCAGACACUCACCGACUGAGCCACCCAGGUGCCCCAUAAAUGCAUAUAUUUUAUAAAAGGUUUAGAUGUAGGGGCACCUGGGUGGCUCAGUCAGUUAAGUGUCCGACUUCAGCUCAGAUCAUGAUCUCACGGCUUGUGGGUUCAAGCCCCGCGUCAGGUUCUGUGCUGACAGCUCAGAGCCUGGAGCCUGCUUUGGAUUCCGUGUCUUCCUCUCUCUCUCUCCCCUCCCCUACUCAUGCUCUCUCUCUCUCUCUCUCUCUCUCUCUCAAAAAUAAACAAACAUUAAAAAAAUUUAAAAAGGUUUAGAUCUAGAAUAUGUGAAAUACUCCUAUAAAUCAGUAAGAAAAAAACAGGCAGUACAUUGCACAAAAUGGGCAAAAUCCUUGAAAUAAAUUUUCUAAAUGGUCAAUAAACAUGUGAAAAGUUAUUCAACACCAUUAGUCAUAAUAUAAAUGGGAAUGAAAUCUAACAUGUACCAACCAGCAUGGUAAAAUGAAAAAGAAAAUAUAAAAAUGUAGAUAUGAAGUAACUGGACUUUGAUCCACUGAACAUGGGUAUAAAAUUGCACAGCCAUCUUGCAAAACUAUUUUUCAGUGCUUCAUUAGAUAUGAACAUAUGUAUACCCUACAACCUGGCAAUAUCACUUCUAGCCAGAUACAAAAAACAGGAAUGUAUAUAUAAUCACUAAAAGACAGAUAUUGACAUGUUCAUACCUACAUUAUUGAUAAUGGCUACAAAAUGUCAACAAUCGGGGCGCCUGGGUGGCGCAGUCGGUUGAGCGUCCGACUUCAGCCAGGUCACGAUCUCGCGGUCCGUGAGUUUGAGCCCCGCGUCAGGCUCUGGGCUGAUGGCUCAGAGCCUGGAGCCUGUUUCCGAUUCUGUGUCUCCCUCUCUCUCUGCCCCUCCCCCGUUCAUGCUCUGUUUCUCUCUGUCCCAAAAAUAAGUAAACGUUGAAAAAAAAAUAAAAAUAAAAAAAAGUCAACAAUCAAGUGUUAAAUACCAAAACUGUGGUAUAUUUCUACAAUAAAAUAGAAAUGAAGUGAAUAAAUCUCAAAACAUAAUGUUGAGUUAAAAAAUCUAAGUACAGGGGCGCCUGGGUGGCGCAGUCGGUUAAGCGUCCGACUUCAGCCAAGUCACGAUCUCGCGGUCCGGGAGUUCGAGCCCCGCGUCAGGCUCUGGGCUGAUGGCUCAGAGCCUGGAGCCUGUUUCCGAUUCUGUGUCUCCCUCUCUCUCUGCCCCUCCCCCGUUCAUGCUCUGUCUCUCUCUGUCCCAAAAAUAAAUAAACGUUGAAAAAAAAAAUUAAAAAAAAAAAAUCUAAGUACAAAAGAACUUGUACUUUGGUUUCCAUUUAUAAAAGUUAAAAAAAACAAAAACAAAAACACCUAAGCUCUGCUCUUAAAUGAGGGUAGUUGUUAACUUUGGGAAGAAGAAGGGGUAUAGAGCCUGGAAGGGAGAGCCAGGUGGGGUCAUGUGGUUCUGGUUUCUUGUUCUACAUGAUGGAUAUACAAGGGAGUCUGUAAUAGUUCAUUAGUCUACACAUUGGAGUAUAGGUAGGAGGGAUAGGUAGGAGUCAGAUUGUCUGAAGUUUUCUUAAGGAUUUGGAUUUUAACCCUGAGAGCAAUGGGUAGCAAAUAAAGACACUAUAGAAGAUAGUGUGGUAUAAUCUGAUUUGCAGGUCAGAUAACUUCUUCUACUCCUCUGAAUGGGAUGAAGCUGAAAGCAGAUGGGUUAAAGUGGGGUGUAGGUGGUAGAAAUGGAAAGAAAUUGAAAGAUUUGGGAUCUAUUUGGAAGGUAACCUUGCUGAUAUAUUAGAUAUAGGGGUAAGGUUGAUGGAGUUGCCGAAGAUAAGUCCCAGACUGCUGACUAGUAGAAAGAGGAGUCUGGGGAUUUCAUUCACAGAGAGGGAACACUGAAAUUUGACCUACGUUUGAAGAGACAACGUGAAUUUCCUUGGGCAUGUGUUCAGUUCAAGAUGCCUGUCAGACAUAAAAGCAGAAGUAUCCCCAGGUCAGUUGUGUUUAAAAAUGUGGAGCUCAGAUAAAUCUGACAAUAAGAAUAAAAUCUAACAUAAUUUGGUGCUUUUUUAUUUGCCAAGGACUAUUUUCUGUGCUUUACAUAUCUGAAUGUAUUUAUUCUGCACCAGAACUCCAUGUCAUUGAUGUUAUUAUUAGCCUAAUUUUCCAGAUGAGGGAACAGAGGUACAGAGAAGUUACCUAACCUGCACAUAGUACCUGAUGGUAUUCAGACACAUGUUGUCUGGCUCAAGAGGCUGUGCCCUGAAUCACUAAUUUAAUGAAUAUUUCAAUCACUCAAAAGCACAGAAAAUUCAUUUUUGCCUAAUAGCAAAUCCUGACCCAAUAUGACAUCGUAUUUUUUUUUCCUUAAAUUCAAUACAUGGAACACUGUCCCUUAAAGUAUUCCAUUCUCUGCACCUCAAAGUGUGCAUAUCUCUUCUCUCAGAAGAGAAUGGGCCUCUGCCAUGGGCUGUGCUUUUUUUUUUUUUUUUUUUUUUUUCCCUUUCCUUUCCUUUUCCUUCCCUUCCCUCCCCUCCCCUCCUCUCCUUUCCUUUUCUUUUCUACAACUCUUGUUCUGGUCCUGUCUGAAUAUCAUCAAAACAGAUUCCAUCAAUAUGAGAUUCAUUUCUAGUCCCUCCUCCUGUUUGUUGUUUUUUGUUUUGCAAUGCUAUGCAUUUGUUCCAUUUUGAACACUUCCAAUCUGUAAUUUCAAUAGGAUUUGGAGACGUUAACAAGCUUCCUGAACAAGCUUUAAACCACCUUAAUGCUUUAAGAUUUCAUGAGGAAGAAUUAGAAGUUGUGCUCCAAUGCCAUUAUUCUGAAUGACUCUAAUGUCUGGACACUAAAUCCAAAGUUUUUGUAAUAGCAGGAAAAAAGCCCCACAAAAACUAAUACUUCUAUCCUUACUGGGUGGGGAAAGACUGAUUUCUAAAAAUCAGACCUAAGUACUGCAAGUUACUUUUUUUUUUAUGAUUCCUGUUUUACAUCCCAUUUUAGAUUGGUGCUCAUCAUCCUUCCCCCAUGCUCAUUUCCACUUGGAGCCAUGGCAAAAUGAGAGGGAAAAAAAAUACAUCAGGUCAUCAAAGUGGCAGAUUCCUCAUAAUUGUUAGAGUAAAUAUCCUUGUAGUUUCACAAAAUUACAAUUCCACAUGAUAUCUAUGAUGAAGAUUGUUGUUCUUAUGUUUGUUUUAAUGCUUUUUCUGUGAAGCAGUAAGCUGGAAUUCAUCAAACUCCUCAUUUGAUGAAAGAAGAGACUUAAUAUAUUUAUAUUACCAAGAGACCCAAACAACGAUUCCAAAUAGCAGAGAAGGUAGAAGUGGAAUCCAAAGCUUCAUGAGUUUUCAGUGGUCACUGCAUUUCCAGUUCAUAAUCUGGAUGUGAAUCUCCUAAACUAGCCUAGGAGAGAAAACUUGACCAAGGGCUUCCCAAUUUGUUGCUGCAUUAAUUUGGGUUUCCAAAGGAGCAGAUCUUCAGACAAACAUCUGAGUGAAAAUCAUUUAAUUUGAAGGUCCAGGAACACAUGAAUAGGAGAGUUGGGAAGCGAUACAAAAAAGAGAAGGCAGUGAAUAAAAGAUGUGUUAUGAAGCUACCUAUCAGAGUAGUAACAACAGCAUACUCUGCAGGGAAACUCUCCCCUUUCAUCAAGAGGUGAGGUAAAUAGAGUGUUUACAUAUUCACUUUUAGUCAUUGAUUUAUGACUGCAUGGGAUCUUGACAACAAGAAUGGAUGUUAACAUCCUGGCACUUCUGGUCUGCCAUUUCCAUAGACAGAGCAACCUUUACGGUUACAGAAGAGAAAAACGAUUAUACACACAGAGAUACAGAUACUGUUAGCUGGAAACUAGCUGGAGCACACUGAAAGAUCUAAGGGAUACAAGCUGGUCGCCUACAAUAAUGUCUCUAGAGUUACCAAGAGUCCUCUUAUAAACUUAAGCCCUGUUUGGAAAAUUGAAGAACUAGCCCAAAUCCAGAAUCCAAAUACUGUUAUAAACCAUUUGACUUUUCCCCAGACUCUUACAGACUCCUAGAACCAAAAUUCUUGCUUAGGUACUACCUUGCUUGAGUGUUUUGAAAAAUACUCUAAAAUACUCAAAAUACAAGAGCUGUCUACAUUCAUAAAGCAUAGCCUCGAAAUCUAGUGUGGGUUGCUCUUAUUCUUUCAACAAAUUGACUAAGGGCUUGUUAAAUGUCAGACACUAGAAAAUGCUGGGGUACAGCAAUUAAUAAGACAAAUGAACAGGGCACAAGUAUUAACACCUUAUAAAAGGGAAGUAUAGGGGAUGAUAUAAAAUGAACAACCUUUCUGGUUUUAUUUUUAGAAUGUAGAGUUGAGGUACUAACUUGAAUGUAGAACUGUAGUAAGUUAUGUAAUUUUAAUAAUUAGCUUUCUUUUCUCUGCUGCCUUUCAGUCUCUAGUUAGUUAGUCCCCUCUCUGCUGGAGGAUUUUUCACAGACCACACUUGUAGGUCUUGGUUUGAGAUAUGAUGGAAGAAGACUCUACUUCAGUCGUAUUUGCAUGUAAUGUUAAUACAAAUGCAUAGGCUGAGCAAAAUUAGCGAUAGUAAUUACUGGAAUUUUCAAACUGAAAAAUUGUAAGUGUAAAACUAUUGAAGUAGUCAUUUUUAUCAUGCUGAAAUUGUAAAGUUGUCACAAAAUUUUCUAUGGUCUUCAAAAGUCUUAACUUCAGAGUGCAUCUCCCAAACUCUUUAGCAAUGUGAUCUCAAUUGACCUUGAGGAUGCAUCUCUCACCAUUUCCUAAAUAAGUUACUGUUCUUAUCAAACUGGUGCACCAUGGCUACCAAACAUUCAUUUUACAGCUGUUCCCACCAUGCACCUCCCAGGUUAAGUCAAAAAAAUGCCCUUUCAUCUUCAGUGUUCAGCUUGUCACCUCUCUCAAAUAGAACUUACUCUCGUUCAAAUCUUUCUAAAAUCAUUAUUGUAUCUUUCAUUUGUUACAGUAAGUAUAGUGUUAUAGUAAGUGUAUCUUUCAUUUGUUAUAUAUAUUAUUACACAUGACAUUUAUUUACAUACACAGGCACACACAGCAGCAGUUAAAUCCUACAUUUCUUUAUAAUCCUAUUGCAUUUGGCAAUACCUGACAGACCCUAAAGAUAAUUAUUGUUGUUAUUACUAUUGUUAUUACCUGAGUGACUAGAAUAAAAAUACUGAAUAACAAUUGCAGUAGAUGUUAAGGCUAUGCUUUGUGGAUGUGGAUAGCUAAUAAGCAGUUCUUAGGCUACAUGUCUUUUCAAGUGGGUCCUUUGGAAUAUUUGCCCAAACAUAGUGCUUAUUACUGAUGAAUGUGACAAAAUUCCAUUAAAUUUGAUUCAGGUGAUUGGCAGAAGGAGAGCUCUUGAGUGCUCUUUUAAAUCCGGCUUGCAGUUUAAGAAAUUAGAACCUUUUGCCAUCUGAAGACACAAGGUUUUGCUUAUCCCAUUAUCCAAGUUUAAAUUUUUUCUGUUCAGAUGUGCUACCUCAUAUUACAACCUCUGCUCAAUUUCCUGCAAUAUUCAGUCUGCCUGUAGAUCUCUCAGAAAUCCCAAACCUGUAAAAUUAUUCAAAACAAGGUUUUCUAAGAAAAAAAAAGUCCCCUCACUUUACAUGGAAAAAUAAGUUGUUUUCAUUUGCGUCUACCCUCUGACUGGAAUCUCUGGACCGUAUUGAGAUCUUGGGAGACAAUUUUUUCAAAGGCAGAAGCUGCUCCUCGUUUUCUUAGGAAUUUCUGUUCCCCUUAGAUUUGCUACUUAAUGGCUGCCAUUUUGGAUUAGAUCCCACAGGCACUGUUUCUGUUAUCAAAAGAUAGGCUAAAUUAGGAAAAAAGAAAGGCUACAAUUUAACUGUGUAUCUUGCACUGAUAAUAGCUGAAGCAGAUCCUCUUUCUGCAUUCAAAAUAAAGACCACUAGUCAUUCAUUUCAACUUGACUUGAGGCUUUUCAAACUUCUAUUUUAAUCUGAAACACAUUUCUAAACGUUACUGAUAUUCCAUUCAUGUUUUGAAUUCUAUAAACGGUUUCAAAACCUUAAAACUGCUGUGAAGCAUUGCUUCUUCUGUGGUGCACAUCUGAAAUGCUGGCAGGGGUCAGAGGAAUGAUUUCAUGGGUUUUUUGUUUUGUUUUUUUUUUUUUUUGCAAGAGUUCAAGGGAGAUUUCACUCUUAAAUAUCUAAAAUAUUGGGAGAUUUUAGUUAGCCUGAAUCAAGUCAGUGAACAUGACCUAAAAUGAUAGUCAAAGUUUCUGUAAUAUCCUGAUGAGGAAAAUAUAAUACAGUAUAUUUUAAAUUCUUUAUUGAAAUCACAUCACAAAAUAUUUUAUUAUGUAUUAUGAAUAAUGGAAUUUUAAAUAGAAUUUGUAAAGGCCUGUGCAGUAUUUCACGUGAAUAUGCCACUGACAUCACAACCUCAAGUUUGAAAUAGUUAACAGCCCUCACCUAAAUUAUUUCUUACUUCUAAAAUAAAACAAUACAUACGUCUGACUUCGGCUCAGGUCAUGAUCUCGCAGUCUGUGAGUUUAAGCCCCACGUCGGGCUCUGUGCUGACAGCUCAGAGCCUGAAGCCUGCUUCGGAUUCUGUGUCUCCCUCUCUCUCUGCCCCUCCCCCACUCACCUCUGUCUCUCUCUCCUUCAAAAAUAAACAUUAAAAAAAAAUUUAAAUAAAACAAUACAUGUGUGUGUGUGUCUGCGUGUGUUUAUGAUGCCAGUAUCCUUUCAAUUACUCAGUCUGAGAAUGUUUAAGUUACAUUUUAUUUCCUUUAUCAUCCUUGGGCCCCAUUCCAAUCGGCCUCAAGAUUCUAGCCUCUCUCUAUAUAUAUAUUUUAAAUGUUUAUUUAUUUAUUUUGUGGGGCAGAUAAAGAGAGAGAGAACCCCAAGCAGGCUCUGUGGUGUCAGUGCAGAGCCUAACACAGGGCUUGAUCCUACCAACUAUGAGAUCACGACCUAAGCCAAGACCAAGAGUUAGAUGCUUACCUGACUGAGCCACCCAGAUGCCCCUCAAAAUUCUAGUCUAUAUUAAUGUGCACAUUAUUUUUCUCUAAUUUAUUCUCUCUUCCACUGAAAUAGUUUAAGCAUUCAUUUAUCUCCUAAAAAUUAAAAUAUUUGUUUUUGUGAUUAGACUGGAAAAAUAAUCCAUAUGCCUCCUUGAAUAUUUGGAAAACACAGAAAAGAAGCAAACAGAACUAUGUGUCCUCCACAACCAAGAAACAAAACACAGGCAUUUUGUUUUAAGUUUUUAUUUAGAUUCCAGUUAGUUAACAUACAACAUUAUAUUAGUUUCAGGUGUACAAUAUGGUGAUUCAACAUUUCCAUACAACACCCGGCGCUCAUUACAAGAAGUGUACUCCCUUAAUCCCCAUCACCUAUUUAACCCACUCCCCCGCCCAUCUCCCCUCUGGUAAUCAUCAGUCUGUUCUCUGUAGUUAAGUCUGUUUCUUAGUUUGCAUCUCUCUCUUUUUCCCCCCUUUGCUUGUUAGUUUUGUUUCUUAAAUUCCACAGACUAGUGCAAUCAUAGUGCAAUCUGUCUUUCUCUGACUUAUUUCACUUAGUUUAACACUCUGUAAGCUCCAUCGACAUUGUUGUGAAUGGCAAGAAUUCAUUCUUUUCUAUGGCUGAGUAAUACUCCAUUUGUGUGUGUGUGUGUGUGUGUGUGUGUGUGUGUGUGCGCGUGCACUCACGUACACAUCUUCUUUAUCCAUUCAUCAGUUGAUGGACCCUUGGGCUGUUUUCAUAAUUUGGCUAUUAUUGAUAAUGCUGAUGUAAACAUUGGGGUGCAUGUACCCCUUUGAGUUAGUAGUGUUUUUUGUUUUAAUGUUUGAGAGAGAGUAUGAACACGCAUGUGCAGAAGCAGGGGGAGGGGCAGAGAGAGAAGAGGAAAGACAGAAUCGCAAGCCAGCUCCACACUGUUGCCAUCAGCUCAGAGCCCAAUGUGGGGCUCAGCUCAAGCUCACAAACCUGUAAGAUCAUGACUGAGCCAAAAUCAAGAGUCAGACACGAACUGAGCCACCCAGGCAACCCUGAAUUAGUAUUUUUGUAUUCUUUGGGUUCAUACCUAGUAGUACAAUUGCUGGAUUGUAGGGUCGUUCUAUUUUUAACUUUCUGAGGAACCUCCAUACUGUUUUCCAAAGUGGCUGCACCAGUUUACAUUCCCAUCAACAGUGCAAGAGGAUUCCUUUUUCUCCACAUCCUCGCCAACACUUGCUGUUUCUUGUGUUGUUGAUUUUUGCCAUUCUUACAGCUGUGAGGUGAUCUCUCGCUGUAGUUUUGAUUUGUAUUUCCCUGAUGAUCAAUGAUGUUGAGCAUCUUUUCAUGUGCCUGUUGGCCAUCUGUAUGUCUUGUUUGGAUAAAUGUCUGUUCAUGUCUUCUGCCCAUUUUUAAAUUGUGUUUUAUUAUCCUCUUGUCUCGGUUAUGCAUAUUUAUAUUUGUAAUGAUUGCAUAGUAUUACAUACUGUGGGUGUGUCAACAUUUAACCAUUCUCCUAUUAUAAGACAUGUAGACUGUUUCCAAUUAUCCCCUAUUGCCCAUGUUGCCAAAAUGCACAAUAUUAUAUGUACAAAUUUUUCCACAUCUUUAUGUCUUAUAUCUAGACUACUUAAAGUAGGUUACUUUGGUAAGAGAAUAUUCUAUUCUCGUACUUUAAACUUCUCUUUUUGUUCCUUUCAAAGAAAAUAUUUAGACAUCUAAAAUUUAUUUUGGUGUAUAAUUUGAGGGUUAUUUUUAGGAGUUAUUUUUUCUUCCAUUAUUUAUUGUAUAAUACAUUACCUUGUGACUUGUUCUUUGUGAUUUUUUUUGUAUUAUGCAUGUAUAUGUUGCAGGUCUUUUUUAUGAGUAUGUAUUUGACUGUGUUGAUCUGCUUACGAUUGCACAAAAACAAUUCUUCCUUGACUUACAAUGGGAUUACAUCACGAUAAACCCACUGUAAAUUGAAAAGAUCAUUAGUCAAAAAUGCAUUUGAUGCACCUAACCUAGUGAACAUCAUAGCUUAGUCAAGGCAAACUUCAGUGUGUUAAGAACACUUACAUUAGUCUGCAGUUGUGUACAAUCAUCUAGUACAAAGCCUAUCGUAUAAUAAAGCCUAUCAUGUAAUGUACUGAAUACUAUACCAUAAGUGAAAGACAGAAUGGCUGUAUGGGUACGGAAUGGUUGUAAGUGUGAUGGUUGUUUAUUCUUGUGAUCACAUGGCUGACUGCAAGCUGCAGCUCACUGACGCUGCCCAGCAUUAUGCAAGAGUAUCAUACUAUAUAUCACUGGCCCAAGAAAAGAUCAAAAUGCAAAGGACAAAGGUACAAAGUGAAUGUGCAUCACUUUUGUACCACCGCAAAAUCCAAAAAUUGUUAAGUUGAAUCAUCAUAAGUUGAGAACUGUCUGUACAGCACCAUUUUGUUGAUAUUUACUAGGAAUAUGUUUUAGUGUUUGCUGGGGAAAGUACUCAUUAAUAUUCUUUAUUUUUCUUAUUCACUCUUAUUUACUCUUUGAGAUUUUUUUUUUAAUUUCAGAAAAAGAGAAAAAAUGCGUGAGUCGGGGAGAGGGGUAGGGGGAGACAGAGAGAAACCCAAGCAGGCUCCACACUCAGUGUGGAGCCUGAAACAGAGCUCAUUCCCACAACCCUGGGAUCAUGACCUGAGCUGAAAUCAAGAGUUGGAUGCUUAACUGAUUGAACCACCCAGGCCACCACUCUCCUUGAGAUUAUUUUGGCUUCAUUCUGUCAAGUUCAUAUGUAAGAGGAAAAACUCUUAUUAGGAACUGAUUUUUUUUUUUUUUUGGAAAAUAGACUUUAUAUUUUAGAGCAAGUUUUAGAUUUACAACAAAAUUGAGCAGAAAAUACAGAGUUCCCAUGUACUCCCUGCCCUCACACGUUGAUAGCCUCCUCCAUUAUCAAUAUCCCCCACCAGAGUGAUACAUUUGUUAUAGUUGAUAAACUCAUAUUGACACAUUAUUAUCACCCAAACUCUGUAGUUUACAUUAGGGUUAACUCUUAGUGUUGUACACUCUAUGGAUGUUGAAAAAUGUAUAAUGACAUGUAUCCAUCAUUAUAGUUUUAUACAGAGUAUUUUCACUGCUCUAAAAGUCCUCUGUGUUCUGCCUGUUCAUCCCUCCCUUUCUCCAACCCCUGGAAACUGCUCUUUUUACUGUCUCCAUAGUUUGCCUUUUCCACAAUACCAAACAGUUAGAAUCAUACAGUAUUUAGCCUUUUAAGAUCAGUUUCUUUAUGGGGCGCCUGGGUGGCUCAGUUAGUUAAGCGUCCGACUUCGGCUCAGGUCAUGAUCUCACGGUCUGUGAGUUCAAGCCCCGCGUCGGGCUCUGUGCUGACAGCUCAGAGCCUGGAGCCCAUUUCAGAUUCUGUGUCUCCCUCUCUCUCUGCCCCUCCCCUGUUCAUGCUCUGUCUCUCUCUGUCUCAAAAAUAAACAAACAUUAAAAAAAAUUUUUUUAAAAAAAGAUCAGUUUCUUUCUUAGUAAUAUGCACUUAAAUUUCCUCCAUGUCUUUUAAUGGCUUGAUAGCUCAUUUCUUUCUAGUGCUUUGUAAUAUUCAAUUGUUUGAAUAUACCAGAAUUUAUCCAUUCACCCACUGAAAGACAUCUUUGUUGCUUCUAAGUUUUGGCAAUUAUGAAGCUUCUGUGAACAUCAAUGUGCAGGUUUUUGUGUUUACAGAACUUUUCAAAUAAUUUGGGUUAGAUACCUAGGAAUACAAUUGCUUGAUUGUAUGGGCAGACUAUGGUUAGCUCAUAAAACUAGUGCUAUAUUGUUUUAAGUGGCGGUAUCAUUUUGCAUUUCCAGAAGAAAUGAUGAGAGUCCCUGAAAGUUCAUGUCCUUGCCAGCAAUUUGGUGCUACUACAGUUUGGGGACUUUAGCUAUUCUAAUAGAUAAAUAAUAAUAUCUCAUUGCUGUUCUGAUUUGUAAUGUCCUAAUGGCAUAGGACACUGAGAAUCUUUUCAUAUAUUAUUUGCUUUCUGUAUGUAUUUUUAAAUGAGUUGUUCAUUCAGAUCUUUUGCUUAUUUUUACACUGAGUUGUCUGUUUUAUUAUUACUGAAUUUUAAGAGUUAUUUGUAUCUUUUGAUAUUUCUUUUAUGGGAUAUGUGUUUCGCAACUACUGUCUCCCAAUCUGUAGCUUCUCUCUUCAUUCUCAUAAUGGUGUCGUUCACAAGGCAGGUCCCACUCCCCAGCUUUUUUUACUUUAAUGAUGUUCACCUUAUCAUAUUUUAUUUAAUGGAUCAGGCUUUUAGUGUUGUAUCUAAGAACUCAUCACCAAAACCCAAGGUCACACUAAUAUUAUUUUAUUUCCUAGAGGUUUUAUGGUUUUGCAUUUUCCACUUAGGUCUAGGAUCCAUUUUGAGUUAAUUUUAUGUCUAUAUUCAUUUAUUUCUGAAUAUGAAUGCCCAGGUGUUCCAGUACCAUUUGUUGAAAAGACUGUCCUUUCUUCAAAGAAUCACCCUUGAUCCUUUGUCAAAGGGCAGUUACCUAUAUUUGUGGGGUCUAUUUCUGAGGUCUCCAUUCUGUUCCAUUUACUACUUUUAUAUUCUUUGGCCAAUGCCAUACUGUAUUGAUUAUUGUAUGUUUACAGUAAGUUAUCAAGUUGGGUAGCAAUGGUCCUUUCACAUUGAUCUUGAUAUUUUUUUUGUUUGCUAUUCAGACUCUCAUUGGAUUGGAUGAUGCCCACCUGCUUUACUGAGCAGAUUAAUACAUGCUAAUGUCACACAGAAACACCCUCACAGAUAUACCCAGAAAUAAUUUUUAAUCUGGGAUCCUUGUAGUUAGUCAAGUUGACACCUAAAAUUAACCAUCAUAGAGAUAAAGCAACUAGUUUCUCAUCUGUACGUAUGAUGUUAACUAUGGGUUUUAUGAAGUUGCUUUUAUCAAGAUUCAGAUGUUCUUCCCUAUUCUUAAUUUGUUAAGAGUUUUAUCAUGAAUGUGUGUUGGACUAUUUAAAACACUUUUCUGCAUCUACUGAUAGAAUCAUAGAUUUUUCUUUAUUCUCUUUAUGUGAUAAAUUAUAUUACUUGAUUUUCUAAUAUUGAAUCAGUCUUGUAUCACUUAGAUAAAUCCCACUUAGUCAUGGCAAAUAAUUCUUUUAAUACAUUGUUGGGUUCAGUUCAUCAAUAUUUGCUAAGAAUUUUUGCAUCCAUGUUCAUGAGAGAUACUGGUGUUUUGCUUUCCUCUAGUGCUUUGUUGGUUUAGCCUCACAAAUGAGUUAGGAAAUAUAUUCUCUUUCCUUUUAUUUUCUGGAAAAUAUUGCAGAAUUUUUGAGAGAGAGAAAGAGAGCAUGAGUGAGGGAAGGGCAGAAAGAGAGAGGGGGAGAGAGGAUCCAAAGCAGGCUCUGCACUGACAGCAGAAAGCCUGACGCAGGGCUUGAGCUCAUGGACUGUGGAAUCAUCACCUGAGCUAGAGUCAGACACAUAAUUGACUGAGCCAGAUAGGUGGUGUAAUUUCUUAAAUGUCUUGUAGAAUUCACCAGUGAACUUAUCUAAGCCUAGUGAUUUCUGUUUUAGAAAGUCAUUACUUAUUCAAAAAUUUUAAUGCAUAUGAGACAAUUCAGAUUGUUUCCCCUUUUUUGAGUUUUGUCAGAUAGUGUUUUUCAAGGAAUUGGUUCAUUUUAUCUAGGUUUUCAAAUUUGUGGACAUAUAGGCAUUCAUAAUAUUCUUUUAUUAACUUUUUUAUAUUCAUGGGUUCAGUGGUUAUGGCCCCUCUCUCAUUUCUGAUAUUAGUAAUUUCUGUCUUCUUUAUUUUUUCAUAGUUAGCCUGGACAGAGGUUCAUCAAUUACUGAACUUUGAAAGGAACAAAUCUUUGCUUUUGUUGAUUUCUCUAUUGUUUUCCUGGUUUCAAUUUAAUUGAAUGCCACUCUAAUGUUUCUUCUCUGUUCUCUUCUGCUUGCUUUAAGUUUAUAUUGCUUUUUGUUCUUUUUUUUUUUUAAGUUUCCUAAAUUGGAAACUUACUGAUUUUAGAUCUUUCUUCUUUUCUAAUAUAUUUUCAGUACUAUGCAUUUCCCUCUUGGAACUGCUUUGACUGUAUCCUCCAAAUUUUGAUAAACUGUAUCCUCAUUUAAUUUCAUUAUAAUUAUUUCUUCAGACAACUUAAUUGACCCAUGUGUUAUUUAGAAGUAUUUUAUUUUCAGGUAUUUUAAGAUUUUUCAGCUAUUUUUAUGUUAUUUAUUUCUAGUUUAAUUCCACUCUGGUCUGAGAACAUAAUUUAUUUGAUUUCUAUCCUUUUAAAUUAAUUGAGGUGUGUUUUAUGGCUCAGAACGUGGUGUAUCUUAUAAAACGUUUCAUGUGAGCUUGAGAAGAAUUUGAUGUGUAUUAUGCUGCUAGUGAUGAAGUAUUCUAUAAAUGUCCAUUAGAUAUAUUUGUGCACAUAUAUAGUAAAAGACAAUGGAAGCUAUAAUAUGCCAAUAAAUAGUAUAUAGUUUGUUAUAACAUACAGUAACAGUGAAGGAUAUUUUAAAGGAACUUAGGGCAAGAAGGAAAAUUUAUGGGUCUCACAGUGUUUUUGAAGAAAGUACUAAGAAACUAGGCUAUUGGACUUCUGUGUGAAAUAUACUUUGCUAAGGAUAUUAUGAAAACACAAAGAAGGUAUACUUUACAGGCCUAAUGACAUUCAAAAUAAGAUCUACUUUAUAAGCAAUAAAUGACAAGGAAAAGAGGGUAGGGAGAGUGUUUCAGUCUAAGAGAAGAGCGUCUGGGCAAAUUCUCAAGCAACACCAAGCAUGGUAAAGUUAAGAAGCUGGAAGGAGAUUCCUGGUGUGGAGAGGGCAGUAGAUAGAAGCAAGGCUAGAGAAGAGAUCUGGAACUGAGUCAGUCUAAAUAUAAUAAAAAGAUAUUUACAGGUUUAAAUGUAGGAGUGACAUGUUAGGAAUUUGACUUCAAGAAGGUUAUUCUGGCUGUUGAUGAAAGAGUGGACUGGAGGUGAAAAUAGACUGGAGUGAAGGAAACUAACUAAACAAUUAUUUAAGUAGUCCCAGUGAGACAUGGUGGGAAUCUGGACAAGAAUAAUGGCAGCAGUGAAUGUGGACCUCUUAGUUAGUAUCCUAUUGCUUUGAAACAUUUCUCUAUGGCCUUUGUGGUAGUUUAAUCUUUUCCACAAGUCACUGCAGCACUGUGUCCCAUGCUUCAUGUUCUGCAGUGUGGCCUUGACCCUCCCUUAUCAAAGGUAGAGUCUUCUUCCCUCCAGUUGAAUUUGGGUUGGCCUUAGUGACUUGUUUGACCAACAGAAUAUGACAGAGUAAUUUCUUGGCCUUCAAGGUUAGGUCAUAAGAAGCUUCGUGGCUUCUCCCUGGGUCUCUUAGAAUGCUUGCUCUUGAUACAUUCCCUCUCAGAGCCCAUGUCUUGCUGACAGAAUCCCAAACUACAUGGAGAGGUGUCUGACACCCCUAGUGACAGGUUAGUUUUAGCUGAAAUCCUGGUUGACCUACAACUGCCAGACAUUCUUAGCACCUAUUUCAGUUGAACCUUCAGAUGAAUGCAGUCCAUGCUGACUACUGACUGCACUGCUUAAGAGACUCUAUGAAAGAACUGUCCAACUGAACCCAGUUAGCCCUCGGAAAUCUGAAGGAUAUUAAUCAAGUAUUAUUUUAAGCCACUAAGGCUUGAGAUGCUUUGUUCCAUAGUAAUAACAACAAAAAAAUGUCUUCAACAUUUGCUAUAGGCAGGUCUUAACCCUUCCUAUCCAAAUGUACUUCCUAUACCUCUUUUCUGUUGCUGAUCAACUGUAACUGACUUCAUUUGGCCAAAUGAUUCUUCUCCUUAAACUUUCAACCUUAAACUUUCUCUCAAGAUAAUUUGUUCUUUUCCCCUACUAGACAGUAAAAAGAAAAAUUCACUUCUGAGAAAAAACAGUAUUGAAAAGAGUGAAUUUAUUAAUCAUGUGUUCUUGCUGGGUAUCUUUUGUUCUCAGAAUAAUGUAUUUGAUUAUUUUAUUUUAAAUUACUUUUAAUGCUCAUUAUGAGACAGGAGUAAGCUUAAUUAGAGACACAAAGAUAAGUACAGGAACUCAAACUAGGAAUGAACUAAAUUACAAUAAAAACAACAUCUUUGAAGCUUAAUAUUCCACAAGUUUAGGCCAAUUUCUUUAUUUACUUGAUUUUCCAUUUAACAUUCCAAUUUGAGAGAAAUGCUGAACUGUAUCCAAUAUGGAUUACAUAUUCUUCAUCUAAUUAUAACUUGGUAUCUAACAUUACUGUCAAAAUUUAAUGCUAGGGGAUUUUUUUGUGGUUAAAUUAAAAACACAGAAAUUGUGAAGUUCUGAGGAAAAGAGGAGCUUAUAAAAUGAAAGCCAAAAUUUGCAUAACAAUUGCAUAUACAUGCACACAGUAAUUACACCAUAUUUAUUCCUAUGCAUUUUUCACUGUCUAGGCAAAGCUUAAGACUUUAUUGAUUUCUAAGAAACUGGAAUUAAUUGAUAAUAUGAUAUUAAAUACUGAAAAAUGAAUUUGUUCAUGAAUAUUUAGUACUCUAGAGACUGGGAGGAUAAAAUAAUUACUAAGAUAUCAUCUGUACACUUGAAAAACAUCUGGUCCUGGGUGGGAGACAGACAUAUUAAGCAAUAAUGUGCUAUGGCAAAGCCAAGUACUAAGCCAAGCUCAAAGGUUAAGGGGCACAUAGAAAAGAAAAUAACCAGCUCUACCUUGGGAAUAAAUGGGGAUGGGUGGAGCAGGAGCUACAUUUAAUUAAGUAUAGAAAAGGGGGAAAAGGCAUUCCAGGAAAGGGAACUAACCAGGCAAAGACAAGGAGUUACAAAUGUGUCUAUGGUGUUAGGACAAAGCUGAGAAAUUAGGUUCACCUGGAACUUACACUGUGGAAUCAUGGGAGUGGUCAGAGAUGAGUCUGUGAAGGUAAGCUUGAGGCCAAUCAGGGACACUGUUCAACAUGUGAAGGAGUCUGAGUUUUACCCUGUACUUAACUGUAGUUAAUUAGAAUCCAAAAGAACAUUUCCUUAGCAUAAAAGUGGUAGAAACUGAUUGCUGUUUUAAAAUCAUAAUUCUAGGACUAUUAAGGAGGAAGAGACCAGUCCCAGAAGUAUAUGUGAGUGAAUGGUACACUGAAAUCUUUUCCAAUUCCAAUUUCACUCUCAAUUCCCUAGAAGACUAUUUCAUGCCAUCUUUUUUUCUCCUCUAAUUUUUAAUACUGAUCAGCUUUCCUAGAUGACAAUUUUGCCUGUUACUGAACAGAGAAAAACAGAGCAUUCUGAAUAGAGAAGUUCCACAAUAUCUGUCCUCCACCUACACUUGCACCCAUGCCUUCUCCCAUCUCUUCCAUCUCAGGACAAACUAUCCAUACUCCUAACAAAGGCCAAAACUUCUACUUGUGCACUAGAUUCUAUCUUAUGUGCCCUACUCAAAUGCUUUUCUCUUAUUUAAGCAUAAUCAAAUUAUCCUGUUACCAGCUCUUUUCUACCAACACAAAAUGCUCAUUUCUCCCAUUUUAAGAUACAAACAUCCUUUGAGUGCACUUCUUUAUUUUCCUAUUUCCCCUAACAACAAAGUUCCUCAAAAAAAUUGUCUAUACUCAAAAGUCUCCAAUUUCUCUCUUCUCUUUCAUCAAACCACCCAAGCAGGUUUUCUACCAUUCCACUGAAAUGAAACUCUCUUAGCUCUGUCAUAUUUUAUCCUCUAUCCUCAUUUUACUUUUCAGCAUCACAUCAGUUGAUCAUUCAUUGAUACUGGAGUCACUUUCUUAACUUGUGUUCCGAGACUCCAGUCUCUUAUUGGCAGAUCCUUUUUAGGUUUUCUUUAUCUAACCUGGCCUUUGAAAUUUGGAAUCUUUUGUGAUUCGGUCCUUGAACAUUUUCUCUUUCCUAUUUAUGACCACUGUCUUGGUGUUAGAUUUACUGCCAUUAGACUAAAUGAUAUCUAUAUACUAAAGAUACCCAAAUUCCUAUCUGUCCAGGACAAAAGAACCACAAAUCCAACAACCUACUCAAUAGCUCCACCUAGAAAUCUAAGAGUAAUCUCAAACUUAGGUACAAGAUUAGGACUCUUUGAUCUCCCCUACUGAAACCUAUCUAGUCACAGUCUUCCCUCAUCUCACUUAUUGACAACUCCAUCUUGUUUCUCAGACCCCAAACUAAACUAAAAUUGUUAAUAAUCUAAACUUCUCAUUUACUUCAAUAGUCCAUAAUACAACCCAUCUGCAAAUAGUAGUGACUUUACCUUCAAAAUAUACACAUAAUCUGACCACUAUCACCACCUUCACUGCGAACACACUGGUGUUACAACAAAUUAGUCCAAUCCACCCUCAUCUCUGGCGAAAAUUAUUGCAGUUUUCUAACCAGCCUUGUUGCUUUGGAUGUUAGCCCCCCAAAAGCUCUUCUCAAAAGAGCAAUUGGGGUUUUACAGUUAAAACAUAGUCAGAUCAUAUCUCAUCUCUACUCAAAAAUCUUAUCUCAUUCCAGGUAGACACUAAAGUUCGUAGAAUAGCCAGCAAAGCCCUGCAUGCUGAGAUUUUCCCUCCAACCCAUUGCCACUUAGACCUCAUAUUUUCUUACAUUGUUUCUUUAAAAUCUUUUUCAUCUCUAUUGGCCCUUUACCUGUUCCUUAAACUUUCCAUAUGUGCUCUUGCCUCUAGACCUUUGCCUUGAUGUUCCUUUUACCUUGAAUCUGUUUCUACAGGUAUCCACAAGAUUCCCAUACCUUCUUUAGGACUUUAAUCAGAGCUCAUUUUCUCAAAGAAAUUUUGAGUAAUCCUCUCUAAAAUUGUGACUCCUACCUGUUGACCCUUUUAAAAUCUUUUCCUGGUUUAAUUAUGUUAAUAAUACUUGUAACCACCCAAUGUUCUACUUAUAUUACUUAUUUUAUAUCACUAAAUGUUUAUUUACCCACCCAUCCUCAUAAAUGCAAUGUAAAUUCCAGGAAGGCAGUAAUUUUCAUCUGUUUUGAUUAUUGCUUUGUUCCCAUAACUUGAUUGGUUUCCAGACAAAUAAUGGUCAUUCAAUAAAUACCUGCUUAAUGAAUUAAAAAAUAUGCAACUGCAAAAGAAUAAUAAACACAGAUGACAGGUUGAGAAAAAUAAAACAUAUAUGUUGUGGAGAAGAGAUUAAUUUUAGUACUUUUGAAGAGAUCUUAUAAAUUGCUAAGGCAAAGACCAUAUACCAGUAGAAAAAUAAACACAUGUAGCCUUAAAACAGAAAAAAAAAACAAUUAAAAUCAUGAGUAAUUAAAAUAUACAAAGUAAAACAAUUACACACAAUAUUUAUACUUGCAAAGAUUUAAAAGAAAUACAAGACUAUGGUAGAUGAAACUAAGAACUGAGAAUUCUGUUUAACUGAAAAGAGAAAAUAUAAAUGAGUUCAAAUAGGGGAAAUUGAAAACAUGCAUAACAAUCUUAAUAAGGGUAUACCUUUCUUUUUUUUCAAAAAUUUUUAAUGAUUAUUUAUUUUAGAGAGAGAGAGACAGUGCAAACAGUGGAGGGGCAGACAGAGAAGGAGACAUGCAAUCUGAAGCAGGCUCCAGGCACCAACCUGUCUGCCCAGAGCCUGAUGCGGGGCUCAAAAUCAUGAGAUCAUGACCUGAGCCAAAGUUGGAGCCUCAACCAACUGAGCCACCCAAAUGCCCCAAAGGUAUACCUUUCAAUGUAGAAAACCACUUCUUGGAAGUUCUUUAGUUCUCCUUCAUUCACUAAUAUGCAAAGUAUGUGGGCAGAAUGGAGAGCAAAAACAAAAGUUCUCUUCCCCUAUCAAAUUUAAUGUUGUUACAGAAAAUAAUAUAAAUUAUAACUGGAACACUUUUAGAAAAGAAACACAUUUAUACAUGGUGCUGUAAGCAUUUAUGAAUAGGUAUCUGAUCUACUUUAGAGGUCAGGAAGAACUUUCAAAAAUAAAUUAUUUUUAACCUCAUAUCAUUUGAUAAGUAGCAUUAGAAGUCCAAGCAAGAGACGAGGGUGAUUAGAUACAUGUUGUGGACUAUUUAUUGUCAGGCACUGUGCCAAGCACUGGGGCAAAAUUAUGAAUAAAGCAGUUAUGGCUUCAGCCCUCAUGGUACCCACAUUUAUUGGGGGUAAUUGUGGUUUGGGUAGGAGAUAGCUGUUGAGAUUACAAGAAGAAUGUAGAUUUGAGAUAUAUUUUUGGAUCAUUAUACAAAGGGCUUGAUAAGAAAUUUGACUCUGUCAGUAAAGGAAAGGCAGGAAUCCUAGAUCACCUUAAUGAUUUUAAAUUACCCCUAGGUGACGGUAUGCCAUUUACUGGGAUAGGAAGACAGGUGUUAGUGGAGGGGGAUAGCAAUGGUUCUAUUUCAGAUGUAUCAAUUUUGUACUGUUUCUGAGACAUCAAUACCAGUUGACAAGAGCCAUUUUUCUAAGAGUCUAAAGCUAAGAAAAGAAGACUAGUUUGGUUGUGUGAAUCUGGAAGAUGCUUAAAGAGGUAACACUUAGAAAACCUAAGGAAAACAUGGGAACAGAAAAGUGAAGGAAACCUUAGAGAAGUGAAGAGAAGAGAACAUGAGAGACAGGGAGGGAAAAGAGUAGAGAAGCAAAGGAGAAGAAAAAGGAAAAUUCAAGAUGAAGGGAAUUAACAAGGCUCCGGAUACAUUAAUACACUUGGAGUCUGGCCAGCAGACACAGUAAAGGAGAGGGAGAAGAAGAGUGGCCAAAAAAGAGAUGGGGUAAUGAGAUUCAAAGUUUGGCUGCUAGAACUGACCUUCAAUAGAGAAGUGGAACAGUGUGGGAGAGCACCUUCUUUAUUUUCAGAGAAGCAAAGACAGGCCAGGAGUGUGUGUGUGUGUGUGUGUGUGUGUGUGUGUGUGUGUGUGUAAGUUUCUCACUGGCAGUGGAGGUUGGAGGGAUUACCUUCUGAUGGCUAUUGUAUUCUCUAUGAACUGUGAGGUUCAGUCAUCUGCUGAGAGUCUGGAGGGAAGUGGGGAAAGAUUUGAUGGUUCAAGGAGGCUGAAGAUUUUGGGGCGCCUGGGUGGCGCAGUCGGUUAAGCGUCCGACUUCAGCCAGGUCACGAUCUCGCGGUCCGUGAGUUCGAGCCCCGCGUCGGGCUCUGGGCUGAUGGCUCGGAGCCUGGAGCCUGUUUCCGAUUCUGUGUCUCCCUCUCUCUCUGCCCCUCCCCCGUUCAUGCUCUGUCUCUCUGUCCCAAAAAUAAAAUAAAACGUUGAAAAAAAAAAUUUAAAAAAAAAAAAAAGGAGGCUGAAGAUUUAAAAUAAUCAGUGUGUAGAGGGGAUAAAGUAUUGCCAAAUAGAAGAGUUUGAGAGCCUAUGUGAUAUAACUAUGAAUAUUUUGUGAAAUCAACUUUUCUGUCCUGAUUUUCACUAGCAGACCUCAUCUGCAACCAAGAAGGAACAGAAAUAAAAUAAGCUAUGCUGGAUUUGGGGCACUUGAAUGUGAUGAAGAAUACAGAGUACCAAACAAGGGAUUUAAUUUGUUGACAAGAAUUAUAUUGAAUUAUGAGCUAUGCAUACAAAGAAUUACAUAAUCAACUUUGUUCAUAAAAUAAAAAAUGAAAAUUCCGUAGAAAGAUUCAUCAAUAAGGGAUUACACAUAUUUAGAUAUACAGUAUGAAAGAUGAUCAAACAGCAAUUGCAAAUGAUGAUGAUCUCUUUGUUUACUGACAUGGACAUACAUCCAACAUAUAUGGUUAGGUAUGAAAUUCAGGCUACCAAGGUACAUAUAAAGAAUUAUUUCAUUUCUAUUUAAAAACAAUUCUUUGAUACCAAGUGUUGGCAAGGAAGUAGAGCAACUGGGACUCUCAUGUCCUGCCAGGGAAAGUGUAAAUUAUUAUAGUAAUUUUGGAAACUCAUUGUCAGUGUUUAUUAAAAAAAAAUAUAUACACACUCCUAGAAUCCAGCUAGCAAUUCUCCUCAGUAUAUAACAAACAGAUACAGGUUCCUAAGCUCUGCAUAAAGCAUGCACUAAACUUUCAUAGCCCUAAACACGAAACAGUCCAAUGACAAAAUGGUUAAAAAACUGUGGCACAUUAUAUAAUGCAAAUAUAUAUCAAUGAGAAGAAACAAAUUACAAUGAGAAGUAACACUAUGAGUAUAUCUUAUGAGCAUAAUCUUCUACAACAUUAGCCAACAUGAAAGAAUACAUAAUGUGUGAUUCUAUCCAUAUAAUAUUCAGAAACAGGAAAAACUUCUCAGUGGUGUUAGGAAUUGGAAAAUUUACCUUUGGUAGAGAAAGGUAGAGAAAUGCUGGAGUUCAAAACUGUUCUGUCUCUAGUUUCAAAAAUGUUUAUGUGUUCACUUUCUGUAUCAUGCUAUGCUUUAAUAACAAUUACAUAAAGAUAGUCCUCACAUAAAAAAAUCUGCAAAGAAAUAUAUCCAUAGGUUAAUAGCUGUGUGAUCUGUAUAAGUUUAUUGGUGAUUUCUAUAUUUUCUUUAUACAUUUUGUUCCACGUGGAUUUUUAUAGUACAAGUGUAUUACUUUUAUAUGCAGAAAAACAAUGAAGCCCUUUGCUUUUUUUUAUAUGUGCUAAAUGUGGUUUGAAGAAUAGCCACUCUAAAAGUAUGUAGUUCAUUUUUCAUAUUCAGAAAAAAAAUACUUUACCUCUUCAAAUACUUCUAGGAUACUGAAAAAGAAAAUUAAUAUCAAUUCUUAUUAUUUCAGUCUGUUGUCAACAUUAGACCUUAAUAAUUUAAUUUCUAACACAUUUAAAGUUUAGUCUAAUACUAAAACAAAUUGUUUGCCUAUUUCUGGCAUUAAUUUUUUAAAUAGGGCAGGUCCAUCUAUUAAAACUGAGCUAAUCUCCUUAAAUUCUUUACUGUGAACUCAUUUUUUAAGACACCUACUUAUAUUUCACCUCUAAUGGAACGGGAGAGGAUACUGCAGAAAAUACUCAAUUAUUGUUAAUCCCCUUCUUUCCCAUGCAAGUCAUAUCAAUCUUGUUAAGUUUUUUUUCCUCCAUAGUGCAAGGGUCUAUUUAACGAAAUGCAUGUGGUUAAGUUUGUUGCUCUAAUAAAGUUCAAGAGGAUGGAGUUAAAUUAGUACAGGGUAAUUACUUAUAAUUAGAUAUUCUUAAUGGAAACUGAGUAAGUCCUAAGUUAUUCUAAAAACUUGCUUGCUUAAAUGUGCUGUUCCAUUGGCAACCUCUCUAUGCCCUCCCCACAUGGAAAGAAGAAAACUGCUUUCCAGUUUUCAAGGCAGAAUUCCAUUUGCCAUAGAAAAUACUCCAAGGCACACUCUGAGAAAGUUUCUAAACAGUUAUUGUUCAUUAAACUAAAGAACAUCUAACUAAAACCUUGAAAUUUAGACUAUGCAGAUACCUAUCCCUUACAAAAAAAGGGUGGAAAACAGGAGUCCACACUACAGAAAUAUGACUAUACUUUAAAGGGCAGUGAGGAUGGAGGGCGAAGUAGAGGACAUACAAUCUCUGAGGAUCAAGUGUGAUUAUCUGUUGUCUACUGAGUUAGACACCUGGUUGUGAAGCUGUCUUGAAAACUCAUCAGGUGUCUAUCCAUAUUUGCUGCUGGGCAAAAAAACUACCUCUGGGUAAUGGCCAGCUACAUGAGGGUACCUUGUGAACCCCAGAGCUCUACAAGCAAUGUGGUGUUCAGCAGGCCAUGCCAAGGGGACCACAUCUGUUUUCAGUUGGAGAUGUCUUCACACCAAAGAAGUGGAAGAGACAGCCAAAGACACAAGCAGCCAGCACUCCUAUAAAAUCACCAGGACUUCGAUUUUUAUCUUUCUCUCAUCAAAACAGCAGAGAGGUUAACUUCUCCAAUUGACAGAUGUGUAAAAGCCUAGUGCAAAAAGAAGCCUGACAUGCUUUAUGAAACUCCAUGGCAGAAGAAUGUUUUCUUCCCUGCCAUGUGAAAAAUGUAAGUUUAAAUGACUUCCACAUGGGGAAUUUUGGUUACUCCACGUGAGACCCUGACUUUUGUCUUCUACAUGCUUUUGCUCUCCAAAUUAGAUUUGUUCAUUUGCUUAAACCUGUGUGUGUGUGUGUGUGUGUGGGGGGGGGGGGGGGGAGAGAGAGAGAGAGAGAGAGAGAGAGAGAGAGAGAGACAGAGAGAGAAAAUUCUAAAUAAUAGGCUCCUCCUGGUCCCAAUGCAAUGAAACUUUUGAUCAGUAACUCAAACUCAGGCAAAAGUAAGUUUCGUCAGAAUAGAACAUCUAGGGAUCUUAUCUAACCUGAAAAGUUGAGACUGCAUUUUAGUUAAAUAUCUUGUAAGUGUUUUCCUGACAUUAUGGAGCAGGGACAUGAGAGAAAGAAAAGAGAUAUUAAAUAAUACUACCAUGACUUAGCCAUGCCUAUUCACUGGGCCACAGUGAAUUUUCUUUUUGGCUUACUACAUAGAUUGAGUUUGUGGUACUUGCACUGUUUCUUAAGGAAAAAUCAAAUUGCCAAUCAAAUCCUAAUGUAUCUUUAAAUUAUGCAUAAAUAAAUUAUAGAAACCAGUGAGUGAAGAAGGUGUGAAAACACUAUUGUAACAUUAAUUGAAUACAAGGCAUAUGUACUAUCUUCAGUUCCGAAAUAGGUAUCAAUCUUUUCCUUUUGCAGAGGAGGUCACUGACCAGAGACUUUAAAUAAUUUUUCCAAGUUAAUACAGAUAAUAAGUGAUGGAAGAAGUUCACAUUAUGACCUCAUUUCAAAGCCCACUUUCUUUCUUUACAUCAUCUCUAGAGAUACCUGGAUCCUAGGAUAAUAAAACCAUAUGUUUUAAAAACAUGGCUACAAAUUCUUUGACACUUCUGUCAAAAGGAGGGGUCUUUAUUUCCUCCCCUUGAGUAUGGCUCUACCUCAGUGAUGCAUUUGUAACCAAUAGACUACAGUGGAAGUAAUUCUAUGUAGUUUGUAAGUAGGCCAAAGAAGACCCUCUGGCUCCACCCAGUUCUUACAGCCUGCUCACUACUCUGAUAUUACCAUGUUGGAAAUGACAGAGGCAGGUGUCCUGAUUGAUAGUCUGUCUAGCCGAGCACAAAGCCAGUAGCCAAAGUCAAUUGCCAGUCAUAUUACUGAGCCAUCUUAAAUGUUCAAUCCAGUUGAGCUUUGGGAUGACUGCAUCCCUAGGGGACAACUAAAUUCAACUACACGAGAUCCUAUGAAAGAGUAGCCUAGUCAAGAUGUUUCUAAAUCCAUGAACCAUAAAAUUGUUAGCAAAAUAAAGCAAUUGCCAUUUUAUGCUGCUGAAUUUUGGGAUAAUUGUUACACAGCAACAGUAAUUAAAACACAAUUCAGAAACAGGCAAUGAAGCAUCAGCAAGAGAUAUGGGAGGUGGUUCUUUUGGUUUUUGAUUCAUCUUCACUGGUUCAUAAGCAGAAUUCAAGUACAGCACAGGGGAAAGGAACAUGGACAUUAGAGGCAGACAAACCUGGCUAUAUUUCAUCAUGGCCAAUUACUAGUUCUAGUAUGGCUUAAGGUACUUAAGUUUUCUAAGACUCAUCUGUGUAAUGAAGGUGAUAAUAGCAUAUUAGAGAAAUAGUCUGCUUCUCUGUUCUAGAGAAACAGAACCAAUAGGAAAGAUGUGUGUGUGUACACACACAUAUAUAACUAAUAUAUUACUAUAGUUAUGUAUGAUUUUAUUAUAAGGAAAGAUUUAUUAUAAGAAAUUGGCUCAUGCAGUUAUGGAGACUGAGAAGUCCUAAGAUCUGCAGCUGGCAAGGUGGAGACACAAGAGAGCCAAAGAUAUAGAUUUAGUUCCAGCCCAAGUCUGAAGGUCUUAGAAUAAGAGAGCCAAUGGUAUAAGUUCCAGUCCGAAAGCUGACAGGCUCCACACUCAAGAGUUUUUGUUUCAGUUUGGGUCUGAAGGCAGGAAAAGACCAGUACUAAUGUUCCAGCUCAAGUAAUCAGGCAGGAAAAAUCUCAGCUUCUUAUGCCCUCCUUUUUAUUCUUGUAGGGUCUCCAAUUGAUUGGAUGAGAGCACCCACAUUAGGGAGGACAAUAUACAGGUCCAAAUACUAAUUCCAAAAGAACCUUUACAGUCAUACCCAGAGUAAUGUUUGACAAAAAUCUUAGCACAUCACAGCCUGGUAAAGUUGACAAAUAAAAUUAACCAUCACAAGUCCACACUUUAUAACUGGAUACCCAUAUGCAUCUCCUUAAAUGAUACUUAAUCUCCAAAUAGAUAAUAACAAAGUCAUAAUUCCACUUAACAUGAUACAACUAUCCUGAAUACAACUGAAAACAUUCUAACUCUUUCUCUACAAAAGGAGAUAAAAUUCUUGAGUGAUGUUUACUCUUCUUCUUGAUAACCCCAACAAUAAUUUAAAAUAAACAAUAUUUGAAUACUAUGAUAUCAAAUCAGUACAUUUUGAGAUGCCUGGGUGGCUCAGUUGGUUAAGCAUCUGACUCUUGGUUUCAGCUCAGGUCAUGAACUCACAGUUCAUGGGUUCAAGCCCUGCUUCAGGCUCUGUGCUGACAGUGUGGACCCUGCUUGGGAAUCUCUGCCUCUCCCCCCACUCAUAUGUGUGCUCUCCCUCUCUCAAAAUAAAUAAACUUUACAAAAUAAAGUCAAUGCAUCUUAUGUUACAUGAUAAGGAAUAAGAGAGGGAAGAAAACAAAGAUAAAACUAUGUAUUCAUAUUCACACAAACAUUCAUAAUAAAGUAAGCAGGAAAUACUCAUGACAAUUGCAGUCCUCAUUUCUGUAAUUAGUUAUUUGGUCACUUAAAAAAACUUUUUUAAUGUUUGUUUGAGAGAGACAGAACACAAGCAGGGGAGGGGCAGAUAGAGAGAGGGAGACACAGAAUCUGAAACAGGCUUCAGGCUCCGAGCUGUCAGCACAGAGCCCAAUAUGGGGCUUGAACUCAGGAAUGGUUAAGAUCAUGACUUGAGCCUAAGUGGAAACUUAGCCGACUGAACCACCCAGGUGACCCUGGCCACUUUUUUUUUUUAUGACUAUCUUCUUCUACUACCAACUCUGGAUUCCUCUGUCUUCUGAAAACAUAUAAAAUGGUACUGAGCCUAGUCAGGUGACCCAGACUUUCAUUUCAGAAGGGUCUGGCACUAUUAGUGGUCCUGCCAGGAUUAGGUGUCAUACUCUUCCACUGACUGUAAUCAUGUGGUAUCUUAAUACUAAUAGAUGCAUUAAAAUAUUUCUUGUAUUUCAGACAUAAUCUUUAUCUUUGUUGUGAAGUAGUAGUCCAAUCGGCCCUUGGCGAUCAGAGUCCAUUAACCCAACCAGCACAGUAAUUCCCUUCCUUGCUUGUUGGUUCAGAAACAGGAGAUACCCAAAAUGACCUGGAGGCAAUCUUAACCCUGACUUUUAUGGAAUGACUGUUGUGUCUCCUGGUAGAAGCAUUCCUUCCUUUGGAUCUAAGACCUAAAGGCCAGCAGAGCAUAUGGUCAUUGCAACAGGAAGCAAAAAUGUUACUAGUGAGUCACUAGAGGGUUAUGGUGGGUAGUUCCACUCCCAUCUCCACCUCUGAUGCCUGGACCUAUGAACCCUGGCUUUCAGAGAAAUAGCACCACAUAAUGGAUCUGAUACAGACCAUAUACAGCCUUCUGAAGAACCCUGCUGUGGUCCAGCAAAGUACUGCCACCACUUGCAUUGUACCUGAGUCUUCAAAGGGCCAUUUCACCAUUUUAUUAAGCCACCUGCUUCAGAAUCGUGGACACAUGGAAAGGCCUGUAAAUUCUAUGAGCAGGGGCCCAUUGCUACACGUUAUUUUCUGUGAAGUUCCUUAAUCAGAAGCAAUGCUGUAUGGAAUAGCAUGAUGGUGGGUAAGGCAUCUUAAGUCCACAUAUGGCAGAAACUUUGCUUGCAGGGAAGCCAAAUUCAUAUCCAGAGCAUCUAUUCCAAUAAGAGCAAAAUGCUGCCCUUCCAUGAUGGAUGUGGUCCAAUGUAAUCAACGUGCCACCAGGUUAAUGGCUGAGCACCCUGGGAAAUAAUGCCAUAUUGUCAUAUCCCAGACUCAAUAUUGGUCUUUGCUGCUGGCAAUCUGAGCACUCAGCAAUGGCUUUAGUCAGGUUGGCUUUAGUGAGUAGAAGUUCAUACUGCUGAUUCCAAGCAUUCUCUUCAUCUCUGCCACCAUCACCCUUUGUUCAUUAACUCUUUGGGCAGUAACAGGAGUAUCUGGGGAAAGAAGCUGACUGGUAUCCACACAAGACAUUUUAUUCACUUAAUUAAAAUAGUCCUGUGUUGAGGUCACCCCUUGAUGAGCAUUCUCAUGCAAAACAUUUUUUUCCCGUUCUGAGAGAACUAUCCAUUAACUUCCCCAAAUUUCCUUAUCACCAAUUUUCUAAUCAUGUUCCUUCCAAAUCUCUGACAUACAGACAAACCACUGGCCACCACCCAUGAAUUUGUAUAUAAUCAUGUAUCUGACAUGUCUUUCUCCAAGCAAAGUGAACAUUAAGGUUCAUUGGGAUGAUCUCCCUUCAUAUCUGUCUGUCAGGGAUGUCCCUUCGCCAUUGCUGUGAUUCACCUGUAGGGGCCUGCCAAAGGCUCCAAACAACUCCCCUAUUACAAGUGACACGUCAAAUGCCAUUGGAACUGCUGGAUCAUAUGGCCCAAGUGGCAGAAAGUUUGCUUGGAAGCCUGGACCUAUUACAGAGCAUUCUCCUAUUCUGAGCCCCACUCAAAACUAUGCUUUUUGGGUCACUUAGCAAAUGGGUUGGAGUAAAACACUCAAGUGAGGAAUAAGUGGCGUCCAAAAACCAAAGCAGCCCACUAGGCAUUAUGCCUCCUUCUUGGUUGUAGGAGGGGCCAGAUGUGGCAACUAUCUUGUCUUUCCCCUUAGAAGGCCUAUCUUGACAUGCCCCACAGCACUGGAACCCUAGAAAUUUCACUGAUGUAGAAGGCCUCUGAAUUUCUGUCGUAUUUAUUUCCCACCCUCUGACAUGCAGAUGUAUUACUAAUAAAUCUAGAAUAGUUGCUACUUCUUGCUCACUAGGUCUUAUAAUGUCAUCAAUAUAAUGGAUUGGUGUGGUAUCUUGUGGAAGGAAAAGGUAAUCAAUAUUCCUUUGAGCUAAAUUAUGACAUAGAUCUCAAGAACUGAUAUACUUCUGAGAUAGGAAAACGAUGAUGUAUUGCUGGCCUUGGCAGCUGAGAGCAAAAUGGCCUCUAGUGACCCUUAUAGACAGGGAUGGAGAAAAGGGCAUUUUCCAGAUCAAUAGCUGCAUACCAGGUAGCAGAGGAUGUGUUAAUUUGUUCAAAUGAUGUAACCACAUCUGGAACAGCUGAAAUUGUAGUCACUACCUGGUUAAGCUUUAUGACAACUCAUUGUCAUUCUCCAAAAUCCAGCUGCCUUCUGCAUAGACCAAAUAGGCAAGUUGAAGAGGGAGGCAGUGAGAAUCACUACACCUACAUCUUUCAAGUCCUUGAUGGUGGCAGUAAUCUCUGCAGUCCCUCCAAGAACACAGUAUUGUUUCUGUUUUGCUACUUUCCUAGGUAGAGGUGGUUCUAGUAGUUUUCACUUGGCCUUUCCCAUAAUAGCCCUCACUUCACUGGCCAGGGAACCACUCUGGUGAUUCUGGCAGCUGCUGAGUAUGGCUAUUCCAGUUGUGCAUUCCAGAACUGGGGACAUAACCACAGGAUGUGUUCCCACUGGGCCCAUUGUGAGACAAGCUUCACCUAAAUCUCCAUUGAUCAUCUGAUUUCCAGAAACCCCUACUCUGACUAGUGGGCCACAGUGAUAUUUUGGGUGUUCUGGAAUUAGUUCAGAGGCAGUGGCCAGCAGUCCCUGAAAAUUCUGAUUAUUUGUGUUUCACCCAUGGACAGCUGCCCUGGUAAAAGGCCAUAGGUCCCUUUGGGGAAGUCUGGGAGAAAGAUUAACAGUAUAAAUUUUGGCAGUGUACUGGGAUCCUUCCUCAAGGGGACCCAGCUUCCUCUUCAUUCAAGAGGUUCUGGUUCUAUAAACUGGCUCAAAUAUGGGAACUAAUGGAGAGGCUGUGACUUUCUGUUUUUAUGAUUCAAGUUAGACUUUUUGUUCAUUGACCUAAAACAUUCUUGUUUAUACAGAUCAAGUAAGAAUUUAAUAGACUUCCUACCUAUUUCACUUUUAGGAACACAAUGAUUAGCCAGAGCCAUAGGUCUGCAUGGGUCAGAGUAUUCUGAUUGCUGCUUUGACUCUGUUGUUCAUUAUGGUAACCAUGUCCAUCUUGCCCUUGAUGCUUACAUGCUGCCACCUGGCCCCUGCUACUAUGGGAUCUAAUUACUUUCACUGCAUUUAGGUUCCCUAAUUCAGUAACUGCAAUUCCCACUGUAAGAUGUGACCUACAGAUAAGAGUGAGCAUAGAGCUCUUCAAGGAUAAGGAUGACUAGGUCUAAAGUGAGAAUUCACACAAAUUUUAAAACCUGAAUCACAUAACUAGUUUCUCAGCAUAGUGAGUGUAAACUUACUUGUGCCUUCUCCUAGCAAGAAUGACAUCAUGGAUCUGAUAGUGACACAUAUGUACUAAUGGGUAGAUUUCCAAGCGCGUCUGGUAUCAACAGCGAUAGCAUUGAUUAGGAACAUGCACACAGACAUCCUUAUUAUAGCUUUUAAAGCCUUUGUGUUAAAGCUUUGCCCCAGCAUUUAUGCACAUAUGUUGUUCUGUGUUGUCAUAACAUAACCAUGCUCAUGUGAUUAUUUUUCAGCUUUAAAUUGUGUACUAUUUUAGUCAUUUCGGGGCACUAUAAUAGUACUAUAGAUAGACUGGGUGGCUUAUUAACAACAGACAUUUUUUUCUCACAUCUCUGAAGACUGGAAAUCCAGGAUCAGGGUGCCUGCAUGGUUAGAUUUUGCUGAGGAUCCAUUUUUGUAGGUUGCAGACUGCUAACAUCUCCUUGUAUCUUCACAUGAUGAUGGAAGAAGAGAGAGCUGUUUGGGGUCCCUUUUAAGAGGGCACUAACCCUACUCAUAAGGGCUUCAUCCUCUUGACUUAAUUACUUCUCCAAAUUCCCACCUCUUAAUACCAUCACACUGGUGGUUAGGAUGUCAAUGUGUGAAUUCAGGGGAGACACAAACAUUCAGUCCAUAACAUGCACUGAAGCCUUAAGUGCACAUAUCAUGAAUGUACAGCUCAUUUAAUCUUACAGGCAGAUAAAAAAUGCUCAUGUAAUUUUAAUAAUUAUUUUCUUACUGCUUCACAAAUAUAGUUCUUAAUCCCUAGAAUUAGAGCAAGCAGCCAUUCUACAGUAAAGAGUGCCAGGAUCGAGGUUAGAUUAUCAGGGUUAACUUGUCAACUCUACCAUUGCCCAACCUCUCUGUGAAUGACUUUUCUCAUCUAUAAAAUUGUUAUAAUAAUAUACCUACCUCAUAGAUAUAUUAAAUGAGUUAAUACAUGCAAAGAGCUUAGAAAGUGGCCCAUAAGAAGCUCUCAAUAAAUAUAAGCCUUUUUUAAUGCUUAUUUCAUUUCCCCUUAUAGUACCUAUUACCCACCAGAUGGUGCCUGAAGUGAAGUGCUUGCUGAAUGAAUAGGAAGGAAAAAUUAGAGACCUUUACCUAACAGAAUAUAAUGUUUCAAUGAAGUUACACCAUUCAGAGAAAGCAAUUUGUCCUUGUUUAUAUGGAAGACAAACAAGGAGCUGGACUUUGACUUCAAGCUGUGUGAAUAGAAGAUGGCAUUGCUUCCGUGACCCACAUUCACAGCGAAUAAGACCAGAGAAAAACAGCUUUUAGGAGCCCAACAGGAAUUGUCACCUAAGACUCGCUGUUUGACCAAACAGCCACUCCAUUCUUUUCUUCUACACAGCCGUUCCUUACACAUUUCAGCUGUUCGGCAAUACGACUCUCCUGAGAUUGAGAAACAGUGUGUCAGGUUCCAUUGAUCCUUAACAUAACACAGGAGUGGUGGCCACAGUAUACCAGAAAGGGUGCUUUCAUUGAUCUGGAGCACUCUGUUUCCAUCACAGGGAAGAAUCUUCUCAGAACCAAAGUGCUAGAGGACAGAUGGCCAAGUAAAAUCUUGGGCAAGGUGGGGUCACCACAUAACCAGAGAGUCUUAAUUUACUAUAAGAGUAAAGCUCACAAAACAAGACCAUCACUAAAAAUUUACCAGAAAAAAGGCCAACUUUUCUGCUUCAUUUGUUAAGUGUUUACAAAACACUCAAUGCUAAUUCUCUCAUUGAUUUAAACAAAUCAUAACAACUUCUUCCAUGCCAAAUAGAGAAAUCUGCAAUUUACUGAGCUAUUUUUAACUAGAAAUGUUCCCUUCUGAAAUCUCUGGAGUUAAAAAUCCAGUAGACAAAAGUAUAUUAAACAAGGAUCAUGUGAAUUAUGAAGUGUAUGAAAAGGAUAAUUUGCUGAUGUGUUGACAUUAUGUGAGUACUAUACCCAGCCAGAAGUUCUUCCGUGUACUUUGUUAUUAAAGAUUAUUCUAGAAUUAGUCUUUUCAUAUAUAAAUGAAUGAGCACUUAAUUCUGUAAUUUUUUUCAUUUUCAUACUCCAUUAAGCCACUAUGCUAUUUCAGAAAAAAAAAAACAGGCAAACAAAAUAUUUAAUAGGCUAAUUUUUUAGUUCCCCUCACUAAACAGGUGUUCAUUCUGUGAGAUCAUAAAAUUGAAAUCAUGAUAUAAAUUACAUCAUUAUUUAGCACUGAAUACCGGCCAGAGGGCACUACAGAGAUUCAUACAGUCACUGGUGGACAUGUGAUACAAAUUACCUGUCAUGACUCUCCAGAACUGAAAUGUAAUGAAAGAGAACAAGAAAAAUCUUAGAAUUGAGUGCAAAUGCUCCUGAAUUUUAACACUGUUAGUUGCUUUUUCUAGGAUGUGGGUUUUCAACUUCUCUCUGAAGCUUAGAUUAGAUACAGUCAUGUUCUUGUUUAUUGAACCUAGUGCAUUUGCCACAGUUAGACAGUCCCCAAGCCUCUCAAUGGCAAACUACCUCAUUUUCUGGCAGAAAGCAAAGCAUAAGGAUUGAAGCAAUAGACUUUACAUAAAGUACACUCUGUACUUCCUCCCUAGGGUAAGAAUAGUUUCCAUCCCAGACUCACUCCAAAACCUUUCAUGAUUUUGAUGACAGUAGCAGUUAAAAAUUAUUUCACAUGUACCAAAAUGCGCAACCAUAAAUCUCAAGUUUCUUUUCACAGCUUUGAAAAUCUUAAUUUACCAAUUGAGAAAUUUACUUAGUGGGAGUAUUUGGGAACUAAGAAGGUACAUUUGGAUGUGCCUUUAUUCUGCCAGACUGAAUUCAUUUCUAGAAGUACCACUGCAUUAUGUGGGAUAAUAGUGAAAAAAAUAUUGGCAAUAGAACUCCCUUGAAUUUGUAAAACAAAGUGUGUGUGUGUGUGUGUGUGUGUGUGUGUGUGUGUGUGUGUGUGUGACAGAGAGAGACAGACAGACAGACAGAAAGACAGAGAGAGAAAUAAGCUUAUAAGAAAUAAAGUAGGUUUAGAGUUACACACUUUUUCACUUGCAUAUACGAAAACAUAAUUGUCUGAAAAGAAAAAAGAAAGAUUAAACAUGCAACUGAUAGGGACAUUUUCACAAUAAGGGGGAUAAUAAUAUAGAGGUGUAAAAAGGAGCCAGUUGUGUGCUAGACUCCUUCAUUUAUAUUUCUUUUAUUUAAUUCUUAGAACAAACUGCAAUUUAAAAAUGAGGAAACCAGGGUUGUCAUCAGUUCAGUAAUUAAGACUCACAGUCUCACAGUGAGUGGUUAAGUGAAAGCACAGGUUUGAAAUAUAUAUACUUGUAGACUCUGGUGGCAGAAUAUGAACUAGGAAAAGAAUAGUUACACACUGCUAAGGAGGCUAUGAUGGAGUGGUGCCAGGUUAACAACACCCUGACAGAGAGGUGCACUCACAGGGUCUGCUGCUCACCUACAGAGAACUCAGCUGGCUUUGUCCUUGCAUGAGGGGAGCUAUGCUGGUAUUUCAACCUGAGGGAGUCGAGGGUGGUGGUGGGGGGAGUCAUUUGAUGAUAUCUCUAUCAACACAGAAAAACCACUGGUGGGGAAGAGGUGAAGGUGAUCCUUUAUAAUAUCUUCCAGUUUCACACAUUUAUAACUUUCUGAUUUCUCCUCAUACUUAAAUUACCUGUCUUUAUCAUCCACAUCAGUCAUGAUGAAAAACCAGGGCAGAUUCCCAGGAUUCUCUGUACUUGGACUUCUCUUGGUUUUGAAGUGAAGGCUAGAGUGGGAGUGGGUCCAAGCUUACAUCCCUCUCUGGCUUUGGUGUCUCUAGUACAGGAGGACUUUACACAGCUCAGCUUGAAAACGGUAUAGGAUCCAAAAAAGCUUAAGGACCUCUAUUAUAGGUAGUUUUAACUACAGGGCAAAACAGCUAGAUAUUAAUGCAUUUCCACUUGUUCUUUUUAGAAUAUUUUAUUUUAUUUUUUGAUUUAUUUAACUCAGUCUGUUAGGUUGAAGAUAAUCUUGAAUUUAGAAUUUUCCCUUGAACUCAAAAUCCCUCUGUAAUUGAGGUGAGUAUCUUAAGGUCUCUUUUUGACCAUUGUGUUGCCAUUAAGCAGGUGUUUAUUUUGUUCCCAGUUACUUGCAAAAGAAAAAUGAAUCUCCUAGCCUCACUCAGGUCAUCCCACUGGUCACAUCUUUAGAAACAGUUAUCAAAAUAUAUCCUCUGGCACAUCUGACUCAUCACAACCAAGUCAGGGCUGUUGAAAAUUCAAGCUCUAUCAAACACACAUAACGCAUAAAAUGAUUAUGUUGUCUUACCUGUUGUAUGAAAUACACAAAAUGUAUAAAAAAAGAAUACAUGUAAUUUCCAGUAAGCAUUUAUUCCAUACAUUUUACACACCAGGAACUAUGUUAGAUUCUAGUAGUGCUAAUAGAAUCUAAAGUGCUUCUGAAGAGGAGUGCCCAGGUGGCUCAGUCGAGUAAGCGUCCAACUUCAGCUCAGGUCAUGAUCUCAUGGUUUGUGGGUUCGAGCCCCGCAUCAGGCUCUGUGCUGACACCUCAGAACCUGGAGCAUGCUUUGGAUUCUGUGUCUCCCUUUCUGACCCUCCCCUGCUCACAUUGUCUCUCUCUCUGUCCCUUCUCAAAAAUAAACAUUAAAAAAUAAAGUGCUUAUGAAGAAAAAAUACAUAUAAACAGAAAAAUUAUAAGGAACUAAAGAUAUUUACCUAUUAAUUUAAUGUUUAUUGAGCCUGUACUGUAUAUUCUAGGCACUAUUCUUGGGAGACAGCAGAAAAGAAUGGGUAAAGUCCCUCCCCACAUGCAGUUUACAAUAUAAGGGGAAGAAAUAGACUGUAAGCAAAUGAAUAAAGCACAAUUCAAUAUUAGGCAGAGCUCUGAGCUAUGAUAAAAUAUUUAUAAAUGAGAGCAAUGGAUGCAGGAGGACCUGUGUUAGAACUUACACAGAAGUCCUUGCUAUAAUUCUGAUUUCAAUUAAAAUUUCAAUUUCAAAUUAAAUUUUAAUAGAGAUCUUGAAUUGUAAUGGAGAUAUGAAUGAAGUACUAUAAACAAACAAGGAAGUUUCUGUUUUGGCCCAGGAGAAAUAUCAGAAGCUUUGUGGAAGAAAUAAUACAUAAUCACAAUAACAAGUGAAGAAUGAAAAUCAAAGCAACAGAGAAUGAGUAGGCCAACACUUAAUAUGGUGAGAAGGACGACUUUCCUUAAAUCUAAAGGUGCAUCAGGGGUGCCUGGGUGGCUCAGUCGGUUAAGUGUCCGACUUCGGCUCAGGUCAUGAUCUCAGGGUUUGUGAGUUCGAGCCCCUCAUUGGGCUCUGUGAUGACAGCUCAGAGCCUGGAGCCUGCUUUGGAUUCUGUAUCUCCCCUGCUUGUAGUCUGUCUCUCUCUCUCAAAAAUAAACAAACAUUAGAAGAUUUUAAGAAAGUUAAAAAAAAUAAAGGCGCGUCAAAUAUAGUUUGAGAAAACUUCAGAGAUGAAAACAGAUUUGGUAGUAAGAGAUGAGAGAUUGGUCAACACAAAAACUUAGGCAUCUUUCAUUGAAGAUGCAGAUGUCACAAAGAUGCAGUAUGAAAUGCUGAUUAGGUGGGAUUUUCUAGUAGGUCUGUUAUUUCUUUCAAGCUAAAGCUGAGUCCUCAGGGACAAUGUCUUCCCCAGAACUUAUUCCCAUGGAUGUGGAGGAAGUCUCCUCCGCGCUUGUAAGAACUGCAAUUGCACCAUUUAAGAAUUUGAAAUUAGGGCUCUUCAUUGUGUGUACAUGUACUGUCUACAUCAGUACUAUCCCAAGUUCUUAUUAAAAUGAAAAUUUUUGUGUCUCACUUCAGACUAAUGAAUCAGAAUUUCUGAGGGAAACCAGAAAGUCUAAACUAUCAACAGAACUGAAGAUGAGGAAGAACCAAUCUUAAUAAGAAGAGAGAUCUUUCCAGGUAGAAUGAACAGCAGAUCUACAAAGCUUCUGAGUUGGCAGGUUCUGAGGACUAAAAAGUUCAUUUUGGUUAAAAUAUAGUAAUCAAAAGGGAGAGUGAUGCAAGAUAAGAGCAAGAAAUAGGUUGAACAAAUCAACAGUGUCUUCUUAGCCAUGGCAUAGAAUUUUACGUGUGUGUGUGUGUGUGUGAAGUGUCAUGGGAAGUCAUUUGCAGAUUCAAAAUAUAAAAGGGUCAUUUUCAAAGGCAAUGACACCAGUAGAGUUUCUAAAGGUUUUCAGAUGGUUUCUAAAGGGUUUUCAGAGACCCUUAAGAUGCAUAUAUCCCUUUGCAUUAAUGUUUUUAUAUUUUCUAGGUUAAUACUUAGCAGUGUAAUUGCUGGAUAUUAUGGUAGUCCUAUUUUUAAAUAUUUGAGGAAACUCCAUACUAUUUUACAGAGUGGCUGUACCAGUUUGCAUUCCCAUCAACAGUGCAUGUGGGUGCCUUUUUCUCCACAUUCUCACCAACGCUUGUUGCUCUUUGUGUUGCUGAUUUUACCAAUCCUGACAGGUGUGAAGUGAUAUCUCAUUGUAGUUUUGAUUUGAAUUUCCCUGAUGGUAAGUGAUAAUGAACAUCUUUUCAACUGUCUGUUGGUCAGCUAGAUGUCUCCUUUGGAGAAAUGUCUUUUCAUGUCUGCAGCCCUUAUUUUAUUUAUUUUUUUGCCUAGUUUUAAAUUAGAUUGAUUUUUGGGUGUUCAGUUUUAUGAGUUUUUAUAUGUUUUGGAUACUAACCUUUCAGUAGUAUGUCAUUUGCAAAUAUCUUCUUCCAUUCCAAAGGUUUCCUUUUAGUUUUGUUGACUGUAUCCUUUGCUGUACAGAAGCUUUUUAUUUUGAUGCAGUACCAGUAGUUUAUUUUUCUUUUUGUUUCCUUUGCCUCAGGACACAUAUGUAGAAAAAGGUUGAUAGGGCCUUACUGCCUACGUUGUCCUCCAAGAUUUUUAUGGUUUAAGGUCUCAUAUUUAGAUCUUUAAUCCAUUUUGGAUUUAUUUUUGUGUAUGGUGUAAGAAAGUGGUCCAGUUUCUUUCUUUUGCUUGUAGCUGUCCAGUUUUCCCAACACUAUUUGUAGAAGAUACUGCCCUUUUCUUAAUUGGAUAUUCCUUCUUGUUUUGUUGAAAAUUAAUUGACCACAUAGCUGUGGGUUUAUUUCUGAGUUUUUUAUUCUCUUCCAUUGAUCAAUGUGUCUGUUUUUGUGCCAGUACCAUACUGUUUUGAUCACUACAGGUUUGUAACACAACUUGAAGUCUGGAAUUGUGAAUCCUCCAGCUUUGCUUUUCUUUUCAACAAUUGCUUUGUCUAUUUGGAAUCUUUUGUGGUUCCAUACAAAUUGCUUGUUCUAGUUCUGUGAAAAAUGCUGUUGGUAUUUUAUAGGGAUUGUUCUGGGUAGUAUAAACAUUUUAAUACUAUUUGUUCUUCCAAUCCAUGAGCAUGGAAUGUCUUUCCAUUUCUCUGUGUCAUCUUCAACUUCUUUCAUCACCAGUUUACAGUUUUCAGAAUACAGGUCUUUCAUCACUUUGGUUAGGUUUAUUCCUAGGUAUCUUAUUAUUUUCUUGCAAUUUUUAAAUGGGAUUAUUUUCUUAAAUUCUUUUUCUGCUGCUUCAUUAUUGGUGUAUAGAAAUGCAACAAAUUUCUGCACAUUGCUUUUGUACCCUGUGGCUUUACUGAAUUCAUUUAUCAGUACUAGCAGUUUUUUGGUGGAGUUUUCUGUAUACAGUAUCAUGUCAUCUGCAGAUAGUCUUACUUCUUCCUUGCCAAUUCGGAUGCCUUUUGUUUCUUUUUGUUGUCUAUUUGCUGUGGCUAGGACCUUCAAUACUAGUACUAGUACUGUUUCAUGGAAGUGGUGAGAGUGAACAUCCUUGUCUUCUUCCUGACCUUAGGGGAAAAGCUCUCAGUUUUUCACCAUUGAGUAUGAUGUUCCCUGUGGGCUUUUAAUAUACGGCCUUUAUUAUGUUGAGGUGUAUUAUCUUGAAAUCUAUUUUGUUUAGGGUUUUUAUGAUGAAUAGAUGUUGUACUUUCUCAAAUGCUUUUUCUGCAUCUACUGAAAUGAUCACAUGGUUCUUAUCCUUUCUCUUAUUAAUGUGAUAUAUCGCAUCGAUUGAUUUGUGAAUAUUGAACAAUGCUUGCAACCCAGGAAUAAAUCUCACAUGGUUGUGGUGAAUGAUUUUUUCUGCAGUUGUCUUCAGGAUUUUUGUAUCUCUGUUCAUCAGGGAUACUGGCCUGUAGGUCUCUUUUUUAGUGGUGUCUUUAUCAUGUUUUAGUAUUAGGAGAAUCCUGGCCUCAUAGAAUUAGUUUGGAUUUUUUCCCUAUUUUUUGGACUAGUUUGAGAAGAAUAAGUAUUAACUCUUCUUUAAAUGUUUGGUAGAAUUCAUCUGUGAAACCAUCUGGUCUUGGUCUUUUGUUUGUUGACAGUUUUUUGAUAACUGAUUCAAUUCCUCUGCUGGUUAUUAGUCUGUACAAAUUUUCUAUUUCUUCCUAUUUCAGUUUUGGUAGAUUAUAUGUUUCUAGCAAUUUAUCCAUAUCUUCUAGGUUGUCCAAUUUGUUGGCAUAUAGUUUUUCAUAAUAUUCUCUUAUAAUUGUUUGUAUUUCUGUGGUGUUGGCUUAUAUUUCUCCUCUCUGAUUUGUGAUUUUAUUUGAGUCUUUUCUCUUUUUAUUUCUUGAAGUCUGUUUAGAGGUAUAUAAAUUUUAUUGUUUUUUUUUUUUUUCAAAGAACCAGAGAAAACGGAUGUCAAUACAAGGUCCGGUAAUCUUAGAGGACUCCAUGAAGGAAGUAUAAUUUGUACUGGAAUAUAGGAUGAGAAGCAUUUAGAUGGGUAUAAAGGAGAAGGAAUAACAUUUUAGAAGUCAUGGAUAAUUUAAUUGAGUGGAAUUUAUAAUAUGGGAAGGAAGCCAACUUUUGGUGAGGAAUUAUCUGAUGGGGUCAUAUUUCAGAGGGUUUUGAAAGCCAGCCUAAGGUAUUUAUAUUUUUUUUCUAGGAGUUAGGAAGAGUUAGAACUUUUGAAUCAUUAAGUGUUGUAAAAAAUAUUAAAUAUUUUCCCCAGCAUCACUCUGGUAGGAAACGGUAGAGUCAGGGUUCAAACCCAGGAGCUCUGGCUCUAAAGCCUAUCAUUUUAGCCUCUAACAUUGAAUUUCCAGCAGGUCCACUGAAUGGUAAGUCCAUUUGGGCAAAAGUGGUUUAAUAGACAAUCUGAAAAUAUGGAUGAUAGGUUUCCUUGCAAUGGCUUACACCUGGGAGAACGUGAAAGCUUAUACAUGGAUAUUUUGGAAGCUAUGCACCAAGCAAGUUACAUAUCUGUAUCCUGGUCAUAUUUGAGGGAGCUCCAUUAGCUCACUGUGUUCACAGACCUGACAUUGAAGGAAUUCAUCCAGUUGAAAUAAAAAAAAAAACAACAGAAGCUACAGAAUUAGCACCAAAAGACAGAAAUGUAACCAAGCCCAGAGCUUUCCUGCCAAGAAUAAAGGGUUAUGGAAAACUCAUCUCCUGCUUGUCUGGUCUAGUAAAACCUGACUGAACUAUUAGAGAAAGGUAAAAAAUUAGAAUAAAAAGAUCCAUUUGUAGGAUUCCUACCAAGGGAACUUUUUCUUGGAUUGAACCAAACAGCAAAGAAGUGAGGUACAGCUGAUUCCAAAACAGUAGACAAGUUAUGAAACCACUUGGAUAAUUAUGGCUGGCCACUGCAGUUCCAUGUGGAUCAUAAACUGAAGUAUACUCCUGCUAAAUGCACAGAGUUCCCUAGUUUGUCAGACUAUGUUCAUAUUUCUGCUGGAGUGAUUGGAGACAAAACAGAACGAGAGCCUCAGUAAUAGUUUAAAAUUUGUUUAGUUUGCUAAUUCUUUCCUCCUUUUUCUUCUCAUCAGAAAAAUAAACUUUAUUACACUCAAAGAAACGAAAUGGGCCAAGUUAUUAAUAUAAAGUCCAGGCCAUCCACAUUGGUCAAUACUAAUCUCAAACUGUGUUGGCCAUGUGUGAAACAAAUGCAUAUAAGAAAGAGAGAGUUUGAGAACCACUAGUUUAGGACUCAUUGUUUAUUCUGAAGAUAUUUUUUCUCUUUGUAUUUAAAUAAACCAUAUUUGUUAGAAAACAGAUGAAUGAAAACAUUUUCUAGUAACUUGGUAUUAAGAAUUGUGUAGUGAGGACUUUAUUUCUUCUUUGUCCAAAAUUCUCACUAAAAUAAAACUGGAUUAUUUUGAAAUAGCAAAUAUGUGAAAAUCCUUGAAAACAAAAAAAAGGUACUAUCAGCAGAUCAUAAUUUUCAGCAACUUCUUUUUCUUUAAAAGCAGCAAGGAGCAAAGAGAAAGGGAGAGAGGAUCAUAAACACAGGCUCUGCCCUCUGAGCACAGAGCCUGACGUGAGGGUCGAUCUCAUGAACCAAGAGACCAUGACCUGAGCCAAAAUCAAGAGUUGGAUGCUUAACUGACUGAGCCACCCAUGUACCCCAUAAUUCUAAGCAAUUUCUUAUUUCAUGUCCCUCCCCAUAUAUUCAGAGUGACUGCCAUUAAUGUCUUAUUCCCAAGUCAGAGAGACUCAACUCCCAACUAUUAUAUCCUUUAAAAAUGCAGGGUCUUAUCUUGGGCAUUGGUCUUGGUAAAGAAGGCAAGCAGAGCCUGAAUAAAUGUUACUAUAAAAGAGAAUAAAUAAAACAAGAGGAUUUUGGGGGAGGGGAUUUAAAUUAUUAAUGUAUUUAAUCAAAAGGCUAAAUAAUAUAAUGGACAACAUUGGAAGAUAAUAAUUUAGAAGAAUAUAUCAGUUAAGUCCCAUAAAAUGAAGGGUGACAAGAUGAAUCACUGGCAAAUAGGAGAAAAAACCUCACAGAAUUGGAAGGUAUGCAUAACAAACAUAGCAUCUAAUAGGAAUUCAGGAAGCAAACAAAAUAGCAGAAAAAUAAAACAGAGAAGGAAGGACCGUGUCAGAAACUGUGAACUUUGGAUUAUACCCUACUUUCAAGCUAAGAAGUUAGCCUGCCAUGGUUUUAUGAAUGCUGGCAGAAGACACAAGUCUCCAGGGUCAGAGAUAAAAGCCUUUGAUGCUCAUGGCACAGCAAGCAGCAUGAGCAUAUUAUUUGCAUCAUUUCUCCUUUUCCCCAAAUCCUACAGGGUGACACAGAUGGGUCCAGAUGGAUCCCUGUUAAUGAAGAACCUGAGGUUAAGUAACCCAUAUCUUUUAUAAAGGCAGUAAGUAUGCAGGUCUCUUAUGCUGGAAAGACACUAUCCAUGCCUUCCUAAGCUGUACGCAAACUUGCUUUUUGUUCUGAAAGGAGACACUGUCUUCACAUUCUAGGUUUGUUAUAAAAGAUAGUAUGCAACAAAUGGCAGUGUUCCUGUUCAUAAAAUGUACAGAAAAGUGAGAGACCCAUGGGAAAUGUUCUUCCACUUGAGAUGAAAUAAUCAAAGAUAUGCUAGAAAAAAAUUUCCAUAACAUGAAGUAAACAUCAAAACUUCAGCCAAGAAGGACCACCAAGAAAUUAUUAGGAAAACUGGUAACAUUUCUGGGUUCCAAGAAUAGAGAAUCCUUAACACCCCUCAUUUGUGUUGGAAACUUGUGCUGGAAAGUUCUAUUGUCAACUUAGUUAAGGGGGAAACCAUAUAUCCCAGAGUAUCUUUUUCUGUUUGAUAGUACAGUUUGGAGUUAACCAAAAAAAAAAAAAAAAAAAGGAACUCGCAAAAGAUUAGGGAGACAGAGGCAAGGCAUCAACCAUUACUCUGUGAAGACGGCCAUGAUUAGGUGAGGUGACAGAUGCAAAGUUGUUUGAAAGUCCAGUUUACCUUCAAUCUAUUCUCAAAGUUCAAUUCUUCUUCACUACUGCAAUUCCUACUAAUUAACAGCUAUUCCAUUCGCAUCACCAAACUCUUGCCUUCAGAUUAGAAAAAGCAAGGAUUUCUUGUAACCUUCUCAACCAGCUUCCCUUUCAUUAUACCAGUUGCUGUCUGGAUGUACAUGGCUUAUUAGACACAAUGGUUGGUGAUUCUAUGAUCUUCCGAUUACUCCUUUCAACCUUUCAAUUCUUUUUUUAAAAUUUUUUAAUGUUUAUUUACUUUUGAGAGAAAGAGAGAGACAGACAGACAGACAGAAGCAUGAGCAGGGUAGGGGCAGAGAGAGGGAGAGACAGAAUCCGAAGCAAGCUCCAGGCUCUGAGCUGUCAUCACAGAGCCUGACAUGGGGCUCGAACUCACAGACCAUGAAAUCAUGACCUGAGCUGAAGUCGGACACUCAACUAACUGAGCCAUGCAGGUGUCCCUUAGCCUUUCAAUUCUUUAGCUUCUCCCACAAAUAUUUAACAUCAAAUUCUUUAAUAAUGCUCUUCUCUCAUGACUUGUAGUAGUUUUGCUUUCCUCAUUGAGCCCUAAUAAAAUUAUAAAGGUUUGGAACCUUACAGGCUACAGUUAGUAGUUCUUCAUAAUGACUGCAGCUCAGUUUCAAGUAAUCUUAGUCUCAGAAAUCUGAUUAAGAUGAUCCUUGCGACUAAUAUUCUUAGGGAUCUAGCAGGAAGUCACCAACAAAAACUACAAAACCUAAUUUAAAUUCCUUCUAGGGAGUGAACACCAUCUGUCAUCUGAGGUCUCAAAUUAUUUUGCAGACCCGUUUUCAAAUCUCCUCACAAUAAAAAGUUAAUCACAUGAAGAGAUAUGCUAACAUGGAAGAAAGACAACACUCAAAAGAAAAAGACCCAUAGAGGCUUAAGAUUUUGCAGUUAUCAGGCACAGACUUUAAAAGAACUAUGUUUAUUAUGUUGAAUUAUAUAAAAACAAGAUUAAAAUUUCAAGUAAGAACUUAUACUUUAAAUGAAACCAAAUGAAAAGUAUAGAAUUUAAAAAUACAAUAACUAAAAGGAAGAACUAAAUAGGCAAAAAACAAUAAUUACACAUGCAUGAAGACAGAAAUAGUAAAAUGUACAAUAAGUAAAAAAAAAUUUACAGAAGGAAUCACAGAGAGACAAAAAGAUGCAAAAUACAGAAGAUUAAACGAUACAGAGGAUACCACAAGAAAUGCCAACUACUUAGAAUUUGAGUCCUAGGAUGGUGAAAGAAGAAAAUAAGUAGACACAAUGUAAGGGGAGAUAAUGGCUGAGAAUUUUAUAAUACCAUUGAAAGAUAUUAAGUCAUAGAUUCAAGAAUCAGAAUGAACAAUGAGCAGGAUAAGUAAGAAAGAAAAUCUGUAGGCCCAUCAUAAAUAAUUAAAAGAUAAUUAUGAAAUACCAAAAUAAAUUAGAGAAAAGAGACAAAUUACCUUCAAAGGCACAGAUAAAAAUCUCACUUCUCAACAGAAAAACUAAAACCAAAAAAAAAAAAAUGGAAUGCCAUUUAACUGUGUUGCAAAAAAAAACCCUACAAUGCUAAAAUUAUGUACCCAGAAAGUAUCUUUCAAAAACGAAAGUGAAAAAAAGACAUUUUUUGCUCCAACUAAACUUAAAGAGUUGUCACCAGCAUAUUCCCCUAAAGGAAAUAAUAAAUGGUACUACUCUUCAGCCAGAAAAAAAAAUGAUCCCAGGUGCGAGUUUUACAAUAUAGGACAUUAUGAAGAGCAAUGGAAAAGAUAAAAAUCAAUAUUAGAAAAUAGUAAUAAUCCUUUAUAGAAUAUGUAGAGAAUUAAAACAUAUUAAAACAUUGCAAGUAUCAGAAAAGGGGUAAAUGGAGAGUGAGAUUUAUAACAUCCUUGAAGUAUUCUUGGAAAGUGAUAAAAUUAUUAAUAUCAUACUUUGACUACCAAAACUGAAACAACAAGAAAAAGAAAAUUUGAACAGACCCAUAACCAGUAAUGAAAUUGAACAGUAAUCAAAAAUCUCCCAACAAACAAGAGUCUAGGGCUGGAUGUUUUUACAGGGGAAUUCUAUCAAACAUUUAAAGAAGAGUUAACACCUAUUCUUUUGAAAUUGUUCCAAAAAAUAGAAAUGGAAGGAAAACUUCCAAACUCAUUCUAUAUGGCCAGCAUUACCUUGAUUCCAAAACCAAAGAACCCACUAAAAAGAAGAACUACAGACCAAUUUCCCUGAUGAACAUGGAUGCAAAAAUUCUCAACAAGGUACUAGCAAACCGAAUCCAACAAUACAUUAAAAGAACUAUUCACCAUAAUCAGUGGGAUUUAUUCCUGGGAUACAGGGCUGGUUCAAUAUCCACAAAUCAAUCAAUAUGUUACAUCACAUUAAUAAAAGAAAGGACAAGAGCCACAUGAUCCUAUCAAUAGACGCAGAGAAAGCAUUUGACAAAAUACAGCAUCCUUUCUUGACAAAAACUCUCAAGAAAGUAGGGAUAGAAGAAACAUAUCUCAAGAUCAUAAAGGCCAUAGACCCAUAGCUAAUAUCAUCCUCAAUGGGGAAAAACUGAGAGCUUUCCCCCAAGGUCAGAAACACGACAGGGAUGCCCACUCUUUCCACUGUUAUUCAACAUAGUGUUGGGUGUUCUAGCCUCAGCAAUCAGAAAUAAAAGGCAUCCAAAUCAGCAAGGAAGAAGUCAAACUUUCACUUUUCACAGACAACAGGAAAUUCUAUGGGGGAAAAUCCAAAAGACUCCACCAAAAAUCUGCUAGAACUGAUCCAUGAAUUCAGCAAAGUUGCAGGAUAUAAAAUCAAUGCACAGAAAUCAGUUGCAUUCCUAUACACCAAUAAUGAAGCAACAGAAAGAAAAAUCAAGGAAUUGACCCCAUUUACAAUUGCACCAAAACCAUAAAAUACCUAGGAAUAAGCAUAACCAAAGAGGUGAAAAAUUUAUACACUGAAAACUAUAGAAAGCUUAUGAAAGAAAUUGAAGAAGACAUAAAGAAAUGGGAAAAUAUUCCAUGCCCAUGGAUUGGAAGAAUAUUGUUAAAAUGUCCAUACUACUCAAAGCAAUAUACAUAUUCAAUGCAAUUCCUAUAAAAAUAACACCAGCAUUCUUCACAGAGCUAGAACAAACAAUCCUAAAAUAGCCAAAGUAAUGCUGAAAAAGAAAACCAAAGCUGGGGACAUCACAAUUCUGGACUUCAAGCUGUAUUAUAAAGCUGUAAUCAUCAAGACAGUAUGGUACAGGCACAAACACAGACACAUAGAUCAAUGGGACAGAAUAUAGAACCCAGAAAUGGACCCACAAAUGUAUGACCAACUAAUCUUCGACAAAGCAGGAAAGAAUAUCCAAUGGAAAAAAGACAGUCUCUUCAGCAUAUAGUGUUGGGAAAACUGGACAACAGCAUGCAAAAGAAUGAACCUGGACCACUUUCUUACACCAUACACAAAAAUAAAUUCAUAAUGGACGAAAGACUUAAAUGUAAGACAGAAAACCAUCAAAAUCCUAGAGGAGAAAACAGGCAACAACCUAUUUGACCUCAGCCACAGGAACUUCUUACAUGACAUGUCUCUGGAGGCAAGAGAAGCAAAAGCAAAAAUGAACUACUGGGACCUCAUCAAAAUAAAAAGCUUCUGCACAGCAAACAGUCAGCAAAACUAAAAGUCAACCAAUGGAAUGGGAGAAGAUAUUUGCAAAUGACAUAUCAGAUAAAGGGUUAAUAUCCAAAAUCUACAAAGAAGUUAUCAAACUCAACACCCAAAAAAACAAAUAAUCCAGUGAAGAAAUGAGCAAAAGACAUGAAUAGACACUUGUCCAAAAAAGGCAUCCAGAUGGCUAACAUCCACAUGGCUCACACAAUGAGAUACCACUCCACCUGUCAGAAUGGCUAAAAUUAAAAACUCAGGAAACAACAGAUGUUGGUGAGUAUGUGAAAAAAGAGGAACUCUUUUGCUUUUGCACUGGUGGUGGGGAUGCAAACUAGUGUAGCCACUAUGGAAAGCUGUAUGGAGGUUUCUCAAAAAAAUUAAAAAUAGAACUACCCUACAACCUAGCAAUUGCACUACUAGUUAUUUAUCCAAAGGAUACAGGAGUGCUGUUUUGAAGGGACACAUGCACCCCAGUGUUUAGAGCAGCACUAUCAACAAUAGCCAAAAUAUGGAAAGAGCCUAAUGUCCACUGACUGAUGAAUGGAUAAAGACGAUGUGGUAUAUAUAUAUACAUAUAUAUAUACAUAUAUAUAUAUAUGUAUAUAUACAUAUAUACACAUAUACAUAAAUACAUAUAUAUAAUGAAAUAUUACUCAUUGAUAAAAAAUAAUGAAAUCUUACCAUUUGCAACAACAUGGGUGGAACUAUAGUGGAUUAUGCUAAGUGAAAUAAGUCAGUCAAAGACAAGUACAUGAUUUCACUCAUAUAUGGAAUUUAACAAAUAAAACAAAUGAACACAGGGGAAGGGAAGGAAAAAUAAGAACAGAGGAAGACAAACCAUAAGAGACUCUUAAAUGCAGAGAACAAACUAAGGGUUGCUAGUGGUGUGUUGGGGGGGAAUGGGCUAAAUGGGCAAUGGGCAUUAAGAAGAGCACUCACUGGGAUGAGUAUUGGGUAUUAUAUGUAAGUGAUGAAUCACUAAAUUCUAUUCCUGAAAUCAUCACUACACUACAUGUUAACUAACUUGGAGUUAAAUUUUAAAAAUGUUAUAAGUAAAAAGAAAAAUAAAUAAAUAAUAAAAAAUAAAGAACUUAAAAAUAUAUCAUAUUUUGGUAAGGGAAGAAUACCUGAUAGUUACUGAAAGAAUAAUAAAAGAACAUAUAAUAAGCUAAUCCAUAAAAUGCAACAAUAAGAAUGAACAGUGCAAAAGAGGACAGAAAGUAUAUAAAAUAUUACAAGGAACAUACAGAAUAAAGAGAAAGCACUUGAUAAGAUCAUUAAUUUGAAGGAAAAUCUAUGAAGAACUUCUCAAACUCAACACCCCCAAAAAAUAAUCCAGUUAAGAAAUGGCAGAAGACACAAACAGGCAUUUUUCCAAAGAAAACAUACAAAUGACCAACAAAACACAUGAAAAGAUGCUCAAUAUCACUCAUCAUUAGAGAAAUAUAAAUCAAAACCAUGAUAAGAUAGUAUCUCACACGUGUCAGAAUGGCUAAAAUUAACAACAAAGGAAAACAACAGAUGUUGGCAAGGAUGCAGAGAAAGGGGAACCCUCUUACACUGUUGGUAGGAAUGCAAACUGGUGCAGCCACUCUGGAAAAUGGUUCCUCAAAAAAUUAAAAAUAAAACUACCCUACAGUUAGCAAUUGCAUUACUAGAUAUUUACCCAAAGGAUACAAAGUACUGAUUCAAAGGGACACAUACAACCCGAUGCUUACAGCAGCAUUAUCAACAAUAGCCAAAUUAUGGAAAGAGCCUAAAUGUCCAUCAGUUCAUGAAUGCAUAAAGAAGAUGUGGUGUGUAUAUAUAAUGGAAUAUUACUCACCCGUCAAAAUAAUGAAAUAUUGCCAUUUGCAAUGAUGUGGAUGGAGCUAGAGUGUAUUAUGCUAAGCAAAAUAAAUCAGCCAAAAGACAAAUACCAUAUGAUUUCACUCGUAUGUGGAAUUUAACAAACAAAGAAGAUGAGCACAGGAGGGGACAGAAGAGAGAGAAGCCAACCAUAAGAGAUUCUUAACUAUAAAGAACAAAGUGAGGGUUGAUAGAGGGAGGUGGAUGGAGAAUGGACUAAAUGGAUGAUGGGCAUUACAGAAGGUACUUGUUAGGAUAAGUACUAGGUGUUGUAUGUAAGUGAUGAAUCACUGAAUUCUAUUCCUGAAACCAAUAAUAUUACCCUAUAUGUUAACUAACUAGAAUUUAAAUAAAAACUUGAAAAAAUAAAAAUAAAACAUAAUACUAAAAUUGAAAGGCAAAUGCUUUAAUACUAUUUAUAAAUGAAUAUAUCUAAAAUCUAGGAAAACAAAAAGCUGCAAUUUAAAGGACAGAAAAGUCUGGUAUAGCUUUAUUAACAUCAAAAAUGAAGAAUAAGUCAUUAAGGAGAAAGCCUUCCUGGAGUUUUAGAAGGCACAUCAAAAUGAGAAAAGGCUGAAUACAGGAGGAAAAUGUAAAAAAUAAAUCUGUAUACAUCUAAUAAUAUGGCUUCAAAUAUAUAAAACAAAACAUCUGAAGAACUUCAGGGAGGGAAAAUAAAGCUGCAGUGAUACAGCUUGAUUGUAACACAUCUCUGCCAAUAAAUAAGAGAUCAAAAAAGAUUAAAAAUUCAUCAUUCAUUUUUCCUCAUCUCCUAAAUACUCAAUUAUAAGUUAUGUGUGUCCUUCAGUAUAUGUAAAAUAUAUGGUUUUCUGUCUGUGUACAGUUAUUAUUAAAUUAUUUGAUAAAGAAUUAUGUGCACUUCCAUUUCCAGAAUUAUGAUAGGCUAGCUUAUUCAGACCAAUCUUCGUGUACAAGUCAACUAAACGUUUAAAUAGAGCUGAUAGUUCAGUAAAGGAUUGCCAGUCCAGCAGCCAAUUUAAAGUCAGAAUACAAAAGCAUUCUGGGAGUUUUGCCUGAAAUCUGAGUAACUUCAUCAUUGUUUUAUAAUACCUAACGGGGACCAUGAGACAGAAAUCAAAGCCCCUAGGUGUGGACUCUCUAGGAACUUUGUUCUUAUAAAUCUGGGAACUAAAAGAGCUGUACCCCUAGGAUAAGUGAAAGUCAGAAAUAAACCUACCCCAGGAUCACCUCCAUCCCUACCAUGCCAGAAAUCUACAAUGGGUCUGUUGGACAAAAAGGAAAUAUCCCUGAAGAACCAUAAUUGCAAGUUGUGCUCCCUGGGUUUGCAAACCUAAAUUUACAUCAUCUUUGUGAUUCACAAUACCCCUAUAUUACAAAUUAAAAUUGGUCCCAGAGCAGACACCUGGCAGAAGCAAAUGCAGGACCUCUUGAAGAAAUGCACUCUCAUCCCAGGCCUCAAAGAAUUCCCAGCUGGCAUUUUCCAAGGAGAAUAAGCUCACAAUGAAACAAUAGCUCAUGAGGGAAAAGGCACUAUGAGUAAAAACCCACAGAAUCCACAGGGAACAAAUAAUUACCAUCCCUAAACUAAAAACUGUACUUUUCUCUGAAAUUCUUUCCAAGAACAACAACAACAAAAAAUUAGAUGGCUGGAUUCAGAUUUGUGAAGAGUCAAAGAGAAGUUACCAAACAGGCUCACUUAGCAUACUCCAUUUGCAAUCAGUAUUGACAUUUGGGGGUUUUGUUUGUUUUUCUUCUUUUGGCAGCAAAUAGAAAAGAAUAUGGAAAUCAAAGUGCCAGUUAACUGAAACGACAAGCGUAUCUCAAUUUUCUUCAGACAAGUUGUUGAUUCUUAAAUUUUUUGUCAUCAUAUAUAAGUUACUUUUCAGGGAUGAGUGAAAUAUCUAAUAAAUACAUAGAAAUCUGUAGUGAGGAUAUUAGGAGAGGUUAAAAACCAAAACAAAAUGUGAUCAAGUGAAAUAAACAAAUAGUAAAAAUAUAUAAUAAAAAUCAUAAAAAUACAACACUUUCCUUUGCAGAUCCAUUUUAGUAGCAUUUUAAGGUUUCAAACUCUUGUGCUAUGGCUUAGAUGUCUCCUAGGUCAUUACUGAUAGAAUGCUGUGGUCCUAACAUAAAUGGUUAUUCUUACAUUGUUUGUCAGAACUCCUGAAGUGAUUAUGUUCAAUGCCUUGUUUCAGAAAAGAAGGUCCAGCCAAAAACACAAUUCCUUCCUCCUUUUUCCCCCCUUUCUCCUUCCUAAUUCAGUUUAGUUCAGUUCAACAAACUCAGUUUGAAAGCCUUUCAUAUACCAAACAAUAUAACACAAGUUAUAUUUAAACUUUUCUUGUUUUUUGCCAGCUAAUGGUCAGGUGGGAAAAAAUAACAUCAUUUCUUAGAUCGUCAAAUUUGGAUUUCUUUUCCUACAUUUAAGUGGUUUAUCUAACUAUGGCUUUGUGUCUGGUGUUCACCAUUGUUUUGGAGACAAUCCCUCUAUGCCCAUAAGUUACUAUUGCUCUCUUAUUUAUGCAUCUUGGUUUUGCUAUUGGUCAAUGUAAAUGUCUACAUAAGAAAGGCAGCUUGGGACAAUGUAUAAAAGCAAUGGAGUAGAUUUCUGUUAGGGCUGAGAAUCUUUCUGCUGCAAGGGAGGGAAACCUCAAACUCAGUCUCAACAGGAUAUAUAUUGGCCUAAAUAACUAAUACAUCUAGGAGUUAGGUGGAUGUAAUUAGAACUUGAAUCAGCAGAUCUCAUGUCUCUCUCAUUUGUUUUUUCUUUGUCCACAUGUGAGUGCUGCCCCAUGCAGUAGAAAAAAAUGGACCCCAGAAUUGCCAAAUAACAUCAUUCUUGGCAGACAGAUCUCCGAAGUAAAAAAAAUCCUUCUCCCAAGAAUACAUCAAAAGUUAUGUAGUGUGUAUUAACCCAACUUGGACCAUAUGUCUUUCUCUGCUCAUCACUAUGGCUUUGAUUGGCCAGACAUGGGCAUAUGCCCAUUCCAGAAAUGAGCAGUAAGAUAAGUCCUAUAUGAACCAAAGAAAGAGAAAGUGAAAGAAAAGUGAUUCCCCUAAAGGAAGAGACUAGCCCUGCCCCAGAAGAAGAGAGGCUGGCUGUUAAAAAUCAUCAAUAUUUAUACCAAUUAUAAUCUAGUUCAUUUCAUAUGGACUCUUCAGCUGCCAAGAUUUAAUAUCUGGAAGAGAGACUAUAUUUUACAGUAAAUAAUUAGUUCAUUUGGACAUACUUACCACGUGAAUUAGUAAAUCAGCAUGUGUUUUAUAACAACGAACUUAUAACUAUCUUUAUCACUUUGACUUCUGCAGAAUUUACAAGAUGAAUUUCUCUAACUAAUUGGAAAUUCUCUUUGUGAAAAAUGUGCUAUAGAUAGCCAUCAGAAUACAAGGCAGGAUAAUUCCUUACACCUACUUCAGAGCUGUCCUAGGAAAAAAGUAAGCAAACAACAUUCGUGACAUUUUUUUCAUGUUUAGUCAUUUCUGAGAGAGACAGAGUGAAAGUGGGGAGGGGGAGGGAGAGGGAGACACAGAAUCUGAAGCAGGCUUCAGGUUCUGAGCUCUCAGCACAGCGCCCAACAAGGGGCUCGAACCUACUAACCUUAAGAUCAUGACCUGAGCUGAAGUCAGAUGCUCAACCGAUUGAGCCACCCAGGUGUCCCUCCUUACAUUUUUAUAAGUGAACAGUAAGAACAAUUUUACAUCACAAGAGAAUGAAGGAAAAUGUGCCAGAUUACUAUCUGUUUAGGUGAGGAGGCAGGCCCUAAUAUCACAGUACAUUUAAAUAACAUAGGUUACAUUUUGUAUAUCACGAGACUAGCAUUAAACAGAAGAAAAUCUUGUGGACCCCUGUGUACAAUUUCCCCCAGACUGUUUUUGUUUUUUGGGUUUUCCCCCCAUUUCUUCAAGAACUUUGUGCUCUGGCCGUGGUGCUGAAUGUUUGAGGGCCACACUUUGGGCAGCCUGAGCAGACUUGAAGAAUGCAGGUUCAUAUUAUAGAUUCAGAGCCACAGCGGAUACUUACUUUUUGAAGGGAAGAAGUAUUACAUUCUCUGACUUUGUUAAAGAAAAGGAGGAGUUGUGACAAAGGAUAAGGCAGAGACUUUGGCCCAAAGGAAUAUUACAUUACUAACUCAAUUAGAGAACAUUUAUCAUUGUCUUCCUGUAAACCUAUGAUUAAUACUUCUUACAUAGUACCUCACAGAAUCAUGAAUUAGUUUGGAGAAAAAAUUAAUUCUAGGAACUACAUGCAUUAGUGAUAAACAAGACUCUCACUACCUUGAUGAGUCAAAUAAUAAUAAUUUCUUUACUAGGAUAUAAGUUCCAUGAGGGCAAUGUUUUGUUUUUGUUGGUUUUUUUGUUUGUUUCUUUUGUGUUCCCCUAUUAUAUCCCUAGAGUGUCAAACUGCACCUCACACACAGCACUAAAAAUUUCUUUUUAUUUAUUUAUUUAUAUUUUUUUUAACGUUUAUUUAUUUUUGAGACAGAGACAGAGCAUGAACGGGGGAGGGUCAGAGAGAGAGGGAGACACAGAAUCUGAAACAGGCUCCAGGCUCUGAGCUGUCAGCAUAGAGCCCGAUGUGGGGCUCGAACUCAUGGACCGCGAGAUCAUGACCUGAGCCGAAGUCGGCCGCUUAACCAAUUGAGCCACCCAGGCGCCCCUAAAAAUUUCUUUUUAAAUUAAAAAAACAUUUCUUCAACUUUCUCUCUCUGAUAUUCAACAAUUUACUAUCCUGCCUCAUUUACUUUAUAUGUAAACUGUAGCUGGACCAUCACAAGAUAUGUGAUGAUUAAGUGACCUAAAACACAUGAAGUAUGUUAGAGUCCCAUGAAAUUGUCACUAAAGAAUGACUUAUCAUUCAAUAAAACAAAAAAAGAGAAGUUACUCAAAUAUGAAAUACAUUUCCAAGAUCAAGACUUCUCAAAAUAGGUACACCUGGUGGCUCUGACUCUUGAUUUAAGUUCAGGUCAUGAUUUCACAGUGGUUUAUGAGAUCAAGCCCCGCAUCAGGCUCUGUGCUGACAUUAUGAAGCUUGCUUGGGAUUCUCUCUGUGCACCUCUCUCUCCCUCUCUCUCCUUCUGAAAAUAAAAAAGCAAACAUAAAAAAGACUUCUUUAAAUAAAAAUAUCUUUCUUAAUAUUUAGAGUUUUUAAUUCAUUCAGAGUCCCAAAUUCCAAAAGAUGAAAACAUCAAUGCGUAACAUCAUUAACAUUAUGAAACUGACUGCUAAGCCCAUUCACUCAACCCUACUCUAAAGGUAUUGAGGGAAAAACAUGGGUCUCAACUUUUAUACAUAUAUUCACCAUAACCUGCACUAUGAGGCAACAGGAACAAUACCUUAGAGAAAAUUUAAAAUAAAUUUUGAGAGCUACCAGCUAAGACAGAAAUACCUGAAAUAAUUCACCUAGAUAUUAAAUAGCGUAAAAACCAUGGAAAGAAUAGUAAGAAAAGAAUGAUGCCAGAAGAAAUCACGGUGUUAAAACAAAUUAAAUGUUAGUUAAAAUCAUUUUCACGGAAAAAUGUUGGUAACAAAAUUUUUUGGUAUAUUCAACACAUAUUUAUCCAUGCCUGAAUGAUUACAUCCAAAAAUAAUAAUCUAUUAAUGUGGUUUCAUGUAACAUGAAAAAUUAUAUAUAUUUUAUAUCUGUAAGAUUUUUUUAAAUGUUUAUUUUUGAGAGAGCAAGAGACAGAACACAAGUAGAGGAGAGACAGAGAGAGAGGGAGUCACAGAAUCAAGGCAGGCUCCAGGCUCUGAGCUGUCAGUGUAGAACCCAACAUGGGGCUCGAACCCAUGAACUGUGAGAUCAUGAUCUGAACCGAAGUCAGAUGCUUAACUGACUGAGCCACCCAGGUGCCCCUGUAAGAUCUAUUUUGAAAUUUAGUUACUGCUUAAAGGAAAUUUCCAUCUAUAAUGUUACCAAAUUAUUCAGCAGUUCUAGAUUUAGUAUAUUUUAAUUCACUUGAAAAUACAUUAGUUAUAUUUUUCUAUUAUAAGAAAGACACUAUGUUUAAGCUCUACUUUAUAUAGAGUAACAGGAAGUUUUACACACACACACACACACACACACACGACCCAUACACUUUUUAUCCACCCUCCACCACCCUUUCAUAACUGUAGUACCAUAGCAACACCAUGAAAUUGUUACUGGUAUAACCCACAGACCCUUUUCAUAUUUUACCAGUUACACAGCCUUUCACGCAUGCACGUGUGUGUGUGUGUGUAGUUCUAUACAAUUUUAUUAAAUGUAUAGCUUUAGGAACUACUACCACAAUCAAGAUUUAUCACGUUAUAAUUUUAAAGCCACUCAUAUACCCCCUCUAAAGCUCUAUCCUCUAGAAACCACUAAUCUGUUUUCCAUCCCUAUAACUAAAUUAUUUCAAGAAUAUUAUAUACAUUAGUUCAUACACUAUGUAAACUUUUAUGAUUGACUUUUUUCAGCCAAUCUAAUUAUAUGACAAUCCCAAGUUAUGUGUGUAAUAAGAGCUGUUAUUCUAUUGUUAAGCAAUAUUCUAUUUCAUGGUAUAAAUAUGCCAUCAUUUGUGUAACCAUUCUCUCAAAGAAAUUUGGGUUGUUUCAGGUUUUUGGUCUAUUACAAAUAAAGUUGGUAAGAACAUUCAUGCACAAGUUUUAUGAGAGUGUAAAUAUUAGUUUUUUGUUUAAAGACUUUUUUUAAAGAAUAAUUUUAGAUUCAAAGCAAAAUUGAGCAGAAAGUACAAGAUCUUCCUUACACUCCCUACCUUCACAAAUGUAUAUUCUCCUCCAUUACUGACAUUUUCCAUUAGCAAGAGACAUUUCUAACAAUUGAUAAACCUACACUGAUACAUCAUAAUAACCUAAAGUCUAUAGUUUACAUUAUGGCUCACUCUUGGUGUUAUAAAUUCUAUGGGUUUGGACAAAUGUAGAAAUGACAUAUACACAUCAUUAUAUUUUCACUGCCUUAAAAUCCUCUAUUUUCCACCUAUUCAUUCCUCUCCACCAACCCCAGAAAAUCACUGAUCUUUUUACUGUCUCCGUGGUUUUUGCCUUUUCCAGAAUGUUAUAUAGUUGAAAUUAUACAGCAUGUAGCCUUUUCAGAUUGGCUUCUUUCACUUAGUAACAUACAGUUAAGUUUCCUCUAUGUCUUUUCAUAGCUUAAUACCAUACUUCCUUUUAGCCCCAAAUAACAUUUUACUAUCUGGGUGUACCAUGGUUUACUUAUCCCUUCACCUACUGAAGGACAAUUUGGUGGCUUCCAAGUUUCAGCAAUUAUGAUUAAAGCUGCUAUAAACAUCAAUGUGCAGGUUCUUGUGUGGACAUAAGUUUGUAUCCAGUGUCAUUGCUGGUUGAUAUGGUAAGAGUAUGUUUUGUUUUUUUAAGAAACUACCAAACUGUCUUCCAAAGUGUCUGUACCAUUUUGCAUUCACAUCAGCAAUAAAUGAGAAUUCCUGUUGCUCCGCAUCCUUGCCAGCAUUUGGUAGUGUAACCCCAGAUUUUGGCCAUUGUAAUGGGUGGGCAGUGAAUGGUAUCCCACUGUUUAAAUUUUAUUUCUCUGAUGACAUAUGGUAGUGACCAUCUUUGCAUAUGCUUAUUUGACAUCUGUAUAAUCUUUUUUAGUGAGGUAUCAGUUAAGGUCUUUGGCUGAUUUUUAAAUCAAGUUGUUUGUUUUCUUAUGGUUGAAUUUCAAGAACUUUUUUUUAUAUUUUGGCUAACAGUCCUUUACCAGAUGUGCCUUUUAAAAAUAUUUCCUCCCAGUCUGUGGCUUGUCUGCUUAUUCUCUUGACAUUGUCUUUUGCAGAGCACAAGUUUUUAAUUUUACUGAAAUUCAGCUUAUCAAUUAUUUCUUUCAUGGAUUGUGUUUCAGUGUUGUAUCUAAAAGGUCAUUGCCAUCCAUAACUUCAUUUAGGUUUUCUAUGCUGUUUUCUAGGAGUUUCAUCAUUCUGCGUUUUGCAUUUAGUCUUAGUGUGUAUUCUGAGAUAGUUAUUGUGAAAGGUUCUACACUGACUUUUUUUUUUUGUAUCUGGAUGUCUAGUUGUUCUAGAACCAUUUAUUAUAAAGACUGUCCUUGCUCUAUUGUAUUGCCUUUGCUCCUUUGUAAAAGAUCAGCUGAUUGUAUUUAUGUGGGUCUAUUUCUGGGUUCUAUUCUGUCCAUUGAUCUCUUUAUCUAUUCUUUCACUAAUACCAGAACGUUUUGAUUACUGUAGCUUUAUCGUAAAGCUAUAAAGGUAGUAUCAGCCCUUCAGCUUUAUUCUUCUCCUCAGUACUGUGUUGGCCUUCCUGGGUUGUUUGCUUCUCCACUUAAACUUUAUAAUAAGUUUUUCCAUAUCCACAAAAUAACUUGCUAGGAUUUGGAAUGGGAUUGCAUUGAAACUUGGAUCAAAUUGAGAAAAUCUGACAAUACUCAGUCCUCCCAUCCAUGAAUAUACAAUAUCUGCCCAUUUAUUUGGGUCUUCUUUAAUUUCAUUCAUCAAAAUUUUUAAAUGUUCUCCAAAUACAAGCUGUACAUGUUUUGUUAGAUUUAUACCUACAUUUCAUUUAUGGGGGGGGGGGUGCUAAUGUAAAUGGUAUUGUAUUUUCAAUUUCAAAUUCCAGUUGUUUGUGGCUAUUGGCUAAACAUCACUUUUCAUUUCUCAAAGAUAAAUACCCCAGAUUAAAAUAUUGGGCUGUAUGAAAAGUGCAUUUUUAGUUUUAAAAGAAAAUCCCAAGCUAAUCUCCACCCUGGUUGUUCCAUUUUACAUUCCCACUAACAAUGAGAUCCAGUUUUUCUACAUCCUUACUAGUUUUGAUAUUUAAUUUUUUUUUAUUUUAGCCAUUGUGAUAGAUGUGUAACAAUAUACUGUUGUUCUUUAAAUUUGCAUUUUUCUAAUGGACAGUUAUGUUGAGUACCUUUCAUGUGCUUAUUGGAAAUAUGUAUAUCUUCUUUGAUUAAAAGUCUAGUCAUAUCAUCAACCCACAUUAUAUAUUAUUGGGCUGUUUGUUUUUUAAUUGUUGUGUUUUGAGAGUCAUUUAUGUAUUCCAGAUACAAGAUUUUUGUCAGAUAUGUGCUUUGCAAACACUUUCUCCAAGUCUGUAGCUUCUCUUUUUAUUCCCUAGACAGGGUUUUCACAGAGCAGAAAUUUUUAGAGAGGUUUAAUACAUCAAUUUUCCUUUUAUGGACCAUGCCUAUAUUUGGAUUAUUACCUAUAUAACUAUUUAGGACAUAUAGUGUGUACGUAUAGUGGCGUUCACUGGUAGGUUGUUUAGAGUGCCAUGAUGGGCAGAGAAUUUUUUCGAAAGCCUUAAUUAAAUGUCCGUAGUAGUCAUGCAACUAAGUUUUUUUGUUUCUUGAGUCAAGUUCUGACAGAUACAUUAUUCACAGAAAUUAAAUCUUGUCCUCCAAAUUGUCAGAGAAUUUGAUGAGGUUAUUAGUUCAAUCUUCUAGUUUUCUUUUUAUUUAUGCUGUAUUAUUAAAAGUUUUGUAUGUUUGUGCUUUCUCUUUUUACAGUUCACUUUGCCAGACUUCUAUGCAUUUCAUUAAUCUUUUAAAAAACUUUAGUAUUUUACAUGCUUCUUUCAUAUUUCAUUAAUUUUUGCUCUCAUAUUUAUUAUAUCCUUUCUCCUAUUUGAGGAUUUGUUCUAUUCUUUCCACCUUUUUAAGUAACUAAUGCUUAACCUUCCUUCUUUUGACCAUAAAAAUGUAAGGCUACAUAUUUCCUUUGAAACAUUCUGUUGACUUCCAGAGGGAUGUGUGUGUGUGUGUGUGUGUGUGUGUGUGUGUGUGUGUGUGUGUUAAACUAAUAGACUAUAGUUUCUGGAAGUUGUCUUAGGUUUGCAGAUAAAUUGAACACAUAGUACAGAGAAUUCCCAUAUAUUCCCUUUCCCCCAACAAAGUUUCUAUUAUUAAUAUCUUGCAUUAGAUAACAUACAUUUGUUACAACUUAUGAGCCAAUAUUAAUAUAUAAUUUUUAGCUGAUGCUCAUAGUUUACAUUAGGUUUUAAAUCCUACCAGAUUCUUCUCUCAAAGAAAACCCUAAUCUCCAAAGCUGUGGAAUUCACCAGAGUGCAAUUCUGAAACAUAUUCCCAUUUGGGGAAGGAAAUUCUGCCCCAGCCAUAGCAUUUGUUUCAUAUAAGAGAAAAAAUUUUUAAACCCCAAAUCAUUUGUCAAGGAAACAGACUGGGAACACUGUAGUCAGAGAAAGGAUUAGAGGGCAUGGGAAAGUACAGAAACACUUGUGAAUACAGUGUCCCCAAGCCUGAGAAUCAUAAGACCAAAAAUGCUCCUUCCAUACACCCUACCCACACUUCAAAAAACCUCUAGUAUAACUGAAUCACAGCUAAAAUUGAUUAUCUCUUUGGAGAAGUAAAAAGAGAAGCCUCAAAACCAAGAGAAGAGACAACAGCAAGGAAAUAGAAUUUGAAGCCUCUGUUACCUAUAGCGACAACAAACAUUAAACACAAUCUAAUUUCUAUUACAAGAUACCACAUGUCCCUCUUAAAAAAAAAUCACAAGCCAUGCCAAAAGAGCAAGAAAAAAGAUCCAUUCUGAAGAGACAAAAUAAACAUCAGAAUUAGAUUUAGAUAUGACACAGAUGUUGGAAUUAUCAGACAGAGAAUUUAAAUAGCUAUGAUUAUAUGUUAAGAGUUCUAGUGGAAAAGUAGACAUCAUGCAAGGCCAGAUGUGUUAUGUUACCAGAGAAAUGGAAGGUCUAAGAAAGAAUCAAAAUGAUAUGCUAAAAAUAAAUUUAACAAAAACAUAGUAGAAAUAAAGAAUGUCUUUGACAGGAUCAUCUCAGUAGACUCAAUAGAGCUAAGAAUAGAUCAGCAGCAUCUUUCCAAACUAAAAUGCAUGGAGUAAAAAAAAAAAAAAUGUAAAACAAACAAACAAACAAACACAGAAAAGAACAUCUAAGAACUGUGAGACAGUAUCAAAGAUAUAAUAUACACAUAAUUAGAAUACUGAAAGGAGAAGAAAAAGAGAACAUGGCAAAAGAAAUAUUUGAAGUAAUAAUGUCCACAAACUUUCCAAAAUUAAUGACAGACAGCAACCUGUAAAUCCAAGGAGAUAUAGAACACCAAAGAGACACAUAUUGAGAAAGAAAAACACCUAUGGAUGUCAUAUUUAAACUGUGGAAGACUAAAUUAAAAAAAAAGAGUAUUUUGAAGGAAGCCAGAGAGAGAGAAGGAAAUACCCUAUGAAGCCAAAUACAUGACAGAAGUGUCACAGGGAUGGGAGGGAGAAAUUAAGAUUACACUCUUCUAAAAUCCUAUACCACACCUGAACAGUAUAAUGGUAUCUAAAAGUGAAUAUAGAUUAAAAAAUCUAUAUUGUAAACCAGAGGGAAACCACUAAAAAUAUUUUUUAAAUAUGACCAAGAGAGAAAAUAAAAACUGCUUCAUAUAAAAGGCUCAAUAAAAGGGGCGCCUGGGUGGCGCAGUCGGUUAAGCAUCCGACUUCAGCCAGGUCGCGAUCUCGCGGUCCGUGAGUUCGAGCCCCGCGUCGGGCUCUGGGCUGACGGCUCAGAGCCUGGAGCCUGUUUCCGAUUCUGUGUCUCCCUCUCUCUCUGCCCCUCCCCCGUUCAUGCUCUGUCUCUCUCUGUCCCAAAAAUAAAUAAACGUUGAAAAAAAAAAUUUAAAAAAAAAAAAAAGGCUCAAUAAAAAAGAGAAGGCAGAAAAUAAAAGAAUGAAAGGAAGAAAGGGCAUGAAUAAAAAGUAGCUACGCAUAUGUAACAAUUUAAACCACCAUCAGCAAUAGUCAUUUAAAAUGUGUAUUUCUUAAAUACACCAGUUAAAAGACAGAGAUUGUCAUAUUAGUUAAUAAAGAAAAAAAUCCAAUUUUAUGCCAUCUACAAGAAACUCCCAUUAAAUACGAAGAUUCAGCUUAAAGGUAAAGGAAUGGGGAGGGCCUGGGUGGCUCAGUUGGUUAAGCGUCCAUCUUGAUUUAAGCUCAGGCCAUGAUCUCACAGGUUUGUGGGAUCAAGCCCCGUGCUGACAGCACAGAGCCUGCCUGGGAUUAUCUCUCUCCACCCCUCCCCUGCUUACACUCUCUCUCUCAAAAUAAAUAAAUAAACACUUAAAAGAAGUAAAGGAAUGAGAAAUAUAUACUAUGCUAAUAAUAAAAGAAAGAUGAAGUAGCUAUGUUAAAUUCAAAGUAUACUUCUAAAAAGGAAAAUUAUCAGGAAUAAGACUAUUAUAUAAUGACAAAGGAGGCAAUGCUCUAAGAAGACAUAACAAUACUAAACAUUCAUGUAUCUAACAAUAAAGUGAUAAAACAUGUGAGACAAAACAUGAUAUAACUGAAAGGAGAUAUAUAAAGAAAUCCACUAUUAGAGCUGGAGAUUUCAAUAUCCUUUUGUCAGUAACUGAUAAAUUAAGCAGAAGACCAGUAAGGAUAUAGAUGAUUUGAACACUAUCAAUGAACUUGACCUAGUUGACAGUUACAGAAUAUUCUAUCUGACAACAGCAGAAAACACAUUUUUCUCAUGAACACAUAAAACUUUUGCCAAUGAAGAUCACUUUCUGCCCCAUAAAACUUACAUUACAAAUUUUAAAAAUAAAAACCAUAUAAAGUAUGUUCUUACACCAUAUAGAAAUAAACUAUAAGUAAACAAAAGAGCUGGAAAAUUCCAAAAUAUUUGGAAAUCAAACAACACAUUGUAAAUAACUCAUGUGCCUGAUAGGAAGUCUUGAGUAAAGUUUUAAAAUAUUUUGAAUUAAAUAAAGAUGAAAACACAACUUACCAAAAUUUGUGGCAUGCAACUAUAGCAGUACUUAGAGGGAAAUUAAUAACAUUAAAACCAUCCCUCUAAGCACUACAGGAAGAAAAGCCAAACAUUAAUUAAGCUAAGCUUCUACAUUAAGAAUAUAGGGAAGGAAGAAAAUUUAAGAAAGUACAUAAUAAAACUUAGAAUUGAGUACAUGAAAAAAAAAUAGAGAAAAAUCAAUAAAACCAAAAGCUGGAUCUUUUGGAAGAUAUAAAUGGAUAAAAUAAUAAUAAAAUUGAUAAAAUCUGGCCAGGACAUCAAUGAAAAACAAAAAAAAGGAAUUAGCAAUAUCUGAAUUGAAAGAAGGAUCAUCACUGCUGAUUCCAUGGACAUUAAAAAGAGUAAUAAGGGAAUAUUAUGAACACUUUUAUAUCCACAUAUUUGAUAGAAUAAAUAGACCAAACCUUUGAAGAACACAAACUACAAAAACUUUUCAAGGAUAAAUAAACUUAAUAUCUCUACAUCUACGAAAGGAAUUUAAUUACCAGUUAUGAAACUCUCCAAAAAGAAAAUACUAGGUCAAGAUGGCUUCACUAGUGAAUUCCAUCUUACAGUUAAUAAAGAAAAAAAAAAAUUUACACAAUUUCUUUAAAAAAAAAAUAAAUGCUGACAAAUGCAUUUCAUGUGUUUCUAAAAUGUGUUCUCACAUAUUCUAACAUCAUAACCAGAUAAAGUCAUUUCAAAAAAUGGAAAUUACCCACAUGUCUCCAUGAAGACAAAUGAAAAAUCCCUUAACAAAUACUAACAAAUAGGAUCCAGCAAUAUACAAAAACAAUACAGUAAGUCCAAGUGUGGUUCAUUUGAGGAAUGCAAGGCUGCUUCAACAUUCAUAAGUUAUUCAAUGCAGUAUAACACAAUAACACACUGAAUAAGAAAAAAUGAUUACAUCUACAGAUGCAGAAAGCACAUUUGACAAAAUUCAACACCUGUUCAUGAUUAAAAAAAAUUCUCAACAAACUAGGAAUUGCAGGGAACAUUCUGAACUUAAGGGGUAUAUAUAAAACAUCUGCAGCUAUUAUCAUAUGUAAUGGUGGGAGACUGAAUGCUUUCCCCCUAAUGUGUUCCCUAAGACUGGGAACAAGACAAAGAUGGUCCUCUCUAACCGCUCCCAUUCAAACAAUCAUACUAGAAGUCCUACUAGUUCUAUAGUACAAGGGAAGGAAAUAAGAGGUAUACAGCCAAAAAGGAAGAGACAAAACUGCUGUACUCACAGAAAACAUUAUUGUCUACAUAGAAAAUCCCGAGAAUUUACACAAAGAACCUCCCAGAACCAGUAAAUGACUAGAGCAAGUUGGCAGCAGACAAGGCCCAUACACAAAAGUUAAUUCCAUUUCUGAAUACCAGCAAUCAAUCACUGAUGUUUAAAAUGCAAAAACAAAUAAUAUUUAUAACAUAAAAAAUGAAAUAAAUUUGCAAAUCACACAUGUGAGAACAUAUUUGUAUCCUGAAUGCACAAAGAACUCUUACAACUUGAUGCUAAAGAGAUUAAUGACCCAAAUUUUAAAAUAAGCAAAAGAUCUAAAUAGACAUUUGUCUAAAGAAGGUAUACAAAUAUCUAAUACAGCAUGCAAAGUGCUCAAUAUCAUGAAUCAUCAGAGAAGCACAAAUCAAAACAACAAUGAGACACCACUUCAUAUUGACUCAGAUGAGUAUAAUAUAAAGAUGGACAAUAACAAGGGUUGACAAGCAUGUAGAGAAACUGGAAUCCUCAUACACUGCCCCAUGCAUAUAAAAUGGGGAGUCGCUUUGCAAAAGUUCUUCAUAAGGUGAAACACAGAGUUACCAUAUAACACAAGUAAUUCAAUUCAUAGGUAUAUACCCAAGGGAUUUAAAAAAACACAGGUCCACACAAAAACCUGUACACCAAAGUUUAGAGCAGCAUUAGUCGCAUUAGCCAAUAAGUGGAAAUAACCCAAAUACCCAUUAACUGAUGAAGGGAUAAACAAAAUGUUUUAUAAAGUAGUAUAUAAAUACAAUGGAGUAAUAUUUGGCAAUAAAAAUAAGUGAAUUAUUAAUAUAUGCUACAACAUGGAUGAAUUUUGAAAACAUUAUGUAUGUGUGAAAUCCAAUAUAAGCAAGUCUAUAGAGACAGAAAGCAGAUUAGUGGUUGUCUAAGACCUAAGUGAGGAAAAUAGAGAGUGACUAGCAAUGGUUACAGGGUUUCUUUUUGAGGUCACAAAAAUCUUCUAAAAUUGAUUGUGGCAAUGACUGCAAAACUGUGUAAAAUACUACAAAACACAGAAAUUGAGCUUCAAGUUGGUGAAUUCUAUAUAUCUUAAUAAAAGUUUUUUUAAAGUAUUUAGGGAAAAAAUCUAACAAAAUGGGCACACAAAAUGUAUGUAAAAAUCACAAAACAUGGACAAAAAAUUAAUCAAAGAAUAUAUAAGUUAAUGAUGAGAUAUUUUGUUUUUAUGAUCUGGAAAACAUGAUAUUAUUAAGAUAUCAAUUCUUCCUAGCUUAAUCUACAAAAUUAGAGUGAUCCUGAUUAAAACCCAAGACUCUUUUUUGAGAAAAUUGACAAACUGAUUCUAAAAUUUAUAUGGAAAUUCAAAGGGUGUAAACUAACCUAUACAAUAAUGAAAAACACAGUUGGAGGACUCACAUUACCCAAUAUUGAGACUCUAAUUAAGAUAACAUAGUCUUAGCAGAAGAUGAGACAUAUUGAUGAAUGGAAUAGAAUACAGACCAGAAGCAGAACCACACAAAUAUAGUAAACUAUUUUUUGACAAGUGUGCAAAGAACAAUUCAAUGGAUAAGGAAUAGUUUUUUCAAAAAUUGUACUAGGGCAAUUGGUCAGCCACAUGAAAAAAAUAAAAAAGGAAUCUAGACUCACACUUCACACUUUACGCAAAAAUAAACUCAAAAUGAAUCUAAAUUCUAAAUGUAAAAUGCCAAAUGAUAAAAUUUGUAGAGGAAAACACAAGAUAAAACCUGAGAGAUCUUCGUUUUGGUGAUGAGUUUUUUAUAUACAGCAACAAAACAUAACCCAUCAAAGAAAAAAUCAAUAAGGUAGAUUUUAUUGAAAUUAAAACUUUUGCUCGAUGCAAGACAAUGCUAAGACAAGCCACAGUUUGUGAGAAAUAUUUGCAAAAUACUUAUCUGCUAAAGGACUUGUUCUACAAUACACAGAGAACACUUAAAACUCAGUCAUAAGAAAACAAUUUAAAAAUGGGCAAAAGACCUGAAUGGAUGCAUCACCAAAAAACGAUACACAGAUAGCAAGUAGCAUGUGAAAGAUGCUUAACAUCAUUUGUCACUAAGGAUGCACAAAUUAAAAUGAAAUCGCUCUUAGAAUGUAUCUCUUACUCCUUAGAGACACACCUCUUGGAAUGGCUAACAUUGAGGGGAAAAGUUGAUAGUACCAAACCUUGGUGAGAAAGUGAAGCAACAGGAAUUCUCAUUCAUUGGUGGAUAGAAUGAAAAAUGGAACAACCCCUUUGGAAGACAGUUUGACAGUUUCUAUAAAACUAAAAACAUGAUUUUACCAUAUACUCCAGCAGUUGUACACUUAGGUAUUCAUCCAACUGAUUGAAAACAUAUGCCCAUGCAAAAACCUGCACACAAUGUUUACCAAAGCUUAUAUGACCACAGUAAUGCUAACAAUAGGGGAAACUGGGUGUAGGCUGGAUGGAGGUUCUUCUAUAUUCUUAAGCCUUUUCUGUAAAUCUACUAUUUUAAAUUUAUUAAAGUUUUAACAAAAAAAAUUUUAAAUAACAAAAUUAUUAAUUUAGAAAAAAUUUAUUCUUAUACUUCUUAAAUCUUGGCACCAGACAGACACAAUUGGUUUUGAAGUGUGGAAAAAAGGUUGGGGCCAGCUCAUUAGGAAGAAGCCUAUAUUUCUCACUGAUAUAAGCUUCUCUUCUAACAUGUCCUUUGUACUUGUUCAAGUUACCUGCCAGUGAAAGAUUUGUUUUGCUGUUGUUCAGGAAUAAGUAUAGCCACAAAUCUGCCCACUAGAUGUGAUGUGUUGUUCAAUAAUUUAUUUUUGCAUAUCUUAGGUCAGCCUGUCAUUGCAUCAACAAGCCUGGGAGGCUCCAGACUCACUACUAUGAAUAUGAUUCCAGCCCAAUACAAACUAGGCUUUACAAAAUAUGAGAAUGCAUUCAUGUAAUAAACACAUAUAAAGUGCUUACUAUUUGCCAAAAUUUCUUCAACAAUUUACAUAUACUGAAUUAUUAGAAUCCUUAUGAAAUCUUUCUGGGGUAGGUGUUAAUAUUAUCUACAUGUUAGUAUUAACUAAAUACUAGUACAUCCAUUCUCUAUUUAAAUGUUACCUAUAUUUUUUAAUAAAGGUUCAUGGACACAGAAAGAGUUCAGUUCACUUGUCCAAGUGCAGGUAGUUUUCUUCCCAAAUCCCUCUCCUUAUCAGGCUGCUAUGAUACUCCUUAAUCUGAGGCAGUUCCUUUGCAAACUCAACCUUUUGCCUUGCUGUCUUUGAGCACUUUUUCUGGUGAUAAUGACUUUUCAGUGCCAGCAAAUUUAAACUCCUGAAAAUUAAGUUAGAAAUGUAUUGACUAACUUAGUAGAAACCACAUUAUUAGAACUCACAACCUCAAGGAAAUAUAAAUGGAUCUAAAUAAGCUUUUAAAAGACAGAGCAGGGGCACCUGGGUGGCGCAGUGGGUUAAGCGUCCGACUUCAGCCAGGUCACGAUCUCGCGGUCCGUGAGUUCGAGCCCCGCGUCAGGCUCUGGGCUGAUGGCUCAGAGCCUGGAGCCUGUUUCCGAUUCUGUGUCUCCCUCUCUCUCUGCCCCUCCCCCGUCCAUGCUCUGUCUCUCUCUGCCCCAAAAAUAAAUAAACGUUGAAAAAAAAAAUAAAAAAAAUAAAAGACAGAGCAAAGCAGCUGAAACAACCUAAAAGUUAAGGGUUGUCAUGAAGGAGCAUUCACUCACCAAGUCAGAGACACUCAUAGGAAUCUGAGAACAGCAGCCUCCAAUAUUUAGAUGGUUUGUAAAUAGCUAGAUGGCUCCAUGUGACAUACUGAAAUGAUAUUAUAAAUGAUAUGAUACAUUUUAAAGUAUUAAGACAGGACUGCUUUAUUGCCACUCAGUAACUACAUUAGCUAUUGUUUAUUGAUAAGUUCCUAACUUUCGUAUUGUGAGUAGUAGGAGAGCAGGAGAGCAAAAAAUCAAUUAAACAUCUGCUGUGAUAUUGUGAUUCAUAAUAACAAAUAUACUUGUUUCUGGCACAGAGCUCCUAAAACCCUUGGAAUUUCCUAAGUGUGGAUAGUAAUAAACGUGUCUUUUGUUAUGUUAAUGAGGUGACUUUUGGACAUAACUUAAGGAUGGAGGCUGGUUGCCAGGGGAGCCAACCACGCACCUCAUUAGGGUGUUGGAAUUUUCAGUUCCACCCCCUGACCUCAUGGGAGGAGAGAGGGGCUUUGCGUUCGACCACCAAUGGCCAGUUAUCUAAUCAAUCUCAUCUAUGUAAUGACUUUUCCAUAAAAACCCAAAAGAUCUGCCUUUAUCAAAACAUUGUAAUUAUGCGUUUUUACAAUUUUUAGAUAAUGUGUUUUCCGUUUCAUUUGCUGAAAAGAUCUUCCUUUUAAAAUUAUACUGAAAUCUGAUUGUUUCAUAUUAUUUUCCUACUGCAAUAUGUGGAAGUAUGUUAAGUUUUAAAAUAAUUUGAGAAUGGUGAUGGACUAGUCACUAACUAGCAGUUAGUGGUCAUCUUUUACAUAUUUUUUCACUUUAUUUUUAGAAUAAUUUUAUUCAUAUGCAUUUCAAAUAUACAUCAGCGGAGCAUAUAACAGAUACCUUUGUAUGCAAAAUCCAGCACAUGGUAAUAUUUUGCCAGAUUUGCUUCAGAUCUUUUUUUCUUUUUUAAGAAAUCAAAUAAUCUUUCUUGUCAUAUCAUCCCCAGAGCUUACUACAAUCCUGACUGGGGCAUGUCAUUCCCUGCAUGUUUUUAUACUACUGACAUAUGCACAUACUCACGAACAAUGGGAAUUGUUUUGUAGAAUUUAGAUUUUUGCAUGCAUGGUUUUGUACUUACUGUAUCAUUUACUAGUUUAUAUUAACAUUUUCAAAUGUAUUGACAUUAAUAUUUAAUUUUAAAAUUAAUUUUAUCUACCCUAUAAUGUUCCAUUAUAUAAAUAAAUCAUAAUCCACAUCUCCAUUCUUCAACAGACAGAAAAUUAGGCUGCUUCCUGUUUAUUAAAAUAAAAAUCAUUAUUGAAAGGAAUGUUUUUUUUAAAAAUCGAUGUACAUGUUCCUUUGAAUAUGUAAGAUUUUUCUAUUUUUGUAACUACAACAUUGUUCAAAAUUGUUCUCCAAAAUGAGUGCACUGAUAUAUAUUCUUACCAGAAAUGCUCAAGUUUUUUAUUGUGUGGCAAGAGAUAUGAUGCUAUUUACCAAGUCCCAUUUCCUUUUCCUCCUGAGCAUAAAACUUGACUCCAUUUCCUAUCUUCCUUGCAGUAAGGUGUUGCCAAUGACCUGAGCCCUGGUGACAUGUGAACAGAAGAGAUGUGUAGUCCUUUAAAGUUGCUGUGACCAAGAAGUGAGACUUCCCAUGGUCUCUUUCCCGUCUUCCAGCUGCACUGAGAGUUCUCUAAGGACUCUGAACAGAGCUGAGCUACAAGAAGAGAGGGAUUGGGCUUCCUGAAUGACCUCAUCAGAGGCUGUAUGACCAGGAACAUAUCCCCUGGACUGGGACAUGAACAGUAAAUGAACUUUCAUUGUAUUAAGCCACUGAGAUUAUAAAUUUCUGAUUCAACUGAGAUUGCUACCCAUUACCUAUCACUGAUACGUUACAUAAACAUUUCCUUCCAUCCUCACUUCCUUUUAAGUUAUCUGACUUAUAAUAUUUUAUGUGUUUUAACUUUUAUAAGGUAGUUAUACAGAUCUUAGCAGUGUGCCAAGUUGUAUAAAUCUGUACUAAUCAGGUUAAGUAGUACUUCCCGGGUUUAUUGGCAUUUGUUUUUCUCUUUCUUAGACUUACCCAUUCAUCUCUUGUCCAUUUUCUAUCAGGCUAUUAAUUUUUUCCUAUUGUUUUCAAGGACUACCUUCUUUAUUUUGGCUAUUGCCAGAGUGUACUGGCAUCAGAGCACUUGUAAGAAUUAAUUUAUCCCUUUGCAUGCCACAUGCAACUUCUUCCUAUCUGCUCAACCAUCUCUCUGUACAUGGAGUCUCUUACUAUGAUUUCCUAAUACCUCUCAAUGAGUGUUUGUACAUUCCCUAGGAACACAAUCUGACAUUUCUCUCCCUCUCCCUCCCUCCCUUUCCCUGUGUGUGUGUGUGUGUAUGUGUGUGUGAAAGAGAGAGAAAGAGAGAGAGAGAGAUCGAUCAACUGAUUGAGAUUUACUAAGAGAGUGCACUGAGGAGAAACUUACAGGGAAAUAAGGAAAACAGAAAAAAGAGAAAGAACAUGUACAGGUAGCUGGCUCGGCUGAAGUCUAACUUCAGCCUAAUCCCACUGGGAGCUUUAGAAUGUGAGGGGCACCACAGGCUUGGCUAAACCUUGAGGCGAGAGGAUAGAGCUUUUGCACCCUUCAUUACUUGGUCAUUGACUACCAGCCAUCUUUUCUGGAAGGAGUGUAACUUUUUAAGCAUUGCUGGGUACAUUGGCUCCCAGUGGCCAAGGGGAAGUUUUGAAAAGACAUGGCAGCUGUCAACCAUGAGCAGCAAAUUCUCAAGAGUAGCUGGGAGAUAAGAGUACUAGAAGGUAAUGGAAUCUUGAUCAGGCACCAACAGUAUCUACAAUAGUAUGAUACAUUUUUGUGUCACUGUAAGACAGUAAGAAUCAAGAUAGGAUGGAGCCAAGUGUCUGGUUCCUUUGUUUGGGCUUUGCUCUAAGUAUUCAGAACUACCAUACUUAAAUGCAUUUUUAAAAGACACAUGUUUAAGAAAACAUUCAAAGACAAAUGUUUAUUUAAACACUCUUGCAUCUUGCAUUUCCAUUUCUCUAUUUGGCUUUUACUGUAUUUGAUGCCCUGGAUAUAUCUGGAACUACAGCUAUGAAGUAGAAAGGACUCAUAGCAACUCAAGAAGCAGCUGCUCCCUGGCUUCCUGCAAGGUCAAGGUAGGCCACACUGCAGGUUCUCACCUUGGCCCAGGACUUUCCAUACUGAUCUUUGAAUCACCAAAAAGAAGCCAGAGUCCUACUUUUUGGGCUAUUUCAUCAGAUGUGACAAAAUCCUUACUCUGCAGAAAGAAGAGAGACAUUCUGAUAUACAGAAGCCUGGAGGCAGACAGAGUGGGAUAUGAAUGUGUUUCUAUUAGAUCUAAGUUCUGUGACUUGAGGCAUUGGAAGUUACCAGCUGGGUGAAGUGCAGGAAAUAGUUCUGAUUGAUAUUCUGUCCUCCAAACUUUUUUUUUUUUUAAUGUCUAUCCAUUUUUGAGAGAGCAUGAGCAGGGAAGGGGCAGAGAGAGGGAGACACAGAAUCCGAAGCAAGUUCCAGGCUCUGAGCUGUCAGCACAGAGCCCGACACGGGGCUUGAACUCACAAACUGUGAGAUCCUGACCUGAGCAGAAGUUGGACGCUCAACCGACUGAGCCACCCAGGUGCCCCUGUCCUCCAAACUUUUUAAAGCUGGACUUCAAAAUAUGAGUUCAUCAGGUAAGUCUUUUGAGAACUAGCCUCUCUUCAAGAGAUCACUAAAAUACAGCACUCCUUUCUUCCUUUCAGCAACAAAUAACAACUAUGAGCAUUCUCCCAUCUGCCUGUGACUACAAAGUAAAAGUUUUUGUUUGCAAAAAAAAGAAAAGGUUAUAAGAAAAAUAAAAUGCCAAGUCUAUAUCUUCACACUCAGACAGAAAAAAAAACUAUAAAAGUAAGCCAUGUAUUUGCUCAUUUUC
rnacentral:lncRNA from 1 species